rnacentral:lncRNA from 1 species
CCAUCAUCUCCUCAUCAACAACCUCCUUCUCAACCCGUCAUACGUACCUUGUGGAAGUAGUCUCAAGAAAGAAUGGCGCUGAAUACUAGGAAUGCAAUCGUUGCCAUUCUCCUCCUCGUCGUGAUGGUCGCGGCGGUCUCAACACCAGCGGUAACUGCCCAAGAGGACUGCUGGGACAAAUGUUUCAAGGACUGCAAGGCAAAAAUGGCAAUGGAAGUUUGCAACCAAAAGUGCAUUGACUUUUGCAUUUAUCAAGCUGGAGCCAGAGAAUAUGUUAAGAUGGCUGGCGAUAAACUCAAGGAGACCAAAACUGCCUCUCCAGAACAGGCCACUAUACUCAAGAAUCAAGCUACCACCUACUUAGAACGUGCCAAAGUCCUCAGCGAUAAAGCCGUGACCCCGUGAGUGUGAGUGCGCACUCUUUUGUCUAUCGGUGUCGCUGCUGUUAUGGUGUCUAUGGAUGUUUUACUUAUUUAUUAUUAAAUUGUCGCGGUUGCAUCCCAUAUUUUUUGGUUUCUUUCAUUUUUGUCUCUUUGUUAACAGACCGUCUUUUGUAUUAUGACGACAUGCUUGUUCCAGUGACUCCCUUUCUCUGUUUUUAUUGUCGAGAUUACUCAUGUGUAAUGGUUUUCCAUUGAUUUGGAUACAUAAUAAUAAAGAUUCUUGCUUCCUUUUUAAUGCCAUAUUCUCCUAUUUUAUCUGCAUGCAACAAGGAUUGGAAACUUGAGGAUGUGUGAAAACAAUCCGUCUACAUUCAACAACAAUUUAGGCACGCAUAUUCUAGAAAAGUAUCCGUGCAAGUUGUUGCACAUUUUUUCAGAAAAUGUUGUUCAUAUAUAUCUAAAAAAUAUAACCCAGGCAUUCACAUGUUUUCUUAAAAACAUCAUGUAAGUUGCCUGUGUGUUGUAAAAGAAGAAAUGGAAAACACCAGGAAACCACAUAAAUUAAAUAGUUUUUCCUAGGAAAUACUCGCAGGCGAAAACAUGGUGGCUGAGAAAAGACAGGGCAUCUAUAAUCCCCACUGCCACGGGGGCAAUCGCGCUUAGUCUUAUUAUUAUUUUCAAGACCGAUUGUUUCGACCGGCUCAAGACCGAUGCACCGCGGUCUGGAUAAACAGAAUAUUUCCAGUCCGGUUGGGGAAAAAACAACUGUACCGCUAAAAUUACACAAGAGGGUUAUGCAAAGAAGUGGUAGCCCAGUGCGAAAAUUUCUUGUUACAUUUUUUUCUCUUUUGAGAACCCGUUACCAAAUAGGAAAACUUGGCACCUCACAUUCCGUCUUGGAAUAUUUUCGUUUCUGCUAAAGGAAGAGAGAACCUGGCACCACACAUCCUGCCAGGGAAUAUCUUCACCUUUGCAGUUUCAUCAGGGAGUAUUUUCAGUUUUGGCAUUUGAACCUGAGGUGAUUUAGGUGGAACAAAUUGCCUCUGCCCACAACAUUAUUAUUUUCUAGUUCAUUACACAUUCAGUUAUGCUCUAUCUAUACCGGCCCAUUGUCUUGGAUUUUCAGAAUGUGUUAAUCGGUUGCUCCAUUCUGCAAUACAUCUGAACAAGAGACACAGGUUUUUCUUUUCUUUCGAACUGGGGCUCAUCCAGCUUCCAUUUGAUACUGUUAAUGGAAACAACACCAUACAAGCUUGAUAGAGCUCUAUAUGGACUGAAACAGGCUCCCAGGACAUGGUACUCACGACUAAGUCAGAAACUGCAAACACUUGUUUUCGUUCCUUCAAAAUUUGACACAUCCUUGUUCAUUUACAAUAAGUCAAAUACCACUAUAUUUGUUCUUAUUUACGUUGAUGAUAUCAUUGUCGCAAGUUCAUCUGAUGAAGCUGUGACAGGUUUGUUAAAGGAUCUGAGUGCUGAGUUUGCCCUUAAGGAUCCGGGAGAACUACAUUUCUUUCUAGAAGUUGAAGUUAAAAAACAUGGAGACAGUCUUCAUCUCUCUCAGGAAAAGUACGUCACUGAUCUGGUAAGGAGAGUUGGAUUGCAAGGAUAUAAGCAUGCACCAACACCACUAUCUAGUACAAAAAAAUUGUCACUUGCUGAGGGAGAACCCUUGAGUGAGGAAGAUAGUACCAGAUAUAGAAGUUUAGUGGGAGCACUUCAGUACAUAACUUUAACAAGGCCUGAUAUUUAUUUUGUUGUCAAUAAAGUAUGUCAGUUUCUUCAUGCUCCCACCAAAAUUCAUUGGACUGCUGCAAAACGCAUAGUGAGAUAUGUGAAAGAUACUAUGAAUCUUAGUCUUACCUUCAACAAAUCCUCUUCCACUCUUGUUAGUGCUUUUUCUGAUUCUAACUGGGCAGGAUGUCCAGAUGACAGAUGCUCCACUGGUGGUUUUGCAAUAUUCUUUGGGCCAAACUUGAUAUCCUAGUGUGCAAAGAAAGAAGCCAUGGUGUCAAGGUCAAGUAUAGAAGUUGAGUAUAAAGCACUAGCUAAUGCCACAACAUAGAUUAUAUGGGUUUAGUUCAUGUUGAAAGAGCUUGGUGUGAAGCACACUCAAAUUCCAUGUCUAUGGUGUGAUAAUCUCGGUGCUCCUUAUCUAUUUGCUAAUCCAGUCUUUCAUGCCAGGACAAAACACAUUGAGAUAGACUUCCACUUUGUUUGAGAAAGGGUAGCUAAUAAGCAAUUGGAGAUCCGUUUUGUGCAUUCACGAGAUCAGGUUGCAGAUGGAUUCACAAAGUCAUUAUGUAACAUCCCAAAUUUUCAAUUUGGUAUGUUAUACAUAGAUCGUCAUUGCAUAUCAUAUUUUAUUGCAUUUUGACAAAUCCUCGAUAAAUCCUAAGCAACUCAAGGACCCUCGGAGAGAGUUGGGGAUUUUCUCAAGUUUUCAUAUUUGAUUUUCCAUCAAAUAAUAAAACGAGGAUUUUGGUUUUAAUUAUUUUCUCUCCGGAAAAAUAUUUCAUUUUAAAAAUAAACGAGAGGAGAAAAUAUGACUUCUCCAAACCAAUUGAAAUACUGGAGAAAAAGUGUUAAAAUCAUUUAUUGGAAUUUAUUACGAUUUUAUUUGCAAUUUUAAUUGCAUUAAAAAUAUUGCAUGUUUUCAAAAAUUAUUUUUGUGUCAAAAUAAAAAAUGUUCACCCUAUUCUAGAUUUUCUAACUAGACGGGGAAAAUUUAUUUUAUCUUUUUUGGACUUUUAUUUAUUUUUCUACGAAUUUUUUCCGUGGAACGUAUUUAUAAAAAAAAAUGCGCGCCGCCCGAUCGGGCCGAGGCCCAGCCGAGCGCCGGCCCGCCCGCGCCGUCUCCUUGCCCAAUACGCCGCCGCCGCCGCUUUCCCGGCUCGGACUCCGCCGGAGCCGUGCCUUGCCCCCUCCCCCACGCCUCCAGCACCCCCCUCAUAUAUAGCCGCCGCCCCCCUCCUUCUCACCCCGCCGCCGCCCGCACCUGCCNNNNNNNNNNNNNNNNNNNNNNNNNNNNNNNNNNNNNNNNNNNNNNNNNNNNNNNNNNNNNNNNNNNNNNNNNNNNNNNNNNNNNNNNNNNNNNNNNNNNNNNNNNNNNNNNNNNNNNNNNNNNNNNNNNNNNNNNNNNNNNNNNNNNNNNNNNNNNNNNNNNNNNNNNNNNNNNNNNNNNNNNNNNNNNNNNNNNNNNNNNNNNNNNNNNNNNNNNNNNNNNNNNNNNNNNNNNNNNNNNNNNNNNNNNNNNNNNNNNNNNNNNNNNNNNNNNNNNNNNNNNNNNNNNNNNNNNNNNNNNNNNNNNNNNNNNNNNNNNNNNNNNNNNNNNNNNNNNNNNNNNNNNNNNNNNNNNNNNNNNNNNNNNNNNNNNNNNNNNNNNNNNNNNNNNNNNNNNNNNNNNNNNNNNNNNNNNNNNNNNNNNNNNNNNNNNNNNNNNNNNNNNNNNNNNNNNNNNNNNNNNNNNNNNNNNNNNNNNNNNNNNNNNNNNNNNNNNNNNNNNNNNCCUCCCCCGAGCACCCCCGCACCCCGCCGCCCUCGCCGCCCCUCGCCGGAGCCGGCCAAGCCCCGCCGGAGCCCGCCCCGACGAGGUAUACCUCGCCGCCGUUCGGUUGCCGGUUUUGUUUUAAAAAAACCGUUCGUUUAAAAAAACCCUAGAUCGUUUUUUUUUCGGUUUUGUUAUUUUGUGAGCGUUCACCGACUCGUUCGUUUUAACGAACGCGUUCGUCGGUUUUUCUCUAUUAACGAACGUCCGUUCUUUAACCGUUCGUCCGUUUUUCUUUUUCGUCGGAUUUUUCCGCGAUUAUCUUAGAUUUUGAUUUCUGAUCGAAUCUUCGUUUCUGUUUAACUUUUCGCUCGUUUAUCGCAAUCAGGCGAUUCAAGCGCCUACAGUUUCGUCUCUAAAUUCUCUUUCCGUUUAACCUACUCAAACAAGUUUUUGUUACUGUAAAAUUUGACCUAGAUCCAGAUUAGUAAACGAAGCUUGUUUCUUUCGCAGUUUGACUUUCGUUGCUUCGUUCGAAUUGAUUCUUUUUGCAAACCGGAGUUCGUAAGUUGAACUUUCUGGUUGGAUCUUUCAUUCGAGUUUUUACCUAUGCAUUAGAUGAGUACUGAUUGUAUGCUUGUUUGUUUGCGAUAGAGUACCCGGAGUGUGCCGCUUGUUACUUCGAAUCGCUAGGUUUCGCGGAUCAUCAGCAAGGCAAGUAACACUUUGAUCAUACUUUCCAUACCCAGUUUUAUUGCAUUAGAUCUAUUCCUCAAACAAUUGCAUGAUUAGGAUCUAAUUAAAUUGUGGGACUUUGGGAAGUAGUUGAGGUAGUACCUAUUACCUGUUCUUUUAUCAAACCCUUGGGAGUUACUUCUACGUUGCUAUUAUAUUGCCAUGCUAUGCUCGUAGACGUGGAUUGGGUUUGAGUGAAUUUUCCAUGACAGAUGUGAGAUUGUUAAUUAAUGGUUCAACUUAAGGUGGCAACUAAAACUCACAUCUGGGUGGAUUGAGGCACCUGGAGAACCCAGUGUUGUCUGUUUGUAUAAGGACCGCCACCCAGGCUCAAAGGGAUCAUAAGAUUAUUCAUGCUGGAAACUUCCGUGUGCAGCCACAAGCUAUUAUGGGCUCUAGCAUAGUUGAGUAAGUUGUGGGAAACCUUUCCAUGAUGGGCUAGCAGAUGUAGGGGAUUGUAGGUGUACCGGCCUAUCUAUCGGUUAAGGGGACCUCUUCGGAAAGACUGUGUCUUGGUCAUCCAUUUCUCAAACAUCAUGCAGUGCGAGAAUCAAGCGGAGGCGAUCGAGUCUUGUGGGGAAAAGUGCGCAAACCUCUGCAGAGUGUACAAACUAAUCAUGGUUAGCCGUGUCCCCGGUUAUGGACAACUUGAGUAUCUAGUACCUGGAUUAUCAUUUGAAUCUCAUCACCAUGUUACUUUUAAUUAAUUUUGUUGGGUUAAUGAUGAUUCUUAAUUGGGAUUGAGAUGCUGUCAACCAUCUCAAUGUUUCACAACUGCCAUGAUAGUUAAAUAAAAUUUAUUCCUUUGAAGUAGGGAAAAAUUGGCUUUUCGCAAAAACUUAACCAUAGAGCUUUCCACCAGCCAUAUAUGCAUGUAGUAUAGCAUUAUUAUUGUUCAUUAUUCUCUAUGUGUUACAUUGCCAGCAUAUUCUAUGUGCUGACCCGUUUUCGGGCUGCAACGUUUCAUGUUGCAGACUUUUCAGAUGACGAGUAAGGUGCCUUAGGUCGUGGUCUUAUACUCAGUGAUGCCGCUGGAGUUCAUGGACUCACUUAUCUUCCAAGUCUUCCGCUGUUAUCGUUUUUAGAUGGCCUUAAGCCAUAUUUAUCAUACUUAUUCUCUUUGAUGUGUGUGUCAGCAUUACCGAUCCAGGGAUAACACUGGUGCACAGCAGCACAGACCAUUUGAGGUCUGGUCGCUACAAAGGUGGUAUCAGAGCACACGCUGACUGUAGGACACGACCACUAAGCUUAAGCCCUAGAAAGCUUCUCUCUUCUCAUUUCUGACCCCUCUCCUUUUUCUACUCUUUUAGGAAUGGCGGAUGCAAGGAGCAAGUUCAUGCAACCCGAUGAAGACACGCCUUUUGGUCGACACUUGAAGGAAGUCACUAAGUAUUUGAACAUAGGAAUACCAAGCAUCACCGGAACCUACAACGCCACAUUACCCGAAGAGGGGAGCUGGAAGAUUCAAGUUCACAUUCCAGGAAGGACGUUUGUGCCAGUUACUGAACCCAUAAGAUUGGUUUUCAAGGCACCAACCUGGAGUUUAGGGAAGAGCAUGGCCGCUCACAUCGCUAUGGGACGCAUUGGAGAAGUCUACCACCAGGAGCUUAAGGAUACAAUUUAUCAGAUUUGUGGACGCCGAGACACGCAAUGGGAGAUGAUCAGAACCAAGAAGGAUGGAUCAAUCGCAGCUUCCAUCUAGGAGCAAAACCAACAUAUUCGUCGCCAGGAGAACCAGAUGUGCACGGACAAGGAAGAACUGAGGAAGGCAUUAACCAAGAUCAAGGAGCUGGAGGAAGAACUCAAGGCUACACGCGAGGAUUAUAUGGAGGAAAUCAUCGCACUAGUAGAGAAGAAUGACGACCUGGAGAAGAAGAUUGGAGUAUUCAUGGGAAAUCCAGUGCCAAAGGCAAAGGAUGACGAAUGCACUUGUCCGGAUAACUACAUCAUCAUCGACGACACCGACUCGGAACCAAGUGAAGAUGACUGGGUUGACGAAGCUAGAGCAGACAUCAUGGAGUCUUCAACGGAUCAGAAUUUCUAGUAGACCACCAUAUCAGUAGUAGUUUUCCCCCAUUUAAUAGUAUAGUUCAAGCACUUUGUAACGCUAGUUAGAUCGAUUGUUAUGCCUUGUUUGAAUUGAUUGAGUGAUAUUGAUUGUAUUUGUCUCAUGAGCAUAUGGGUAGUGUUUUCUCUCUAGACCUCAUUCUAUUCUUAACUUUCAUCUUUUCUAACCCAUCAGAUGCCUCCGAGACGCGACACCGGAUUUGUUUUCCCACCAGAGAUCACCCAGUUGAUUCAGCAACAGAAUGCCCUGAUGCAAGUGUUAGUGCAGAACCAAGGCAACAACAACAACAACAACCCACCGCCACCACCACCUGUUGAUCACUUAGCCCGUUUCUUAAGGCUAAACCCGCCGGUGUUUUCCAGUAGCACCGAGCCGAUUGCUGCAGAUGAUUGGCUCCGCAAAGUUGGAAGGGAGUUGACCACUGCAGGAUGCACAGAUGCGGAAAGAGUGCGUUUUGCCGCACAUCAGCUUGAUGGACCCGCAGCAUCAUGGUGGGAGAAUUAUACAGCCACGCGCCCUAUUGACACUGUCACAUGGGACCAGUUUCAGCAAGCUUUCCGUACAGCACAUGUUUCAGCAGGAGCUAUGGCUAUGAAGAAGCGUGAGUUUCGCAACCUACGCCAAGGAGGAUGCACCGUAGGCCAGUAUGUGGAGGAUUUCAGUAAGUUAGCACGUUAUGCACCAGACGACGUUGCUACAGAUGCUGCCAAGCAGGAGAAAUUUUUGGAAGGGCUGAAUGAUGAACUAAGUAUGCAGUUGAUGGUAGCAACCUUCAACAACUACCAGGAGCUGGUAGAUAGAGAUCUCAUGAUUGAAGGGAAGCAACAGCAGAUUGAAAACCGUAAGAGGAAGUAUGGACAAGGGAAGUACAAUUCUGGAGCUCAGCAGAAGCCUCGUUUUGCCCCGAAGCCGGGAGGAUAGUUUCAGCAUACCCAUGGAGGAGGUAGUUCGCACAACCAUAAUGGCUCUAAGAAUGGUAAUGGGAAUGGAGGAAGCAACGGACAGAACCGCACCAACCCAUCUACCCCAGCCAAGAGGGAUCUAAGUCAUGUUACUUGUUUCAAGUGCCAGAAGACUGGACACUAUGCAACUGAUUGUCCUGAAGCCCAAAAUGGAAAUGGCAAUGGAAGCUCUUGGAAGAAGCCGAACCCGUUCAACAAAGGACAUGUGAACCACGUGAGCGUGGAGGAGGUUGAAGCUCAGCCUGAUGCAGUAAUAGGUAAAUUUUUGGUUAAGUCAUUUGCUGCAACCGUUCUUUUCGAUACUGGUGCAUCGCAUUCAUACAUAUCAAGGGGAUUUGUGAAUAAGUUUAAGCUGUCCACCCAAGUUCUCAAAACCCCUAUGUUAGUAACCUCGCCAGGAGCAGAGUAUAUGGCCAGCCAAGGAUGUUUUCAGAUGCCGUUGGCCGUUGGAAGGCAUGUUUUCCCCUCAGACCUCAUAGUUUUGGAGUCGCAAGGUUUGGAUGUGAUUUUGGGAAUGGAUUGGCUAUCGUUGUAUGGAGGAAACAUCGAUUGUGCCAGCAAGACGAUUUUUCUUACCACCCCGGAAGGAAAAAGGAUCAAGUAUGUAUCCCGGCAUAUGCCGAAGAGGACCCAAGUGAAUUCAUUAUCAGGAGUUGUACAGGAGGAAGUACCAGUGGUGAAGGAUUAUCCGGAUGUAUUUCCAGAAGAGUUGCCAGGCAUGCCACCAGAUAGAGACAUUGAGUUCUUGAUUGAACUUUUGCCAGGCAUAGGGCCAAUAUCUAAGAGACCGUACAGGAUGCCCGCAAAAGAUUUGGAGGAAAUUAAGAAGCAGAUCAAGGAGUUACUGGAUAAAGGCUAUAUUCGCCCAAGUUCGUCACCUUGGGGAUCACCAGUACUUCUAGUGGAGAAGAAAGAUGGAUCGCUAAGGAUGGUUGUUGAUUAUCGUGGAUUGAAUGAAGUGACCAUCAAAAACAAGUACCCACUGCCAAUGAUCAAUGAUUUGUUUGACCGCCUACAAGGAGCUAAAGUAUUUUCUAAGAUCGAUCUACGAUCAGGAUACCAUCAGUUAAAGAUUCGAGAGCAGGAUAUACCUAAGACGACUUUUACCACCAGAUAUGGAUUGUAUGAGUAUACCGUUAUGUCAUUUGGUCUGACUAACGCACCUGCCUAUUUUAUGAACCUGAUGAACAAAGUAUUUAUGGAGUUUUUGGAUAAGUUCGUCGUGGUGUUCAUUGACGACAUUCUAGUCUUUUCCAAGAAUGAGGAAGAGGAUGAGGAGCAUUUGCGAUUGGUACUUGAGAAGCUCAGAGAACAUCAGUUAUAUGCCAAGUUCAGCAAAUGUGAAUUUUGGCUGAAGGAAGUUGGAUUCCUUGGACAGGUUAUUUCGGGAGAAGGAAUAGCAGUAGACCCUGCCAAGGUUGACACAGUGACAAGUUGGGAAUCACCCACGACAGUUGGAGAAAUCCGGAGUUUUCUUGGACUUGCAGGAUACUACCAGAGAUUCAUCGAGAAUUUCUCGAAGAUUGCUAAGCCCAUGACGGAGCUAUUGAAAAAGGACACCAAAUUCAAUUGGACUGAGGAAUGUGAAGCUAGUUUCCAAGAGUUGAAGGAACGAUUGGUUACAUCACCAGUGUUGAUUCUACCAGAUCAACGCAAGGAUUAUGAAGUUUAUUGCGAUGCUUCUCGUCGAGGACUUGGAGCAGUGCUUAUGCAGGAAGGAAGAGUUGUGUCAUAUGCUUCACGACAACUUAAACCCCAUGAGAAGAAUUAUGCUAUGCAUGAUUUGGAGUUAGCAGCCGUGGUGCAUGCAUUGAAGACAUGGAGACAUUUUCUCAUCGGAAACCAUUGUGAGGUGUAUACAGAUCACAAGAGUUUGAAGUAUAUUUUCACGCAAAAGGAGUUAAAUCUCAGACAGAGGAGAUGGUUGGAGCUCAUUAAGGAUUAUGAUAUGAGAUUGCAUUAUCACCCAGGAAAGGCUAACGUUGUAGCAGACGCGUUGAGCCGCAAGAGUCAUGUCAACACCCUCAUGACAGGAGAGUUACCUCAGGAGUUAGCCGAGGACCUUCGCGAGCUAUGUUUGGAGAUAGUCCCAAGAGGCUAUUUAGCGACAUUGGAGAUUCAGUCUACCUUGAUGGAAAGGAUCAGAGAAGCUCAGAAGACAGACAAGUAGAUUGAAGAGAUAAAGGAGAAGAUGAACAAAGGAAAAGCCAAGGGAUUUCGUGAGGAUGAGCAUGAUACCUUAUGGUUUGAGGACCGCGUAUAUGUGCCAAAUGAUCCGGAGAUCAGGAAGUUGAUUUUGCAAGAAGCCCAUGAUUCACCGUACUCAAUUCACCCAGGGAAUACCAAGAUGUAUUUGGAUCUAAAAAAUACUUUCUGGUGGACCGGAAUGAAGAAGGAUAUUGCAGAAUAUGUAGCAGUUUGUGAUGUAUGUCAGAGAGUGAAGGCAGAGCAUCAGAAGCCAGCAGGAUUGCUACAACCAUUACCGAUACCCGAAUGGAAGUGGGAUAAAAUAGGCAUGGAUUUUAUCACAGGAUUACCCAGGACUCGUUCAGGCUAUGACUCAAUAUGGGUUGUAGUCGACCGUUUGAUGAAAGUGGCUCAUUUUAUUCCAGUGAAGACCACUUACACCAGUGCUAAGUUGGCAAAGAUAUACAUGACCAGGAUCGUAUGUUUGCAUGGAGUUCCGAGGACCAUUGUAUCAGACAGAGGAACCCAAUUUACCUCGAAGUUUUGGAAGCAGUUACAUGAAACAUUGGGAACCAGGCUAGAGUUUAGUACAGCUUUUCACCCACAGACGGAUGGACAGACCGAGAGAGUCAACCAGAUUUUGGAGGACAUGUUGAGAGCUUGUGCACUAGAUUAUGGAUCUAGUUGGGACGACAAUCUGCCUUAUGCGGAGUUUUCUUAUAACAACAGUUAUCAGACCAGUUUGAAGAUGGCCCCUUUCGAAGCCUUGUACGGAAGGAGGUGUAGAACACCGUUGUUAUGGGACGAAGUUGGAGACCGUCAGUUGUUUGGACCAGAUUUGAUUAACGAGUCUGAACAGAAAGUAAGGUUGAUUCGCGAUAGGCUCAAGGUAGCCCAGUCCAGGCAGAAGAGUUAUGCUGAUUCUAAACGAAAGGAGACAGUUCACGAAGUCGGAGACAAAGUGUAUCUUCGAGUAUCACCACUUCAAGGAGUGAAGCGCUUUGGAGUUAAGGGAAAGUUAGCGCCCCGUUUUAUCGGACCAUACAGAGUUGUGGAACGUAUGGGAGAGGUUGCCUACAAGCUGGAAUUGCCCGAAGGAUUGUCUGGAGUUCAUGAUGUAUUUCACGUUUCCCAGUUGAAGAAGUGACACGCAGAGAUGGCUGAGAUACCACUGAGAGAUACUGUGCCACUGGAAGCAAUUCAACUGGAAAGUGAUUUGACCUAUGAGGAGAAACCAGUUAAGAUUCUUGAGUAUGCCAGCCGAGUUACCCGCAGUAAGGUUAUCAAGUUUUGCAAAGUCUACUGGAGUCACCACACGGAAGAUGAAGCCACCUGGGAGCGAGAGGAAGAUCUACGGAAGGACCACUCCCAGCUGUUUUCUAGCCAACCCGAAUCUCGAGGGCGAGAUUCAUCUUAAGGGGGGUAGGUUUGUAACAUCCCAAAUUUUCAAUUUGGUAUGUUAUACAUAGAUCAUCAUUGCAUAUCAUAUUUUAUUGCAUUUUGAAAAAUCCUCGAUAAAUCCUAAGCAACUCAAGGACCCUCGGAGAGAGUUGGGGAUUUUCUCAAGUUUUCAUAUUUGAUUUUCCAUCAAAUAAUAAAACGAGGAUUUUGGUUUUAAUUAUUUUCUCUCCGGAAAAAUAUUUCAUUUUAAAAAUAAACGAGAGAAGAAAAUAUGACUUCUCCAAAACAAUUGAAAUACUGGAGAAAAAGUGUUAAAAUCAUUUAUUGGAAUUUAUUUGGAUUUUAUUUGCAAUUUUAAUUGCAUUAAAAAUAUUGCAUGUUUUCAAAAAUUAUUUUUGUGUCAAAAAAAAUGUUCACCCUAUUCUAGAUUUUCUAACUAGACGGGGAACAAUUAUUUUAUCUUUUUUGGACUUUUAUUUAUUUUUCUACGAAUUUUUUUCCGUGGAACGUAUUAAAAAAAAAAUUCCGCGCCGCCCGACCGGGCCAAGGCCCAGCCGCGCGCCGGCCCGCCCGCGCCGUCUCCUUCGCCAGUACGCCGCCGCCGCCGCGUGCCCNNNNNNNNNNNNNNNNNNNNNNNNNNNNNNNNNNNNNNNNNNNNNNNNNNNNNNNNNNNNNNNNNNNNNNNNNNNNNNNNNNNNNNNNNNNNNNNNNNNNNNNNNNNNNNNNNNNNNNNNNNNNNNNNNNNNNNNNNNNNNNNNNNNNNNNNNNNNNNNNNNNNNNNNNNNNNNNNNNNNNNNNNNNNNNNNNNNNNNNNNNNNNNNNNNNNNNNNNNNNNNNNNNNNNNNNNNNNNNNNNNNNNNNNNNNNNNNNNNNNNNNNNNNNNNNNNNNNNNNNNNNNNNNNNNNNNNNNNNNNNNNNNNNNNNNNNNNNNNNNNNNNNNNNNNNNNNNNNNNNNNNNNNNNNNNNNNNNNNNNNNNNNNNNNNNNNNNNNNNNNNNNNNNNNNNNNNNNNNNNNNNNNNNNNNNNNNNNNNNNNNNNNNNNNNNNNNNNNNNNNNNNNNNNNNNNNNNNNNNNNNNNNNNNNNNNNNNNNNNNNNNNNNNNNNNNNNNNNNNNNNNNNNNNNNNNNNNNNNNNNNNNNNNNNNNNNNNNNNNNNNNNNNNNNNNNNNNNNNNNNNNNNNNNNNNNNNNNNNNNNNNNNNNNNNNNNNNNNNNNNNNNNNNNNNNNNNNNNNNNNNNNNNNNNNNNNNNNNNNNNNNNNNNNNNNNNNNNNNNNNNNNNNNNNNNNGCCCUCGCCGCCCCUCGCCGGAGCCGGCCAAGCCCCGCCGGAGCCCGCCCCGACGAGGUAUACCUCACCGCCGUUCGGUUGCCGGUUUUGUUUAAAAAAAACCAUUCGUUUAAAAAAAACCCUAGAUCGGUUUUUUUUCGGUUUUGUUAUUUUGUGAGCGUUCACCGACUCGUUCGUUUUAACAACGCGUUCGUCGGUUUUUCUCUGUUAACGAACGUCCGUUCUUUAACCGUUCGUCCGUUUUUCUUUUUCGUCGGAUUUUUCCGCGAUUAUCUCAGAUUUUGAUUUCUGAUCGAAUAUUCGUUUCUGUUUAACUUUUCGCUCGUUUAUCGGAAUCAGGCGAUUCAAGUGCCUAGAGUUUCGUCUCGAAAUUCUUUUUCCGUUUAACCUACUCAAACAAGUUUUUGCUACUGUAAAAUUUGACCUAGAUCCAGAUUAGUAAAUGAAGCUUGUUUCUUUCGCAGUUUGACUUUCGUUGCUUCGUUCGAAUUGAUUCUUUUUGCAAACCGGAGUUCUUAAGUUGAACUUUCUGGUUGGAUCUUUCAUUCGAGUUUUUACCUAUGCAUUAGAUGAGUACUGAUUGUAUGCUUGUUUGUUUGUUUGUUUGUUUGUUUGCGAUAGAGUACCCGGAGUGUGCUGCUUGUUACUUCGAAUCGCUAGGUUUCGCGGAUCAUCAGCAAGGCAAGUAACACUUUGAUCAUACUUUCCAUACCCAGUUUUAUUGCAUUAGAUCUAUUACUCAAACAAUUGCAUGAUUAGGAUCUAAUUAAAUUGUGGGACUUUGGGAAGUAGUUGAGGUAGUACCUAUUACCUGUUCUUUUAUCAAACCCUUGGGAGUUACUUCUACGUUGCUAUUAUAUUGCCAUGCUAUGCUCGUAGACGUGGAUUGGGUUUGAGUGAAUUUUCCAUGACAGAUGUGAGAUUGUUAAUUAAUGGUUCAACUUAAGGUGGCACCUAAAACUCACAUCUGGGUGGACUGAGGCACCUGGAGAACCCAGUGUUGUCUGUUUGUAUAAGGACCGCCACCCAGGCUCAAAGGGAUCAUAAGAUUAUUCAUGCUGGAAACUUCCGUGUGCAGCCACAAGCUAUUAUGGGCUCUAGCAUAGUUGAGUAAGUUGUGGGAAACCUUUCCAUGAUGGGCUAGCAGAUGUAGGGGAUUGUAGGUGUACCGGCCUAUCUAUCGGUUAAGGGGACCUCUUCGGAAAGACUGUGUCUCGGUCAUCCGUUUCUCAAACAUCAUGCAGUGCGAGAAUCAAGCGGAGGCGAUCGAGUCUUGUGGGGAAAAGUGCGCAAACCUCUGCAGAGUGUACAAACUAAUCAUGGUUAGCCGUGUCCCCGGUUAUGGACAACUUGAGUAUCUAGUACCUGGAUUAUCAUUCGAAUCUCAUCACCAUGUUACUUUUAAUUAAUUUUGUUGGGUUAAUGAUGAUUCUUAAUUGGGAUUGAAAUGCUGUCAACCAUCUCAAUGUUUCACAACUACCAUGAUAGUUAAAUAAAAUUUAUUCCUUUGAAGUAGGGAAAAAUUGGCUUUUUGCAAAAACUUAACCGUAGAGCUUUCCACCAGCCAUAUAUGCAUGUAGUAUAGCAUUAUUAUUGUUCAUUAUUCUCUAUGUGUUACAUUGCCAGCAUAUUCUAUGUGCUGACCCGUUUUCGGGCUGCAACGUUUCAUGUUGCAGACUUUUCAGACGACGAGUAAGGUGCCUUAGGUCAUGGUCUUAUACUCAGUGAUGCCGCUGGAGUUGAUGGACUCACUUAUCUUCCAAGUCUUCCGCUGUUAUCGUUUUUAGAUGGCCUUAAGCCAUAUUUAUCAUACUUAUUCUCUUUGGAGAUAUUCGAUGUAAUAAGUGUGUGAUUGCUACUCUGUUAUAAAUCCUCCAUUUGUACUGUGCGUGUCAGCAUUACUGAUCUAGGGAUGACACUGCUGCACAGCAGCACAGACCAUUUGAGGUCUGGUCGCUACACAUUACCUACAAGGAGUCUUGAGGAAUUCAAGCGUAAUCUCAACUUAACCAAGUUGUGAUUAAGGGAGAGUGUCAAAUGACACAUAUUGCAUCGUGUGAUAGCCGGCUCCACUCCUUGUAACCGAAUACUACAGAUAGGGAUAGAGAUAGGUAGUUUAUAGUCUCUGUUAUCUCUUGUAACUAGAUAUCUCUUCCUUCCUUCCCAAGUCUGUAAUACCAACAACUUGUAUGAUGUCCAAGGAGUGGAGCCCCUGGUUAUAUAACAUGCAAGCGUCGCCCAGAGCUAGGGUACGACGUUUCCCACAGGGCUCAUCCAGGUUCCAUUUGAUGCUGUUAAUGGAAACAACAUCAUAAACGCACAAAAUGCAACAAAAUGCUAAAUCAGAAGCCUCCACACACGGGCUACUAAAAGGUGAUUUUGACACCUUUCUGGGAGGGCUAGCAAGGUGGGUACAAGCGAGUACGUAGUUAGCAUUUUGGGCCGUGUGGAUGUGGAGUUCUUGCAUGUAACCAUCUUGUAAGAAUACUGUGGAUGGGGUCGUUUCCCUCCUUAUUUAAUACAUGAUACACACACUCGUGCGAUGUCUAGAAAAAAUCCUCCACUAAUGCCAAGAAAAACCCACUGAAACGCGCGCUAUCGUGUCGACAAACAUCCUUAUGAGGCGAAAAAAACCUGGUGAGACUCUGACGGAGUAGCAAAGGUGCCCAAACAUCAACGUCUAUACCUGACGCAAUAGGCAAACAAAUGAAUGAAAUGAUGCAGUCGUUUGAACCUCAAAACACAGUCAUUUCAGAAUCUCAAGACUGAUGCCUUCGACCAGCUCAAGACCAGCGCAAGGAGUUGGAUCAAGAAAGUGCCCUUUAGUUUGUGGUCGGCAUACACCACCCUGUGCAGGAUCACAGAAGGAAAUCUGUUGGGGCAAAACCUUGCCCUAGCUCUUCCUCGAGCCUACCUCUCCCUCUCUGUCACCUCAGUCUAGCAUACACUGAUCAGAGGAAGAAGAAAGCGAAGAGUUCUUUUAAGAACUCGUGAGGGAAUAUUUUCCGGGCACCUCACUUUCGUCCGGGAAUAUUUUCGGUUCUGCUAAAGGAAGAGAGAACCUGGCACCACACAUCCCGUCAGGGAAUAUCUUCACCUUUGAAGUUUCAUCAGGGAGUAUUUUCAGUUUUGACAUUUGAACCUCAAGUGAUUUUGGGGGAACAAAUUGCCUAUGCCCACGACAUGACGAUUUUCUAGUUCAUUACACAUUCGGUUAUGCACUAUCUACAUACAUUGUCUUGGAUUUUCAAAAUAUGUUAAUCCGUUGCUCCAUUCUGCAAUACAUCUGAACAAGAGAAACAUGUUUUUCUUUUCUUUCGAACUGGGGCUCGUCCAACUUCCAUUUGAUACUGUUAAUGGAAACAACACCAUACACGCACAAAACGCAACAAAUGAGAAAUCAGAAGCCUCCAAUAAUGCUAGGAAAAACCCACUAAAACGUGCGUUAUCUUGGAGACGAACAUCCUUAUGAGGCAAAAAAAACCUGGCGAGACACUAACGGAGUAGAAAAGGUGCCCAAACUUCAACGUCUACACCUGACGCAAUAGGCACACAAAUGAAUGAAACGACGCCGUUGUUUGAACCUCAAAACGCGGUGCAGUCGUUUCAGAAUCUCAAGACCGAUACCCGCAAAAAAAAGAAUCUCAAGAGCGAUGCCUUGGACCAGCUCAAGGCGGCUUCACACGAGCAACCAGGCCUUGUGUAAUCGAAAGAGAAGAAACAGAGCUGUGUAUUUAUUAAUUAGCGAAGUUUGUGUCCUGAGACAUAGUUAGUAAUCAUUAGGACUAGAAGAAUACAUGCGCCUUGCCGUGCCGUUUUUUAUGUUUUUCAUUUUUCUUCUAGUGUGAUCAGAGUCCUCGUAUUCUUGUGGUGCCCUUGUUAGGGCAUCUUCAAUGGAGAGGCGCCUAUUUAGGCGCUUAGUAAUAGGAAAAUAUAAUUACUGAAGUUGAGUUGAUGCAGGCGUCUGUUGGGCCAACGCACGAGCGCCUAACUGAGCGCUAAUAGAAUUUAUUUUUCUCAGAAAGAAUAUCCUUAUCGCUGGUUAAAGGGGGUCAUACGAACAGAAACGAAACAAGCGCCCGGCGACCGAACUAGCAUCGAUGCCAGCCCCAAUCCCUGGAUCGAAUAGGAUUAGCCCAAAACUGCCCGGAAUAGAACCCAGACGUCUAGCCUAAGCGCCCCCGUUGUAGAUGCCCUUAGCGGACUAGCCGCAGGAGGUUUCAACUUCUUCGAUCCAUCUAUAAUAAGGCCAAUGGGAGACUUUGCGGACACAGGAAACAAUAAUGUAAGUGUUUUCUUUGUUAGAGUUAUAUUAAGUGAUGUCUUUUGGCCUUUUGCAUUCUAGUCUCUUGGCAUCCUCUUGUAGCCUUUUGGCAUCCGCACGUAUGUGUAUAUAUGUUGGCUCAUUUGUUUUUGGAGGUUUUUCUGUGUGCGUUUAGGGUUUGUGUUUUUCUAUAAAGACGAGAUGGCGGCGGCUUCCUGAAGUUGGAAUAAGAUUCUUCGCGCCUAGUCCCCGUUCUGGUGGCACGUCUAGCAUCAUCGGAGGGCAUGUGGAGAUGUGUCUCCGACGGAUAUCACCGGAUUCGGUCGGUGUUUGUCUUUGGUGGAUCCAUGAUACGCCCAUUUUGCAUCAUGCUUUUAUAUCGAUAUUUAUUGUAUUAUGGGCUGUUAUUACCGUUAUGUUACAAUACUUAUGGCUACUCUCUCUUAUUUUACAAGGUUUAUCAUGAAGAGGGAGAAUGCCGGCAGCCGGGAUUCUGGGCUGGAAGAGGAGCAAAUAUUGGAAGCCUAUUCUGCACAGCUCCAAAAGUCCUGAAACUCCACGAAAGUCAUUUUUGAAAUUAUUAAUAAUUAUUGAGCGAAGAAAAUACCAGAGGGGGCCCACACCCUGGCCAGGAGGGUGGGGGCGCCCCCCCCUACUGGGCGUGCCCCCUGUCUCCUGGGCCCCCUGGUGGCCCUCCGGUGCCCAUCUUCUGCUAUAUGAAUGCUUUUACCCUGGAAAAAAAAUCAUAAGCAAGCUUACGGGACGAAACUCCGGCGCCACGAGGCGGAACCUUGGCGGAACCAAUCUAGAGCUCCGGCAGAGCUGUUCUGCCGGGGAAACUUCCCUCCGGGAGGGGGAAAUCAUCACCAUCGUCAUCACCAACGAUCCUCUCAUCAGGAGGGGGUCAAUCUACAUCAACAUCUUCACCAGCACCAUCUCCUCUCAAACCCUUGUUCAUCUCUUGUAUCCAAUCUUGUAUCCAAAACCACAAAUUGGUACCUGUGGGUUGCUAGUAGUGUUGAUUACUCCUUGUAGUUGAUGCUAAUUGGUUUACUUGGUGGAAGAUCAUAUGUUCAGAUCCUUAAUGCAUAUUAAUACUCAUCUGAUCAGGAACAUGAAUAUGCUUUGUGAGUAGUUACGUUUGUUCCUGAGGACAUGGGUGAAGUCUUGCUAUUAGUAGUCAUGUGAAUUUGGUAUUCGUUCGAUAUUUUGAUGAGAUGUAUGUUGUCUCUCCUCUAGUGGUGUUAUGUGAAUGUCGACUACAUGACACUUCACCAUUAUUUGGGCCUAGAGGAAGGCAUUGGGAAGUAAUAAGAAGAUGAUGGGUUGCUAGAGUAACAGAAGUUUAAACCCUAGUUUAUGCGUUGCUUCGUAAGGGGCUGAUUUGGAUCCACUAGUUUCAUGCUAUGGUUAGGUUUACCUUAAUACUUCUUUUGUAGUUGCGGAUGCUUGCAAUAGGGGUUAAUCAUAAGUGGGAUGCUUGUCCCAGUAAGGGAAGUACCCAAGCACCGGUCCACCCACAUAUCAAAUUAUCAAAGUACCGAACGUGAAUCAUAUGAGUGUGAUGAAAACUAGCUUGACGAUAAUUCCCAUGUGUCCUCGGGAGCGCUUUUCUCAUUAUAAGAAAUUGUCCAGGCUUGUCCUUUGCUACAAAAAGGAUUGGGCCACCUUGCUGGAUUUUAUUUACUUUCAUUGCUUGUUACCCGUUACAAAUUAUCUUAUCACCAAACUAUCUGCUACCUACAAUUUCAGUGCUUGCAGAGAAUACCUUACUGAAAACCGCUUGUCAUUUCCUUCUGCUCCUCGUUGGGUUUGACACUCUUACUUAUCGAAAGGACUAUGAUAGAUCCCCUAUACUUGUGGGUCAUCAAGACUCUUUUCCGGCGCCAUUGCCGGGGAGUGAAGCGCCUUUGGUGAGUGGAACUUGGUAAGGAAACAUUUCGAUAGUGUGCUGAAAUUUGCUAUCACUUGUUACUAUGGAAACUAAUCCUUUGAGGGCUUGUUCGGGACAUCUUCGCCCCGACCAGUAGAGCAAAGAAUUGCUCCUGAACCUACUGAACCUACUGAAAAUGUUUACUUUGAGAUUCCUUCGGGUAUGAUAGAAAAACUGCUAGCUAAUCCUUUUGCAGGAGAUGGAACAUUGCAUCCCGACUUACACCUUAUCUUUGUGGAUGAAGUUUGUGGAUUAUUUAAGAUUGCAGGUAUUCCCGAUGAUGUUGUUUAGAGGAAGGUCUUUCCUUUAUCUUUGAAGGGAGACGCAUUGACCUGGUAUAGGCUAUGUGAUGAUACGGGAUCUUGGAACUAGAAACGAUUGAAGUUGGAAUUUCACCAGAAGUUCUAUCCUAUGCAUCUUGUUCAUCGUGAUCGUAAUUACAUAUAUAAUUUCUGGCCUCGCGAAGGAGAAAGCAUCGCUCAAGAUUGGGGGAGGCUUAAGUCAAUGUUAUAUUCAUGCCCCAAUCAUGAGCUCUCAAUAGAAAUGAUUAUUCAAAAUUUUUAUGCUCGGCUUCCUCUUAAUGAGCGCACCAUGCUCGAUACUUCCUGUGCUGGUUCUUAUAUGUUGAAGACUACUGAAUUCAAGUGGGAUUUAUUGGAAAGAAUUAAAUGCAACUCUGAAGAUUGGGGUUCCGAUGAUGGUAAGGAGUCAGGUAUGACACCUAAGUUUGAUUGUGUUAUAUCUUUUAUGGAUACCGAUGCUUUUCGUGGAUUUAGCGCUAAAUAUGGACUUGACUCUGAGAUAGUAGCGUCUUUUUGUGAAUCUUUUGCUUCUCACGUUGAUCUCCCUAAGGAGAAGUGGUUUAAAUAUAAUCCUCCCACUGAAGUAAAAGUAGUUGCACCUAUUACAGUUGAAGAAAAGACCAUCACUCAUAAUGAUCCUAUUGUUCCUACUACUUACAUUGAGAACCACCUUUUCCUGUUAGAAUAAAGGAUCAUGCUAAAGCUUCAACUGUGGUUCGUAAGAAUAAUACUAGAACAUAUACACCUCCUGAGCAAAUUAAAGUUCAACCUAGUAUUGCUAUGGUUAAAGAUCUCUUGGAUGAUAAUAUAGAUGGGCAUGUUAUUUACUUCUGUGGUUAAGCUGCUAAUAUUGCUAAGCCCGAUGCUAAGAUACAUAAACCCGUUGUAGGCAUGCCUGUUAUUUCUGUUAAAAUAGGAGAUCAUUGUUAUCAUGGUUUAUGUGAUAUGGGUGCUAGUGCUAGUGCAAUACCUCAUUCCCUAUAUGAAGAAAUUAUGCAUGAUAUUGCACCUGCUAAGUUAGAAGGUAUUGAUGUUACUAUUAAGCUUGCCAAUAGAGAUACUAUUUCACCAGUUGGGAUUGUUAGAGAUGUUGAAGUCUUGUGUGGGAAAGUUAAAUAUCCUGCUGAUUUUCUUGUUCUUGGUUCCCCACAAGAUGACUUUUGUCCCAUUAUAUUUGGUAGACCCUUCUUGAACACUGUUAAUGCUAAGAUUGAUUGCAAAAAGGAUGUUGUUACAAUUGGCUUGGGGGAUGUGAAACAUGAGUUUAAUUUUGCUAAGUUUCAUAGACAACCCCAUGAUAAAGAUUUGCCUAGUAAGGAUGAAAUUAUUGGUCUUGCUUCUAUUGUCGUACCUCCUACUGAUCCGUUAGAACAAUAUUUGCUAGACCAUGAAAAUGAUAUGUUUAUGAAUGAAAGAAGGGAAAUAGAUGAAGUAUUCCUUCAACAGGGUCCUAUUCUGAAACACAACUUACCUGUUGAAAUCCUAGGGGAUCCCCCUCCACCCAAGGGUGAUCCCGUGUUUGAGCUCAAACCUUUACCUGAUAAUCUUAAAUAUGCUUAUCUUGAUGAAAAGAAGAUAUAUCCUGUUAUUAUUAGUGCUAACCUUUCAGAGCAAGAAGAGGAAAGAUUAUUGAAAACUCUGAAGAAGCACCAUGCUGCUAUUGGAUAUACUCUGGAUGAUCUAAAGGGCAUUAGUCCCACUCUAUGCCAGCACAAAAUAAAAUUGGAGAAAGAUGCUAAACCAGUUAGAGAUCCUCAACGAUGGUUAAAUCCUAAGAUGAAAGAAGUGGUAAGAAAGGAGAUACUAAAGCUCUUAGAGGCAGGUAUAAUUUAUCCCAUUGCUGAUAGUGAAUGGGUAAGUCCUGUCCAUUGCGUUCCUAAGAAGGGAGGUAUUACUGUUCUUCCUAAUGAUAAAGAUGAAUUGAUUCCGCAAAGAAUUAUUACAGGUUAUAGGAUGGUAAUUGAUUUCCGUAAAUUAAAUAAAGCUACUAAGAAAGAUCAUUACCCUUUACCUUUCAUUGAUCAAAUGCUAGAAAGACUAUCCAAACAUACACAUUUCUGCUUUCUAGAUGGUUAUUCUGGUUUCUCUCAAAUACCUGUGUCAGCGGAGGAUCAAUCCAAAACUACUUUUACUUGCCCUUUUGGUACUUUUGCUUAUAGACGUAUGCCUUUUGGUUUAUGUAAUGCACCUGCUACCUUUCAAAGAUGUAUGAUGGCUAUAUUCUCUGACUUUUGUGAAAAGAUUUGUGAGGUAUUCAUGGACGAUUUCUCCAUUUAUGGAUCCUCUUUUGAUGAUUGCUUGAGCAACCUUGAUCGAGUUUUGCAGAGGUGUGAAGGCACUAGUCUCGUCUUGAAUUGGGAAAAGUGCCACUUUAUGGUUAAUGAAGGCAUUGUCUUGGGGCAUAAAAUUUCUGAAAGAGGUAUUGAAGUUGAUAAAGCUAAAGUUGAUGCUAUUGAAAAGAUGCCAUGUCCCAAGGACAUAAAAGGUAUAAGAAGUUUCCUUUGUCAUGCCGGUUUUUAUAGGAGGUUCAUUAAGGACUUUUCCAAAAUCUCUAGGCCUCUGACAAAUUUAUUGCAAAAAGAUAUUCCUUUUGUCUUUGAUGAUGAUUGUGUAGAAGCAUUUGAAAUACUUAAGAACGCUUUGAUCACUGCACCUAUUGUUCAGCCACCUGAUUGGAAUUUACCCUUUGAAAUUAUGUGUGAUGCUAGUGAUUAUGCUGUAGGUGCUGUUCUAGGGCAAAGAGUUGAUAAGAAAUUAAAUUUUAUCCAGUAUGCUAGUAAAACUCUUGAUACUGCCCAGAGAAAUUAUGCUACCACCAAAAAAGAAUUCUUAGCAGUUGUAUUUGCAUGUGAUAAGUUCAAACCUUAUAUUGUUGAUUCUAAAGUUACUAUUCACAUUGAUCAUGCUGCUAUUAAAUAUCUUAUGGAAAAGAAAGAUGCUAAGCCUAGACUUAGUAGAUGGGUUCUCUUGCUCCAAGAAUUUGAUUUGCAUAUUAUUGAUAGAAAGGGAGCUGAGAACCCCGUUGCAGACAACUUGUCUAGGUUAGAGAAUGUUCUUGAUGACCCACUACCUAUUGAUGAUAGCUUUCCUGAUGAACAAUUAGCGGUCAUUAAUGCUUCUCGUACUGCUCCACGGUAUGCUGAUUAUGCUAAUUACAUUGUUGCUAAAUUUAUACCACCUAGUUUCACAUACCAGCAAAAGAAAAAGUUCUUUUAUGAUUUAAGACAUUACUUCUGGGAUGACCCACACCUUUAUAAAGAAGGAGUAGAUGGUGUUAUUAGACGUUGUGUACCUGAGCAUGAACAGGAACAGAUCCUACGCAAGUGUCACUCCGAACCAUAUGGAGGACACCACACUGGAGAUAGAACUACACAUAAGGUAUUGCAAUCCUGUUUUUAUUGGCCUCCUCUCUUCAAAGAUGCUCGUAAGUUUGUCUUGUCUUGUGAUGAAUGUCAAAGAAUUGGUAAUAUUAGUAGAUGUCAAGAAAUGCCUAUGAAUUAUUCUCUUGUUAUUGAACCAUUUGAUGUUUGGGGCUUUGAUUAUAUGGGACCUUUUCCUGCCUCUAAUGGAUAUACACAUAUUUUAGUUGCUGUUGAUUACGUUACUAAGUGGGUAGAAGCUAUUCCAACUAGUAGUGCUGAUCAUAACACUUCUAUUAAGAUGCUUAAAGAAGUUAUUUUUCCGAGGUUAGGAGUCCCUAGAUAUCUUAUGACUGAUGGUGGUUCACAUUUUAUUCAUGGUGCCUUUCGUAAAAUGCUUGCUAAGUAUGAUGUUAAUCAUAGAAUUGCAUCUCCUUAUCACCCUCAGUCUAGUGGUCAAGUAGAAUUGAGCAAUAGAGAGCUCAAAUUAAUUUUGCAAAAGACUGUUAAUAGAUCUAGAAAGAACUGGUCCAAGAAACUUGAUGACGCAUUAUGGGCCUAUAGAACUGCAUAUAAAAAUCCUAUGGGUAUGUCUCCUUAUAAGAUGGUUUAUGGAAAAGCAUGUCACUUACCUCUCAAACUUGAACAUAAAGCAUAUUGGGCUAUUAAAGAGCUCAACUAUGACUUCAAACUUGCUGGUGAGAAGAGGUUAUUUGAUAUUAGCUCAGUAGAUGAAUGGAGAACCCAAGCUUAUGAGAAUGCCAAGCUGUUUAAAGAAAAAGUUAAAAGAUGGCAUGAUAAAAGGAUACAAAAGCGAGAAUUUAACGUAGGUGAUUAUGUGUUGCUAUUCAACUCUCGUUUAAGAUUUUUUGCUGGAAAACUUCUCUCUAAGUGGGAAGGCCCUUACGUUAUCGAGGAGGUCGAUCGUUCCGGUGCCAUAAAAAUCAACAACUUCGAAGGCACAAAUCCGAAGGUGGUGAACGGUCAAAGAAUCAAACAUUAUAUCUCAGGUAAUCCUAUCAAUGUUGAAACUAAUAUUAUCGAGACCAUAACCCCGGAGGAAUACAUAAGGGACACUUUCCAGAACGUUUCAGACUCCGAAAAGGAAUAGGUAUGUGGUACGGUAAGUAAACCGACUCCAAAACAAUUCUAAUGGUAAUUUUUAUCCGUUUUGGAAUAUUUAAGAAUUUUGGAAAGCAAGAAGUAAUCCGGGAAGGACACGAGGCCUCCACGAGGGUGGAGGGCGCGCCCACUCUUACUGGGCAUGCCCCCCUGUCUCGUGGGCACCUCGUGUGCCUCCCGGACUCCGUUUUCUUGCACGUUACUUCUUUUGUUCGGUAAAAAUUCAUUAUAUAAUCUCCCGAAGGUUUUGACCACCGUAUCACGCAAAAAUCCUCUGUUUUUGUUUCAAGCUGUUUCUGUCGCAAAAUUAGAGCAAUAUGUCGUCCCAGGAUUCGGAGGGAGAAAGCUAUGUUGCUGAUUUCCUUGCAGACCCUAAGGUCUACGGGGACUUGGAGCAUGGUGGCUGGACCACUGAGGAAGAGGGAGACUAUGAGCCUAAGUGAAAGGAGGAUACGAGCUCAGACGAAGACGAAGCCCCAUUACCUCAACCUGGGGACAUGCAUGUGCAGUUUAAAAAGUCAAGCCUCCCUGAUAGAGCAAAGAAGCCAAAGAUCGAGUUUAUCCCUUUUCGUCUCUUGCAGGAAAAUAAACAGGAAUUAUGCAAAAGAAUAUUAAGCCUUGAGCAGGAGAUCGAUGAUCUAAAGGAGCAAAAUACUAUCCUCGAGCGUAAAUUGAGGAAGAAGCCUACAUCAUCAACAACUCCUUCUUCAGCACCUCCGAUGACAUAAUCACAUGGGUAUGGGCACUCCCCUUGGCAACUGCCAAGCUUGGGGGAGGUGCCCCGGUAUCGUAUCACCAUUACACUCCUAUCUUUACCGUUUUACUUAGUUCAGUCCUUUUAGUAAUAUCUUGAUCUGGUAGAAUAAAGUUUUGGUAUGAAUUAGUUUUUGAGUUUUGCUUUGUGAUCUCUUUAUGUAAUCGAGUCCGUGAGCUAUCUAUAAUAAAGAUUAGUGUUGAGUCAAGGGCUUUGCUAUCUUGCUAUGAUCUUGAGAAAAUAGAAAGAAUAAAAAGAAAUAAAAGAGUUCAUAUUGAUCUUAUGGAUAGUAAUGACCUCACAUAUAAAGAGUAUGAGGCAUAAAAGUUGUUGAGAGUUGACAAACAUAGUUUUGGUCAUCGUUGCAAUUAAUAGGAAGUAAUAAAGAAAGAGAAGCUUCACAUAUAAAUAUACUAUCUUGGACAUCUUUUAUGAUUGUGAGCACUCAUUAAGUAUGACAUGCUAAAGAGUUGAUGUUGGACAAGGAAGACAACGUAAUGGUUUAUGUUUUCUCACAUCUCAGUUAAAGUAUAUUGUCAUGGAUCUUCUUAACAUGUUGAGCUUGCCUUUCCCCCUCAUGCUAGCCAAAUUCCUUGCACCAAGUAGAGAUACUACUUGUGCUUCCAAAUAUCCUUAAACCCAGUUUUGCCAUGAGAGUCCACCAUACCUACCUAUGGAUUGAGUAAGAUCCUUCAAGUAAGUUGUCAUGUUGCAAGCAAUAAAAAUCGCCCUUUAAAUAUGUGUGACUUAUUAAUGCGGAGAAAAUAAGCUUUAUACGAUCAUGUGAUAUGGAAGUAAUAAAAGCGACGGACUGCAUAAUAAAGGUUCAUAUCACAAGUGGAAAUAUAAAGUGAUGUUCUUUUGCAUUAAGAUUUUGUGCAUCCAACCCUAAAAGCACAUGACAACCUCUGCUUCCCUCUGUGAAGGGCCUAUCUUUUACUUUAUGUCUUUUAUAUUAUGUAAGAGUCAAGGUGAUCCUCACCUUUCCCUUUUUCAUUUUAUCCUUUGGCAAGCGCCUCGUGUUGGAAAGAUCCUGAUAUAUAUAUCCAAUUGGAUGUAAGUUAGCAUGAGCUAUUAUUGUUGACAUCACCUAAAGGUGAAUACGUUAGGAGGCGAAAUUAUAAGCCCCUAUCUUUCUCAAUGUCCGAUUAAAACUCCAUAACCAUAAGUAUUGCGUGAGUGUUAGCAAUUGUAGAAGACUAUAUGAUAGCUGAGUAUGUGGACUUAUUGAAAAGCUCUAUCGUUGACUCUUUCCGAAGUUAUGAUAAAUUGCAAUUGCUUCAAUGACUGAGAUUAUAGUUUGUUAGUUCUCAAUGAAGUUUCUGAACCAUACAUGACAUUGUGAAUAGAUUGUUACUUGAGCAUAAGAAAUCCUAUGACAAAAUCUAUAUAUGUUGCUGUUUUGAGAAUGAUCAUGAUGCCCCCAUGUCCGUAUUUUAUUUUUAUCGACACCUCUAUCUUUAAACAUGUGGACAUAUUUUUUCGAUAUCGGCUUCCGCUUGAGGACAAGCGAGGUCUAAGCUUGGGGGAGUUGAUACGUCCAUUUUGCAUCAUGCUUUUAUAUCGAUAUUUAUUGCAUUAUGGGCAGUUAUUACACGUUAUGUUACAAUACUUAUGGCUAUUCUCUCUUAUUUUACAUGGUUUAUCAUGAAGAGGGAGAAUGCCGGCAGCCGGGAUUCUGGGCUGGAAGAGGAGCAAAUCUUGGAAACCUAUUCUGCACAGCUCCAAAAGUCCUGAAACUCCACGAAAGUCAUUUUUGGAAUUAUUAAGAAUUAUUGAGCAAAGAAAAUACUAGAGGGGGCCCACACCCUGGCCAGGAGGGUGGGCCCCCUACUGGGCGCGCCCCCUGUCUCCUAGGCCCCCUGGUGGCCCUCCGGUGCCCAUCUUCUGCUAUAUGAAGGCUUUUACCCUGGAAAAAAUCAUAAGCAAGCUUACGGGAUGAAACUCCGCCGCCACGAGGCGGAACCUUGGCGGAACCAAUCUAGAGCUCCGGUAGAGCUGUUCUGCCAGGGAAACUUCCCUCCGGGAGGGGGAAAUCAUCACCAUCGUCAUCACCAACGAUCCUCUCAUCGGGAGGGGGUCAAUCUCCAUCAACAUCUUCACCAGCACCAUCUCCUCUCAAACCCUAGUUCAUCUCUUGUAUCCAAUCUUGUAUCCAAAACCACAAAUUGGUACCUGUGGGUUGCUAGUAGUGUUGAUUACUCCUUGUAGUUGAUGCUAAUUGGUUUACUUGGUGGAAGAUCAUAUGUUCAGAUCCUUAAUGCAUAUUAAUACUCCUCUGAUCAUGAACAUGAAUAUGCUUUGUGAGUAGUUACGUUUGUUCCUGAGGACAUGGGUGAAGUCUUGCNNNNNNNNNNNNNNNNNNNNNNNNNNNNNNNNNNNNNNNNNNNNNNNNNNNNNNNNNNNNNNNNNNNNNNNNNNNNNNNNNNNNNNNNNNNNNNNNNNNNNNNNNNNNNNNNNNNNNNNNNNNNNNNNNNNNNNNNNNNNNNNNNNNNNNNNNNNNNNNNNNNNNNNNNNNNNNNNNNNNNNNNNNNNNNNNNNNNNNNNNNNNNNNNNNNNNNNNNNNNNNNNNNNNNNNNNNNNNNNNNNNNNNNNNNNNNNNNNNNNNNNNNNNNNNNNNNNNNNNNNNNNNNNNNNNNNNNNNNNNNNNNNNNNNCCCAGGAAUAGGGACAGAUGGGGCUCCAUGUGGCCGCUGCCGCUUGCCCAGGCAGGGGGGCCUUUUGUCCCGGUUAGUGCCACCAACCAGGACCAAAAGGCUUCCACGUGUCAGCACUUCAGGGGCUGGGUCUUUUUUUCUGAAAGGGGGGGGGGGUUUGGGGGGUUUUGUAGGGUUAAUUUAGGGGUUUCAUAUAUUGUGUUAGCUAGCAAAUAGAGAGAAAUGUCCUGUCUAAUCUCCGUGCUUGGUCGACGCUACGUAUAGAGAGGACUCGACACGCUAGCUAGCUAGUAAGCAAAUGAAGGAAACCAUUAAGUAUAGAAGAUCGUCAUGAACAUAUGCAUAGAGAGAAGUGAACAAUCUCUCCUUCUCCAAUAGAUUGGUCGAACAACAAGUUUUCGUAUAUCUAUCCGACGCUACUGGCUACAUAUAUAUAUACAAUAUAAGAUCUCUUACGUCCCCUAACAUCUGAACUCAACUUCCACAUGGUAUUCUCCGUGUUUGUCGAUGACGUGGUCAAGAAAGAAUCCCACAAAUUCCUCUUGAAUUGCUCGUAUGCGAUCUUGUGGUAGGAGUUCAUCCCGCAUCUGCCAAUCUAAUUUCAAGAAGGGGGUCAAUAUAUAUAUAUAUGAAUGAAACUGAACACAAAUCAUGGUAAUAAAAUAAAAUUGUGAAUAUUAUUGCUUACGCACUUCAUAUUGUUGUUUAGAGUAGCCCCCCUCACAGGUGGUGUGGUGGAUGAAAUCGCAAAUGUAGUGUCCACAGAAAUCAUUCCCGGGUUCCUGCCACAACCACUUUACAAGAAAUAGAGGUCAAUCAAACUGAUAAGCAAGCAUGCUAAAUGGUAUUGAUGAAACUAGCUAGAAUCAAUGGGAGAUGCACGGAACUAGGUAGGCUAGCACUUACUUUCGGGUGGUUAAAUCACAGCUGCACCGGCAGUCCCGGAGCUUGUGCGGUGAACUUUUUGCAAACCCUGCCAGACAAAGAAAACAAUUACUUGAUAUCAGGAAAUGAACAAAGUUGCCGAUAUGGUGCGAUAAUGAUCGAUUGAACUUACUUCUCGCGCAUUUUAGUCACGGUCGCAUACUCCUCCGGAUUUUUUCGUUUGGAGUCUAUGACGGUUACCAGUCCCUGCUCAAGCUUAAUCUCUAGCAGAGUAAAGUGGAAGUUACGCACGCAUGCAUAACUCAUCAAUUACAUUACCAUAACCUCGAGUAAUAAGGGAAACCGAAUAUGCACAAGACAGUAACACUCACUUGUAUUCUUAAGGAAAGAGUAUUGUAGCUUUGUUUUGAUUUCGAAGUACGAUGCGAGCAAGUUGGCCUCGGUUUCUCUGGCAGAAUGUUUAACACUUCAUUCAUCCAUGAGAUUUAUGUUAAUGAACCCAAUAUCACCUACUUGUCUGUUCUUCAAUUCUGCGAUCUUCAAUCUGCAUAAUAUAGUGAGGAUAAUUGUAUAUACAUGCAAUGAAAGAGCUGAGCUAUAUAUAGAGACUUAAUUAAUUACAGAGAAGUAGUACUUAUAAACAGUAGCAAGUGAUGAUUGUUUUAUCGAGGGCCUUUUGAUUGAAAAACUAGAAGAACUCCUCAUAUGGAACUAACAACACAUCAAUUCCAACGAGGUCGUGCUCCUCUUUAACUCUCAGCGACAAAGUAUUUUUCCCAGACUUCCUGCAGAUGUCCAUGUACCAAUCAUGGAAUCUUCGCAUCACCAGGUCUGACGAGAGGCUUCCCGUGCUCGAAUCUUAAUGUGUCCACCUCCAUUGUUUAAAAAAAUUGCAUCGUUGUCGGUCAUGUAAUCUCUAGGAUUGGUACCGGGCAACAUCCCCGAAAGAUUAGCGACGAUAUCGCUAGACACAUUGAGAGAGGGGCACGAUUGCUUCGCUUGUUCGCCGAGCUGGGGAAUUUUUUCCCUUCUUCGUUCUGCUAGCCUUUGCCGAGCUAUACUCCUAGACGCCGGAGCAGCCGGAGCGGCUGCAGUUGUCUUCUUUCGUUGCUAAAGAAGCGGAGUAGCCGGAGGCAGACUGCUACGACGCGCCAGAGCAGCCGGAGCGGCGGCGUCUGUGUUCCGUCAUCGCUUACGAGGCGGCGAAGGAGGAGGCGGACUGCUCGGACGCGCCGGAGCAGGCGGAGAAGGUGGCGGAGUACUACCGCCCUCACGUGCCGGAGCAGGAGGCGGGCUGCUCGGACACGUCGGAGCAGGCGGAGAAGGAGGCGACUGCCGCCCUCACGCGCCGGAGCAGGAGGCGGAGGGCCGUGAUCACUCGCCGGAGGAGGAGGAGGAGGCGGAGUGCCCAGCUGACUCGUCGGAGCCCUGAAGUUCAGAAGGUUGAUGUGCUGCUUCCGCAAUAGACACAGAGUCUUCAUAGCAAGACCUAGCUGAGUCUCCCCAUCUCCUGUAGGGUGGUCAAGCUGGAGCUCCUAAAAUCCCUCCGUUAUUUCGUCCACCAUCACAACAGCAUAGCCUUGUGGAAUCGGACUGUAGUGAAAAGUUGCUCCGGGUGAAGGAGGGAACACAGAGCCGACAGCCGCCUUGACUUUGAGUUGAAGCCAUUGCGUCAUAAGGUGGCACUAGUGUGAAUCCGUGAUAAAAUCCACGGGGUAGCUAGGACCCGUCAAGUCAGGCUGCUGAACAAGCUCGGUGGAAGCCACGCUGCUUCUCCGCUGAGAUGGCGGGGUAACUUCUGGGGCAGGAUCUCGCAGCUGCUGGUUCUCAACAUCUCGUUCCUCUAGCUUUCUUACCCUUGCAUUAAGCUCCUGUAGUUCGCUCUGCUCCACUUUCCUCCUCCUCUCUUGGGUUUUGUAACUGCCUGCGUCGGGAAACCCAGCCUUCCACGGAACGGAGCCUGGCGUGCCUCGUAUUCGUCCAGGGUGCUCAGGAUUCCUGAGGGCCCUUGUGAGCUCGUCGUUCUCUCUGUCGGGAACGAACUUCCCUUCCCGCACUUCGUUGAUUUCUUUCCGAAGCUUCAUGAUGGGUGUUGCAAGUUGCUCGUUGGUCCAGCAGUACUUCCCUGUUUCAGGGUCCAAUGUUCCACCAGCCCCGAAGAACCAAGUCCUACAACGGUCUGGCCAGUGCAAUGUCUCUGGUUCGACUCCUUUAGCAAUCAGGUCCUGCUCAGCCUUGUCCCACAACGGCCGGGCUUUGAGGUAGCCACCUGACCCUGUGCGAUGGUGAUGCUCCUUCUUUGCAGCAUUUGUCUUGUUAGUCGCUAACAUCUUCUUACUCCUCUCCGAUGUCCUGUUGGCCACAAAUGCGGGCCAGUGAUCUCUUAUCUUCUCAAAUCGGCCGGUGAAUUCUGGAGUCUUGUCUUGGUCGACAUACGUUGUUUUCAACUCAUUCUUCCACCUCCUGAAUAGAUCUGCCAUCUUCUUGAGAGCACAGGACUUGAUCAAUGGUUCUAUAACUGGAUUCUCCAGAUCCUCCUCUUCCGGUAGGGUGAAAUUUACCUUCAGCGCUUUCCAAAGAUCUUCUUUCUGUCUAUCUUCGACAAAAGAAACUUGAAGCUCUUCCUUCUUAGGCUCAUUCCAUAGCUCGAUGCUGAUCGGGAUCAUGUCCCUAAGAAGAACCCCGCACUGAGCAGAAAAUGCUUCCUUGGUCCGGAGGGGUUUAAUCGGUUGGCCAUCGCGCACGAUUUCUGUGAUCGUGAACCUUUCAUCCGGGCGCAACUUUUUCUUUGGGCCUCGUUUCUUUACUGAAGUAUUGCUUGAUCCGGAGGGCUGUAUAAAAGAAGAAAGAAGAGUUAAUAUAUGUACAUACCAAAACAAUUAAUGCAACAAUUAGCUAGUCAGCACAGGCUUAAUAACUCAUGCCACCCAUAUUCAACUGGACAUAUGUGGCUAGAUCUUUCCUCACCACAUGAUGCCUGCCAAAGGAGAAAAGUAAAAAGGAAUAGAGAGAAAAACUUUGACUCUUGCAUAAAAGUAAAAGAUAGGCCCUUCGCAGAGGGAAGCAGAGGUUGUCAUGCGCUUAUUUGUUUGUAUGCUCAACCCCUUAAUGCAAAAGAAUGCCACGUUAUAUUGCCCCUUGUGAUGGCAACUUUUAUUAUGCAGUCUCUCGCUUUUAUUCUUUGCUAUCACAUGUUCGUACAACGCUCAAUUUUCUCUUACACUAAUGAUCUCACACUUUUAGAAUAGGUGACCAUCGACUUGCAACUAGGGGGGUGUGUGUGUUUAUUCGUGGCCCCCAGUUUGCAACUUGACCAUCGACUCACAACUAGGGUGUCUCUGUGUGUGUGUGUGUGUGUGUGUCAAGGGGUCCCCAGUUGCAAGCCGCUCAUCGACUCGCAACUAAGGAUGUGUGUGUGUCUUUUUGUCAAGGGGUCCCCAGUUGCAUCUCAACCAUUGACUCACAACUAAGGGGUCCAAAGUUGCAAGUAGCGGAGUGCGUGUUUGUUGAGGGUCCCAGUUGCAAGCCGACCAUCGACUCGCAACUAGGAGCGGGACGGGGGUGGUGUAUUCGUGUGUUUGUCAAGGUCCCUAGUUUUUGCGAGUCUAUCAUCGAGCCGCAACCGAAGAGGAGGGGGAGAAGUUUGUUUGUACAAGCCCCUGUUGCUAGCCGAGCAUCGACUUGCAACUAGGGGGAGGGGGAGGGGAAAUUUUGUUUCUGUACGAACCCUUAUUUUUUUGCAUGUCAACCACUGAAAUCACGAUUGAGAGGUGCCGGUGUCUGUGUGUGUUUGUUGAGGACCGAUUCAACCAGUUCCAAGUCGAUGCUCGACUCGCAUUUUUUUUACAACUAUUUCCAUUUUUUUGAUAAUUUUUUUCCUUUUUUGAUGGAACAAAUCAAAGGAUUUUCUACUUUGUUUUUAAUAUAACUACAUUUUGUAAAAAAAAAUAUAAUCCCUAGUCUUUACUAUGAUCAAUAUUCUAUAAUAAUUAUUAAAGUAUUUUUUAUAUCAAAUAUUCUUACAUGGUAUGAUCCCGUGUAUGUUUUUUACACAAACAACCUUUUGUGUAGGAGCAUAAAGGCCAAUUUUUGAACUCAACUGCAUUAUAAUUUUUUUUGAGGGUUUUUCUGCAAGAUGUCCAAAGUUUGCAACGGAUAACACCAGGUUGUGCGGCUCUGCUUCUAUCUCUUUUCGGCCGCCACUGUUUGAAUCGGUGGGAGAGAAGCUGGGCAGAGUCGGGGGUGUGUACAUCAAAGACGAUGGCCUGUGAUGUCGCCGCCGACGAGCCACCCGCCAUCCACACCGUAUUGGAGCUUCGCGCGCUCGACAAGGCCCCGCCGUCUGCCACGUCCAGGAGCCCCGCGUGCCCGACAAGUCCCCCACCGUCUGCACCGUCCGGGAGCUCCGCGCGGGCGACGCGCCGUCCGCCAUGGGCAGGGCCCCCGAUCUCUGCGCCGGUGACACAGAGCACGCGACACACGAUCGAGUAAGACCAAGUCCACAUCACGCUAUCUCGAUUAUGUUUUUUUUUCAUUUGUAGGCAGAGUUCCACUUUGGUUCCACUCUGUUCAACUCAGCGCCGCGAAUUGAACUGUAGAAUGCGUCGUCUUGCUGGUGAAUUUUGUGUAGGUCACGUUGGAGUAGGGGGUUGGGCAGCAGGGGGAUGAGGAUUUUGAUUCAUUGAGCCAGGAUUUUCUAUUUGAUUGAAGUCUGUAUCUGCUAGAGAAAUUGUACAGCAAGUCUGAAUUUGUUAGAUUCAGAGUACCAUAGCAUUUCUGAACUUUUUUAUAGUGUGCUUAUGUGGCAAGGGGGGUGAUUUUAGGUGUUUAUCCCUAGGAGGGGCUUUUUAUGGUGAUCAAUGUGUUUGAACAGACUAGCCGUUCAGCCAUCUCAAUGCCAUUGCAGCACAAACACCAGCACCUAAGCUACUUGUAUGUGCAGAUGUCCCAGUUGUCCUUGUUUUGAUUGGCUUAUUUUAUGGAACAUCAUUCUCUGUGUAGAUGACAUCACAAUUCACAACAAUGUACUACUUAGUACAGCCGGGAUGGUUACCGGAUUACUUAUGACACUUUUUUUUUCAAAAAGGCCCAACAAUGACAACCAAAACAAACAACGACAAAAAAACUAACAAGGUAAAAAAUGACAAUAAAAAAGGACCGUUAUUGUGUUUUUUUACCUAGGAUAAGGAUAGUGCAGGCCUGCCAGGGAAACGGGAUGGGACAAGAAAAAGGGAUGUCAUGCAUACGUCAUCUGAAUAAGACCAUUUUAUGUCUCAUUCGAAUGAGUUCCAGGCGCUCCCAUUAUUGUUUUUCAUGUCUGCAAAGUCUCCCUAUCUGCCUUAUAUUAUAGAUAGAUAGAUAGAUGGAUCAAACAAGUCAAAAUCUGCUACGGCUAACAAGGGCAACACACGAAUAGGAGGACGCGAUCACAUCCUAAUAAUUUAUACUAACUACUGUAUAUCACAAGGGACACAAAUAAACUUUGCUAAUACUAAUAAAUAAAAAGAGUUCCUUUUGGAUCUGAAUCCAGAUGGAAACCGAGCCCAUUCCUUUUCUUUCUAGCACGAUUACACAUGGAAGGAAUCCCGUGAGCCCAAGGACAUACCCUACCACUGGGCGGAGGAGGAAAGGGCCGCCGGCGGGGAGUGGUUGUCGCUGGCGGCGGCGGCGGCCGAGAAGGGCUCAGCUGGCGGCGGCCUUCCCAAAGGAGAUCGGGUCAGUUAGGGUUUUUCUUUUUUUCACAACAUGGCCUCCCUCGACCACGACAAAACCUGCAAGCACUGUAUUAGACGAAACGGGCUAAACGUUGUUAAUUCAGUUCGGUCUGGGCUUUACCCUUUUGUGUCUGGUUUCGGCCCAUGGAUGCCUGGUUUCUAGUUACUCAAAAAAAGGACAACUGGUUUCUCGAAAUAAAAUAAAAUUGGUAGGUCGAAAAUUUGAAGAAAAUAACCCAAAUUUGAGCAAUUUUGCAACAACUUCCCUUUUAUUACCUUUUGGUCACUCAUCUGCAUCAAAAAUGGCAAAAUAUAACCUUUCUUUACAAUUAGUUAGGUCGAACAUUUUAUCUAGGCCCUGCAAAAAGAACAUUUUAUCUACGAAUAAAGUGUGCACAUGGGCAAAAUGGACAAGAAUAACCUAGAGGCGAAACAAAUUCACAUAAUAAAAUCUCCUCAAAAAUUAUUUGACAGAGGUAACCCUUUCGGGUAGCGUCCAACUCGUGGAUGCUAUGCUUUGUGCCGUAGCGCUAUUCUGAUGGGCGAUACACGCCUUUGCCAGCGUGGCGUCACGGGGCCAGGAUGGGCCCCACCCCUGGCUAAGUAGCGCCUGAGGCUCGGGCGCUAUCCUACCUCGCAUGGGGCCUCUCUGUCAAGCGCUAUACUGCCACUUAGUAACCGGCGCGAGCCGGCCCUCCCGCCCGCUCGCACACCCCUUCCACAAAGAAAGAGGAUGAGAGGGGUGGCCGCGGUUUCCUAUCUCUCCCCAGGAUUUGAAUUUUUUUUCUCCGUGGAUUUCAACUCUAGUCCCUACCACAAGGUAUUCUCCGCCGCAUCCCUCCUUUUCAUGUGAAAAAUCCUUGCCAUUGUUUAUCCUUGUGCAAGUUAAUUUGGGUGAAACCCUAGCUAGUUCUUUAUGGAUUCAAAUUUUCUAUGAGAAACUGAAAUAAUGUGGCGGUGAUUUAGGCUUUGUAGACGAGUUGUAAUCAUAGGGGAACAUGUGUGUUGUUGAUUUGUAUUGUGAAUCAUGUUGCAGAGGAUUUUGUGUCUAUGUAUGAAAUAAUACUCACAAAAGCCUUCUGCACCAGCUCAUUCCGAUUGUGCACCGGCUCAUUCUUCUUGCCGUACAAGCAGUGUAUCCGGGGUUCACCCCUGCUUGUGAAUAAAAAUGUGUCGCUAUUUCUCGCACACAACGCUGUCCCGUUUUGGAACGACCGACCUUAUUCUGGGUGCAAGGAGCCAAAUGCCGGGGUCCGAGGAUGAGAGCGGACGCCAAGGCCAAGUCCUAACAACAUCUUUAGCAGACCCCGUAUAAAGCCGCGACCGUAAAAUAACCGCCAAAAUACGAGUCGGCGCGGAAAAUCCCGCCCGACCAGACCCAGCAACACGUUCGACCCGUAUGUUUUUUGAGGGGCGCGGCAAAAUCCCAUCCUCAACCCGCGAAAACGCAGGUUUUUGCCCCGCCCCUACGGUGCCCCGUAUCCCAGGAAAGCGGUUGGCGGGAGGGACAUUUCAGCCUGCGCUCUUUCCCCACCCCCUUCCGCCGCCGCUCGCCAUUGGUUCCGCCCGUCCGCCGACGGUGAUUCCGGCCAAACCUGCGGACGCAAGCGGGCCACGGGGGCGCCCCUACCCUCUUCCGCCGAGCCGCUGCCCCGGCUCCCCGGAUCCGCCGAUCCGAGUCGCCCCUAACCGCCGUCGCCACCCGGGAUCCGCUGCCCAGGAGCCACCCCUAGUCGUCGCCGCCGCCUCCGCAUCCCCUGUCGGAGAGCCACCGCCCCGAGCAGCCGGUGUGUAUGUACUUGUGCUAGUGCCGAUCGGUAUGCGUUGUUAAUUAACGCGGCAUGCGUGUUUGUGAAUUUAGAUGGAAUUGAGCCCGUGCGAGAAGUUUUUACUAGACGAUUCGUCUGAUUCGGACGACUCGGAUGUUGAGACGCUGCUUGUCAACUACUGCCAGCAGAUGUUGGUGAUGGCCCUUGCUGUCAAGGAGCACGAAGAUGAGAACCGAAAGAGGCGGCGAUGAUCGACCGUCGGACGUCUUUGCAUUCCUCAAAAUCGCCAUCUCGAAAACGAGAUAUUGAUGCAAGACUACUUCACGGACAGUCCAACAUAUCCGCCGCACCUCUCCCGAAGAAGGUAUCGAAUGCGCCGAUCCCUCUUUGUGAAAAUUGUGCAAGCUUGCGAGGCCAAUUGUCGGUAUUUUACUCAAAGAAGAAAUGCUGCUGUUGACACCACAUUUUGGCAUGACAUAAAAGGCAAAUAAGAUGACGUCGAGUGAAAGGGUUUUCAGCGUGAAAAGUUUCACGUCGCCGAGUGGAACAACUUUGUUGUUUCGGUUAUCGUCAUCCGACCUUAUCUUAGGGACCGAAAUUGUACUCCGAGUGGCAGGAUUUAGUGUUCUGAGUGGUUUUCGGCCGAUCACACUUUCAAGACGGCCUCGGAUGAAGGAGCACUCUAAAGGAAAUGUCUUCGUCUUGUCGAGGCAAUCGAUUUUGAUAUAUAAAUUAUCUCAAUCCUAGUUCAUAUGCAAAAGUUAGAGACAAUACACUACAGACCGAACCUAAACGAAAAUAUGGCGCGAAGUACCAGACACCCUGUCUGAUGGGUCGCGUGAGCAAUUAGGCCCUCAAGAUGGCCUUGAAUCGAAAAUCCUUCAACACGGAAAAGUUUCGUCUCGUCGAGAAGAUCGAUUUUCAUAUAUAAUAUGUCUCAAUUCGAGGUCGUAUGAGACCUGGAGAGACAAAUCAAGAUCAGGCUAUGUUUUCAGUCGGGAAUUCCGAGUGAAAACUUACCGAUCGAGUGAAAGUUUGCCGUCUGGGUGAACUUAUUUUCAUCCGAGUGAAAAUAUUGUUAUCCAAGUGAAAAGAUUACCAUCGGGAUGAAAGCUUGCCGAUUGAGUAAGAGAUUGCCUUCCGAGUGAAAAUAUAGUCAUCCGAGUGAAAGAUUGUCUUCCGAGUGAAAAUUUUGCCUUCCGAGUGAAAAAGUCCAGUCGGACGAUCCGAGUGAAUGACUCUAAUAUCCGAGUGGAUGAGCUCGAAUCCGAGGGAAACUGAACAUGUGCCCGAAAGUUUAUCAAGAUUACCUCGGAUGGAGAAGUGUUCAAUACGGAAGUUGUGCAUAUUGUCAAAACGGUAAACUUUGGUUUUGGAGUCAUCAUCAUCAGAGAUAGUAUAUGGCCUGCAAAUUCACUACGAGACUCGGACAAUCCAGUCUGCUGCAAGACCGAGUCCGACUGGAAGGUAAAGUUGACCUCGAAAAGUAUUCAAGAUGGCCUUAUUUGAAAAAGUGAUCAACAUGAGAGUUGUUCGUAUCGUCAAGGCGCACAAGUUUGAUAUUUGGGUCGUCUUGAUCGGAGAUCAUAUGCAAGCUCGACGGCCCGCGCAAGGAGGAAGACAGAAGUUGGGCCAGAUUCAGACUGAAUCCGAGUUGGAAUAGAACUAGGACUCUAGGACGUGAAUUGAUGUAAUUUUUUGUAAGGAAAUCCUAGAUGAAUCCUUUACUUGUACGGGAAGUCCAGCCGCCUCUUAUAUAUGUUGGGGUGAUGGUCGAUUGAACAAAACCAAUCGAACCAAUCAAUCUAUUACACUUUUGUGUUCAUCUAUCUUUAUCGCCUACCCUUGUAUCUUUCUUUCUCGUUCUUCAUUCGUUCUUCGCAUUGGAGGGCAGCGAUCCAUGAGGCUCUAGGGGCGAGCGAAUCAACCUAGGGCAGCCCAUAGCCGCCGCACUCCCUGACGGGGUCCCUCCCGGGCUUGUGGGGUUUCGGGUCUUCAAAAGCGCCCGCCGACUGUCCUGCGUAUCGCGCUGUCGGUCGGGUCUCCUUCGACGUGAGUUGUGGUGCAUCACCCCCUGCGUAGAGGGUACACGUGACGUGUUCGUGUGUCAACAGCUGCGGGCUUGAAGGGAUUUAGUGCAUAUCAAAAAUCUCGGCAGCUAUGUGGGUAAUUGCAUACGGCAUUCCGGCUGACUAUGCCGAUGAGUACCUUCGCAUUGGUGAAGAUGCUACAAUUGAGUCAGUGCGUAGGUUUGCCAAGUGAUCAUCCGUGUCUUUGGUCUUGAAUAUCUUCGGGCACCCAACGAGGAAGACACAAAAAAAUUGAUGGCAGCUAAUGAUAGAAGAGGUUGGCCUGGCAUGCUAGGUAGCAUAGAUUAUAUGCAUUGGACAUGUAAAAAUUGCCCAAAGGCAUGCCAGGGAAUGUAUUGUGACAAGUCUCGUGAUGCAACAAUUUUGCUAGAGACCGUAGCAUCCGAGGAUUUAUGAAUUUCGCAUUGCUUUUUUGUUAUGCCGGGUACUCUCAAUGAUAUCAAUGUGUUGUAACGGUCUCAUUUGUUUGCUAGGCUUGCUCGUGGUGAUGCUCCUGUUUGCAACUACACUAUCCAUGGGCAUGAAUACACAAAGGGGUACUAUCUUAGAGAUGGUAUAUACCCUCUUUGGUGCACAUUUGUCAAGAGCAUCAGAGAGGCCCAAACUAGGAAAUAAUGUGAAUUCACAAGGGUACAAGAGGCAACCCGAAAAGACAUUGAAAGAGCAUUCAGGGUUUUGCAAUCUAGUUUUGCCAUUGUUUGUGGUCCUGCUCGUUUUUGGGACAAGUGAACCUUGAAAAACAUCAUGACAUGCUCUGUUAUUCUUCACAAUAUGAUAAUCGAAGAUGAGAUAGGCAUGAACUUGGAGUUCUUCUACUACAAUGUGGGUAGCCGUGUCAAACCAGUUAGAGACCCUAAUCGCACUAGAGCUUUUCUUCAGACCUACAAGGAGAUUGAACAUGCAAACACCCACUUUUAGCUUUAGGAGGAUCUCAUUGAGUACCAUUGGCAAAGGGCUGGCCAGUAACACAUUCCAUUUUUCCAUUCAUUUUCAUUUAAUUCAUUUGUGAUUUGUAUUCGGGACAAGUUUUGUAUUGAAUUAUUCAGUUUGCUUCGGUGAUUUGAAUAAUUAUAUUAAUUUGGAUAAUUGUUGUAUCGUCAAAUUGACAUUUUUCCUUAUAUUGCAAAUUAGCAAUUCUGAAUAUGUGCAUAUGUGUCAAAUUCAGAUAAAACCGCAAACGACUUUGCAGGCCGACGCGGUUGGGCACAGAGUAAGACACCGCAUAGCGGAACUGUAAAAUGGAAUAUCCGCGAGUAUUCCUUUUUACAGUUCGGUUUUGCGGGGUCUGACUCUGCGCCCGCCCGCGCCUUUUUCGAUGAUCUGUAAACGUGUUUUGUGUGUCGGCGUUAUACGGGGUCUGAUAGAGAUGCUCUAAGUCUUUCACAGCUCCCGGAAGCAAAACUAGCUGCUAGAGUGCAUUGUUCCGUCAUCCAAUUUUGACCGAGUCAACAAUUUCUCAAAGCUCUCUCAUCCAAUUCUUUUAUUCUAUACACUAUGCUUCUUAAUUUUUGAAGGCGCAUAAUUAAUUGAGGUAUUCAAUUUAGAUUUGGGUCAUCCAGUUUUGACCUGGUCAACAAUUUCUCAAGCUACCCCAUUAAAUUCUUUUAGUUCACUAUGUUCCCUGAUUUUGAAGCUCUUUCAUUCAGGUAUUCAAUUUUGUAUUUGGUUUACGAUUUUAACUGUGCCAAUGAUUUUUCAAAUCAAUCACCAGCAACCGGCUUAUAACAACAUAAUAAUCCGGUGCACCUUCCCACCACCUGGAAAAAGAAGUGUCAUCAUGUGAUAUUGUAGCACUAAUAUAGUACAUAUGCAGCCAUCGACACAAAAAUUUCCCCACAUAAAUAUAGCUUGGUUAGCGUAUAACACAUAAUCACACCAGGAAAGGCCCACCAAAUCAACGCGUUAUGAAUAAAAAUAAAACACACUAUCAUCUCCCGCACCCGCCAAACUAAAUAUUCCAUCAGUUUCAAAUAUAAGGGGUAUUAGUUUUUUAGAAAGUGAAAAUUAUUUAUCUUUGACCAAGUUUAGAGAAAAAAUAUCGACAUCCAUAAUAUUAAACAAAAAAGGUAUAUAAAUUCAUUUCGUGAUGAAUCUAAAAAUACUGAUUUGAUAUUAUGGUUUUUGACAUAUUUUUGUAUAAAUUAAUCAAAUAGAAAAGGUUUGCCUUUUCAAAAAGGCAAUAUACCUUAUAUGUUUAAAGAGAGUGAUUAUUUGUUGAGAAACCCAACAACACGAAUGACGUAACAAAGCGCGUCCAACCUUUCUAGUUCAGAUGAUUUUCAAAAGAAAAGUACUGAUGGUCCUCCAUGAUGCAUGGCCAUGUCAGAAGUAGAUCAGUAGAAUUUUAUCAGGAAUGACCCCGUGCAUGCAUUCCUCGUAACAUUUACUUGAACCAUCGAAAAUAAAGCUUUCUAGCUAAUCCCUUGGCACCAAUUUGUGGUUGGAUAAAAAUAAGGAGGAAUGGCCACCGUGCACCCAGAUCGACAUGUAUGUCACUUACAACGUGGGGUUGUCCAUGUAUCUCUCACGGCCACACUUUUUUCUCCUAAGCAUGCUAUUUAACCGGACAAUGGCCAGAACUCCAUCCAGAAACCAUCAUCUCCUCAUCAACAACCUCCUUCUCAACCCGUCACACGUACCUUGUGGAAGUAGUCUCAAGAAAGAAUGGCGCUGAAUACUAGGAAUGCAAUCGUUGCCGUUCUCCUCCUCGUCGUGAUGGUCGUGGCGGUCUCAACACCAGCAGUAACUGCCCAAGAGGACUGCUGGGACAAAUGUUUCAAGGACUGCAAGGCAAAAAUGGCAAUGGAAGUGUGCAACCAAAAGUGCAUUGACUUUUGCAAGUAUCAAGCUGGAGCCGGAGAAUAUGUUAAGAUGGCUGGCGAUAAACUCAAGGAGGCCAAAACUGCCUCUCCAGAACAGGCCACUAAACUCAAGAAUGAAGCUACCACCUACUUAGAACGUGCCAAAGUCCUCAGCGAUAAAGCCGUGACCCCGUGAGUGUGAGUGCGCGCUCUUUUGUCUAUCAGUGUCGCUGCUGUUAUGGUGUCUAUGGAUGUUUUAUUUAUUUACUAUUAAAUUGUCGCGGUUGCAUCCCAUAUUUUUUGGUUUCUUUCAUUUUUGUCUCUUUGUUAACAGACCGUCUUUUGUAUUAUGACGACAUGCUUGUUCCAGUGACUCCCUUUCUCUGUUUUUAUUGUCGAGAUUACUCAUGUAUAAUGGUUUUCCAUUGAUGUGGAUACAUAAUAAUAAAGAUUCUUGCUUCCUUUUUAAUGCCAUAUUCUCCUAUUUUAUCUGCAUGCAACAAGGAUUGGAAACUUGAGGAUGUGUGAAAACAAUCCGUCUACAUUCAACAACAAUUUAGGCACGCAUAUUCUAGAAAAGUAUCCGUGCAAGUUGUUGCACCUUUUUUCAGAAAAUGUUGUUCAUAUAUAUCUAAAAAACUAUCACCCUGGCAUUCACAUGUUUUCCUAAAAACAUCAUGUAAGUUGCCUGUGCGUUGUAAAAGAAGAAAUGGAAAACACCAGGAAACCACAUAAAUUAAACAGUUUUUCCUAGGAAAUACUCGCACGCGAAAACAUGGUGGCUGAGAAAAAAUAGGGCAUCUAUAAUCCCCACAGCCACGGAGGCAAUCGCGCUUAGUCUUAUUAUUAUUUUCAAGACCGAUGCUUUCGACCGGCUCAAGACCGAUGCACCGCGGUUUGGAUAAACAGAAUAUUUCCAGUCCGGUUGGGGAAAAACAACUGUACCGCUAAAAUUACACAAGAGGGUUAUGCAAAGAAGUGGUAGCCCAGUGCGAAAAUUUCUUGUUACAUUUUUUUCUCUUUUGAGAACCCGUUACCAAAUAGGAAAACUUGGCACCUCACAUUCCGUCUUGGAAUAUUUUCGUUUCUGCUAAAGGAAGAGAGAACCUGGCACCACACAUCCUGCCAGGGAAUAUCUUCACCUUUGCAGUUUCAUCAGGGAGUAUUUUCAGCUUUGGCAUUUGAACCUGAGGUGAUUUAGGUGGAACAAAUUGCCUCUGCCCACAACAUUAUUAUUUUAUAGUUCAUUACACAUUCAGUUAUGCUCUAUCUAUACCGGCCCAUUGUCUUGGAUUUUCAGAAUGUGUUAAUCGGUUGCUCCAUUCUGCAAUACAUCUGAACAAGAGACACAUGUUUUUCUUUUCUUUCGAACUGGGGCUCAUCCAGCUUCCAUUUGAUACUGUUAAUGGAAACAACACCAUACAAGCUUGACAAAGCUCUAUAUGGACUGAAACAGGCUCCCAGGGCAUGGUACUCACGACUAAUUAAGUCAGAAACUGCAAACACUUGGUUCGUUCCUUCAAAAUCCGACACAUCCGUGUUCAUUUACAAUAAGUCAAAUACCACUAUAUUUGUUCUUAUUUACGUUGAUGAUAUCAUUGUCACAAGUUCAUCUGAUGAAGCUGUGACAGGUUUGUUAAAGGAUCUGAGUGCUGAGUUUGCCCUUAAGGAUCCGGGAGACCUACAUUUCUUUCUAGGAAUUGAAGUUAAAAAACAUGGAGACAGUCUUCAUCUCUCUCAGGAAAAGUAUGCCACUGAUCUGGUAAGGAGAGUUGGGUUGCAAGGAUAUAAGCAUGCACCAACACCACUAUCUAGUACAGAAAAACUGUCACUUGGUGAGGGAGAACCCUUGAGUGAGGAAGAUAUAUAGUACCAGAUAUAGAAGUUUAGUGGGAGCACUUCAGUACAUAACUUUAACAAGGCCUGAUAUUUCUUUUGCUGUCAACAAAGUACGUCCGUUUCUUCAUGCUCCCACCAAAACUCAUUGGACUGCUGCAAAACGCAUAGUGAUAUAUGUGAAAGAUACUAUGAAUCUUUGUCUUACCUUCAACAAGUCCUCUUCCACUCUUGUUAGUGCUUUUUCUGAUUCUGACUGGGCAGGAUGUCCAGAUGACAGACGCUCCACUGGUGGUUUUGCAAUAUUCUUUGGGCCAAACUUGAUAUCCUGGUGUGCAAAGAAAGAAGCCAUGGUGUCAAGGUCAAGUACAGAAGUUGAGUAUAUAGCACCAGCUAAUGCGACAAUAGAGAUUAUAUGGGUUUAGUCCAUGUUGAAAGAGCUUGGUGUGAAGCACACUCGAAUUCCAUGUCUAUGGUGUGAUAAUCUCGGUGCUACUUAUCUAUUUGCUAAUCCAGUCUUUCAUGCCAGGACGGAACACAUUGAAAUAGACUUCCACUUUGUUCGAGAAAGGGUAGCUAAUAAGCAAUUGGAGAUUCGUUUUGUGCAUUCACGAGAUCAGGUUGCAGAUGGAUUCACAAAGGCAUUACCUACAAGGAGUCUUGAGGAAUUCAAGCGUAAUCUCAACUUAACCAAGUUGUGAUUAAGGGAGGGUGCCAAACGACACAUAUUGCAUCGUGUGAUAGCCGGCUCCACUCCUUGUAACCGAAGACUACAGAUAGGGAUAGAGAUAUAGGUAGUUUAUAUUCUCUGUUAUCUCUUGUAACUAGAUACCUCUUCCUUCCUUCCCAAGUCUGUAACCCCAACAACUUGUAUGCUGUCCAAGGAGUGGCGCCCCAGGUUAUAUAACAUGCAAGCGUCGCCCAGAGCUAGGGUACGACGUUUCCCGCAGGGCUCAUCCAGGUUCCAUUUGAUGUUGUUAAUGGAAACAACAUCAUAAACACACAAAAUGCAACAAAAUGGUAAAUCAGAAGCCUCCACACGCGGGCCUACUAAAAGGUGAUUUUGACACCUUUCUGGGAGGGCUAGCAAGGUGGGUACAAGCGAGUACGUAGUUAGCAUUUUGGGCCGUGUGGAUGUGGAGUUCUUGCAUGUAACCAUCUUGUAAGAAUAUUGUGGAUGGGGUCGUUUCUCUCCUCCUUUAACACAUGAUACACACAUUCAUGCGAUGUCUAGAAAAAAAGCCUCCACUAAUAACAGGAAAAACCCACUGAAACGCACGCUAUCGUAUCGACAAACAUCCUUAUGAGGUGAAAAAAACCUGGCGAGACUCUGACGGAGUAGCAAAGGUGCCCAAACAUCAACGUCUAUACCUGACGCAAUAGGCAAACAAAUGAAUGAAAUGAUGCAGUCGUUUGAACCUCAAAACACAGUCAUUUCAGAAUCUCAAGACUGAUGCCUUCGACCAACUCAAGACCAGCGGAAGGAGUUGGAUCAAGAAAGUGCCCUUUAGUUUGUGGUCGGCCUACACCACCCUGUGCAGGAUCACAGAGGAAAUCUGUUGGGGCAAAACCUUGCCCUAGCUCUUCCUCGAGUCUACCUCUCCCUCUCUGUCACCUCACUCUAGCAUAAACUGAUCAGAGGAAGAAGAAAGCGAAGAGUUCUUUUGAGAACUCGUGCGGGGAAUAUUUUCCUGGCACCUCACUUUCGUCCGGGAAUAUUUUCGGUUCUGCUAAAGAAAGAGAGAACCUGGCACCACACAUCCAGUCGGGGAAUAUCUUCACCUUUGCAGUUUCAUCAGGGAGUAUUUUCAGUUUUGACAUUUGAACCUCAGGUGAUUUAGGGGGAACAAAUUGCCUGUGCCCACAACAUGAUGAUUUUCUAGUUCAUUACACAUUCGGUUAUGCACUAUCUACAUACAUUGUCUUGGAUUUUCAAAAUAUGUUAAUCCGUUGCUCCAUUCUGCAAUACAUCUGAACAAGAGAAACAUGUUUUUCUUUUCUUUCGAACUGGGGCUCGUCCAGCUUCCAUUUGACACUGUUAAUGGAAACAACACCACACACACACAAAACGCAACAAAUGGGAAAUCAGAAGCCUCCAAUAAUGCUAGGAAAAACCCACUAAAACGCGCGUUAUCUUGGCGACGAACAUCCUUAUGAGGCAAAAAAAAACCUGGCGAGACACUGACGGAGUAGAAAAGGUGCCCAGACUUCAACGUCUACACCUGACGCAAUAGGCACACAAAUGAAUGAAACGACGCUGUCGUUUGAACCUCAAAAUGCGGUGCAAUCGUUUCAGAAUCUCAAGACCGAUACCCGCAAAAAAAGAAUCUCAAGAGCGAUGCCUUGGACCAGCUCAAGGCGGCUUCACACGAGCAACCAGGCCUUGUGUAAUCGAAAGAGAAGAAACAGAGCUGUUUAUUUAUUAAUUAGCGAAGUUUGUGUCCUGAGACGUAGUUAGUAAUCAUUAGGACUAGAAGAAUACACGCGCCUUGCCGUGCCGUUUUUUAUGUUUUUCGUUUUUCUUCUAGUGUGAUCAGAGUCCUCGUAUUCUUGUGGUGCCCUUGUUAGGGCAUCUUUAAUGGAGAGGCGCCUAUUUAGGCGCUUAGUAAUAGGAAAAUAUAAUUACUAAAGUUGAGUUGAUGCAGGCGUCUGUUGGGCCAACGCACGAGCGCCUAACUGAGCGCUAAUAGAAUUUAUUUUUCUUGGAAAGAAUAUCCUUAUCGCUGGUUAAAGGGGGUCAUACGAACAGAAAGGAAACAAGCGCCCGACGACCGAACUAGCAUCGAUGCCAGCCCCAAUCCCUGGAUCGAAUAGGAUUAGCCCAAAACUGCCCGGAAUAGAACCCAGACGCCUAGCCUAAGCGCCCCCGUUGUAGAUGCCCUUAGCGGACUAGCCGCAGGAGGUUUCAACUUCUUCGAUCCAUCUAUAAUAAGGCCAAUGGGAGACUUUGCGGGCACAGGAAACAAUAAUGUAAGUGUUUUCUUUGUUAGAGUUAUAUUAAGUGAUGUCUUUUGGCCUAUUGCAUUCUAGUCUCUUGGCAUCCUCUUGUAGCCUUUUGGCAUCCUCAUGUAUGUGUAUAUAUGUUGGCUCAUUUGUUUUUGGAGGUUUUUCUGUGUGCGUUUAGGGUUUGUGUUUUUCUAUAAAGACGAGACGGCGGCGGCUUCCUGAAGUUGGAAUAAGAUUCUUCCCGCCUAGUCCCCGUUCUGGUGGCGCGUCUAGCAUCAUCGGAGGGCAUGUGGAGAUGUGUCUCCGACGGAUAUCACAGGAUUCGGUCGGUGUUUGUCUUCAGUGGAUCCACAUGGAUCUGGCCUUAGUUAGUAUGUGUUCUUGUGUCUUUAGAUUGGAUCCUUCUGUUCUACUCUUCUCUUCAUCGGCGGCGAUUGUUGUUCUGGUGCGUUGGUCCUCUUGGGCCUUAGUACGACGAUUUCCCGACUAUCUACCACAACAAGGUUUGCCCGGCUCCAGUGAGGGAGGGGCGAUGAUGGCGGCGCGCCUUCGGCUCGCUCCAGUGCUUUUAGUCGUUGCUAGGUGGUCUAUGGACUUGGAUGUAAUUCUAGUGUUCUUUGUACUGCUUUGAAGAUGAUGAAUAGAUUGGAAGUUUAUCCCGCAAAAACAAAUAAUAUAAGUUGCUAUUCCCAACAUGGUAUUAGAGCUCUAAGUAUUAUUUUUCCGCACACGCAACUCGUGCUGCUCCCGAUCCAAACUCCUACACGGCCGCCGUUGUUCUCAUUCCUUCCGGUCGUGAUUUUGUUUUUGCCUGCGUCCAUCUUCAGCUACAGGAACUUCCCAUCCAAGUUAGCUUGUUGAUCCAGCAGCUGGCUAGUUGUUGCCCUCACGCGGAAUCCAUUGUUAAUCAAUUUGGUCCCGAUCGAUUUGGCCCUGGCAAGUACAAUUGACAAGAAUGACCACCUCUGAAUCAAAAUAGCACAAAAGACCAGUUGAGCCGUGGCAGCAGGCCCGACAAGCGACACGUGUCACUUGCCGCCACAGCCAAAAGCGGCAGGGCCUGCCGCUGCAGCGUGUAGCGGCACCACUUAUGUCACAGGUUUUGAAGUGAUGCGGGAACGGAAAACGGGAAUGGGCGUUGUCAUUGCACCUGCCGGCUAGGCAUGUGGCGGCAGGUUGCUGCAUGUUGUACGUCAUGAAGCGCAUACACGUCCAGUCCUAUAGCAUGCAUGCAUGUGCAGUCUGCCUCGUGUAUGUCUAGUCCUAUCAUGCAUACUUUCCUCUCUCUCUUGCUACAUGCGCAUUCCUCUUUCUUUCCUAGCACAUACCUUCUCACUCACACACAUCGCAGCAUGCAGCAACAGGCCUGCUGCCACAGCCUCCGGCGGCAGGUGCCAUGUCUAUACCCAUUUCCCGUUUUCCGUUCCCGCAUCAUUUCAAAUCUUGUGAUAUAUGGGGUGACACGUGUCGCACGUGGGCUUGCCGCCACGACUUAGCUGGUUUUUUGUGCCAUUUUGAUCCAGUGAUGGUCUUUUUUGUCUAUUGCAGUCGUCGGGUAGUCUUUUUGAACAAAAAUUCUCGCGUGGAAUCGGCUGGAUAAUAUUGGAUCCGAUCGGACUUGGUCUCAAUCGAUCCAGCCGCUGGCCGCUCGUCCUCCUCCAAGGACGCUGCCGGCCGUGGGCCUCGUCCGCGCCGCCGCUGCUUUCUGUGGCUGCCGGCCACCGGCCUCGUCCGCGCGCCGCCGCUGCCUUCUGUGGCCACCAGUAGUCGACCCCGUCUGCGCCGCUGCUGCCGACCGCCGGCCUCGUCCGUGCCACUGCUGCCUUCUGCAGCGCCACCGGUCGCCGGCCCCCUUUGCGCUGCUGCUACCGGCCGCCGGCCCCGUCCGCGGCGCUGCUGUCUUCCGCGGCUGCCUGCGGGGCGCUCACGUGGUUACGUGAGUGGCUGCUGUCGUUUCUUGUCCGGGUGUCUACUGCUCCAGAUCGCGACUCUGUCUAAUCGAUUUGGUCCUCGUUCGGCUGGCUUUUCGUCUGAUUGAUCUGCUGCUGGUUCUGGCCGCUCUCAUCUUGGCCAGAUAAGUCUUGGGUGACCUUUGCUAUUCUAAAAAAAGACAAAAAAGGAGCACCAUGUCUUUGGCGUCAUCGGGCUAUGUUGCCAUCCCGCGCUGCCCGGUGAUAUUCGAUGGGGCUAACUAUGUUGAGUUCGUUGCCUUUAUGUGCAUUCACAUGCAUGGCAUUCAUCUCUCGGGUGUUCUUUCUGGUGAGGUCCCCCGUCCUCCGCGCCCAGUACCUCCUGUGGCUCCUACCCCACCGCCGACGCCACCAGCUCUUGACGCAGACGCUUCUGAUGCUGAUAGGGCUACAACCAGGGUUGCUGUUGAUGAUGCGACUGCCGCUUAUGACCAGGAGGUCUUGGAUUAUUCAAAUGCUCUUUAUGUUUAUCGUGACGAUCUGGCUUCUUACACUGAAUGGCGUGAUGAUGACGCUCGUGCUGCGACUGUUCUCACUUCCAGUGUUUUGCCUUAGUUUGCUUCUGAGUUUAUAGGCCUCGGUACUGUCUUUCAGAUGUGGACUCAUCUUUGUCAGCGCUAUAAGCCCUUUGGUGAUGCUCUCUACUUGUGUGUGGUCCUUCAGGAGCAUGCUCUUCAGCAGGGAGACUCCACUAUUGAUGAGGUCUACACUCAGAGUUCUGCUUCUGGCGCCAGCUUGACUCGCUUCGCACUACUAUUUGUGGCACUUGCUCGUGUUGCCAGACUAUGAGGUCAGACUUGGAGUUUCAGCGCGUCUAUGAGUUCUUGUCACGGCUCCGUGGGGAGUUUGAGCCUCGACGUGCUCAGUUGUUUGCUCGUGGCCGUGUUCCUAUUUCCGAGGUGUUUUCUCAGCUUCAUGUUGAGGAGACUCGCCUCCGUGGUGCUUGUUAGCUUCAUAUUCCCUUUGUGCUCGCUGCUCGAGCUGCUACUCCACCAGUGUCUUCUCGCUCCAGUGCUCCGCCGUUACUGCCCACUCCUUCGGGUAGUGAGGCCCGCUCUUGUGAAGGCCGCUCUCAUACUCGUACUCAUAGUGACUACUGCAACAGGGAUGGUCACCUCGAGUCUGACUGCUUCAAGAAGAAGCGUGCACUACGGGAAUCUGCUUAUUUGCCGUCUGCCAUGGUAGACGCCAAAGGCCCCAAAAGCGGACGGCAAAGGCCUUUGCCGUCUGUCACCGACGGCAAACCUGCCCGGCAAAGAGAGCGACUGUAACCAGGUUAUUUGCCGUCUGCUUCCUUAAAGCAAAAGGCAAAGGCACUUUGCCGUCGGUGGUGGACGGCAAAGAAUAUGGACGGCAAAAACCGUGCGUUAGCCACGUCAGGUGGCUAACGAUAGCCUUUUCCCUUUGCCAGCUGACGACAAAACAUGCUCCGACACGUCACCCCACGUGCCUGGCAUGACAUGUGCCAUCCAGCUGCGUCGCUCGGUGAAACAGAUGCGCGUUGCCCGGUCAAACUACAGCGUCUGCCACCCCCUUGAUGACCUGUCCCGUCGACAGCUGCCUCGCCUUCCACCCUCCCCCCCGCCGCCCCGUCCCGUCGUAAGGCGCCGGCAUUAAUGAGCAGUAAUGCCAGCGCCGGCCCAACCGCCCGACACCCGUCGCCCGGACGGCUAUAAGAACCCACCCCGGCCGCCGUCCCCCCACACCCGACCUCACAACCCGACUCCUGCCGCCGACGAGAACCAGCGCCGGUGAUGGGCUACCACCAUGGCUGCAGCAGUGCUGGUGGCGACGACAACGCCCCGAGCUCCUGGCCGUCGAGCCUCGGCAACCCGGAGACGGCGGAGCUCUGCUGAUACUGCCUGCUCGUGCCGCCGGGCUACCGUCUUCCCCGGCAGUGGCACAUCUCCACCGACGGGUACCCGAAGCUCGGUCCCGGCGCGACGGUGGAGGAGCUUCGGACCCACAUCGGCGUCCGCCACAACAUCGUCGGCCGUCACGCCUAAUGGAAGGGGAAGGUGUAUGACGAGAUCAUUGCCGCCUUCCGGCUGGCGGCGGCCGGCGUCACCCCCGACCUCACGAGCGCGAGCGGUCGCCUUCGCGCCCCGGCACCGGUGGCCGGCCUGGCCUAGAGCCAUCGUGGAGCUGCCGCCGGAGCAGGUUGUCCUCCGCGAGGACGGCGACCCGGACGACAUUCCGGGCUGGCACAUCGCCCUACGGGCGUGGAAAGCGGCGGCGAGGGAGGCUGCCGAGGUUGGAGCUGCCAUCGAAGCCGCCGCGGCCAUGGCGGCAGAGGAGGCCGCGAUGGCGCCGACGGAGGACGAGGAGGCCGCGAUGGAGGGCGAUGUCGCCGUCGUGAUCGACCUGCAGGCCCCUAGUGAUGACGAUUAGCAUCGUCGCUAACUUUAAGUUUGGACUAUGUAAAAUAUAUCUAUCUAUGUACAAUAUAUCUACCUAAGUUUUAAUUUGGACUAUGUGGAAUGAAAAUGCAAUCUAAAUAUAUAAAUAUAUAUAUAUCUAAGUUUUAAUUUAGACUAUGUGUGCGUGGGACACCAGGCGGCGGGGCCUUAGUGGCGGGGCGUCGGUGGCAGCGGGCGGUGGGGCGUCGGUGGCNNNNNNNNNNNNNNNNNNNNNNNNNNNNNNNNNNNNNNNNNNNNNNNNNNNNNNNNNNNNNNNNNNNNNNNNNNNNNNNNNNNNNNNNNNNNNNNNNNNNNNNNNNNNNNNNNNNNNNNNNNNNNNNNNNNNNNNNNNNNNNNNNNNNNNNNNNNNNNNNNNNNNNNNNNNNNNNNNNNNNNNNNNNNNNNNNNNNNNNNNNNNNNNNNNNNNNNNNNNNNNNNNNNNNNNNNNNNNNNNNNNNNNNNNNNNNNNNNNNNNNNNNNNNNNNAGAGAGAAGGGGGUGGGAAACAGAGAGAGGAGAGAGGUGGUAGACAGAGAGAGAUAAGAGAGAGAGGAAAGGGGGUGGGGGCGGCGGGGCAGCGCGUUAGCGACGUUAGGAAGAUUUUUCUUUGUUGUCCGCUAGCUGAUUGCAAUGUAUCUUUGUCAUUAGCUAGCGGACGGCAAAGAGGUGGGGGGACGGGCCGUCAGAGUGGCCGCUCUCCACUGGGCCCACCGGUAUCUUUGCCGUCAGCUAGCGGAUGGCAAAGAACUAGCUGACGGCAAGCUGCCUCUUUGCCGUUCGCCAGAUCUUUAUCGUCCGCUAUUUGUGAGCUGACGGCAACGACCUUCUUUGCCGUUAGCAAGCUGACGGCAAAAUCUCUGUUUCCAGUAGUGGUGAUAUGCGUAAUAGGGAGCACAAUUCUUCUUCUGGGACUCGUGCUUCUUCCUCGACGUUGUCUACUCUCUCCUUGAUUGAGCAAGAUGUUGUGAAGCUCAAGCGUCUACUUGCUGCUUCAGGUUCUUCGACAGGUACUGCAGGCUCUGUGACUGGUGCUUCUUGUGCUGAGCGACCACUGUUUACACAGUCAGGUACAUCCCCAUGGGUUUUGGAUUCUGGAGCUUCAUUUCAUAUGUCCUUUGAUUCUUCUAUCUUGUCCUCUCAUAGAUCUCUCUAUUUUCCUAUUAAUGUUCUUACUGCCGAUGGUACUCCUCUUCCUGUUGCUAGUCGAGUCAUUCUUGCCACUUCUUCUUUUUAUGUUCCAGAUGUUUCUGAUGUGCCUCGCCUCACCAUGAACCUAUUUUCUGCGGUUCAGCUUACUGAUUCUGGUUGUCGUGUCAUUCUUGAUGUUGAUUCUUGCACUAUCCAGGAUCGCCACAUGAAGGCUCUGGUUGGGGCUGGCCCGCGCCGCCAUGAUUCUCACGGGCUUUGGGAGUUGGACUGUCUUAAUGUUCCUUCCGCUACCACCACACUCGCCAGUUCAUCUACCUUCGUCGCUUGAGCUACCAGCUCCUUCCAGCAGUGGCAUCAUCGACUUGGUCACCUUUGUGGUUCUCGACUAUCGUCUUUAGUUCGUCGUGGUCUUCUGGGGCCUGUCUCAGGAGAUGUCUCCUUACAGUGUCAGGGUUGUAGGCUUGGUAAACAAGUUCAGUUACCUUAUCCUGCUAGCGAGUCAGUGUCUCAGCGCCCUUUUGAUUUAGCACAUUCAGAUGUGUGGGGUCCAGCUCCCUUCUCUUCCAAAGGGGGCCAGUACAUGUUUCACUUGAAAAAGCUAGAUUUUACGUUUGUCUGCCUUUUUUCCUUGUACAUGAAGUACAUCAUCAGGAUUGAGCAGAUACCUUAUAUCUGUGUUGCUGACCCAUACUUCAUGCACGAGGGCUUCUUGGCAGUCUGCCCAGAGCACCGUGAAUACCCGAGUAAGUACAUCACCGAUUUCAUGGUCGGCAAUAAGGACAAGGAGACGAUUCUCAUGCCUUAUCAUUCCUUCAAUUUCAAUCAUUCAUUUGCAUGCGUGGAGGAUAAUUUGAGGUGCAAUUAUUUUGCACAGCGACGGGCGUGCCGUCCUCAUCAUCCUUUACCCUCGAUUCUCCCAUGCUCUUUACUUGGAAUCGUCAAAGAACAUGAAGAAAAAGGAUUACACCCACAUCAAGUGUGUUCUCGACAGUGCUAUCUUAAGCUACGACCUACGGGGUGGAGAGUUCACGGUCAAGAAGACAAGGAACCGCGCGCCCGCGUUCGGCCAUAAGACCGACUUCUGCUACAUCCAGCAACCGAGUGGUACUCUCAGUGAUGGAUUAUAGGUCUUCCACCACAUGCUGGAGUACCGACAGGAUCACCAGCACCUUCGCAUGUCACCUAGAUCUGGCGAUGCCAAUAUUCUACAAUGGGCCAAGAAACUAGGAGAUGUCCCGGAUCAUCGACUCCGAGCUGAUUUCUUUCACAUACAGCGUGAACUUGCCCAAAUCAUCAUGAAGGAGGUCCUCGAACAAACAGGGUUGUUCUAUGAAGAAGGGAAAAUGUCGCGGGAAGACGUCCAAACACGCGUAGCCGCUCAACGUCUCGACCUAAAGCCUUUCACUGCGCUUGGGGACUAUCUCCCUUAUUUGGAUGGAUGGCACGACAUGUUGGAGUGAUUGACGAUAUAUGACAAUGUGUCCGUUUAGUCCAUACUUUCUCUAUGACGAAACUUUGAGUUAUGCACGACGAAACUUUGUGAUGUAAUUAAACCUUCCUCCUCAACUAGCGAAGAUCACUCUAUUUAGGGCAUUUUGGGUAUGAUGAACUUUGUUAUUUAUACUUAUGAUAUGUUACUUCUAUUUUUGCCAACUCUGUCUCUUUCUGUUGCUCAACUAUAUAUGUUGCAUAUUAUCGACUAAUGUGACGAUGUAGGUACAUAGAUCAUCGAUGGCGAAGAAGUGCUACGCCAGGAAUAUACGAUGAGUGGCCUGAGUGUCAGGCCCAAGUGUACCAGUUUUCGAGCGACAGCUAGAGAGGGUUCGACAGAAGAGUCGAAGCGGUAAAUAGUUAGUUUAGGUUCACGCUAGUGUGUGAGAGGGAUCCGAACCUGCGCCUCAAGAAGUACUACAUUAUGUAUGAUGAGAAAUGUGAGUUAACUUGUAUCGCUAUAUCGUGGUUAUGCUGUGAUGACAUGAUUUGUGUUCAAUGAUAUGAUGAGACAAUUAUGUGUAUGAUAUGAUGAGCAUAUUGCAUGUUUAUGAUAUGAUUAGAAUACUGUAUAAAACCUGUACAAAAACAUCACAAAUACGUACCAAAAAAAGAUAAGUGAAAAUAUAGUAGUAUCACUCUUUAGCGCUGGAUAGGAAAACGCUACUGCUAAGCCACUUAGCAGUAGCGUUGGAAUGGACAGCGCUACUGCUAAGUAGAUAUAGCAGUAUCGCGAAUCAAAACAUGCUACCGCUAAACGUUAGUUGUAGCGCCUUAUCAGUAGCAUGGUGCCCCGCGCUAAUUGAUGACCCACAAGUAUAGGGGACCAAUUGUAGUCCUUUCGAUAAGUAAGAGUGUCAAACCCAACAAGGAGCAGAAGGAAAUGACAAGUGGUUUUCAGCAAGGUAAUGUGUGCAAGCGCUGAAAUUGUAAGUAGCUAGUAGUUUGAUAGCAAGGUAAUUUGUAACGAGCGAGUAACGGUAACGAUAACAAAAGUGCAUCAAGGUAGACCAAUCCUUUUGAGGCAAAGGACAGGCCAAAACGGUCUCUGAUGAUAAGCAAAGCAUUCUUGAGGGUACACGGGAAUUUCAUCUAGUUACUUUCAUCAUGUUGAUUCGAUUUGUGUUCGCUAGGUGCUUAGGUGCUUCUCUUACUUGAACAAGCCUUCUACUUAUGAUUAACCCCGUCGCAUGCAUCCGCAACUACGAGAAAAGUAUUAAGAAUAAAUUCUAACCAUAGCAUUAAACUUUUUGGAUCCAAUCGGUCCCUUGCGGAAUAGCGAAUAAACUAGGGUUUAAGCUUCUAUCACUCUCGCAACCCAUCAUCUAAUAACUACUCCACAAUGCAUUCCCUUAGGACCAAAUAUGGUGAAGUGUCAUGUAGUCGACGUUCACAUGACACCACUAAGGGAACCACAACAUACAUACUAUCAAAAUAUCGAACACAUAUCAAGUCACAUGAUUACUUGCAACAAGAUUUCUCCCAUGACCUCAAGAACAAAACUAACUACUCACAAGUGAUAAACAUGCUCAAGAUCAGAGGGGUAUUGAAUAGCAUAUUGGAUCUAAACAUAUAAUCUUCCACCAAAUAAACCAUAUAGUAAUCAACUACAAGAUGUAAUCAACACUACUAGUCACCCACAAGUACCAAUCUAUAGUUCCGGUAUAUAGAUUGAACACAAGAGAUGAACUAGGGUUUGAGAGGAGUUGGUUCUGUUGAAGAUGUUGAUGGAGAUUUCCCUCCCCAAGAUGGGAGAGUUGUUGGUGAUGAUGAUGACGAUGAUUUCCCCCUCCGGGAGGGAAGUUCCUCCGGCGAAAUCGCUCCACCGAAGGGCAAAAGUGCUCCUGCCCAAGUUCCGCCUCGAGACGGUGGUGCUUCAUCCCAAAAGUCCUCCUCUAGUUUUUUCUAGGUCAAAAUGACUUAUAUACCAGAAGAUGGGCACCGGAGGUGGGCCGGGCUGAGCACAACCCACCAGGGCGCGCCUGGGGGCCCUGGCGCGCCCUGGUGUCUUGUGCUCACCAGGUGGCCCUCCUUCGGUGGUUAUUUGCUCCAGUAUUUCUUAUUUAUUCCAUAAAAAUCCUCAUGAAGUUUUAGCUCAUUUGGAGUUGUGUAGAAUAGGUGGCCUGUCAUAGCUUUUUCUGGUCCAGAUUUCCAGCUACCGGAAUUCUCCCUCCUUGUGUAAACCUUGCAUAUUAUGAUAGAAAAGGCAUUAGAAUUACUCAAAAAAGCAUUAUUAUGCAUAAAGACACUAUAAAUAACAGUAGGUAAACAUGAUGCAAAAUGGACGUAUCAACUCCCCCAAGCUUAGACCUCGCUUGUCCUCAAGCGAAAACCAAAAUCGAAAAACAUGUCCACAUGCGAGAGAGAGGUGUCGAUAAAAAAAAUACGGACAUAGAAGCAUCAUGUGAAUUAUUAGAACAGCAACAAACUUUAACAUAAAAUCUUAUCAUAGAACUUUUAUCAUAGAUUUCUCAUGAAUAAGUAGCAAUUCAUCACACUAUCAAAGUAUACAGGCAAAACUCUAUUGGGAACCAACAAACUAUGUUAUCAGUCAACUUUGCAACUACAAUUCAUCAUCUUUUCAGGAAGGGUCACGUAACUGAGCCUUUAGGCAAGUCCACAUCCUCAACCUUCAUAUAGUCUUCUAUGAUUGCUAACACUCAUCGCAUACACAUGAGCAAAACAUUUCAACCGGACGCAUAGAAAUAUAGGGGCUUAUAGUUUCACUUCCCAACGUAUUCACCUCAAGGGUGAUGUCAACAAUAAUAAAUCAUGCCACCCAUAUUCAAUUGGACAUAUGUGCCUAGAUCUUUCCUCACCACACCAUGCUUGCCAAAGGAGAAAAGUAAAAAGCAAUAGAGAGAGAAACUUUGACUCUUGCAUAAAAGUAAAUACAUAGAAGUAAAAGAUAGGCCCUUCACAGAGGGAAACCGAGGUUUUCAUGCGCUUAUUUGUUUGUAUGCUCAACCCCUUAAUGCAAAAUAAUGUCACGUUAUAUUGCCCCUUGUGAUGGCAACCUUUAUUAUGCAGUCUGUCGCUUUUAUUCUUUGCUAUCACACGUUCGUACAACGCUCAAUUUUCUCUUACACUAAAUGAUCUCACACUUUUAGAAGCAAUUUUUAUUGCCUUAUUGCACCGAUGAAAACUUACUUGAAGGAUCUUACUCAAUCCUUAGGUUGGUAUGGUGGACUCUCGAAAAUAAGAUUUGGGUUUAAGGGUUUUUGGAUGCACAAGUAGUAUCUCUACUUAGUGCGGAAUUUUUGGCUAGUAAAGAUGGGGUCAAGCACCACAUGUUGAAGGAUCUAUGACAAUAUAACUUCUAUGUGAAUAUGAACAAACAUAAAUCAUUUCAUUGUCUUCCUUGUCCAGCGUCAACAAUUUUGGCAUAUAAUAUUUUAAUGGGCGCUCACAAUCACAAAAGAUUUCCAAGAUAGUGUAUUUGUAUGUGAAUCUUCUUUUCCCUUAUUAAUUCUUUCAUGAGUUGCAUCAUUGACCAAUGCUAUGUUUGUCAAUCUCUAAUAAAAUUUUCUACUUAUACUUUUCAUUAUGUGAUGUCAUUACUUACCAUAAGAUUAGCAUAUGAUCUUUUUCAUUUAUUUCCUUUCUUUUUAUUGGAACAUGAAAGUAAAGAAAGCAAAAGCUCAAACUAAACUUUAUUAUAUAAUUCACACACGAUUACAAGGAUAGAUCACUAGGCAAACUCUCGAAAAGAAAGGAUAAAACUAAACUUUUAUUCAUCUAAAGCAAAAUAUAACUAAGGAUCGAACUAAAAUAAGUAAAGGUAAAAGAUAGUGGAGGUGAUACGAUACCGGGGCAGCUCCCCCAAGCUUGGCGGAGGGGAGUUCCCAUACCCGAUACUCAAAUUUCUUUUGGUGAUGAAGAAGAUGGUGGUGGUGAAGUAGAGGCAACGAUCCUGUCCUGCAUGAUCAAGAGAUUCUCCUAUCUACGGAUGACACUCCGGAGGAAGAUGAUGUGCUCUUGAUGCAGAAUAUUUUCAGGACUGAGAUAUUUAUUUUGCACACGAACCAUUUCAAUGAUCUGAAAGGCUUCAAUCUUAGUAGGGGUAAGAUGAGCAUAGUAAGGUUUAAGUAUAUCUUCUUCUUCCUCCUCGGCAGGCCAGGCCGUCUCAACCACCGGUGUUUGAUCUCCGAUGGCCUCCUUCAUCUUGUCCCCUUUGAUGGCUUCUACGGGCUCUUCUUUCUUCAGCUCGAUCUUCAUCAACCAGACAUCCUCUUCCACGUUGUUGGAGGAAGAAGAAGACAUGAUGUCUGGCUCAACAGAUCUGACCGAAAAGAGCAAGAAAAGAAAACAAAAGAUUUCUCCGCGAUAUGGUGGUCAAUAGGUUCGGGGGGUAUGUAAAGAUCUUUUAUCUUGGGAAACAAGCAAACGGAAGAAAAACAGAUUCCAGAAGGUAGUCUUGGGCGCACCUGUCUUGGGCCCACCUGGGUCACCUUACUGGUAGUUUCUUAUUUUCCUAAUUUUUAAAUAUUCCAAAACUGACAAAAUAUAUUUUUGCGGAUUUUUGGAGUCCGUUUACUUACCGUAUCACGUACCUCCUCUUUUUGACGAUUCUGGAGUGUUCUGGAAGGUCUCUUUGAUGUGUUCUUCCGGUGUCAUAGUUUGGAUAAUAUUGCUUUCAACAUUAAUGGGCGUACCUGAGAUAUAAUGUUUUAUUCGUUGCCCAUGAACAACCCUCGGGUUAGUACCUUUGGUAUUAUUUAUUUUGAUAGCUCUAGACUGAUAAACCUCCUCGAUAACAUAGGGUCCUUCCCAUUUGGAGAGGAGUUUUCAUGUAAAGAAUCUGAAAGGAGAUUUGUACAAAAGAACAUAUUCUCCAACUUUGAACUCAAACUUUUGGAUUCUUUUAUCAUGCCAUCUUUUUACUUUUUCUUCAAAUAACUUGGCAUUUUCGUAAGCUUGGGUUCUCCAUUCAUCUAAUGAGCUAAUAUCAAAUAACCUCUUUUCACCAGCAAGUUUAAAAUCAUAGUUCAGUUCUUUGAUUGCCCAGUAAGCUUUAUGUUCUAACUCAAGAGGCAAAUGACAAGAUUUUCCAUAAACCAUUUUGUAAGGAGACAUACCCAUAGGAUUUUUAUAUGCUGUUCUAUACGCCCAAAGUGCAUCAUCAAAUUUCUUAGACCAAUUCUUCCGGGACCUAUUGCUAAGUUCAACUUGACCACUAGACUGAGGAUGAUAGGGUGAUGCAAUUCUAUGGUCAACAUCAUACUUAGCAAGCAUUUUACAGAAAGCACCAUGAAUAAAGUGUGAACCACCAUCAGUCAUUAAAUGUCUAGGGACUUCAAACCUUGGGAAAAUAACUUCCUUAAGCAUUUUAAUAGAGGUGUUGUGAUCAGCAGUACCAGUUGGAAUAGCUUCUACCCACUUAGUAACGUAAUCAACAUCAACCAAAAUACGUGUAUACCCAUUAGAGGAAGGAAAAGGUCCCAUGUAAUCAAAACUCCAAACAUCAAAUGGUUCAACAGCAAGUGAAUAAUUCAUAGGAAUUUCUUGAUGCUUACCGAUAUUACCUAUUCUUUGACAUUUAUCACAAGAUAAGAUGAACUUAUGAGCAUCCUUGAAAAGAUUAGGCCAAUAAAACCCAGACUGCAAUACCUUGUGAGCAGUUCUGUCUCCCGCAUGAUGCCCUCCAUAAGCUUCGGAGUGACAUUUCCGUAGGAUUUGUCCCUAUUCAUGCUCAGGUACACAACGUCUAAUAAUACCAUCUACUCCUUCUUUAUAAAGAUGUGGGUCAUCCCAAAAGUAGUGUCUUAAAUCAUAGAAGAAUUAUUUCUUUUGUUGGUAUGUAAAGCUAGGUGGUAAAUAUUUAGCAACAAUGUAAUUAGCAUAGUCAGCAUACCACGGAGUAUUAUGAGAAACAUUUAUUGCAGCUAACUGCUCAUCCGGAAAACUAUCAUCAAUAGGUAGUGGGUCAUCAAGAACAUUCUCCAACCUAUACAAGUUAUCAGCUACGGGGUUCUCUGCUCCUUUUCUAUCAGUGAUAUGGAAAUAAAAUUCUUGAAGUGAUACGUCCAUUUUGCAUCAUGUUUACCUACUGUUAUUUAUAAUGUGUUAUGCAUAACACUGCUUUUUGGAGUAAUUCUAAUGCCUUGCGAGGGAGAAUUCCGCCAGCUGGAAAUCUGGACCUGAAAAAGCUACGUCAGGCCAUCUAUUCUGCACAACUCCAAAUGAGCUGGAACUUCACGAGGAUUUUUUAUGGAAUAUUUAUGAAAUACUGGAGCAAAUAACCACCGGAUGGAGGCCACCUGGUGAGCACAAGACACCACCCCCAGGUGCGCCCUGGUGGGUUGUGCUUAGCCCAGCCCACCUCAGGUGCCCAUCUUCUGGUAUAUAAGUCAGUUUGACCUAGGAAAAAUUAGAGGAGGACAUUCGGGACGAAGCGCCGCCGUCUCGAGAUGGAACUUGGGCAGGAGCACAUUUGCCCUCCGGCGGAGCGAUUCCGCUGGGGGAACUUCUCACCCGGAGGGGGAAAUCAUCAUCAUCAUCAUCACCAACAACUCUCCCAUCUUGGGCAGGGCAAUGUCCAUCAACAUCACCAUCUCCUCUCAAACCCUAGUUCAUCUCUUGUGUUCAAUUUGUGUACCGGAACUAUAGAUUGGUAUGGGUGACUAGUAGUGUUGAUUACAUCUUGUAGUUGAUUACUAUAUGGUUUAUUUGGUGGAAGAUUAUAUGUUCAGAUCCAAUAUGCUAUUUAAUACCCCUCUGAUCUUGAGCAUGUUUAUCACUUGUGAGUAGUUACUUUUGUUCUUGAGGUCACGGGAGAAAUCAUGUUGCAAGUAAUCAUGUGAACUUGAUAUGUGUUCGAUAUUUUGAUAGUAUGUAUGUUGUGAUUCCCUUAGUGGUGUCAUGUGAACGUCGAUUACAUGAAACUUCACCAUAUUCGGGACUAAGGGAAUGAAUUGUGGAGUAGUUAUUAGGUGAUGGGUUGCGACAGUGACAGAAGCUUAAACCCUAGUUUAUGCGCUAUUUCGUAAGUGACUGAUUGGAUCCAAAAGUUUAAUGCUAUGGUUAGAACUUAUUCUCAAUAUUUUUUCUCCUAGAUGCGGAUGCUUGCGAGGGGGUUAAUCAUAAGUUGGAGGCUUUUUCAAGUAAGAGGAGCACCUAAGCACCGCUCCACCCACAUAUAAAAUUAUAAAAGUAGUGAACAGGAAUCGAAUCAACAUGAUGAAAGUGACAAGAUGAAAUUCCCGUGUACCCUGAAGAACGCUUUGCUUAUCAUAAGAGACCUUUUUGGCCUAUCCUUUGCCUCAAAGGAUUGGUAUACCUUGUUGCACUUUUGUUGUCGUUACCGUUACUUGCUCGUUACAAAUUAUCUUGCUAUCAAACUACUCGCUACUUACAAUUUCAGCCCUUGCAGACAUUACCUUGCUGAAAACCACUUGUCAUUUCCUUCAGCUCCUCAUUGGGUUUGACACUCUUACUUAUCGAAAGGACUACGAUUGAUCCCCUAUACUUGUGGGUCAUCAAGGCUCUUUUCUGGCACCGUUGUCAGAGAGUGAAGUGCUCUUGGUAAGUGGAAAUUUGUAAGGAAAAAUUAUUACUACUUGCUGAAAUCUAUUGUCACUUGUUACUAUGGAAAACAAUCCUUUGAGGGGUUUGUUCGGGGUAUCUUCACCUUGACCGGAACUACAAUUAGUUACUCCUCAACCUACCGCACCUACUGAAAAUAUUGAAUAUGAAAUUCCUUCGGGUAUGAUAGAACAACUCCUAGCUAAUCCUUAUGCAGGAGAUGGAACCGAACAUCCUGAAAUAUGCACUUGAUAUAUGUGGAAGAAACUUGUGGAUUGUUUAAGAUUGCAGGUUUACCCAGAGAUGAAUUUAAGAAGAAGGUUUUCCCUUUAUCUUUGAAGGUAAAACCAUUGGCAUGGUAUAGGCUAUGCGAUGAUAUUGGAUCUUGGAAUUGAAAUCGAUUGAAAUUGGAGUUUCACCAAAACAAUUAUCCUAUGCAUCUAGUUCAUCAUGAUCGGAAUUACAUAUAUAAUUUUUGGCCUCGUGAAGGAAAAAGUAUUGCUCUAGCUUGGGGAGGCUUAAGUCAAUGUUAUAUUCAUGCCUCAAUCAUGAGCUGUCAGGAGAAAUAAUUAUGCAGAAUUUGUAUGCUUGGCUUUCUCGUAAUGAUCGAUCCAUGUUUAAUAGUUCUUGUGCUGGUUCUUUUAUGAAGAAGACUAUUGAAUUCUGGUGGGAUCUUUUGGAAAGAAUUAAACGCAACUCUGAAGAUUGGGAACUCGAUGAAGGUAAAGAGUCAGGUAUUAAGCUCAAGUUUUAUUGUGUUAAAUCUUUUAUGAAUACCGAUGCUUUUCAAAAGUGUAGCACUAAAUAUGGACUUGACUCUGAGAUAGUAGCCUCCUUUUGUGAAUCUUUUGCUACUCAUGUUGAUCUCCCUAAGGAGAAGUGGUUUAAAUAUCACCCACCUAUUAAAGAAGAAAUUGAAGAACCGAUACUAGCUAAAGAGGAAACUAUCAUUUAUAAUGUUGAUCCAGUUGUUCCUACUGCUUAUAUUGAGAAACCACCUUUCCCUGUUACGAUGAAGGAACAUGUUAAAGUUUCAACUAUGGUCAACAAAAGUUAUAUUACAACACGGAUUUCUAUAGGAGAUUUAUAUAGGAUAUUUAUCAAAGAGUUCUCUAAAAUUUCUAGGCCUCUUACAAAUCUUUUGCAAAAGGAUGUUCCUUUCGUCUUUGAUGAUGAUUGUUCAAGAAAGCCAUAAUUACUGCAUCUAUUGUUCAACCACCUGACUUGAACUCGCCUUUUGAAAUUAUGUGUGAUGCUAGUGAUUAUGCUGUUGGUGCUGUUCUAGGACAUAGAGUUGAUAAGAAACUAAAUGUUAUUCAUUAUGCUAGUAAAACUCAAGACAAUGCUCAAAGAAAUUAUGCUACAAUUGAAAAAGAAUUCUUAGCAGUGGUGUUUGCUUGUGAUAAAUUUAGAUCCUACAUUGUUGACUCUAAAGUUACUGUUCACACCGAUCAUGCUGCUAUUAAAUAUCUUAUGGAAAAGAAAGAUGCUAAACCUAGGCUUAUUCGAUGGGUUCUCUUGCUACAAGAAUUUGAUUUACAUAUCACUGAGAGGAAAGGAGCAGAGAACCCCGUAGCCGAUAACUUGUCUAGGUUAGAGAAUGUCCUUGAUGACCCACUACCUAUUGAUGAUAGUUUUCCUAAUGAGCAGUUAGCUGCAAUAAAUGUUUCUCAUAAUACUCCUUGGUAUGCUGACUAUGCUAAUUACAUUGUUGCUAAAUAUUUACCACCUAGCUUUACAUACCAACAAAAGAAAUAAUUCUUCUAUGAUUUAAGACACUACUUUUGGGAUGACCCACAUCUUUUUAAAGGAGUAGAUGGUAUUAUUAGACGUUGUGUACCUGAGCAUGAACAGGGACAAAUCCUACGGAAAUGUCACUCGGAAGCUUAUGGAGGGCAUCAUGCGGGAGACAGAACUGCUCACAAGAUAUUGCAAUCUGGGUUUUAUUGGCCUACUCUUUUCAAGGAUGCACGUAAGUUCGUCUUAUAUUGUGAUGAAUGUCAAAGAAUAGGUAAUAUCGGUAAGCGUCAAGAAAUGCCUAUGAAUUAUUCACUUGCUGUUGAACCAUUUGAUGUUUGGAGUUUUGAUUACAUGGGACCUUUUCCUUCCUCUAAUGGGUAUACACAUAUUUUGGUUGCUGUUGAUUAUUUUACUAAGUGGCUAGAAGCUAUUCCAACUAGUAGUGAUGAUUACAACACCUCUAUUAAAAUGCUUAAGGAAGUUAUUUUCCCAUGGUUUGGAGUCCCUAGAUAUUUAAUGAUUGAUGGUGGUUCACACUUUAUUCAUGGUGCUUUCCGGUAAAUGCUUGCUAAGUAUGAUGUUAACCAUAGAAUUCCAUCACCCUAUCAUCCUCAGUCUAGUGGUCAAGUUGAACUUAGCGAUAGAGAAAUAAAAUUAAUCUUGCAAAAGACUGUCAAUAGGUCCCGAAAGAAUUGGUCUACGAAAUUAGAUGAUGCACUUUGGGAUUGUAGAGCAGCAUAUAAAAAUCACAUGGUUAUGUCUCCUUAUAAAAUGGUUUAUGGAAAAUCUUGUCAUUUGCCUCUUGAGUUAGAUCAUAAAGCUUACUGAGCAAUCAAAGAACUGAACUAUGAUUUUAAACUUGCUGGUGAGAACAGGUUAUUCGAUAUUAGCUCAUUAAAAGAACGGAGAACCCAAGCUUAUGAAAAUACCAAGUUAUUUAAAGAAAAAGUUAAAAGAUGGCAUGAUAAAACAAUUCAAAAGCGUGAGUUCAAAGUUGGAGAAUAUGUUCUUUUGUACAACUCUCGUUUCAAAUUCUUUGCAUGCAAACUCCUCUCCAAAUGGGAAGGACCCUAUGUUAUCGAGGAGGUUUAUCGGUCUAGAUCUAUCAAAAUAAAUAAUGCCGAAUGUACUAACCCUACGGUUGUUACUGGGCAACGAAUAAAACAUUAUAUCUCAAGUAUGCCCAUUAAUGUUGAAAGAAAUAUUAUCCAAACUAUGACAGCGGAAGAACACAUAAAAGAGACCUUCCAGAACACUCCAGAUUUGUGAAAAAGAGGGGGUACGUGAUACGGUAAGUAAACGAACUAUGAAAAAUCCGCAAAAAUAUUUGUUGUCAGUCUUAGAAUAUUUAAAAAUUAGGAAAAUAAGAAACUACCGGGAAGGUGAACCUGGUGGGCACAAGACACCAGGGCGCGCCUGGCGCCUGGCUUGCCAGGCGCGCCCAUGUCGGUUGUGCCCACCUCGGGUACCUUCCGGACUCCGUUUUUCUUCCGUUUGCUUGUUUCCCAAGAUAAAAUAUCUUUAUAUACCCCCCGAACCUAUUGACCACCGUAUCACGGAGAAAUCUUCGGUUUCUUCUCUUGUUUUUUUUGGUAAGAUCUGCUGAGCGAGACAUCAUGUCUUGUUCUUCCUCCAAUAACGUGGAAGAGGAUGCCUGGUUGAUGAAGAUUGAGCUGAAGAAAGAAGAGCCUGUAGAAUCGGUCAAAGGGGACAAGAGCAAGGAGGCCAUCGGAGAUCAAACACCGGUGGUUGAGCUGGCCUGGCCUGCUCAGGAGGAAGAAGAAGAUAUCCUUAAACCUUACUAUGCUUAUCUUACACCUACUGAGAUUGAAGCCUUUCAGAUCAUUGAAACGGUUCGAGUGCAAAAUAAAUAUCUCACUCGUGAAAAUAUUCUGCAUCAAGAGCACAUCAUCUUCCUCCGGAGCGUCAUCCGUAGAUUGGAUAAUCUCUUUAUCAUGAAGGACAUGAUCGCUGCCUCUACUUCACCACCACCAUCUUCUUCAUCACCAAAAGAAAAUUGAUUAUCGGGUAUGGGAACUCCCCUUGGCUUCCACCAAGCUUGGGGGAGCUGCCCCGGUAUCGUAUCCCCUCCAUUAUCUUCUACCUUUACUUAUUUUAGUGCGAUCCUUAGUUAUCAUUUGCUUUAGAUGAAUAAAAGUUUAGUUUGAUCCUUUCUUUUUGAGAGUUUGCCUAGUGAUAUAUCCUUGUAAUCGUGUGUGAGAUAUAUAAUAAAGUUUAGUUUGAGCUUUUGCUUUCUCUACUUUCAUGUUCCAAUAAAAAGAAAGGAAAUAAAUGAAAAAGAUCAUAUGCUAAUCUUAUGGUAAGUAAUGACAUCACAUAAUGAAAAGUAUAAGUAGAAAAUUUUAUUAGAGAUUGACAAACAUAGCAUUGGUCAAUGAUGCAAUUCAUGAAAGAAUUAAUAAGGCAAGAGAAGAUUCACAUAUAAAUACACUAUCCUGGGAAUAUUUUGUGAUUGCCUUUGUAGCGACCAGACCUCAAACAGUCUGUGCUGCUGUGCACCAGUGUUAUCCCUGGAUAAGUAAUGCUGACACGCACAGUACAAAUGGAGGAUUUAUAACAGAGUAGCAAUCACACACUUAUUACAGCGAAUAUCUCAAAAGAGAAUAAGUAUGAUAUAUAUGGCUUAAGGCCAUCUAAUACGAUAACAGCGGAAGGCUUGGAAGAUAAGUGAGUCCAUCAACUCCAACUGCAUCACUGAGUAUAAGACCACGACCUAAGGCACCUUACUCGUCGUCUGAAAAGUCUGCAACAUGAAACGUUGCAGCCCGAAAACGGGUCAGCACAUGGAAUAUGCUGGCAAUGCAACACAUAGAGAGUAAUGAACAAAAUGAUAAUAUACUACAUGCAUAUAUGGCUGGUAGAAAGCUCUAUGUUACAGUUUUGCGAAAAGCCAGUUUUAUCCUACUUCAAAGGAAUAAAUUUUAUUUAACUAUCAUGGUGGUUGUUAAACAUUGAGAUGGUUGACAGCAUCUCAAUCCCAAUUAAGUAUCAUCAUUAACCCAACAAAAUUAAUUAAAGUAACAUGGUGAUGAGAUUCAUAUGAUAAUCCAAGUACUAGAUACUCAAGUUGUCCAUAACCGGGGACACGGCUAACCAUGAUUAGUUUAUACACUCUGCAUAGGUUUGUGCACUUUUCCCACAACACUCGAUCGCCUCCCUUGAUUUUCGCACUACAUGAUGUUUGAGAAAUGGAUGAUCGAGACAUAGUCUUUCAGAAGCGUUUGCACCUUACGAUGUGAUAGACCGUACCACCUACAUCCCCUAUAUCUGCUAGUCUACCACUGUAAGAGUUCACACAACUUAAUCGACUAUCCUAGAGCCCAUAAUAGCAUGUGGUUGCACACGGAAGUUUCUAGCAUGAAUAAUCUCAUGAUCCCUUUGAACCUUGGUGGCGGUCCAAAAGAAAAACAGGCAAUCCUGGAAUACCCAGGUACCUCAAUCCACCCAGAUGUGAGUUUUAGUUGCCACCUUAAGUAAACCAUUAAUUAACAAUCUCACAUCUGUCGUGAAUAUCUCUCAAACCCAAUCCACGUCUACAAGCAUAACAUGGCAAUAUAAGCAACGUAGAAGUAACUCCCAAGGGUUUGAUAAUAAAAUAGGUAAUAGGUACUACCUCAACUACUUCCCAAUACCCACAAUUUAAUUAGAUCCUAACCAAUGCAAUGUUUGAGGAUUGAUCUAAUGCAAUAAAACUGGGUAGUGAAAAGUAUGAUCAAAGUGUUACUUGCCUUGCUGGUGAUCCGUGAAACCUAGAGAUUCGAAGUAGCAAGCGGCGCACUCCGGGUACUCUAUCGCGAACAAACAAGCAAACAAUAAGUACUCAUCUAAUGCACAAGUAAAACUCAAAUAAAGAUCUAACCAGAAAGUUCAACUUAAGAACUCCGGCUUGCAAAAAGAUUCAACUCAAACGAAGCAACGAAGGUCAAACGGCGAAAGAAACAAGCUUCGUUUACUAAUCUGGAUCUAAGUCAAAUUUUACAGUAGCAAAAACUUGUUUGAGUAGGUUAAACGGAAAGAGAAUUUCGAGAUGAAACUCUAGGCGCUUGAAUCGCUUGAUUCCGAUAAACGAGCGAAAAGUUAAACCAAAACGAAAAUCUGAUCAGAAAUCACGAUCUGGAAUAAUCGCGGAAAAUCCGACGAAAAGGAAAACUGACGAACAGUUAAACGAACGGACGUUCGUUAACAGCGUCAAACCGACGAACACGUUCAUUAAAACGAACGGAUCGGUGAACGUUCACUAAGUAAUAAACCGAAAAAAAUAAACCGAUCUAUAUAAAAAAACUAGGGUUAAAAAAAUAAACCGGGUCAUUUUUUUUUAGAAACUGGGCACGGCGACGGCGUGGCUACCUCGGCGAGCAGCUCCGGCGGGUCUUCCGGCGGAUCGGGCGAGGGGCGGCGAGGUGGCGGGGCUCGGGCGGCGACGACGGGCGGNNNNNNNNNNNNNNNNNNNNNNNNNNNNNNNNNNNNNNNNNNNNNNNNNNNNNNNNNNNNNNNNNNNNNNNNNNNNNNNNNNNNNNNNNNNNNNNNNNNNNNNNNNNNNNNNNNNNNNNNNNNNNNNNNNNNNNNNNNNNNNNNNNNNNNNNNNNNNNNNNNNNNNNNNNNNNNNNNNNNNNNNNNNNNNNNNNNNNNNNNNNNNNNNNNNNNNNNNNNNNNNNNNNNNNNNNNNNNNNNNNNNNNNNNNNNNNNNNNNNNNNNNNNNNNNNNNNNNNNNNNNNNNNNNNNNNNNNNNNNNNNNNNNNNNNNNNNNNNNNNNNNNNNNNNNNNNNNNNNNNNNNNNNNNNNNNNNNNNNNNNNNNNNNNNUAGGAGGGGGAGGGGGUGCCGUGGGGGAGGGGGCAAGGCGGCGGCGGGCGGCGUGCUCGAGCCCGACUCGGCGGCGGCGGGAGCCGUGCUCGGGAGGGAGACGGGCGCGGGGCAGGCUGGGCCGUCGGCUGGGGUUCGGCCCAGUCGGCGCGCUCGGCUUUUUUUUUUAAUUCACCGAAUCUAAAAAAAUCGCAGAAAAAUAAAUAAAAAAUCCAAAAAUGAUAAAACAAAUUUUUUCCGUCUAAUUAAAAUAAUUAGAACGAGGUGAACAUUUCCUUGGCCCAAAAAUGCAGUUUUUAAAACGUGCAAUUUUUUAAUGCAAUGAAAAUUGCAAAUAAAAUCCGAAUAAAAUCAAAUAUUUGAUUUUAAUAUUUUACCUCCAAUAUUUCAGUUAUUUUGGAGAAGUCAUAUUUUCUCCUCUCAUUUAUUUUAAUACGAAAUAUUUUUCGAGAGAAAAAUAAUUAAAACCAAAAUCCUCGUUUUAUUAUUUGAUAAAUAUCAAAUAUGAAAAACCGGGAAAAUCCCCAACUCUCUCUGAGGGUCCUUGAGUUGCUUAGGAUUUAUCGAGGAUUUGCCAAAACGCAAAUAAAUAUGCUAUGCAAUGAUGAUCUAGUGUAUAACAUUCCAAAUUGAAAAUUUGGGAUGUUACAAACCUACCCCCUUAAGAUGAAUCUCGCCCUCGAGAUUCGGGUUGGCUAGAAAAUAGGUGAGAGUGGUUCUUCCGUAGAUCUUCCUCUCGCUCCCAGGUGGCUUCAUCUUCAGUAUGGUGACUCCACUGGACUUUGCAAAACUUGAUAACCUUACUGCGGGUGACUCGGCUGGCAUACUCAAGAAUCUUAACUGGUUUCUCCUCAUAGAUCAAAUCACUUUCCAGCUGUAUCGCUUCCAGUGGCACUGUAUCUCUCAGUGGUAUCUCAGCCAUCUUUGCGUGGCACUUCUUCAACUGGGAAACGUGGAAUACAGCAUGAACUCCUGACAAUCCUUCAGGCAAUUCCAGCUUGUAGGCAACUUCUCCCAUACGCUCCAAAACUCUGUAUGGUCCUACAAAACGAGGCGCUAAAUUUCCCUUAACUCCAAAGCGCUUCACUCCUCGAAGUGGUGAUACUCGAAGAUAAACUCUGUCUCCGACUUCGUGAACUGUCUCCUUACGUUUUGAAUCCGCAUAACUCUUCUGCCUGGACUGGGCUACCUUGAGCCUAUCGCGAAUCAACCUCACUUUCUGUUCAGACUCUUUAAUCAAAUUUGGUCCAAACAACUGACGGUCCCCAACUUCGUCCCAUAACAAUGGUGUUCUACACCUCCUUCCGUACAGAGCUUCGAAAGGGGCCAUCUUCAAACUGGCUUGAUAGCUGUUGUUGUAAGAAAACUCUGCAUAUGGCAAAUUUUCGUCCCAACUAGAUCCAUAAUCCAGCGCACAAGCUCUCAACAUGUCUUCCAAAAUCUGAUUGACUCUCUCGGUCUGUCCAUCUGUCUGUGGGUGAAAAGCUGUACUGAAUUCUAGCCUGGUUCCCAAGGUUUCAUGUAACUGAUUCCAAAACUUUGAGGUAAACUGGGUUCCCCUAUAUGAUACAAUGGUCCUCAGAACUCCAUGCAAACAUACGAUUCUGGUCAUGUAUAUUUUUGCCAACUUAGCACUGGUGUAAGUGGUCUUCACUGGGAUGAAAUGAGCUACUUUCGUCAAACGGUUGACUACAACCCAUAUUGAGUCAUAGCCUGAACGAGUCCUGGGCAAUCCCGUGAUAAAAUCCAUGCCUAGUUUAUCCCACUUCCAUUCGGGUAUCGGCAAUGGUUGUAGCAAUCCCGCUGGCUUCUGAUGUUCUGCCUUCACUCUCUGACAUACAUCACAAACUGCUACAUACUCCGCAAUAUCCUUCUUCAUACCGGUCCACCAGAAAGUAUCCUUCAAAUCCAAAUACAUCUUGGUGUUUCCUGGGUGAAUCGAGUACGGUGAAUCAUGGGCCUCUUGCAAGAUCAAUUUCCUGAUCUCCGGAUCAUUGGGCACGUAAACGCGGUCCUCAAACCAUAAGGUAUCGUGCUCAUCCUCAUGAAAUCCCUUGGCUUUUCCUUUGUUCAUCUUUUCCUUUAUCUCGUUAAUUUCCUUGUCUGUCUCUGAGCUUCUCUGAUCUUUUCCAUCAGGGUAGACUGAAUCUCCAAUGUUGCUAAAUAGCCUCUUGGAACUAUCUCCAAACAUAGCUCGCGAAGAUCCUCGGCUAACUCCUGGGGUAACUCUCCUAUCAUGAGUGUGUUGACAUGGCUCUUGCGGCUCAACGCAUCUGCUACUUCGUUGGCCUUCCCUGGGUGAUAAUGCAAUCUCAUAUGGUAGUCCUUAAUAAGCUCCAACCAUCUCCUCUGCCUGAGAUUCAACUCCUUCUGUGUGAAAAUGUACUUCAAACUCUUGUGAUCCGUCUACACCUCACAAUGGUUUCCGAUUAGAAAAUGUCUCCAUGUCUUCAGCGCAUGCACUACGGCUGCUAAUUCCAAAUCAUGCGUGGCAUAAUUCUUCUCAUGGGGUUUAAGUUGUCGUGAAGCAUAUGACACAACUCUUCCUUCCUGCAUAAGCACUGCUCCAAGUCCUCGACGAGAAGCGUCACAAUAAACUUCAUAAUCCUUGCGUUGAUCUGGCAGAAUCAACACUGGUGAUGUAACCAAUCGUUUCUUCAACUCUUGGAAACUAGCUUCACAUUCCUCAGUCCAAUAGAAUUUGGUGUCCUUCUUCAAUAGCUAAGUCAUGGGUUUUGCAAUCUUUGAGAAAUUCUCACUGAAUCUCCGGUAGUAUCCUGCGAGUCCAAGGAAACUCCGGAUCUCUCCAACUGACGUGGGUGAUUCCCAACUUGUUACUGUGUCAACUUUGGCGGGGUCUACUGCUAUUCCUUCUCUGGAUAUAACAUGUCCGAGGAAUCCAACUUCCUUCAGCCAAAACUCACAUUUGCUGAACUUGGCGUACAACUGGUGUUCUCUGAGUUUCUCAAGUACCAAACGCAAAUGCUCCUUAUGUUCCUCUUCAUUCUUUGAGUAGAUCAAAAUAUCAUCAAUGAACACUACGACAAACUUAUCCAAAAACUCCAUAAACACCUUGUUCAUCAAGUUCAUCAAAUAGGCAGGUGCGUUAGUCAGACCAAAUGACAUAACGGUAUACUCAUACAGCCCAUACCUGGUGGUAAAAGCCGUCUUAGGUAUAUCCUGCUCUCGAAUCUUCAACUGGUGGUAUCCUGAUCGUAGAUCGAUCUUGGAAAAUACCUUAGCUCCUUGUAGGCGGUCAAACAAAUCAUUAAUCAUUGGCAGUGGGUACUUGUUCUUGAUGGUCACUUCAUUCAAUCCACGAUAAUCAACGACCAUCCUUAACGAUCCAUCCUUCUUCUCCACUAGAAGUACAGGCGAUCCCCAAGGUGACGAACUUGGGCGAAUAUAGCCUUUAUCCAGUAACUCCUUAAUCUGCUUCUUAAUUUCCACCAAAUCUUUUGCGGGCAUCCUCUACGGUCUCUUAGAUAUCGGUCCUGUGCCUGGCAAAAGUUCAAUCGGAAACUCAAUGUCUCUAUCCGGUGGCAUGCCUGGCAACUCUCCUGGAAAUACAUCCGGGUAAUCCUUCACCACUGGUACUUCCUUCUGUACAACUCCUGAUAAGGAAUUCACUUGAGUCCUCUUCGGCACAUGCCGGGAUACAUACUUAAUCCUCCUUCCUUCUGGGGUGGUAAGAAAAAUCGACUUACUGGCACAAUCGAUGUUCCCUCCAUACUUUGAUAACCAAUCCAUGCCUAAUAUCACAUCCAAUCCUUGCGAUUCCAGUAUUAUUAGGUCUGAGGGAAACACGUAGUUACCAAUCCUUAAUGGUAACCGAUCACACCAUAAACUAGCCAUAUACUCUGCUCCUGACGAGGUUACUAACAUGGGUGACCUAAGGGCUUGGGUUGGCAGUUUAUAGUUAUCCACAAAUCCCCUUGAUAUGUAUGUAUGCGAUGCACCAGUAUCAAAAAGAACGAGUGCAGUAAAUGACUUAACCAAAAACUUACCUAUUACUGCAUCAGGCUGUGCUUCAACCUCUUCCAUGCUAACGUGGUUCACAUGUCCUUUGCUGAAAGGGUUCGGCUUCUUCCCAGAGCUUCCAUUUCCAUUACCAUUCUGGGCUUCAGGACAUUCAUUGGCAUAAUGUCCAGUCUUCUGACAUUUAAAGCAAGUGACUUGACUCAGGUCUCUCUUAGCUGGGGUUGAAGGGUUGGUACGGUUCUGUCCGUUGCUUCCUCCGUUCCCAUUUCCAUUCUUGGAGCCAUUAUGAUUGUGCGAACUACCUCCUCCAUGGGUAUGCUGAAACUGUCCUCCCGAUUUCGGGGUAAAACGUGGCUUCUGCUGGGCUCCAAAAUUAUACUUCCCUUGUCCAUACUUCCUCUUACGGUUUUCAAUCUGCUGCUGCUUCCCUUCAAUCAUGAGUGCUCUAUCUACCAACUCCUGGUAGUUGUUGAAGGUUGCUACCAUUAGCUGCAUGCUCAGCUCAUCAUUCAGUCCUUCCAAAAACUUCUCCUGCUUGGCUGCAUCUGUAGCAACGUUAUCUGGGGCAUAACGUGCUAACUUACUGAAAUCCUCCACAUACUGGCCUACGGUGCGUCCUCCUUGGCGUAGGUUGCGAAACUCACGCUUCUUCAUAGCCAUAGCUCCUGCUGAAACAUGGGCUGUACGGAAAGCUUGCUGAAACUGGUCCCGUGUGACAGUGUCAAUAGGGUGAGUGGCUGUGUAAUUUUCCCACCAUGAUGCUGCGGGUCCAUCAAGCUGAUGUGCGGCAAAAAGCACUCUUUCCGCAUCUGUGCAUCCUGCAGUGGUCAACUCCCUUCCAACUUUGCGGAGCCAAUCAUCUGCAACAAUCGGCUCGGUGCUGAUGGCAAACACCGGCGGAUUUAGCCUCAAGAAACGGGCUAGGUGAUCAACAGGUGGUGGUGGUCGGUUGUUGUUGUUGUUGUUGCCUUGUUUCUGUACUAACACUUGCAUCAGGGCAUUCUGUUGCUGAAUCAACUGUGUGAUCUCCGGUGGGAAAACAAAUCCGGUGUCGCGUCUCGGAGGCAUCUGAUAGGUAUAGAAAAGAUGAGAAUUUAGAAUAGAAUGAGGUCUAGAGAGAAAACAUUACCCAUAUGCUCAUGAGACAAACACAAUCAAUAUCACUCAAUCAAUUCAAACAAGGCAUACAAUCGAUCUAACUAGCGUUACAAAAGGGCUCAAACUAUACUAUAUAUAUGGGGGAAUACUACUACUAAUAUGGUGGUCUACUAGAAAUUUUGAUCAGUCGAAGACUCCAUGAUAUCUGCUCCAGCUUCAUCAACAAAGUCAUCUUCACUGGGGUUCGAGUCGGUGUUGUCGAUGAUGAUGUAGUUAUCCGGGCAAGCGCAUUCAUCAUCUUCUGCUUUUGAUACUGGAUUUCCCAUGAAUACUCCAAUCUUCUUCUCCAGGUCGUCAUUCUUCCCUACUAGUGCGACGAUUUCCUCCAAAUAAUCCUCGCGUGUAGCCUUGAGUUCUUCCUCCAACUCCUUGAUCUUCAUCAAUGCCUUAUUCAGAUCUAUCUUGUCUUAGCACAUCUGGUUCUCCUGGCGACGAAUGUGUUGGUUUUGCUCCUGGAUGAAAGCUGCAAUUGAUCCAUCCUUCUUGGUGCUAAUCAUCUCCCAUUGCUCGUCUCGGCGUCCACAAAUCUGAUAAAUAGUAUCCUUAAGCUCCCUUUGGUAGACUUCUCCAAUGCAUCCCAUAGAGAUGUGGGCUGCCAUGCUCUUCCCUAAACUCCAGGUUGGUGCUUCAAAAGACAACUUUAUAGGCUCAGUGACUAGCAUAAACGUCCUUCCUGGAACUUGAACUUGAAUCUUCCAGCUCUCCUCUUCAGGUAAUGUGGCGUUGUAGGUUUCGGUGAUGCUUGGUAUUCCAAUGUUCAAGUACUUAGUGACUUCCUUCAAGUGUCGUCCAAAAGGCGUAUCUUCAUCCGGUUGCAUGAACUUGUUCCUUGCAUCCGCCAUUCCUAAAAGAGUAGAAAGUGGACAGGAGUCAGAAAUGAGAAGAGAGUAGUGUUCUAGGGUUUAAGCUUAGUGGUCGUGUCCUACAGUCAGCGUGUACUCUGAUACCACCUUUGUAGCGACCAGAUCUCAAACAGUUUGUGCUGCUGUGCACCAGUGUCAUCCCUGGAUCAGUAAUGCUGACACGCACAGUACAAAUGGAGGAUUUAUAACAGAGUAGCAAUCACACACUUAUUACAGCGAAUAUCUCAAAGGAGAAUAAGUAUGAUAUAUAUGGCUUAAGGCCAUCUAAUACGAUAACAGCGGAAGGCUUGGAAGAUAAGUGAGUCCAUCAACUCCAACGGCAUCACUGAGUAUAAGACCACGACCUAAGGCACCUUACUCGUCGUCUGAAAAGUCUGCAACAUGAAACGUUGCAGCCCAAAAACGGGUCAGCACAUGGAAUAUGCUGGCAAUGUAACACAUAGAGAGUAAUGAACAGAAUGAUAAUAUACUACAUGCAUAUAUGGCUGGUAGAAAGCUCUAUGGUUACAGUUUUGCGAAAAGCCAAUUUUUCCCUACUUCAAAGGAAUAAAUUUUAUUUAACUAUCAUGGUGGUUGUUAAACAUUGAGAUGGUUGACAGCAUCUCAAUCCCAAUUAAGUAUCAUCAUUAACCCAACAAAAUUAAUUAAAGUAACAUGGUGAUGAGAUUCAUAUGAUAAUCCAAGUACUAGAUACUCAAGUUGUCCAUAACCGGGGACACGGCUAACCAUGAGUAGUUUAUACACUCUGCAGAGGUUUGUGCACUUUUCCCACAAGACUCGAUCGCCUCCGCUGGAUUCUCGCACUACAUGAUGUUUGAAAAACGGAUGAUCGAGACAUAGUCUUUCAGAAGCGUUUGCACCUUACGAUGUGAUAGACCGUACCACCUACAUCCCCUACAUCUGCUAGUCUACCACUGUAAGAGUUCACACAACUUAAUCAACUAUGCUAGAGCCCAUAAUAGCAUGUGGAUGCACACGGAAGUUGCUAGCAUGAAUAAUCUCAUGAUCCCUUUGAACCUUGGUGGCGGUCCAAAAGAAAAACAGGCAAUCCUGGAAUACCCAGGUACCUCAAUCCACCCAGAUGUGAGUUUUAGUUGCCACCUUAAGUAAACCAUUAAAUAAAAAUCUCACAUCAGUCAUGAAUAUCUCUCAAACCCAAUCCACGUCUACAAGCAUAACAUGGCAAUAUAAGCAACGUAGAAGUAACUCCCAAGGGUUUGAUAAUAAAACAGGUAAUAGGUACUACCUCAAAUACUUCCCAAUACCCACAAUUUAAUUAGAUCCUAACCAAUGCAAUGUUUGAGGAUUGAUCUAAUGCAAUAAAACUGGGUAGUGAAAAGUAUGAUCAAAGUGUUACUUGCCUUGCUGGUGAUCCGUGAAACCUAGAGAUUUGAAGUAGCAAGCGGCGCACUCCGGGUACUCUAUCGCGAACAAACAAGAAAACAAUAAGUACUCAUCUAAUGCACAAGUAAAACUCAAAUAAAGAUCUAACCAGAAAGUUCAACUUAAGAAUUCCGGCUUGCAAAAAGAUUCAACUCAAACGAAGCAACGAAGGUCAAACGGCGAAAGAAACAAGCUUCAUUUACUAAUCUAGAUCUAAGUCAAAUUUUACAGUAGCAAAAACUUGUUUGAGUAGGUUAAACAGAAAGAGAAUUUCGAGAUGAAACUCUAGGCGCUUGAAUCACCUGAUUCCGAUAAACGAGCGAAAAGUUAAACCAGAACGAAAAUCUGAUCAAAAAUCGUGAUCUGGAAUAAUCGCGGAAAAUCCGACGAAAAAGAAAAAUGACGAACAGUUAAACGAACGGACGUUCGUUAACAGCGUUGAACCGAUGAACGCGUUCAUUAAAAUGAACGGAUCGGUGAACGUUCACUAUGUAAUAAACCAAAAAAAUAAACCGAUCUAUAUAAAAAAACUAGGGUUUUAAAAAAAAAUAAACCGGGCCGUUUUUUUUUAGAAACCAGGCACGGCGACGGCGUGGCUACCUCGGCGAGCAGCUCCGGCGGGGCUUCCGGCGGAUCGGGCGAGGGGCGGCGAGGUGGCGGGGCUCAGGCGGCGACGCACGGGCUCCCGGGCGGCGGCGUCUUCGGCGGCGACGCGGGCGCUCCUGGCGGCAGCGGCGGAUGCGGGUCGGNNNNNNNNNNNNNNNNNNNNNNNNNNNNNNNNNNNNNNNNNNNNNNNNNNNNNNNNNNNNNNNNNNNNNNNNNNNNNNNNNNNNNNNNNNNNNNNNNNNNNNNNNNNNNNNNNNNNNNNNNNNNNNNNNNNNNNNNNNNNNNNNNNNNNNNNNNNNNNNNNNNNNNNNNNNNNNNNNNNNNNNNNNNNNNNNNNNNNNNNNNNNNNNNNNNNNNNNNNNNNNNNNNNNNNNNNNNNNNNNNNNNNNNNNNNNNNNNNNNNNNNNNNNNNNNNNNNNNNNNNNNNNNNNNNNNNNNNNNNNNNNNNNNNNNNNNNNNNNNNNNNNNNNNNNNNNNNNNNNNNNNNNNNNNNNNNNNNNNNNNNNNNNNNNNNNNNNNNNNNNNNNNNNNNNNNNNNNNNNNNNNNNNNNNNNNNNNNNNNGGAGAGGUGGCGGGGUAGGGGGGUACUUAUAGGAGGGGGAGGGGGUGCCGUGGGGACCGGGCAAGGCGGCGGCGGGCGGCGUGCUCGAGCCGGACUCGGCGGCGGCGGCAGCCGUGCUCGGGAGGGAGACGGGCGCGGGGCAGGCUGGGCCGUCGGCUGGGCUUCGGCCCAGUCGGCGCGCUCGGCAUUUUUUUUUAAUUCGCCGAAUCUAAAAAAAUCACAGAAAAAUAAAUAAAAAUCCAAAAAUGAUAAAACAAAUUUUUCCCGUCUAAUUAAAAUAAUUAGAACGAGGUGAACAUUUCCUUGGCCCAAAAAUGCAGUUUUAAAACGUGCAAUUUUUUUAAUGCAAUUAAAAUUGCAAAUAAAAUCCGAAUAAAAUCAAAUAUUUGAUUUUAAUAUUUUCCUCCAAUAUUUCAGUUAUUUUGGAGAAGUCAUAUUUUCUCCUCUCAUUUAUUUUAAUACGAAAUAUUUUUCGGAGAGAAAAAUAAUUAAAACCAAAAUCCUCGUUUUAUUAUUUGAUAAAAAUCAAAUAUGAAAAACCUGGAAAAUCCCCAACUCUCUCCGAGGGUCCUUGAGUUGCUUAGGAUUUAUCGAGGAUUUGCCAAAAUGCAAAUAAAUAUGCUAUGCAAUGAUGAUCUAGUGUAUAACAUUCCAAAUUGAAAAUUUGGGAUGUUACAUUGUGAGCCCCAGUUAAAAUAUUAUAUGCCAAAAUUGUUGACAUUGGACAAGGAAGACAACGUAAUGAUUUAUGUUUGUUCAUAUUCACAUAGAAGUUAUAUUGUCAUAGAUCCUUCAACAUGUGGUGCUUGCCCCCCAUCUUUGCUAGCCAAAAAUUAUGCACUAAGUAGAGAUACUACUUGUGCAUCCAAAAACCCUUAAACCCAAAUCUUAUUUUCGAGAGUCCACCAUACCUACCUAAGGAUUGAGUAAGAUCCUUCAAUUAAGUUGUCAUCGGCGCAAUAAGGCAAUAAAAAUUGCUUCUAAAAGUGUGAGAUCAUUUAGUUAAGAGAAAAUUGAGCAUUUUACGGACUUGUUAUAUCAAAGAAUAAAAGCGAUAGACUACAUAAUAAAGGUUGCCAUCACAAGGGGCAAUAUAAUGUGACGUUCUUUUGCACUAAGGAGUUGAGCAUACAAACAAUUAAGCGCAUGACAACCUCUACUUCCCUCUGUGAAGGGCCUAUCUUUUAGUUUUAUGUAUUUACUUUUAUGCAAGAGUCAAAGUGUUCUCUCUAUUCCUUCCUAUUUUUCUCCUUUGGCAAGCAUCAUGUGGUGAGGAAAGAUCUAGGCACAUAUAUCCAGUUGAAUAUGUGUAGCAUGAGUUAUUAUUGUUGACAUCACCCUUGAGGUGAGUAUGUUGGGAGGCAAAACUAUAAGCCCCUAUCUUUCUAUGUGUCCGGUUGAAAUGUUUUGCUCAUGUGUAUGCAGUGAGUGUUAACAAUCAUAGAAGACUAUAUGAUGGUUGAGUAUGUGGACUUGCCUAAAGUCUCCGAUAUGUGAACGUUCCUGAAAAGAUGAUGAAUUGUAGUUCAGAGUUGACUGAGAACAUAGUUUGUUGGUUUCCAAUAGAGUUUAUGCUUUAUACUUCGAUAAUGUGAUGAAUUGCUACUUAUUCACGAGAAGUAUGUGAUAAAAGUUCUAUGAUAAAAGUUUUAUGUUAAAGUUUGUUGUUGUUAUAAUAAUUCACAUGAUGCUUCUAUGUCCGUAUUUUGUUUUUAUCGACACCUCUCUCUCUAAGCAUGUGGACAUGUUUUUAGAUUUCUGUUUUCGCUUGAGGACAAGCGAGGUCUAAGCUUGGGGGAGUUGAUACGUCCAUUUUGUACCAUGUUUACCUACUGUUAUUUGUAAUGUUUUGAUGCAUAAUAAUGCGUUUUGGAGUAAUUCUAAUGCCUUUUCUCUCAUAAUAUGCAAGGUACACUCAAGGAGGGAGAAUUCCGGCAGCAGGAAAUCUGGACCUGAAAAAGCUACGUAAGGCCACCUAUUCUCCACAACUACAAAUGAGCUGAAACUUUACGAGGAUGUUUUAUGGAAUAUUUAAGAAAUACUGGAGCAAAUAACCACCGGAGGGAGGCCACCUGGUGAGCACAAGACACCAGGGCACGCCAGGCCCGUCAGGCGCGCCCUGGUGGGUAGUGCUCAGUCGGGCCCACCUCAGGUGCCAAUCUUCUGGUAUAUAAGUCAUUUUGACCUAGAAAAAAAAUCGGAGGUGGACUUUCGGGACGAAGCGCCGCCGUCUCGAGGCGGAACUUGGGCAGGAGAACUUUUGCCCUCCGGCGGAGCGAUUCCGCCGGGGGAACUUCCCUCCCGGAGGGCGAAAUCAUCAUCAUCAUCAUCACCAACAACUCUCCCAUCUUGGGUAGGGGAAAUCUCCAUGAACAUCUUCAGCAGCACCAUCUCCUCUCAAACCCUAGUUCGUCUCUUGUGUUCAAUUUGUGUACCAGAACUAUAGAUUGGUACUCGUGGGUGACUAGUAGUGUUGGUUAUAUCUUGUAGUUGAUUACUAUAUGGUUUAUUUGGUGGAAGAUUAUAUGUUCAGAUCCAAUAUGAUAUUUAAUACCCCUCUGAUCUUGAGCAUGUUUAUCACUUGUGAGUAGUUACUUUUGUUCUUGAGGUCACGGGUGAAAUCAUGUUGCAAGUAAUCAUGUGAACUUGAUAUGUGUUCGAUAUUUUGAUAGUAUGUAUGUUGAGAUUCCCUUAGUGGUGUCAUGUGAACGUCAACUACACCAUAUUUGGGACUAAGGGAAUGCAUUGUGGAGUAGUUAUUAGAUGAUGGGUUGCGAAAGUGACAGAAGCUUAAACCCUAGUUUAUGCGCUAUUUCGUAAGGGACUGAUUGGAUCCAAAAGUUUAAUGAUAUGGUUAGAACUUAUUCUUAAUAUUUUUCUCCUAGUUGCGGAUGCUUGAGAGGGGGUUAAUCAUAAGUAGGAGGCUUUUUCAAGUAAGAGCAGCACCUAAGCAGCAGUCCACCCACAAAUCAAAUUAUCAAAGUAGCGAACACGAAUCGAAUCAACAUGAUGAAAGUGACUAGAUGAAAUUCCCAUGUACCCUCAAGAGCGCUUUGCUUAUCAUAAGAGACCAUUUUGGCCUGUCCUUUGCCUCAAAAGGACUGGGCUACCUUGCUGCACUUUUGUUACCGUUACCGUUACUUGCUCGUUACAAAUUAUUUUGCUAUCAAACUACUCGCUACUUACAAUUUCAGCACUUGUAGACACUACCUUGCUGAAAACCAAUUGUCAUUUCCUUCUGCUCCUCGUUGGGUUCGAUACUCCUACUGUAGCGACCCGAUCCCAAUGGAUCGAAGUCUCUGUGCUUAAGUGUCAUCCCUGGAUCGGUAUUGCUGACACACACAAUACUCGAGGAAUUAUAACAGAGUUCAGUCACACACUUAUUACAUCGAGUGUCUCAUAAGAGAACUUAUUACAAUAAUAUGGCUGAAGGCCAUCUAAAAUAAGAUAAUUGCGGAAACUUCGAAGAUAAAUGAGUCCAUCCAACUCCAUGGCAAAUCUGAGUGCACGACAACGACCUAGCGCACCUUUUACUCUUCGUCUGAAAAUUCUGCAACAUGAUACAUAGCAGCCGUGCAGGUCAGCACAUGGAAUAUGAUGGCAAGAUAACACUAUAGAGCAAUGAACAAAUAACAGCUAUCACUACAUGUAGUAUAUGGCUGGUGGAGGCUCUUAGUUUAUCAUUUGCAUAAAGACAAUUUUUUUCCUACAACAAAUGGAAUAGAUUUUAUUUAUCUACUAGUUUUAUGUCAUUAAUGAGAAGGUUCCUCCAACUCAAUCCCAAAAGAAUAUUAAUAACCCAACAAGUUUAUUAAGUAAGUGAUGAUAUCAAACAAUAAUUCAAGUACCAGAUACUCAAGAUGUCCAUAAGCGGGGACAUGGCUAAUCAUGAUUAGUUUGUACACUCUGCAGAGGUUUGCGCACUUUUCCCCACAAGACUCGAUCUCCUCCGUUGAAUUUCUCGCACUACAUGAUGUUUGAGAAAUGGAUGACUGAGACACAGUCUUUCCGAAGCAUUAACUCAUUACUCUAGUUAGACAGUACCACCUACUUUCCCCUACAUCUGCUAGCCUACCACUGAAAGAGGUCACACAACAUACUCAAUUAUGCCAGAGCCCAUAAUGUCUUGUGGAUCACACGAAAGUUUCUAGCAUGAAUAAUCUUAGGAUCCCUUUGAGCCUGGGUGGCAUUCCAUAGGAUGAUCACACGGGUACUCCGGGAUAUCCUAGGACAACACUGGAUUCUCCAGGUGCCCACAACCAAUCCACCUAGAUGUGUAUUAGAGUAGCCACCUUAAGUUUCCCUUAGUUAUUAUCUCUCACAACUUGCAUGAUUCUCUCAUACCAAUUCACGCCUACGAGCAUGGCUAAGCAAUAAGUAACAAAGCGUAUAUUCCCGGGGUGAUCAAAGGUAAUAGGUUCCUACCUCAUAGACUAUAGACAUACCACAUGUUACCAAUCUUACUCAUGCAAUGUUUGAGGGUUGAAACUAAUGCAUAAAAACUGGGUAAUAAAGGGAUAUGAUCAAAGUGUAACUUGCCUUGUUGAUGAUCGAAAAACCCUAGAGAUUUAUAGUAGCAAGCUUCGCACUCAAGCAAAAAUGCAAAGGUAAAACCAAAUAAAAGGUCUAAACAGAAAGUUCAAGCGAAGGGCUUCGAUUUGCAAAAAGAAUCGAUCAAAUCGAAACUACGAAACUCGAAUUACAAUCAAAAGAAGUUCAAAUACAAAUCUAUUUGAAACCAAAUUUUAAUUUUUCAAAAAUAUGUUCAAGUUGAUUAUCUGGACAGAGGGUAUCGUAACGAAGAAUUCGGCGUUGGUUUCAUUGAAUUUGGAUAAACGAGCAAAAAGUUGUGAGGGUUUGAAGAUCAGGGAUUAAACUACGAAGAAAAUAAUUACGAACGGGUUCCUGGCUGAAAAUAAACUAAAAAAGAAAAAUCUAACGAACGGACGUUUGCUAACAGAGACUAACGAACGAAAACAUUCACUAACAGAUCUAAACGAACGAACGUUUGCUAAUUAAACUAAACUAAUAAAAUAGACCGAUCUAAAAAGAAAAACCUAAAACUAAAAAACCCGGGUCGGGUUUUGCCGAUUUAUACCGGUUCGGUGAGAAAAAGUUGCAGCGGCAGAUCGGGCUCCGGCGUGAGGCGCAACGGCCGACGGCGGCUGCGGGGCGGGGUGGCGCCNNNNNNNNNNNNNNNNNNNNNNNNNNNNNNNNNNNNNNNNNNNNNNNNNNNNNNNNNNNNNNNNNNNNNNNNNNNNNNNNNNNNNNNNNNNNNNNNNNNNNNNNNNNNNNNNNNNNNNNNNNNNNNNNNNNNNNNNNNNNNNNNNNNNNNNNNNNNNNNNNNNNNNNNNNNNNNNNNNNNNNNNNNNNNNNNNNNNNNNNNNNNNNNNNNNNNNNNNNNNNNNNNNNNNNNNNNNNNNNNNNNNNNNNNNNNNNNNNNNNNNNNNNNNNNNNNNNNNNNNNNNNNNNNNNNNNNNNNNNNNNNNNNNNNNNNNNNNNNNNNNNNNNNNNNNNNNNNNNNNNNNNNNNNNNNNNNNNNNNNNNNNNNNNNNNNNNNNNNNNNNNNNNNNNNNNNNNNNNNNNNNNNNNNNNNNNNNNNNNNNNNNNNNNNNNNNNNNUGAUGAGGGGGAAAGAGUGGCGGGAUGGCGGCUUAUUAGGAGGGGGGCGGCAUCCGACUUGGGGAGGGGGUCGGGGUGCGUGACGGCGGCUCGGACUCCGGCGAGUCCGGCUCCCGCACGGCAGGAAAGGCGGCGGCGCAACGGGCCGGCUCGGCCUUCGGCCCAGUUCGGUUCGGAGAAAUUCUUUUGUAAUCGUGCCGCAAAGAAAAUCCAAAUAAAAUAAAAUAUAUUUCCUAAAAAUUGCAGAAAUAAACUUCACCAUCCCCUCCUUAUAUUUGGGACAACGUGAACAUUUUUCUAGGCUAAAUGCAAUUUUUAAAAAUGCACAUUUUAACCUAAUUUAGUAAAAUGCAACCGAAUAAAAAUUCAAAUAAAACUCAAAUAAAAUAUAUUUUCUUAAAAAUUAAAUUUCCAAUAUUUCCCGCUGUUUUGAAGAAGUCAUAUUAUCUUCUCUCAUUAUUUUAUUUAUUUCAAAAUAAUUGGAAAAAUAAUUUUGAAUAAAAUCUCUUUGAUCCAAUUUGCCAAAUUUGAAAAUUAAAAAAUUGAUUUUUGUGAAAACCUCCAACUCUCUCAAUUGGUCCUUGAGUUGCUUAAGGUUUCUAGGACCAAAACUCCAAAUAAAACGAAUUCAAAGAUGCAUAAAUUAUGAAUGCAUAUGAUGACCUAACGAAUAACAUCCAUCUUGAAAAUUGGGAUGUUACAAACCUACCCCCCUUAAGAUGAAUCUAGCCCUCGAGAUUUGGGUUGGCUAGUAUAAAGGUGUGGGUGGUAUUUUCGGAGGUCUUCUUCUCGCUCCCAGGUGGCUUCCUCCUCGGUAUGGUGGAUCCACUGAACUUUGCAAAACUUGAUGACCUUGCUGCGUGUAACUCGGUUGGCAAACUCGAGAAUCUUGACGGGUUUCUCCUCAUAGGUUAGGUCACUCUCCAACUGAAUUGCUUCCAGGGGCACUGUAUCUCUCAGAGGAAUAUCGUCCAUCUCUGCAUGGCAUUUCUUCAGGUGGGAAAUGUGAAACACCUCAUGAACUCCUGACAAACCUUCGGGUAACUCCAACUUGUAGGCAACUUCAACCAUACGUUUCAAAACUCGGUAUGGUCCUACAAAUCAUGGGGCUAACUUUCCUUUGACUCCAAACCGUUUAACUCCUUGAAGUGGUGACACACGAAGAUAUGCUCUGUCUCCGACUUUGUAGGCUACCUCCUUGCGUUUACUAUCGGCAUAACUCUUUUGCAUGGAAAGAGCUACCUUGAGUCUAUCUCGAAUCAACUUGACCUUCUCCUCAGACUCUCUGAUUAAGUCUAGCCUGAACAGUUGUCGGUCUCCAAGUUUAUCCCACAUCAAUGGUGUCCUGCACCUCCUUCCAUAUAAGGCUUCGAAAGGGGCCAUCUUCAAACUGGCUUGGUAACUGUUGUUGUACGAGAACUCACUACAAGAAAUAUGUCAACUUGCGACCAUCACUAUUGGUCGCUGAAAGGUCAUUGUUUUUCAUUUGUGACUUUUUUGUGACCAAAAACAGAUGGUCAAAAGCUGACGGUCGUAAACUGAAAUUCACGACCUUCUUUGUGAUAUGUAAAAGGUCGUUGGUUCUUUGACCAAAUUUUUGGUCACUAGCAGCCUCCCCAGGCCACGUAGGAUCCAGCGUGGCAAGCUGACGUGGAUAAGAAUCAGCCUAGUCCAAUUUGAUGCCUAUAUGGGCCGAGCCCAUUAAUUCAGCCCAUUUAUAUUUUUUUUCCUAUGAAUUUUUUGUCAGCUUCAUGGACCAAGCCCAACAUUGCAGCCUUUUUAUUUUUGGGUCGUGGGCUUUUUGUCUCAAUAGUUUCAGUUCACUUUUUUUUAUAAAAUGGGUUCACUAGUCAGGUGGGUCCUUGCUGUCAGUGUCACAUUCUUCAUUUUCCAAUUUAACGUAAAUAAAUACACAAUAUUUAAAUUGGCACAUAGAAAACACACAAAAUACUUCAAAUAUUAUCAACUAGAGUUAGUACAGAGCUGCUGUUGUACAAAUAACACGUAAUAAGAUCUAACAUACACUUUGCAAGCUCUACAAGUGUAACAACAGUAUGGCAAUCAUAGUUACAUGCUCCACAAGUUCAAUAACAUGGUACUUUACAAUCUCUACAAGUGUCAUGUUCUUCAGGAUGGAGCUCCUUCGACAGCGAUUACAAACUAGGCACCUGCUCUUCUUGCCAUUGUGAGGAGGUGGAUGCUCACCAUGGUGUGCUUGAUGAUGCACACGACCAUGAUCUUCUUGCCACUAUUGCAUCCGUGCGCUCGAUGAUGCUGGUACCAAUGCAUACAACUAGAACAAAAUUGUCAGCAUUAACCCACAACUUCAAGUACAAGCUAAGUAUGUAUCAAGUGACAACAAAAACAAGUUUAUAUGCUAGUACAAAAUCACCAUCAUUAACUAGUUUAUAUGGGAAUGAAAACAAUCAUCAGUACUGGAUUGAACACAAUGCUAUCUUCAUAUUAGCAAACAGAAUAUCUCAUUUUCAUAUUCUCAGUAAGCAAGUACAGUCUGCUUCAACCCAUGUUCUAAAAAAGAUGUUUAUCCCUCCCAGGAGUACAUUUGAUGGUUUAUUAUGGGACGGAGGUAGUAUGUAUCAAGUAACAAAGAAAACAAGUUGAGUAAAACGGUAAAAAUGCAGCAGGGAACAGACUUCUUUUAUAUGGGUAUGUUUCAAUUGCAUACAACAAGACAAGUCAUUAAUUGAAUGUGAAUAUCAAUUCAAAUUGCUACAUUGUUGUACCAUAUCCUUCAAUGAAAGAUUAUUAGUAAGUAACUGGUGUUCCCGGGAUUCAAGAUGCAUUAUUUUGUCACCAAACUUUCAGAGAUGUUGGUGCUCACCUUCCAUCUUCGCGAGGUGCUUCUUCACCUUGCCGGCGCACACUUUGCAGUGAAGGGACACCUUCAGCACGACCACCUGCACGAUCAAGUAAACUGAAAUUAAGUUAACAAAAGGAAGGCAUGGCAAUGGGCAUGGGCAAAUUAACUUUUGUCGACAUAGCAGCAUGGUAGCAAUGAAUUAACAUCAUCAAGUUAACAUAACAGCAUGGCCAUGGCAGCAUUUCGGUAGAUUAAUAUCAUGCAUCCGAAAUAGCAAGAUUUGUCCAUAAAUCCUAGCUUUAAUACAAAAUGAGCAGUUGCAAUUCUAGUAACAAUCUGAGAACACAGUCCUCUCGGUUUGAACAACACUACAAAAAAAGACACAUCCGUGACAUUUUGGGCCGAACGAAAUUUUUUGUCAUACUAAUGAAACUUCUAUGACGAUAAUUGUGACAAAACCCGGUAUCAUCAUAGAUGUGGUGGGCUCCUACUUCUAUGGCAAAAAAUCAUGACAGAAAAUGGGCUUUUCGUCCUGGGCGGGCCGUAGACGUAGCUGCAUGACAUUCUUUGGGCCGUCCAUGACAGAAAAAACCGUGGUAGAAGCGAGGGUGAGGAAAAUAUCGGGGUGUUCCCGGUUACGGUGCGUGGUCGGGGCCGAGCGAUGCACGGAGGUUUGCGCGUUUCUCUCGUACAUGCACAUGCGUGGGUGCGAGGCGUUGGGCUCUAACUGAACCCGAGCGAGGCGUUCGCCUACUGAACCCGAGCGAUUGUACUGCAGGCUACGCGUUACGGAACCUGAGCGAUCGAUCAAUGGCUGUUAACUGAACCCGAUCGAGUGAUUCCUUCGCUACUGCUGCUAACUGAAGCUGGUUGAUGCUGCCUCUGGAUGAACAGUGAGCGUUGCUGGGGGGUUUGGAUGAACAAUUCCCGGUGGGGGUGGAUGAACAGGACCCUGUUGUGUUGCCUCUGGAUGAACAGGACCCCGAUCAAUUGAGCCGGUUGGGGCUGGAUGAACAGGACCCCGUGGAGGGCUGGAUGAACAGGACGACCCCGUGGACUGCUGGAUGAACAGUAGACGGUGGAGGGGUGGAUGAACAGUAGCCCGUGGAGGGGUGGUUGAACAGGAGCCCGUGGAGAGGGCUGGCUGAACAGUAGCCGGUGGAGUAGCGCGCGGUGGAGGCUGGAUGAACAGGAGCCCGUGGAUGAACAGUCGCAGGUGGAGGAUAGAGGAGGUCGAUGGUGGAUGAACAGUAUCCCGUGGAGGCUGGAGGAGGUCGACGAUGGAGAUGAACAGUAUCCCGUGGAGUCCCGUUUUGCGGUAUGCCACACCCCUCCCGAUGAACAGGACCCCCGUUUCGACCGUAGCGCUCCAACACAAGUCCGUUUCCUCCAUUUUGCGGUACGCCACACCCCUCCCGCUCAACAGGACCCCGUUUCGACUCUAGGAGGUCCAACACAAGUCCGUUUCCUCCGUUUUGCGGUACGCCAGACCCCUCCCGAUGAACAGGAUCCCGUUUCGAACGUGGCCGGUCGAACACAAGGCCGUUUCCUCCAUUCUGCGAUAUGCCAGGCCUCGUUUCCAUCGCCUGUUCCGUCCAAGCCAGUUGGCUCCCACGCGUUCCGUUGCCUCCCGAUGAACACGACGCAUUCCGUUGCCUCCCGAUGAACACGACGCAUUCCGUUGCCUCCCCAUGAACAUGACGAUGAUGCAGUUUCUCCGUUCCGACCCAGCCAUGUACACGAGCCCUGGCCGUACGUAUGCGCGAGUAGGCGUUCGAGACCCCGCCUGUAGGUACGUAUGUGGCCGUAUUUUCUUUCUUGCACACUGGCCGCUGUACGUACGUGUACAUGCUACAUGCGCGCCUCUACUACGACACGUGCACGCCUCUACUACAACACGUGCGCACCUCUACAUCGACCAGUAUGUACGUACAUGUUCGAGACCAGAAUGACAACACUACGUACGCUUCGACCAUGUGAGUCCUGACUAUUAGGCACUUCCUUACGUGCGAAGAUGUAGCUGGUGGGUCCCAGCAGUCAGGGGCGAAUCGUUUUUUUUGCCCGGACACACUUCCUUGCGUGCGAAGAUGGUGCUGGUGGGUCCCAGCAGUCAGGGGGGAAAUGUUUUUUUUGCAAAAUAUGGUGGCCCGUCCGGUGGGUCCCCGCUGUCAGGUGGAGGAAUAAUUAUUUUGCGCGUAAUAAGGAGGCACUUCCCUGCGGCCACCAUGGACCCAACUAUCAGCGUCUCCACGUACAGUACUCUUCAGAUGGAAGUCAUUCCUUGACCACAUUGACCACGCAGCGCCGAGAGCACCAGGGCGGUGGACGACGGCGAGGCCUAGGAAGGGGACGACGCGGAGCCGGGGAAGACGCGACAGAGGAAGCCCGCGCGAAGAGGAGUACGAGGGUUCACUGGUUCAGCUGCGGUGUGAGGCUGCCGUUACCGCAGGGCCUGGCCAGCGGUGGGAAUAGUAGGUGCGGUGAGGCCUCCGCGGCAGCACAGCCGACCACGGGAGGCAGGAGCAUGCGGCACGACCGGCGGUGCUUUGGGCGGCUGGAGCACGAAGAUCAGAGGUUGAAGAAGCACUACGGCCGUUGGAUGGACAUCGUACGAUCACUGGCGCUAGAAUCGUUCAUAUUGACUAAGUUGACAAAGCCCUCCGUCCCUGUCAACUUAGUAGGCCCACAAGUUAGCGUCCCACCAAGGUGGGUCCCAGCUAGCAGGGGGAGUAUUCAUUUUUUUGUGCGUAAUCAGGAGGCAUUUCCGGUGGGUCCGAGCUGAUAGCGAGGGGAACAUUUUUUCACGAAAUAUAGAGGCCCUUUCGGUGGGUCCCAGCUAUCAGGUGGAGGAAUCAUUAUUUUGCACGUAAUAAGGAGGUAUUUCCCUGUGUGGGCCCCUACUGUCAGCCUCUUCCGAUGGGUGUUGUUUGUUGACUAUGUUGACCUCGCCAUGCCGAGAGCACAAACGCGGUGGACGAGGGCGAGGCCCAGGAAGGGAACCACCCAGAGCCGGCGAAGCCACCGCAGCGGAUGCCCACGCUGAGGGGAGUACGAGCGCUGACUGGUCGGCUGCGGGGUGAGGCUGACAUCGCCGGAAAAUAAGAGGAUGUGUGGGUAGUUAGAGGGAUGGCCUGGCGGCGGCACAGCCGGCCACGGGAGGAGGGAGCAGGCAGUCCCGUCGGCGCUGGUUUGGGUGGCUGGAGCAAGAAGAUCAGAGAUUGAAGAAGCACGGCGGCCGUUGGAUGGACAUCCAACAGUCACUGCUGUGUGUUGACUAAGUUGACAAAGCCUUGCGUACGCGUCAAAAAAAAUUUAGGACAGCGUCAUCGUCAACCUGGUAGGCCCGGAAGUCAGCCUCCAAAUCUGUGGAAAACAGCAUACAGCCCAUUAGCCAUUAUUUUCAAUAAUUUACAACCAAUUUGCUAAUUCUUAAGGAUAUUUGAAGCCCAUAUUCUUUUUAUUAGCAUUACAGACCAUAUAUUCUGGGCACUGCUAAAAAAUUCAACGAAAUUUUGCAUAUUUCGGUGGGGUCCGAACUAUUUUAAUCACGAAAUUUCGAGUCAUGUUAAAAAUAUUUUUAAAGAAUAAAAUUCAAAAAAACAAUUCUCUGCAAAAAAAUGAAUGAAAUUUAGAAUCUUGACUAGCAAGAUGCCCGUUCGUUGCACGGAACAUGAAGAUGCAUUUGUAUGAGUAGUUUAUCUUGUGGGAGAAAAGAUGAUAUUUUAAUGUAAUUGCCAGUUGGCUUUGGUUUUUAUAAGAGUAGAGAGCAGAGAAAUCCUGAAAAAAUGAUAUUUUAAUGCAAUUGCCGGUCGGCUUUGGUUUAAAAAUUUACAGCCCAUUUCUUACAACUUAUAGCCCAUUUUCUAGGGAGGCCCAUUUCUUACUACUUACAUCCCUCCUCGUCUUGAAAGAUUUGCAGCCCAGCAGAGCUGAGAAAAUCAAGUAGGCCUCGGUUUUGCUAUUCUCCAAAAAAAAAAGAACUGGGCUAGCCAUUUUCAGAAAGAAAAAAAAUAUCAACUGGGCUCGUCAUGUGCUUAAUAAAAGCAUAAGCGUGGGCUAGACGGGCCAUAGCCCCCGCACAGCGCGCAGUUGAGCUCUGUCUCUGAAACUAAAAAACAACUGGGCGAGCUGCUGGGUCCCUGGUGUUAUCCGCUCGUAGUGUAAUUUUCUCGUUUAUUGGCUACAUUGACAAUGGCGUGGGACCUAGUUGUGAAACAAUUAGGAGGAAGUAUUUUUUUGGCUUGUAAUAACGAGGCACCUGCUUGCAAAAUGCAAUGACCCUGGUGGGUCCCUACCAUCAGCCUCUCCACGUACAGUCAUCUCCUGAUUCCUCUUGGUUGUUGACCAUGUUGACAACGCCAGACGGCGGCGGGCACAGCGAGCGAACCAACGCGGAGAACGACGGCGAGGCCUUAGACGGAAACGAACAACAGCCGUGGAAGAUGCGGCAGUGUAGUGGCAGGUGGAGGGGAGUACGAGGGCAACAACAUGCAACUGAAGCAUACAAAUGGUACAAAAAGCCCAAGGAUUAAUUGUUCAUCAAAUUUUUAGACAAAACCCAGAUUGAACAUGGCAGUAACAUCUAACCCAACCACUCUUUUUUGCAGUCACAAACAAAUGGAUCGGUCUGAUCCAUAAAAUCAAUAUCGUGUGCAAAAAAAAAUUAUUUCAGAAUGACUACAACUUGUUGUAAAUAGAAGCCGAGAACGUUUAGAAGCCCAUUUGUCCACAUGAAACUUCUUUUUUUGCUGUUCAACAUGUCCGUCCGUGAGAAAUCUCUUGCAGUAAAAAUUAAGCCUCAUGGACAAUUAUAACCUCGCAUUCAAGAGGAAGAAUGUGACAAAGCUUCUGUUUUCCUGGUUGGAUGCAUAUCCUUCCAUCGUUAUUCUCCUCAAACGAAUGUCAUGAGAACUGAGAAGAUCCUGGUGCUUAUUAGGCCACCGAUUGGUUAUAUGUUUUGCUCCAUGUGGUUCUGCCUAAGUAGACAUGAAGAUUGAAAACAGUUAAGGUCUGAAAAAAGAGUAUGUCGAAAGAACGACAACUGAACAGUUAAUUCUAGUACAAUAUAUACGGGCUCUCAAUGUGUAUGAAAUCACCAUCUCUAUAUAUAAGUUCUCCAGAGAUCGAAAGCAUCACAGCAAGCCAAUAAUUAUGUUCAGAUCAAAACUAAACAUUCUGAUAUAUAUGAUCUUGACAGAAUCCAGCAGCAUUGAUAGGCUAUCAAUGGACGAACUCUUCAUUGAGCAUAUAACGUAAUAUUAGUACCCAAAGUGUACUCCAAGAUGAUAUAAAACUUAUGUGCACAAAUGAAAAAUGCAGCUUAUGAUUACAAAUGUGUAGAUGAUAAUAUACGGUACCUGAAAAAGUGAGGAGCCAAACACCAACUCCUUGUGAUCAUUAAACGGGUCACGAAUGACACCCAAGGUCUCCAGUUUGGGCGCAGAGACGACAAUUAUUUGUGAAGGUCUAUAACAAUUAUCAAGGAGCAACCUUUUAAGUGAAUGGGAAUCUUCGAUGAUGAGUUGUUGUCCUUCAAAACAAAUUCCAAUGCUUUUAAGGUGAGGCGACUUUAUUUGGAGAAACUGAUACAGAUUUUUAUUCCCAAAACAAUCAGCAAGCGCUCCAGGGCAGGGAAACUGGAGUGGAUGAUGCUGUGCAGUCAGGCCUCCAACAGAUAAACCACCACAAGCGAAAGUUUUUUUAGCAGUGGGAGUCGAAGCAUUUGUACCAGAUCGUCUGGUAGAUGGCACCGGGCGAAGGUGGCGGUGUGGAGAGAGGAGGAAAACCGCGAGAUGGACAACGGUGGUGUGGGCACGAAUUCUUGGUGUGUUCGUGGUCUGGAACUUUUGUGGUAAUGGUACAACUCAAACUGCUGGAGUUUUCCGAAAUCAGGGGAUGUCAGCCAAGCAUCCACCAUGCCGGGUAUGGAUAGCAGGUAGCGUGUCGGGAUGCAGAGGCAUUGAAUGGGGCCCUGCUGGUGAGAAGAGAUGAUGGCUCUAAGGAGAUCAAAUUCAGGAAGGACAAAUAUCUGACGACAGUCGAGAUUGAGGGGCGCGGUGCGCCACAGAGGGCGCCACCGAGUUGAGAGGACAUGUGUGCGGCAGCAAUCCUUGGUGAGGAGAAGCGAGAUGAUCUCCUCAAGGAUGACUUCCGGGAGAUCGCUGAUGCGGUCCACCGGAGAUUCUACCGGUUCCUCAGAUCCGGGUGGGGGUGCUCGCCGCUUCUCCCAGCGCUAACGGGUGCAGGAUCUACAACCGGCGUCGCCGCUGGCGGGAGCCUCAUCUUCUUGGCGCUGGGGCCAGCCGACUCCAUUUUCCUUGUGGGCGUCGCGCCGAGCUCACGAGUUUGAGCAGAGUAGCCAGAGAGGAGCAUAGUGGCAGUGCGAGUGGGGAAGAAGGAGGGUUGGGGAUUUCUGUAGGAGUGGAAGAAGAGGAGCAGGCGUUUUCUGUAUGAGUGAGGAAGAAGGUGAGCGGGGGUUUUCUGGACGAGUGAGGAAGAUUGGGGAGCGGGGGGAAUUGGGCUGAGACGGAAGCGGGAGAGUGAGCUGUUCGUGUUUAUAAGGCCCGAUGCACUAACUACUCGCUUAUUCCCAAGAACCGCUCUCUUCUUUUGCGUUGCAAUUGAUGCUGACACAUUUGCAGCAAACACAUGAGGCAAUAGAGAUGACUCAACAUGGGUCCAUAUUGUGCAGUUCCCCUGAAAUCAUCUUCAUUGUCCUGAAUCUGAGAAGAUAGGAAAACAGUAGCGAUACUUAAACGGUGUUGCAAAACAGUAGCACAUGUCAAUAGCUCGGCAUGACAAAACACGAUCGUUUGGACGAAGGGGAUACUGACCUGCCUAAGGAAGAUUAUAUAUAAUUUCAUAAGUCCUUGGUUGAUUUCCACGUUCGGCUGCACUGCUUCUUUGCUCCUCCACACAUGACAGGAUCGUUCCGCACUGCAGUCAGCAAGUCAACAUACGAAUAAGCUAAUUUCAUCUUGCGGUGGUCAUUGUACCUAGUUACGAAUGUAGGAAUACCUGGAGCACCAUGAGGUUAGCUGACAGCAAGUAGAUGCAGCCAUAUAAACGGUGCUACCAAAAUUGAGCUUUGUAUCCCUUCCCGUUAUGAGAAUUCUUCUUGAAGUUGGUAGAAUGUGAUGGCUUGUUCUUUGCAUCAAACUUGCCUUUCCCCUAAGAUUUGGUCUUGUUGUUUUGGGGCUGGUUGGGCUGGAAGUUCUUCUCGUGUACCAUGUGGGCACUAGAAGCUCCCUCAGCAACCCGAGCACGUGUGUCUUUUGCUCUCACCUUCUCCUCAAAAUCAACAGUGCUAAUGAGAUCCAAAAUAGAAAAAUCAUGUCUCUUGUUUUUCAGAGGAGUGGCAAAAUCGUUCCACGGCGGUGGAAGCUUGGCAAUGAUGGUCCCAGCAACAAAUUCGUCUGGCAACACACACUUAAAGUACUCAAGUUCCUUAGAGAGUGACUGUAUCUCAUGAGUCUUAUGAACAAUAGAGCGCUCAUCAGUCAUCUUGUACUCACAGAAUUGCCCCAUGACGUACAACUCGUUGCCAGCGCCCGAGGGCCCAAAUGUGGCCUCGAGCGCAGCCCACAUGUAUUUGCCGCUGUCAAACGACAUAUAUGAAUCCACAAUGGAAUCCUCAAGAACACUCAGCAGGGCAGCUUUGAAGAGGGUAUCCAUGUUCUCAAAAGCUUCCUGCUGUGUAGGAUUAAGAUCGCCCUCAGGCUUAACCUUAGUGGCGUCAUAGCAGUACAUGAUCUGAAACCAAUAUACUGCUCUUGUGUGCCACCUUUUAUAUUGCACCGCCUUAAAAGUAGGCGGCUUCAAAAGCGCAGCCAAACAGAUCGGAGUAAAUUGCCUAUAAUCAGGUUUUUGGAUUGGAUUGUUGAAUAUAUGAGCAAUUUACUAUGAGAUUUAAUCCGAAUCAACAGUAAAUAGAUCAUGACGACAAUUGCAAACAUCAAAGUUAUGAUGCGGACUAAACUAGGAGCAUAGAAUCACAUACUGUAUAGCAGGAGCAGAACCGCUGUGGUUGAUGUUGUCACUCAUGUCGUUGAUGAAGAGGUUACCGAGGUCGGGGAAGAAGGCUGUCGCUGAGGAAGGCGUCGCUGGCAGCAGUCACAGGAGUGUGCUCCCCAAAAACCUUAUCGCCCCUCUCCCGUACAGUAUCACGAAAGGCGAGGUUCGGAGGACUGCUGUCCCUUCUCGCGGUGCACGCCGAAAGGAGGGCUGGAGAAGAAUUGCGUGGCGGCACUAAGAUCUGGAAUGGUGCGAAACCAUAUGAUACAGCGGCGGCUAGGGUAGAGCAUGACAGGUCGGUCGUGCGAGUAAGUCCAAGUAUAAUAGUAGGCCUUUGGCCCCCAAACCCCACAUCCAAGUUAAUAAUAGCCCCACCAAGGUUUGUCUCAAAACAAUUGAGUAAUUAAGGCAUCCGUUAGUCCCUUUAGUAUAAAUACUAUACCAUUAAUAAUGGCCCCACCUUUUGUCUCACAAAGUAUGUUGGGGCUCCUGCUACAACCGGCUACAAGUUUACAAUCCGCUUCUCUUCUCUCUCCUCUUCUCUCUCCUUCAACUAAGCACAAAUACUAUAUUUAAAUCCUUAUAGCCUGCUUAUGUCAUCUAAUUGUAGUACUUUCCCUAAAGUUACUCUCCACUGUGUAGUCUGAAAUGCCGGGCAUGCAGCAGGCGGUGCCCUCGGUCGGCGUGCCGCUUCAACGGCGGAAGCAGUGAGAGGUCGCGUCGCCCUGACUUGCCAUCAAUGUGGAGCGGCGGGCUCAGCUGGCGCCGGGCGGGAAGCGUGCGCGGGAGGGGGGAGGGUUUUUUGUUGGGCCAAGAAGGUGAGAAGCCAACUUGGGAUCGGUCCGGAUGGGGAAAUAUCAUGUGCUCCCAUACUCUGCAUAUGACACUAGUCUAUGUUACUACUCCCUCCUUUUCGGUAUAUAGAUAUGUUGGGCCAAGAAGGAGUAGAGGCGACUGGGGACGCACCACGUCGUGGGCACUCCGUACAUGCUCGUGUGCAUGCAGCGUGCGAGUUUUUGCAUCGGUGCAAGCUCUAAGGCCGAGGCUGCGGUCGUCUUUGUCUCCGACUUGUCGUUGAUCAACGACGGCAAAGAGGUAUUGCAAGAGAUGCGUAGGCGCCGUUGUGUGCGAGCUUCGCCGUAGCACGACGAACCGGACAUCGCCGCAGAUGGCGCACACCUCCAUGCAGCCGAGUGUGUGCGCAUGCAUGUGUUUUUCACGUGCAUUCUGCUGCCGAGUGUGUGUGCAUGCACGCGUUGUGUACGUGCAUUGUGUGCUCCAUGCUAUGCGCGUAUGUGCAUGAGUUGGAUUGGAUGGAGCUAGUGCGUUGGCGUGUGUACAUGCGUGGCUGCAUGCGUCCUGUACAUGCGUGGCUUGUUGCGUGGUUAUCAAUAUAAACUAUAAAACACCUUCAACUUAGCAUCCUGAUGUAUCGUUUCUAGUGGUUACCGAAUAGUUCAAUUUUUUUUAUUUGUUUAUAGGUGGGCAGGCGGCAAAAACAGGGGAAAACACGCAAGGUUCCUUGCAGACGCUCCACCCCGAGGUUCCUUGCUCCUUCUCGGUCGUUGGGAAUCUAUGUUCUUCAACUCUUUUCUUUUACAUGAGCUUUGUUCAUCCUUUUGCCAACACGCGAGACAUCUAGCAUCAAGGUGCACGUGUCAUGCAAGAAAAUGGAGAUAAUCAGAUAAGCAGUGCGUAAGUGGGUCAUGCACUUCGAUGGCACCUACUACUACGCAAUAUUUUUUCUCCUCGAUGGCACGUGAAUAGUGCACGUACUCAACGACGGAGCACGGGAUGGUAGCCAUGACAUGGUCAACCCUUUUUUGGAGAGAGUACGUACUAAAUAACUUUGAUGUGUCCCGUCAACUCGCACAACGACGAGAAGCUUGAUUACGCCUUCUCCCUCGCCAACGCGUGCGUGGUGGCUCGCAGCAUGAGGAGAAACUUUUGCUUCAAGCGGUGACGUGCAGCAGUUCAUUUGGUGUCAGAUUGCCAGAAGUACUACUGUAGAACCAUCGACUUCCGGAAGAGGCAAAGAGCCAAGCGCAAGGUCACCUACUAACCUUAGACUAGGCGUAGUGGGAGUAACAUAAGUAGUGGUACCUCCUUUUUUAUUCUAGAAACAACCACAUGCGAAUAUCGAGGUGCUGGUUACGUAGAACAAAUUUCCUAGAGUCCGUGCUCAGCCCUCCUCUGUCUCUCUUCUCAGCCAGCCAGCAGACGCGCGGAGCCCAUCGUCUGUUUGCUCAUAUGCGGUCCCACAUGUGAGUGAAAACGCAAGAGGACCCACUGAACCUUCACAUCUUUCACCUCGACGUGCUGGUGAUUAAAAACAAAUCCAAUAAAGAUCUUCGGUGGCCGCUUUUGGAGUGACUCAAGAGUAGUAAGAUUCUAUUUACAGUUUAACCCAAGAUGCACAUCACGUGGCUUCAACUACCACUCUAUUUUCUUGCAUGCAGGACCUGGAUGCUGGAUGUCCCACGUGUCGGCAAAAGGAGGUAGAACCCAACCAAAUCUUGGGUUGUGCUCUUGGAUUAGACUAGUUGUGCUAACCUAAAAUUUUUAUUGUGUACUCCCUCCGUUCCUAAAUGUAAGUCUUUGUAGAGAUUCCACUAUAAACCGCAUACAGAUGUAUAUAGAUGCAUUUUAAGUUUAGAUUCAUUCAUUUUGCUCCGUAUGUAGUCCACCUAGUGGAAUCACUACAAAGACUUAUAUUUUGGAAUGGAGGGAGUAGAAUGGAUGCAAGUUUUGGUAUUGGGAAGAAGAGCACGGCCAUUGCAUCCGAGAAAUGGCACAGACACGACGCCAUUGCCCUACCCAAACAGACAGAAUCCGGGAAAAACGGAGGUCCGUUUGGGGUCGUGCGUUGGAGUUGGCCUUAAAAGUGGGACUGCAGUUGAGGAAACCGACUAUCGGCAAACCUCCACCUCGCCCGCCACGCGAUGGCUGAGUUAGAGAAACGACGAGGUUGAAGAGAUUGUUGUAGCACGGACUCCAAGAAAUAUGGUGUCAGAUGGAAGUCGUGCUGGUGGCGUGUGUCAUACUCCUGGACGUGAACUCUUGUUCUGGCCCAUGCCACCGUACUACUCCUACUACUUAUAUAGUAGUAGUAUCGAGGAUUCGAGGUGCUGGUUAUGUACAGCGAACACAUUAACAUAUGGACCACCUCACACUGUGGCCAAAUUUCCUGGAGUCUGUGCUAGGUUAAAAAGUGUUCUUUGUGAGGGUGGGUGGCUGGUCUCAAGUUUAAAACUUGUUGUAUUACGUAUACGUAGACGUAGAGAUAGUGCAGCAGUUCUGAAAGUUUGAACCCAAACAUCAGAAUGCAAUUUCUAUUGGACUCAUCCGAGGACCUAGGAUGAUGGGAUUCGCAGCUACAGUAAAAACACCCGCCCGACGCGUGAAGCAUGUGAAGCUAGUACAAAUAGUGUACUACUAUUGUUGAUUGGCCUCAUCUGAUAACCUGUUGCAAUGCACGUACAAUUAUGUAUUCGGAAAAUAUUUUUUUGCCUCGUCGCAACACUCACUCAGAGAGGCGACUCGAAAGCCAUUCAUAAAUUUAGUAAGUUUAUCACAGGCAUAUCAUUUUAUUAGAUACAACAGGUCAUCAACCCACAACGACAACAAGGAUACAUUAUAAAUACUAAAGUUUUCAUCACACAACAAAUAACAAGCAAUGAAAUGAACUUCAACUCAACCAAUCCUCGGCAUUGGAAACGCUUGCUAUGAACCACAAGUGAUUCUCUGGAAGGGCCAUCUAUUGUCAAUCUCGAGACCAAUGCAGGACUGAUCAUCCAGGCUGAAGCGGCCUACUAUAUCAGUACCAGGGUAGGGAACCACCGAAAUGUCUGAGGUAUAGAUACAGUUGCUUCUCAUAAAUGGUACUAGCAACAUUGUGUCAACAGCAGUUGGAUCGCCUUUCACCAUCAUUGGAUAGUUUUGUCCAAGGAAGAGCGAGUUUUCUCUAAGACUAUCAAUUCUGUACCAGGGAGAAGGUGUUGGCGCUAGCACACUAGUAUCCAUCCCGAAUACCAUGCAACGGGUGAUGGAAUAGGUCCGGAGAGUGCGACCAUGGGAGACAACACCUGCUUCCUUAGUAGUAACAUCAGCAGUGGGCUGUAUACAGACAAGAAGGGGUGAUCCAUCAGAAUAAGUUGCCAGGCGCCACUAAGUAUAUGGGCCCUACUCGUCCUCAUGCUCGUGAUCAUCACAAUCGUCAUCUCCCCCUUGGUUAUAAAAUUUUUCAAGUAUAGGUGGUGGAAUGUUCACAGGACCUUGGAAACACAAGAAGAAGGUUGAAUUAGUAAAGGGAAACUUGCUAACCCGCAUGCAUGUGGAUGAAACAAUUACAAUUAUGGUGGAAGACAAACGUACCGAAACUACGAGGAUCCCAUGCAAAAGCAGUGCCAUGAGUGGUGGAGGCAAACACAAGACCCUCGUAUUGAAUUGCAUCACAGUACACAUCCGUGUAUAUAAACUGAUUUUUGAGCAAUAUCCAUCGAGUCGAACCACGAAGGACGGCAACAAGCUUGUCGAAGAUAGCAAUAACUUCAUAGUUCUUGUAAUUCCAAGAGCGGUUGGGAACUCGACAAAUUGCUAUCUUCCAUAGAAGACAAUCACCAUGAUCGUAUUUGAACGUGCAUAGAAUACCGGUGUGCUCAAUCUCUGGGCAGUCUGCUGAGAUUUUUGGAAGUGGAACCCGGUGAUGAGUGUACACAUUCACAAGUUCCCACUCGCAGUUGUACCCAAUAUAAACAACCCAAGCUCCAUUUGCGCCUGCCCAAGCCUUGCCCUCAAGCGAUGGCAUCUUAACAUCACACGUAUCAUUAUCAAGUGGCAUCAACUUGCACAAGGCGAGGCAUCCGUCGUCCCCGCGCCAGUCAUCAGGGUCAUGGUGAAGAAGAUAGGGGAGAUCAAACCGCUCCUGGACCCUUGGGUUCCUUGUAAUGAUGUUAUUAGUUGAGUCGAGAAUGGUCUUGAACGAACCUGCCAUGCUAGCCGAGGUGAUCAUGUCGCACCGAUCAAUGAGUUCCUCCACCACGUCAUCUUUCAGAUCGAGACAAGAAAAACGGGGUCGUUUCCGGCCUGUUCCCUCCUUGGAGAAGACGAUCGAACAAUGGCAGAAGGAAGGGUGAAGGCAAAAGGAGGAGGGAGGAAGAGCAUGCGAUAGCAGUUCCCAAUCGAGAGGGAAAGGCGAAGAGUCGGUGGACGAUUGUCAGUUUGCCAUGGUACAUGAAGAGGUGCCCCGGCCUACACGUCCGUUCAGAAAUACUAGCAGAAAAGGACUCAUCAUCGUCUCACAGACAUGUUGGAACGGGACCACAUGUCAACGAAACAUGGUGUGUAAUUUCUCGUGCAAAAUGCGAUCUGGCCGCGUUGGCCCGAGGUGCCGCAUUAGUUAUCGACCUUUAUUUUUUUAACAUACAAUCUGAAUGGAUAGCUCCUGUGGGCAUCAAACGUGAGCGGAUAUAUAGGUGGGCUAGGUGGGCAGGCGGUUGAGCAGGCGGCAACAAUCUGAGUGCUAAAAGAGUUGAUCCAAUGCUUGGUUUUGUUUGGAUUUUCCAACUAUGACCAUUGGAUAGAGUGAAUCAAUGGCUUACGUUCAAUUGUGUGAGAAGGUGUACAAAUAAAGAAAAAUAUAUAAUUGAUCGAUGUUGUUCGUAGGCAUGGCUCCAUUUCCUUGGCACAAUGUUCAUUGCUUGGCAGCUAGUUUCACCCAGCUCUGUAGCCAAAAAAGAGGUGUAUGGAGGACACCACAAUCCGAUCAUUUUGUGCAGCUCCACUAAAAUCGAGCGGACCAUCCCUGUUUGCAAAGGUAUUCAGUCAGUGUGAUUACAAUAAUAGUGGAACUAGAUGAUGAAACAUAAAACACACAAAUAGAAGCCGAUCACCUCUACGAUCUCUCUUUAGGACUAACUACUUGUUGGAUAAGAUUAGGCACGGAGUUGGAUGAGGAGGAUAGCAAAACCAAUCUCCCUUUCUGCAGUCCCACGAAAAUGUAAAAACGUUGCCCGUGUGACAUUUUGGUGGAACUGCACAAAACACUCUUAAGAAAAAAGUGAUUUGUGCAGUUCACCAAAAGGUCGCAAUAGCAACGAGGUGAAAAUGGAUAGCCCUGUUUGCAAAAGGAGGUAGAAAGGAAACAAUUACUGCCCAAUAACACGAGUUGAAGACACAUACGCCGACAAAAAAGAAGCAUAUUCCAUGUAAUAAGGGAAACAUAGCACAUGGUGGUUUAUCAAAAAUGGUUUGAGGACGAGAUUGCAAGAUGGAAAGUACGCCGGCCGAGAUACGAUUUAAGCAAACACCUAAAGAAGAUCCACAUGCAGCAACGUGGGAAGAUGGGCAGUCGAGCAAGGCCAAAGGAAGCUGUACCUGAGGGUCGUCGGGAUGAUACUAGGAGGGCGCCGGCGGCCGGGAUCUACCCAUACUGCGGCAGCGAGCAAGUGGUGAAGGCCCUACCGUGCCGGAGCUUGGUUAGAGAGAACGGCGGGUACCGCGGAUCAGGAAGUGCUGCCUCAACGCCGUCGAGCGGAGAGACGAUGCACAUCCUCCCUUUCCGCCGGAUCACUAACCAACGCUGAGAGAGACAGGCCACUGCCGCCUUGUGUGAGAUGGUGUGACGAGAGACAAACCCAUUUUUCCAUUUUCCCCACAGAAAUCGUUUUAUAUUCUAUAUGUGACAUUGAGGAAUAUAUAAAUUUAUUUAAGACUAACGCGUCAAGUCAAACUUUGUUCCGUCUAGGUGUGGUACCCAACCCUCCUUCGAGUAAACAACCGCUACACGCACCAAAUUAUCACAUGGGCUGCCUUUCGUACAGAAACGAACUCCACCAUCUACCCGCGCGGGUGUGGCCGGGAACGAGACGCGAGUACGUGCGUCCUGCAGGCACCUCUUCUUUAGGUGCAGGUAUGUACGUGGGUGGGUGUGAGAGAGAUGGUUUGUGCGAACAGAGGCAAUGUGUUGAUGAUAUCUCAAACAGAAAAACGUAACAUAUGCAAUGUGUGUGAAACCGAGUCAUGGACGUGAGAUAUGAUAGAAUUGAAAAUAGGUAUGAAGUGUGUGGCUGCGCGAUCGAUAAAGAGUGCCAUCGAAUUUUUAUUUUGCCACGUCAAAGAUACAGGGCGGCUGGCCUACUGGAAUUUGAGAGGGAAGAGGUGCAGUUUUUCUCCGUGGCAUGGAUACCUNNNNNNNNNNNNNNNNNNNNNNNNNNNNNNNNNNNNNNNNNNNNNNNNNNNNNNNNNNNNNNNNNNNNNNNNNNNNNNNNNNNNNNNNNNNNNNNNNNNNNNNNNNNNNNNNNNNNNNNNNNNNNNNNNNNNNNNNNNNNNNNNNNNNNNNNNNNNNNNNNNNNNNNNNNNNNNNNNNNNNNNNNNNNNNNNNNNNNNNNNNNNNNNNNNNNNNNNNNNNNNNNNNNNNNNNNNNNNNNNNNNNNNNNNNNNNNNNNNNNNNNNNNNNNNNNNNNNNNNNNNNNNNNNNNNNNNNNNNNNNNNNNNNNNNNNNNNNNNNNNNNNNNNNNNNNNNNNNNNNNNNNNNNNNNNNNNNNNNNNNAGGAGAGAGACCUAGCUAUGUAUUGAGGGAGAUCGAUCGGCAUCCAUGGAUAUGUGUAGCAGAGGAAUAAGGUUGGGAGAAAGACAAAGGUAGAGCGUCGGAGGGUUGGUGGUGGAGUGGCAUCUCACAAAUGGUGGGAGAGGCCUGCUAGAAAAACGGAGGGUACGAGUGCAAUAUCAAUAAGAGAGGGCGGGGGGUGUCUAUCUGUCUAUGCACGUGCGUGUGAGAGACGGGUCAGGAGGUAUGCAAGGAUGAUGAGGGGAGACGAUAUGGUUGUGGUAAGCAUACGUAACUACAUAGGAAGAUCAACCAUCGUGUGUCCGAGAAAGGGAGAGACAUAACUAGCCAGGUAAGUGUAUCGGUGCAUGGGGAAAACAAAUUAUAGUCGACCUGGCUAUAUGUAGGGAGAUCAGUACGUAUACACGCCUGCAUGUGUUAGAAGCAAAUAAGGUCCGGAGACACAAAUAGGGGGAGAGGGGUGCGGCUAGGGGGUGGUGCGAGAGGCCUACCAUGUCGAGGGGGGAGGAGUGUGCGAGUAUGAGAUCAAUGAAAAGAGGGGCAGGAGUGUGCACCUGCGUGGAAUUGUAUUGGACAUAGGGGGCAUGGACGGUGAGAAGAGAAUAGGGGAAGUAUAUAUGUGUUUGUGGUAGGCACACUUGGCUAGAGAGGUAUAUCAACCGAUGUGUGCCGGAAAGAAGGAGCCGGGGGCCUACACACACCGCUGGUGGACGACCUAAAGAGAAAUAAUGAACGUGUGCGAUGGAGGGGACGCUAAGGGUGUGUGAGAGGGGGGCGGGCGUGUGCAUGCAUGAUAUAAAGUUAGCGCUAGCUAGCUACAAAUAGAAGAGGAUCGUGAAGGUGUAAAAGAUGAACAAAGAUCAUAAUUCAUUAUAAAAAAGUGGAUACGGAUACUUGAAGAAGAUAUCGUAAUGUAGAACAUUGAUUAUAAUUUGGGCUAAUGUGUGGCUUUUGUAGCUCAGGUCUAAAUACUUGUCAUAAUGUAGGGGGCGGGGCAGUAUACUUUGUGUGAUAAACACGGUGUACGUAUGGAAAAUGGUUUAGAUUAUGAAUAUAUAGUUAGUACAUCAAAUGUACUAUUAUUUGGAAUCAACAUCAAGUGUAUUCAAAAAAUAGAAUUCGAGUUCAUGUAGUACACAUAUUUCAUAUCUAUCUCUAUAGUAAUCAUGUGGUGUGUUAUUAAGAUAAUACACGAAUGAUGGUUGAAGUUGGCAACAAUCAUGAUUGUAGAUUCUUAUUGAAAUAGAGAAACGAAUUCAAAUUCAGUUCGAAUUGCAGCAGUAUUAUAGACAUUUGGAAUGCACUAAAAUGUUGGUAUGAGUAGGUUACAUGCAUUAUACACCAAGCGAAAAAAAUUAAUUGGACAUAACAUGGAUUCAUACUCCCUCCUUCCAUCUAUAUAGGGCGUAAUGCGUUUUUUAAGACCGCCUUUGACUAUUGAAAAGAUUAAUAGUACAUGACAUGCACAAUGUGAAAAUUAUAUCAUUGAAAGCUCCUUUCACACACGAAUUUAACUGUGUGCUUUGUGUAAGUUGCAUGUCAUAUAUUAUUGCUCUAAUAUUUGGUCAAAGUUAGCAUCAAAAAACGCAUCAGGCCCUAUUUAGAUGGAAGGAGGGAGUAGCUUUGAAUAGCAUUUGUAUAGUAAAACGGGGCAAGACUCUCACUUUGUGUGGUGUGAAUAGUUACAUUUUUUCAUUUUCUUUUUGGUUGAGGGAAGUGCGAAUUGAUUUGGUACGUACAAGUACAGUAUUACACGUUAGGCUUGUCCCUAAAAUUCAACCCGCGCCUUGUUAUAUCCCGAAAAUUCAGAUAUCGUGCUCCCAAAACUGGCGCCUUCACAACCCGCGCCUUGUUAUCCCAAAAUUACAACGCGCACGAAAACUCCCCCUAGCUGGCAAAUCCCGACACGUGAAAUCCCCCUUCUAACCCUGAGCCGAAAGGGCCGCUAGUUCAAAUCGGUGGGGGGGUACUUUUGUAACACACCCUACAUUUUGGACAAGCACGUCCCUAAGUCCUUGUUCACCCCCUCCCAUCGCCUCCUUUUCGCCAUUCGAAGUCCCAGGCCGCCAUAACCUCUCCGCUCCAGCUGCAAAACCCCACCCUCCUCCGUCCGCCACCUCACCGCUGCCCAGCCGGAGCCUCUUCCCCGAUGACGUCCUCCUCCGCAACAGCUCGACGUCACUCAUCCACCUCCCCGGAUGAGGAUCCGUCGUCCAUCUCGUCGUCCCGCCGGUUCAGCCGCCCCGUCCUCCACCUCCAAGGAGCCGCUCCAUCCCCAAAGCGCCGCCUUAACCUGCUCCACCAGAACCGCAACAUCCUCACUGACUCCUCGGACGAAGCCGAGGCCAACUCGGCGCCACCAAAGAGGUUGUACACUCAUCACAUCGCACCUUCUCCUUAACUCGACCUCCCGGCGCCGACGGUGCUCCAUCCCGCACCCCCAUGGAGCGGCUACCUUGAAGCCGGCGCCGCGGGUGACAUCUCCACGACGGCUCUCCCCCAGUGCGAGGGCCCUUCGGCGGCGGCGUCAAUACCAGCCGGAUCUGCUCCUGCUGCUCCGGCUCUCGCUUGCUAGGUCGCGCUACUACUACUGCUCCUUAUCUCGCUUGAUCACUCACUCGCCCAGCUGCUGCUGCUCCGGCUCUCGCUCGCUCACGCUACUAUUGCUGCUCUCCCCCUCGCUCGUGCUGCUGCUCUGCUCCAAUUUAGCUACACUUCAGUCGACUGAAUCGACUUUUGGGUCAGUCGAUUUUCAGGGGGUGGGGGGCUCGCCGGAGUUAAGGAAGAACCAUCCGCAGCGGGGAUGGGGGCUCGCCUGAGAGGUACCCCACUAUCUAUCUUAGGGUUUAGGGUGGGGGGCGGGGGGCCUAGAGGGCUGGCGGGGGCGGCGGCGGACCGGCGGUGGGUAGUUGUUUUGGGGCGGCGAGGCGGCGCAGGAGAAGGCGGUUCGGCCGGUGGUGGCUGGCGGCUCAGGGGGGUGCAGAUCGAAGAUGAACUGCAGGCCCUCCCUAAACUACAUGUCAAGUGCCUCUCUGCUACCAUUGCGUUCAGUUUCGACAGUAACAUUCAGAUUCCACAGUAAAUUUCAGUUUCGACAGUUAAGUUCAGAGUCAACAGUUUUUACCUCAUCUGUUGUAGUCAGGUGGUUUGUGGUGAUGUAAAUUUUACAUCUAUUUUACAUCAUCUAUUGGAGAUGCUAUUAGAAUCCCACUUGAGAUUGAUGAUGUCUGUCUUGUGCUGCUUCAGCCUUGACGUCUUACGGCUCACCGGAGCUGCUCCAACGAGAGAACAAUCCAUCACAACAGAGCAGUGCCCUGGACGCCGUCUACAGAUUCCUCAGAUCUUCCUCCACACCUCCGACAUCCACCUCUGCCUCAACUGCUUCAGCGACCAACCCAAUGAUGCUGAGGUCGACACGGCUACGCCAAAGAGGUUGUACACUUGUUGCAUCACUUAUUACUAUACAUUCAUGUCGAUCCAUUAGGGCUAUUUUGUUUCAACGGAAAAACAUAACAAUAGGGAAUUUUCCAAUGGCACUCUACUAUUCAAUUAUUCAUGCAUUUUGAUGAAAGGAAUGAAGCAAAACAUCCACCUAGACCUACUUUUCAAAAUCCUAUGCAUGAAAACAAGACAAAGUGCAUUAGUGGCAGAAUAACAUUCUAACAGUACACGCUUUCAUAUGGUUUCACUUUAUUUUGGCCAUGUUUCCUUGCAUUCCUCUGCUCUUCCAAUUCCUAUAAACCAAACACCGAAGUUGACAGAAUUCCUGUGUUUACAAAUGCUCUAUUUACCAUGUGCAUUCCUAUCCUAUUCCUGUGUUUUUUCUGUGACAGCCUGGUUUUUGCCCUCUUCUCUUUGCCUGAUUUUCAGUUGGUUUGAUUUUGAAAUUUGGGUAUUGAAUCUUUUCAUAUGGACUUAAACACUUGGGUACCCCUUCACUUUCACCCAAGUGCCUCAUUUCCCUUUCUAACCAUCAUUUCCUCUCUGGUUCAACUCAAAAUAAUAUUUUGAAUAUUUUUCUUCAAUGAAAAAUAUUCAUUUCCCUCUCUUAAACCCUAGCUAGCUCAAUGUUCUCCAAAGCAACCCCAAUUUUUCUUGCCCACAAAAAUCUGAGAAAAUUCACAAAUAUUCUUUGAACCCUAGGGCACUUUCCUGAGCAAAAAUAUUUCACCACUAUUUGCAACAUUUUUGCUACAGAAAAUAUUUUCUGUUUUGGACAGAAAUGGUAGUUUCUACAGCAACUACCAUUUUACUUGCUCCAUUGUGGCUGAUUUUUCUUGUGCAUCAUCACCUUAGUAGAUGAUUGCUAACCUCCAAAGCCCAGGUCCCAACUCCGAGUAGUUUGACCACAGUAAGCUCUCAAAGUUACUGUCCAGAAACUUACCAGGCGUGUGAAAUCUUUUCUACUGCACCUGAGACCAAAACCAAGUGUGGUAACCACUAAAACUACCACGAACAACAAGCCAGACAUGAACUUUGGACUUAGGUCUGCCUGAGGGCAGAGUUCACGCGGUGACCACGCGUGUGCACGAUGCCAACCUGCUUCUCGCCGCGCUCUGAGUGCCGCCGAGCGCUCUGUUUCGCGCGUGCUCGCUUCCCCGACUGCCAAACCUCGCCACAAUCUUCGUCCAAGCUCUCUUAACUCUCCCCUGGCACUCACCAAUGUGGGAGCUCACCGUAGCGAGCACGGGCGCGGUCCGGCCAACGCAACAGUGCGCGGUGCACUGUGCUCGUCGCCUUCCCCUCGAUCCUUUGCUCGUCCCCGCUCACCCACAGUUCCGACGUGAGUAGCGUCACCUUCUCCCCCUCUCACUGAUGCCGUUCGUCACCGGGCGCCGUGUCCAGGUGUCCACCGGCGGAGCCCGAUCCCCCCUCGAUGCUCGACUAUAAAUAUAGCCCUCCCUAGCCUCCUCGAGCACCAUCCACCACUCCUACACAAUCCACGAUCUUGUAGAAGCCGUAGCCCGGCCGACCAGGCCGCGGGCCGCCGUCCCUGAGCUCGAGCUCGCCGGCGAGCCUCUCGGGUUGUCUCCUGGUCCAGUCCCUCCCAUGCCUAGGCAACCCUUCUAGGGCCUCCGCCGCUCGUCGGUGGUGCUGUUCCGCCUGGUUGGAGCCCCUGUAGUCGCCUCUGUUCGCCGUCGUCUUCGUCUCCGGCGACCUCUGCUCUCUGCCUCCGCUAGAGAGGCCGAUUCCGACGCCGUCCGACCACCCCUAGCUACUCUACGGGUAUGGGCAGGUGCGCCUCCGUCUCCUCUCUUGAUCCCCCCUCUCGUUUUGGCCAAGAAGCCCUCGUCGCCAGCGUGUGCUCCGGCGAAGACGCGCCGUCCUCUGUUUCCUUCUUCGCCUCCACCUCACCUGAGUAGCGGGGCCCGCUAGUCAGCCACUCAGUACGCGCAUGAAGCGGUAUGAGUGGUGGCGCCCCGAGGUUUUACGCCUUCGACGUCACCCCCCAGUCUGUUUUUAUUUAAAUUCAAAUUCAUAUUUUUCCAGAGAGCUUCAAACAGCCAAAUCUCUUCAACCAUAAGUCCAAAUGAAUUGAUUCUUUUUGCAUUGUGUUCUUUGUACAGAAAUCUAGCAGCUCACCAAAAAUGAGAUUUUUCUUUGCUGUCUAGAUUUUCUGGUGAAUUUCAGAAGGGUUCUUGAUAUUUUCUUCUUGUGUUUAAAAUUAUUUUCAGAGAGUGAGGCUGAGGAUCACCAGGAGGCUUGUGAACGUCAUCUGCUCUAAGGCAAGCCACUGCAACAUUUUCAUGGUGCCAUUACAAUAGUUGUGAUUUUCCUACUUCAAUGAAUGAUUUAAUCCAUGCAUUUAAAUCACUAUCAUGUUAUUUACAUUCUGUUAGUUGCUUGUUUAAGUUAAUAUGCUUGGUUUACAGAAAGUUUAAAGCUAACGAAGUUGGUUAAGAAACUAGAACUAAUUUUUGGUAUGAAGGAAGUAAUAUGGUUAUGAAUAUAAAUAAUUAGUUGGAGUUAUUUUCCUGCAUGAGUAAAAAUGGUAAAAUUUGCUAGAAAGGAUUCUUUUUAAAGUGAGGUUUAAUCCUAACCAGUGAAGUGUCAUGAGUUGUUGAGGUUUAUGCUUAGUAUGAAUAUAGUUGACUCGGUCAUUUCCGUUAAAUUGUGAUGCAUAUGUUCGUGUUGCAUUUCAUGGCAUACUAUGACACCGGUUAUUUUCACUUUAAGUUGAAUCUAAUAAUAACUCAACUUGAAUAUAUCGUUGACCAGGUCAUGGUGCCACUGAAUCGAGUUUUUCCCAGUGCAACCGCAUUUGCCUUUAUGGGAAGGCCUUUAUUCGGUCAGUUGUCAUGCCUCUGGUCGGUGCCUCCAACGUGGGAAGGUUAUGGGCAUGUGGUACCCUGGCCCGGUAAGCAGACAUAACCUUGUGUUCCUGUUGUUGAGAUUCUGGUACCGUGUCCCCGUGUGGGACGUUUAUGUUUUGGCCACGACGGUGGUCGUUGGUGUCUUUUGUAGACACGGGACCACCCGGGACUAGCCCGAUGGGGAGUGAGACGGAGUGGCCGGGAGAGUGUCAUGGCAAUGGAGGGGUUUCGUCGGAAUGCCGUUGUUCCACCCGAAUGGGAGUACGAGGCCAUGGGUUCCGUGGUGUGGGUGUAGUGCGAUACCUCUGCAGAAUGUAUUAAUCUAUAGAUAGCCGAGACCACGGUUACGGACACGCUCGAAAGUAGGUCACACCAUGGGUCAACAUUUAAUAAAUCUCGCACACUAAGUGAUAAACUUUGCACGGUUGAUGAUGGUGGGAAGGCCAUCUUGAUGUUCGGGACCAAGUGUGGGUCGUGGUUGUGAUCACCGGAAGGAUCACUGUUUGAGACAAAAUGUUGGUCGUGGUUGUGAUCGCCGGAAAGAUCACGAGGUAAACUGAGUAAAGACCUCGGGGUUUGUACAGUUGUGAUCCAAGAGCGAUCACCGUUGGUAAGCCAGUCCGAGGGAUUUUUCACAUAAAAGCAGGAUCACUGCAUGUUGCAUAUAUUGUUGCAUUGUUAAUAAUUGGUUAAUUAUCAUGAUAAUGUUUCUCAUUAUGUUUAUGUUUGUUGUGAGCUUGCAAAUACAUUCAAUGUACUGACCUGGCGUGUCAUGCCAGAUUUCAGGAAAGUCUCAUUGGAAAGGAGUGCCGUUCGAGUCUAGAUUGUGUCCACAUCGGUGUCCCUGUGCUAUGGAGUUACCGCUACGAUGUUGUUCCGCUGCCGCGUAGUUGUUAUGAUCGAGGCCCCUUUAUGUUCACUAAAUAAUGUACAUAUUGUUCACGCCGCACUAUGUGUGCCGCUAGGCCUCGCCACCUGUUGUAAUAUAAACUUUGAUCCGCUAGCAUCAAUAAAGCGGUUGUUUUCUUUACCAAAAUGUUGUGUGUUGCCAGAAGACAUGGUCUCUGUGCUGGCAAUGCAUGGUAAACCGGUUGCUCUGAGCCGGGGUGCCACAACGCUUGGUAUCAGAGCCGCGCUGACUGUAGGCCAUGCUAGACUACGACUUGUUCACUGGACGUUAGAUACGAAUUUAAGUUGAGUGUCGGUAGCCUUUGUAGCUAGUUGUUGCAUUGCAUGCACUUGUUGUAUUUUUAUGCUGACCUACUAAUGGUUGUGAGUGUAGAUGGAUCCGGUGCCGUAUCCGUGCCAGUUGCAGCUGAUGCCGUACACGUCGCCGCAUCUCCUUCGUAACGUGUGGCAUCGGCUGUACCCCCUCGGUGACGACCCAGUCUAUCAUGUGUACCGGGAGCGUCUAGCAGACUCAGUGUAUGAGUAUCACGCAGUGCUUACUCUGCGCACCAGUUCCGAUUCCAGCACUUACACUCAUACAUCUCGGAGCGGCUACGCUUCUACCGCUUCUCAGGCUGUCCAGUUUGCUGCAUUCGAGGUCCUUGUCGAGCAUUGUUACAACGAGGUCUGGAUGCAGAAGCACCCAGGUUUCCACUACUAUCCUGCUUUGCACGACAAUGGUCAUGUCCGUUUCCCUAUCAUUGAUCCGGAGUCUGAUAGUGUUGCUAGCCACCUUUCUCGUUAUAUCCCUGGUAGCUAUCUUAUGAUCCACGAGCUGGCUCGAGAGCUGACUCGUGCUCGUACUGCUUUAGCCUCUACUAGAUCUGUGACUGCUCCAUCUUCCCUGGGAUUUACUCCUUAUAUUCUAGCUAGUUCUAGUUCCCCUGUUUCACCGGUUACUCCUCCGAGUAGCUCGGGCACCUCGACCGUGAAUCCUCUCAGUUCUCCUGCUGAGUGGGUUUCACUUCCCACUACUCUUGUAGCCCCGAUGCUUCACCCUACACCUGCCCUGAGGGAGAUCCCUCGAGGCAGCGUCAUCGUGUUACUUUUAACCCGGAGGUCUCAGUUAACCUCGUCAGUUCAGGGUCCGAGUCCGCUUUAGGAGAGGACCCCGCAGCACCAGCAGAGCAGUAGAGUUUCUGAGUAUUCGCAGUCGUCGGGAUGGUGUACGGAUGUAGUCGUACGAGUCGUGAUGUUUCGUUUCCUAUAUGAGAGUAGUUGAACCUGGCAUGUUGUUUACCUUUCAUGUAUGAGUGUGUGUAUAAUUAUGUUGGAACUCUAUUUUAUUCGCCAUAUUUUUCUUCGUUAUUUUGGGUUUUGUUGCUGGCUUUUCCCCAAGUUAUUUUUUGAAUGUUUUCUCAUCUCGGUUGCGUUGCCUUGGGAAAAAUCCACAAUAGGAUGCUGCGGGGAGGCGGCAGUAGCAACGUUCGUGAGGGUACUCCUGUUCGUCGUUCCGCACGACAGGCAGGACACUCCCCCGAGCCGUACGUUCCACCACCACCUCCACCGCCCAAUCCGCCUACCUCCGAGCAAAUUCUGCGUAUGUUUGAGGAAAGGAGGAAUAAUGAUCUGAUUGAAAUAUUAAGAAGUGUUGAAGCUGUGGUUGGACAGAAUGGAAAUCAGAACGGUCAUCAUUCCAAGCUGUCAGAUUUUCAGAGAACCAAGCCUCCCAGUUUCAGUCAGGUUAUUGACCCCUUGGAUGCAGACGAUUGGUUGCGAACUAUUGAGAGGAAACUUGAGAUUGCUCGUACUGAAGAAGAUGAUAAGGUUCCAUUUGCAACUCAUUAUCUUGAAGGCGCUGCUGCCAUAUGGUGGGAAAAUGCAAAAGGCAUGUGGCCUGCUGAUGAAGAAAUCACCUGGUCAAAAUUCAAGGAUCAUAUCAUAUCCCUACUGGAGUUAUGAAGAAUAAACAGCGUGAAUUUCUCGCACUCCUCCAAGGAAAUCAGUCUGUGGGUGAAUAUUUGCAAAAAUUCAAUCAUCUGGCCCGUUACUCCGUAUAUGACAUGGCCACCGAAGAAAGAAAGAUUGACAGAUUUCUUGGUGGAUUAAACCCGCAACUCUGAUGCACCCUCAGUAUGUUUGAUUUCCCAUAUUUCCAAACUCUGGUGAACAAAGCUUUCAUUGCUGAAAGGGAGCACAAGCUCGUAUCAGACAAUAGGCCUGCUAAUAACGAUCACAAGCGCAAGUUUGAGCCAAGGAAGGAAGGGCAACCAUUGAAAAAGGCUCGUACCUGGCAGCAGACUCAGGUGGAAUACAAGCCCAAUUGGCAAUAGAAUGUUAACAAGACCACCACCCAAGUCAAGAAUGUCGUGACCAACCCAGUGCACGAGGAGCGCCAGCGCAACAAUUCUUGCUUCAGUUGUGGACAAACCGGACAUUAUGCCAGACAGUGUCCCAAGAACAACAAGGCGAAUGCCCUAUUCAGGCCCAAGUCAAAUUUAUGGAGUCAUGCCCAAACCAGCAAAACAUUAUUGGGCACGUUCAUCACCUCUCCGCAGAUGAAGCCCAAGAGAACCCCGAAGUCGUCAUUGGUAUGUUUUCUGUUAAUAACAUGCCUGCAGUAAUUUUAUUUGACUCUGGGGCUUCCCACUCUUUUAUUUCUCAGAGUUUUGUGGCCCAAAACAAAUUUCCUUGUUCACUAUUGGGCAAGAACAUGCAGGUACAAACCCCAGGAUCCUUAAUCAAGAGCAAUCUGGUCUGCCGUAAUCUGGAAAUCAAUAUCAACGGAGUCUGCUUUCCAAUUUCUUUGAUAAUCAUCGAGUCUGUAAAGUUGGAUGUUAUCUUGGGUAUGAAUUGGUUGACCCAAUAUCAAGUCUGCAUAAAUUGCGCGACCCGAGAAGUCACUUUGACCAGCCAGAAAGGGCAGACUACAAAAUUCUAUGCUCGCAGAAGCAUACCCAAGAAAGAAAUCGUCUUCACCGUUGUGGCUGAGUUGGAAUUAAUUCCUGUGGUCAGUGAGUUUCCUGAUGUAUUUCCAGAAGAACUACCAGGCAUGCCACCAGAUCGAGAGCUUGAGUUUGCAAUAGAUCUUGUGCUCGGAACCGCAUCGUUAUACAAGAAGUAUUACCGAAUGCCCUCGUCAGAAUUAGUGGAGCUAAAGAAAUAGCUUGAUGAAAUGCUCCAGAAAGGAUAUAUCCGUCCCAGCUCUUCACCAUGGGGAUCACCAUCUAUCUUCGUGGACAAGAAGGAUGGCAGCCUCCGCAUGUGUGUGGAUUAUCUUCAACUGAAUGAUGUCGCCAUCAAAAAUAAAUAUCCGCUGCCAAGGAUUGAUGACUUGUUUGAUCAGCUCAGUGGGACCAAGGUAUUCUCCAAGAUUGAUUUACGGACUAGAUAUCAUCAGCUCAAGAUUAAAGAGGAAGAUAUUCCUAAGACCGCAUUCACCACUCGAUACGGUCUUUAUGAAUAUACAGGUAUGUCCUUUGGUCUCACCAAUGCCCCUGCCUUCUUCAUGCAUAUGAUGAAAAAGUAUUCAUGGACUUCCUCGAUAAGUUCGUGGUAGUCUUCAUCGAUGACAUACUUAUAUACUCAAAAAGUGAACAAGAUCACAAAUAACACCUCCGAGCAGUGCUACAGCGACUCCGCGACCAUCCGCUAUACGCCAAAUUCAGUAAAUGUGAGAUUUGGCUCAAGCAAGUUGGAUUUCUUGGACAUGUGCUAUCUGCUAAAGGUAUAGCCAUGGACCUGAGCAAAGUAAAGGAUGUGCUCGAUUGGUUGCCGCCCACAACCGUAUCACAGCUCUGGAGUUUUCUUGGAUUAGCCGGAUACUCUUUCAUUUCAUUGAAGGUUUUUCCAAGAUUGCUAAACCCAUGACGGAGCUGCUAAAAAAAGGAUAAGAAGUUUGAAUGGACUGAAGACUGCGAGGAGAGUUUCAAUGAGCUAAAGAUACGGCUGACGACCGCACCUGUGUUGACUCUUCCAGAUAUCUACCGCAGUUUUGAUGUGUACUGCGACGCCUCCAGACAAGGACUUGGAUGCGUACUUCUGCAAGGCAGCAUGGUAGUAGCAUAUGCAUCACGACAGCUAUGACCCCACGAAGGAAAUUAUCCUACUCAUGAUCUAGAAUUGGCCGCAGUAGUUCAUGCUCUAAAAAUUUGGAGACACUAUCUCAUCGGGAAGAGGUGCCAAAUUUUUACCGAUCACAAAAGUCUCAAGUAUAUAUUUACUCAGCCAGAUUUAAAUCUCGUCAACGAAGAUGGCUUGAGUUAGUCAAGGAUUAUGAUCUUGGAAUAAAUAACCACCUGGGUAAGGCCAACGUGGUUGCCGAUACACUCAGUCGAAAGCCUGUCAGCCUAAAUGUCAUAUUGAGAUCCUUGCCUCCUGAACUUCAAGAGGAGAUUGCGCAACUCAACCUAGUCAUAGUUGAUACUGGCCUUGCUAAUAUUUUGGAACUUGCCCCACACUUGAGCAAGAGAUCCGCAAGGCCCAGCCAGCUGAUACAGUCCUGCAGAAACGUGCCAAGAGUGUGGUAGCAGGACAGACUCCAGAUUUCUCAAAGGACCAAUUCGGUACCCUCCAAUUCCGUGGAAGGAUUUGUGUACCCAAUGAAGCGGAUUUGAAGCAGAAAAUCCUGUCAAAAGCACACGAAUCCUUGUAUUCUAUUCACCCUGGAGGUACGAAAAUAUAUGAAGAAAUUCGACAAAUAUUCUGGUGGGAUAGAAUGAAGAAAGACAUUGCCUACUUUGUGGCCUGUUGCGACAUAUGCAACAGGGUGAAGGCAGAGCUUCAGAAGCCAGCCAGACUUCUCCAACCGCUGCCAGUUUCACAAUGGAAAUGGGAUGAUGUCUGCAUGGAUUUCCUCACAGGGCUACCUAAGACUCAGCGAGGCAAUGAUGCAGUCUGGGUCAUAGUGGACACCUUAACCAAGGUAGCUCACUUUAUUCCGAUCAGAACCACAUAUCGAGCUGAUCAACUUGCACAGCUGUAUGUAUCCAGAAUAGUCAGUCUGCAUGGAGUACCCCAAACCAUCACUUCUGACUGAGGUUCACUUUUUACCUCCAGUUUUUGGUCACGUCUCCAUCAAGCCUUGGGGACAGCGCUGAAAUAUGGUACCGCUUAUCAUCCUCAGACUGAUGGACAGACAGAGCGGGUAAAUCAAAUACUCAAAGAUAUGCUACGAGCCUGUGCUUUGGCCCAAGGAUCUAAACGGGAAGACUAUCAUCCGUAUGCUGAGUUCUCGUAUAAGAACAGCUUCCAGACCAGUUUAAAGAUGUCAGCGUAUGAGGCUUUGUAUGGCCGUAAGUGUCGUACUCCUUUAAAUUGGUCCCAAAGUGGAGAUAGCCGUAUUUUCGGAACGGAUCUCAUGAUGGAAGCUGAGAAACAAGUUAAGGAAAUCCGAGACAGAUUGCAAUUGGCCAAAUCUCGACAGAAGAGUUAUUAUGAUGCAAAACACCGGCAGAUCAGUUUUGAACCCGGAGAACACGUAUACCUCUGAGUCACUCCUAUGAAAGGAGUCAAGAGAUUCCAGACUCGUGGAAAGUUGUCACCCAGAUUUAUUGGCCCAUUUCCAGUUAUGUCCCGAGUUGGUACUGUUGCAUAUCAGUUGGAACUACCCCCUGAAUUAUCGGAAGUGCACAAUGUGUUUCAUGUUUAACAGUUGAGGCGAUGCAUAUCUCCGCCUGAGAAAAAGACUGCUAUGACUGAAAUAGAGUUGGCAAAGGAUUUAACUUAUGAAGAGAGGCCAGUUAGAAUUUUGGAUCAGAUGGAAAGGGUCACACGUAGUAAAGCAAGGAAGUUCUACAAAGUCCAGUGGGAGCAUCACACAGAGUCAGAAUCAACUUGGGAACGGGAAGAAUUUCUAAAGGCACAUUAUCCAGAAUGGUUUUCCCAAGCAACCGAAUCUCGAGGACGAGAUUCAUUCUAAGUGGGGGAGGUUUGUGACAGCCUUGUUUUUGCCCUCUUCUCUUUGCCUGAUUUUCAGUUGGUUUGAUUUUGAAAUUUGGGUUUUGAAUCUUUUCAUAUGGACUUAAACACUUGGGUACCCCUUGAUUUUCACCCAAGUGCCUCAUUUCCCUUUCUAACCAUCAUUUCCUAUCUGGUCAACUCAAAAUAAUAUUUUGAAUAUUUUUCUUUAAUGAAAAAUAUUCAUUUCCCUCUCUUAAACCCUAGCUAGCUCAAUGUGCUCCAAAGCAAGCCCAAUUUUUCUUGCCCACAAAAAUCUGAGAAAAUUCACAAAUAUUCUAUGAACCCUAGGGCACUUUCUUGAGCAAAAAUAUUUCACCACUAUUUGGAAUUUUUUGCUACAGAAAAUAUUUUCUGUUCUGGACAGAAAUGGUAGUUUCUACAGCAACUACCAUUUUACUUGCUCCAUUGUGGCUGAUUUUUCUUGUGCAUCAUCACCUUAGUAGAUAAUUUCUAUCCUUCAAAGCCCAGCUCCCAACUCCCAGUAGUUUGACCAUAGUAAGCUCUCAAAGUUACUAUCUAGAAACUUACCAGGCAUGUGAAAUCUUUUCUACUGCACCUGAGACCAAAACCAAGUUUGGUAACCACUAAAACAACCACGAACAACAUGCCAGACAUGAACUUUGGACUUAGGUCGGCCUGACGGCAGAGUUCACGCGGUGACCACGCAUGUGCAUGAUGCCAAACUGCUUGUCGCCGCUCUCUGAGUGCCGCCGAGCGCUCUGUUUCGCACGUGCUCGCUUCCCCGACUGCCAAACCUCGCCACAAUCUUCGUCCAAGCUCUCUUAACUCUCCCCUGGCACUCGUCGACGCCGCAGCGAGCAUGGGCGCGGUGCGGCCAACGCAACAGUGCGCGGCGCACUUUGCUCGUUGCCUUCCCCUCGAUCAUGUGCUCGUCCCCGCUCGCCCACAGUUCCCGCGUGAGUAGCGCCGCCUUCUCCCCCUCUCACUGACGCCAUUCGUCGCAGGGCGCCGUGUCCAGGUUUCCACCGGGGGAGCCCGAUCCCCCCUCGAUGAUCGGCUAUAAAUAGAGCCCUCCCCAGCCUCCUCGGGGACCAUCCACCACUCCCACACACUCCACGAUCUUGUAGAAGCCGUAGCCCAGCCGGGCAGGCCGCGGGCCGCCGUCCCCGAGCUCGAGCUCGCCGGCGAUCCUCUCGGGUCGUCUCCGUGGUUCCAGUCCCACCCAGGCCUGGGCAACCCUUCCAGGGCCUCCGCCGCUCGUCGGUGGUGCUGUUCCGCCUGGUUGGAGCCCCUGGAGUCACCUCUGUUCGCAGUCAUCUUCGUCUUCGGCGACCUCCGCUCUCUGCCUCUGCUAGAGAGGCCGAUUCCGACGCCGUCCGACCACCCCUAGCUACUCUAUGGGUACGGGCAGGUGUGCCUCUGUCUCCUCUCUCGACCCCCAUCUCGUUUUGGCCAAGAAGCCCUCGUCGCAGGCGUGUGCUCCGGCGAAGAUGCGCCGUCCUCUGUUUCCUUCUUCCCCUCCACCUCACCUGACUAGGAGGGCCUGCUAGUCAGCCACUCAGUACGCGCGCGAAGCGUUACGAGUGUUGGCGCCCCGAGGCUUUACGCCUUCGACGUCACCCCCAGUCUGUUUUUAUUUAAAUUCAAAUUCAUAUUUUUUUCAGAGAGCUUCAAAUAGCCAAAACUUUUCAACCAUAAGUCCAAAUGAAUUGAUUCUUUUUGCAUUGUGUUCUUUGUACUGAAAUCUAGCAGCUCACCAAAAAUGAGAUUUUUCUUUGCUGUCUAGAUUUUCUGGUGAAUUUCAGAAGGGUUCUUGAUAUUUUCUUCUUGUGUUUAAAAUUAUUUUCAGAGAGUGAGGCUUGUCUUGAGGAUCACCAGGAGGCUUGUGAACCUCAUCUGCUCUAAGGCAAGCCACAACAACAUUUUCAUGGUGCCAUUACAAUAGUUGUGAUUUUCCUAUUUGAAUGAAUGAUUUAAUCCAUGCAUUUAAAUCACUAUCAUGUUAUUUACAUUCUGUUAGUUGCUUGUUUAAGUUAAUAUGCUUGGUUUACAGAAAGUUUAAAGCUAACUAAGUUGGUUAAGAAACUAGAACUAAUUUUUGUUAUGUAGGAAGUAAUAUGGUUAUGAAUAUAAAUAAUUAGUUGGAGUUAUUUUCUUGCAUGAGUAAAAAUGGUAAAAUUUGCUAGAAAAGAUUCUGUUUAAAGUGAGGUUUAAUCCUAACCAGAGAAGUGUCAUGAGUUGUUGAGGUUUAUGCUUAGUAUGAAUAUAGUUGACUCGGUCAUUUCCGUUAAAUUGUGAUGCAUAUGUUCGUGUUGCAUUUCAUGGCAUACUAUGACACCGGUUAUUUUCACUUUAAGUUGAAUCUAAUAAUAACUCAACUUGAAUAUAUCGUUGACCAGGUCAUGGUGCCACUGAAUCGAGUUUUUCCCAGUGCAACCGCAUUUGCCUUUAUGGGAAGGCCUUUAUUCGGUCAGUUGUCAUGCCUCUGGUCGGUGCCUCCAACGUGGGAAGGUUAUGGGCAUGUGGUACCCUGGCCCGGUAAGCAGACAUAACCUUGUGUUCCUGUUGUUGAGAUUCUGGUACCGUGUCCCCGUGUGGGACGUUUAUGUUUUGGCCACGACGGUGGUCGUUGGUGUCUUUUGUAGACACGGGACCACCCGGGACUAGCCCGAUGGGGAGUGAGACGGAGUGGCCGGGAGAGUGUCAUGGCAAUGGAGGGGUUUCGUCGGAAUGCCGUUGUUCCACCCGAAUGGGAGUACGAGGCCAUGGGUUCCGUGGUGUGGGUGUAGUGCGAUACCUCUGCAGAAUGUAUUAAUCUAUAGAUAGCCGAGACCACGGUUACGGACACGCUCGAAAGUAGGUCACACCAUGGGUCAACAUUUAAUAAAUCUCGCACACUAAGUGAUAAACUUUGCACGGUUGAUGAUGGUGGGAAGGCCAUCUUGAUGUUCGGGACCAAGUGUGGGUCGUGGUUGUGAUCACCGGAAGGAUCACUGUUUGAGACAAAAUGUUGGUCGUGGUUGUGAUCGCCGGAAAGAUCACGAGGUAAACUGAGUAAAGACCUCGGGGUUUGUACAGUUGUGAUCCAAGAGCGAUCACCGUUGGUAAGCCAGUCCGAGGGAUUUUUCACAUAAAAGCAGGAUCACUGCAUGUUGCAUAUAUUGUUGCAUUGUUAAUAACUGGUUAAUUAAAAUGAUAAUAUUUGUCAUUAUGUUUAUGUUUGUUGUGAGCUUGCAAAUACAUUCAAUGUACUGACCUGGCGUGUCAUGCCAGAUUUCAGGGAACUCUCGUUGGAAAGGAGUGCCGUUCGACUCUAGAUUGUGUCCACAUCGGUGUCCCUGUGCUAUGGAGUUUCCGCUACGAUGUUGUGCCGCUGCCGUGUAGUUGUUAUGAUCGAGGCCCCUUUAUGUUCACUAAAUAACGUACAUAUUGUUCAGCAGCACUAUGUGUGCUGCUUGGCCUCGCCACCUGUUGUAAUAUAAACUUUGAUCCGCUAGCAUCAAUAAAGCGGUUGUUUUCUGUACCAAAAUGUUGUGUGUUGCCAGAAGACAUGGUCUCUGUGCUGGCAAUGCAUGGUAAACCGGUUGCUCUGAGCCGGGGUGCCACAACGCUUGGUAUCAGAGCCGCGCUGACUGUAGGCCAUGCUAGACUACGGCGUGUUCACUGGACGUUAGAUACGAAUUUAAGUUGAGUGCCGGUAGCCUUUGUAGCUGGUUGUUGCAUUGCAUGCACUUGUUGUAUUUUUAUGCUGACCUACUAAUGGUUGUGAGUGUAGAUGGAUCCGGUGCCGUAUCCGUGCAGUUGCAGCUGAUGCCGUACACGUCGCCGCAUCUCCUUCAUAACGUGUGGCGUUGGCUGUACCGCCUCGGUGACGACCCAGUCUAUCGUGUGUACCAGGAGCGUCUAGCAGACUCAGUGUAUGAGUAUCACGCAGUGCUUACUCUGCGUACUAGUUCUGAUUCCAGCACUUACACUCAUACAUCUCGGAGCGGUGACGCUUCUACCGCUUCUCAGGCUGUCCAGUUUCCUGCACUUGAGGUCCUUGUUGAACUUCGUUACAACGAGGUCCAGAUGCAGAACCACCCAGGUUUCCACUACUAUCCUUCUCUGCACGAGAAUGGUCGUGUCCGUUUCCCUAUCAUUGAUCCGGAGUCUGAUAGUGUUGCUAGCCACCUUUCUCGUUAUAUCACUGCUAGCUAUCUUAUGAUCCACGAGCUGGCUCGAGAGCUGACUCGUGCUCGUACUGCUUUAGCCUCUACUAGAUCUGUCACUGCUCCAUCCUCCCUGGGAUUUACUCCUUAUAUUCCAGCCAGUUCUAGUUCCCCUGUUUCACCGGUUACUCCUCUGAGUAGCUCAGGCACCUCGACCGUGAAUCCUCUCAGUGGUCCUGCUGAGUGGGUUUCACUUCUCACUACUCCUUUAGCCCGGAUGCUUCACCCUACACCUGCCCCUGAUGGAGAGCCCUCGAGGCAGCGUCGUCGUGUCACUUUUAACCCGGAGGUCUCAGUUAACCUCGUCAGUUCAGGAUCCGAGUCCGCUUUAGGAGAGGACCCCGCAGCACCAGCAGAGCAGUAGAGUUUCUGAGUAUUCACAGUCGUCAGGAUGGUGUAUGGAUGUAGUCGUACGAGUCAUGAUGUUUCGUUUCCUGUAUGAGAGUAGUUGAACCUGGCAUGUUGUUUACCUUUCAUGUAUGAGUCUGUGUAUUAUUAUGUUGGAACUCUAUUUUAUUCGUCGUAUUUUUCUUCGUUAUUUUGGGUUUUGUUGCUGGCUUUUCCCUAAGUUAUUUUUUGAAUGUUUUCUCAUCUCGGUUGCGUUGCCUUGGAAAAAUCCACAAUAGGAUGCCGCGGGGAGGCAGCAGUAGCAACGUUCGUGAGGGUACUCCUGUUCGUCGUUCCGCAUGACAGGCAAGACACUCCCCCGAGCCGUACGUUCCACCACCACCUCCACCGCCAAAUCCGCCUACCACCGAGCAGAUUCUGCGUAUGUUUGAGGAAAGGAGGAAUAAUGAUCUGAUUGAAAUAUUAAGAAGUGUUGAAGCUGUGGUUGGACAGAAUGGAAAUCAGAACGGUCAUCAUUCCAAGCUGUCAGAUUUUCAGAGAACCAAGCCUCCCAGUUUCAGUCAGGUUAUUGACCCCUUGGAUGCAGACGAUUGGUUGCGAACUAUUGAGAGGAAACUUGAGAUUGCUCGUACUGAAGAAGAUGAUAAGGUUCCAUUUGCAACUCAUUAUCUUGAAGGCGCUGCUGCCAUAUGGUGGGAAAAUGGAAAAGGCAUGUGGCCUGCUGAUGAAGAAAUCACCUGGUCAAAAUUCAAGGAUCAUAUCAUAUCCCUACUGGAGUUAUGAAGACUAAACAACGUGAAUUUCUCGCACUCCUCCAAGGAAAUCAGUCUGUGGGUGAAUAUUUGCAAAAAUUCAAUCAUCAGGCCCAUUACUCCCUAUAUGACGUGGCCACCGAAGAAAGAAAGAUUGACAGAUUUCUUGGUGGAUUAAACCCGCAACUCCGAUGCACCCUCGGUAUGUUGGAUUUCCCAGAUUUCCAAACUCUGGCGAACAAAGCUUUCAUUGCUGAAAGGGAGCACAAGCUCGUAUCAGACAAUAGGCCUGCUAAUAACGAUCACAAACGCAAGUUUGAGCCAAGGAAGGAAGGGCAACCAGUGCAAAAGGCUCGUACCUGGCAGCAAACUCAGGUGGAAUACAAGCCCAAUUGGCAACAAAAUGUUAACAAGACCACCACCCAAGUCAAGAAUGUCGUGACCAACCCAGUGCACGAGGAGCACCAGCGCAACAAUUCUUGCUUUAGUUGUGGACAAACCGGACAUUAUGUCAGAUAGUGUCCCAAGAACAGCAAGGCGAAUGCCCUAUUCAGGCCACAAGUCAACUUUAUGGAGUCAUGCCCAAACCAGCAAAACAUUACUGGGCACGUUCAUCACCUCUCCGCAGAUGAAGCCCAAGAGAACCCCGAAGUCGCCAUUGGUAUGUUUUCUGUUAAUAACAUGCCUGCAGUAAUUUUAUUUGACUCUGGGGCUUCCCACUCUUUUAUUUCUUGGAGUUUUGUGGCCCAAAACAAAUUUCCUUGUUCACUUUUGGGCAAGAACAUGCUGGUACAAACCCCAGGAUCCUUAAUCAAGAGCAAUCUGGUCUGCCAUAAUCUGGAUAUCAAUAUCAACGGAGUCUGCUUUCCAACUUCUUUGAUAAUCAUCGAGUCUGUAAAGUUGGAUGUUAUCUUGGGUAUGAAUUGGUUGACCCAAUAUCAAGUCUGCAUAAAUUGCGUGACCUGAGAAGUCACUUUGACCAGCCAGAAAGGGCAGACUACAAAAUUCUAUGCUCGCAGAAGCAUACCCAAGAAAGAAAUGGUCUUCACCGCUGUGACUGAGUUGGAAUUAAUUCCUGUGGUCAGUGAGUUUCCUGAUCUAUUUCCAGAAGAAAUGCCAGGCAUGCCACCAGAUCGAGAUCUUGAGUUUGCAAUAGAUCUUGUGCCCGGAACCGCAUUGUUAUACAAGAAGUAUUACCUGUUGGAAAUAUGCCCUAGAGGCAAUAAUAAAAUGGUUAUUAUUAUAUUUCCUUGUUCAUGAUAAUUGUCUAUUGUUCAUGCUAUAAUUGUGUUAUCCGGAAAUCGUAAUACAUGUGUGAAUACAUAGACCACAACAUGUCCCUAGUGAGCCUCUAGUUGACUAGCUCGUUGAUCAACAGAUAGUCAUGGUUUCCUGACUAUGGACAUUGGAUGUCAUUGAUAACGGGAUCACAUCAUUAGGAGAAUGAUGUGAUGGACAAGACCCAAUCCUAAGCAUAGCACAAGAUCGUGUAGUUCGUUUGCUAGAGUUUUUCCAAAUGUCAAGUAUCAUUUCCUUAGACCAUGAGAUUGUGCAACUCCCGGAUACCAUAGGAGUGCUUUGGGUGUGCCAAACAUCACAACGUAACUGGGUAGCUAUAAAGGUGCACUACGGGUAUCUCCGAAAGUGUCUAUUGGGUUGGCACGAAUCGAGACUGGGAUUUGUCACUCCGUAUGACGGAGAGGUAUCUCUGGGCCCACUCAGUAAUGCAUCAUCAUAAUGAGCUCAAUGUGACCAAGUGUUUGGUCACGGGAUCAUGCAUUACGGUACGAGUAAAGUGACUUGCCGGUAACGAGAUUGAACAAGGUAUUGGGAUACCGACGAUCGAAUCUCGGGCAAGUAACGUACCGAUUGACAAAGGGAAUUGUAUACGGGAUUGAUUGAAUCCUCGACAUCGUGGUUCAUCCGAUGAGAUCAUCGUGGAACAUGUGGGAGCCAACAUGGGUAUCCAGAUCCCGCUGUUGGUUAUUGACCGGAGAGUCGUCUCGGUCAUGUCUGCAUGUCUCCCGAACCCGUAGGGUCUACACACUUAAGGUUCGGUGACGCUAGAGUUGUAGAGAUAUUAGUAUGCGGUUAACCGAAAGUUGUUUGGAGUCCCGGAUGAGAUCCCGGACGCCACGAGGAGUUCCGGAAUGGUCAGGAGGUAAAGAUUUAUAUAUGGGAAGUCCUAUUUUGGCCACCGAAAAAUGUUCGGGAUUUUUCGGUAUUGUACCGGGAAGGUUCUAGAAGGUUCCGAAGUGGGGCCCACCUGCAUGGGGGACCCACAUGAACGUGGGUAGUGGGGGCAAGGCCCCACACCCCUGGUCAAGGCGCACCAAGAUCCCACCUUAGAAGGAAUAAGAUCAUAUCCCGAAGGGAUAAGAUCAAGAUCCCUAAAAAAGGGGGAUAACAAUCGGUGGGGAAGGGAAAUGAUGGGAUUUCUUUCCCCCACCUUUGCCAACGCCCCAAUGGACUUGGAGGGCAAGAAACCAGCCCCCUCCACCCCUAUAUAUAGUGGGGAGGCGCAUGGGAGUAGCACACUUGAACGCUUCCGCUCGCGAUCUACAAGGGUAUGUAGAUGCACUCUUUUCCCUCUCGUUGCUAGAGGACUCCAUAGAUUGUUCUUGGUGAUGCGUAGCAAAUUUUUAAUUUCUGCAACGAUCUCCAACAUUACCGAAUGCCCUCGUCAGAAUUAGUGGAGCUAAAGAAACAGCUUGAUGAAAUGCUCCAGAAAGGAUAUAUCCGUCCCAGCUCUUCACCAUGGGGAUCACCAUCUAUCUUCGUGGACAAGAAGGAUGGCAGCCUCCGCAUGUGUGUGGAUUAUCGUCAACUGAAUGAUGUCACCAUCAAAAAUAAAUAUCCGCUGCCAAGGAUUGAUGACUUGUUUGAUCAGCUCAGUGGGGCCAAGGUAUUCUCCAAGAUUGAUUUACGGACUAGAUAUCAUCAGCUCAAGAUUAAAGAGGAAGAUAUUCCUAAGACCGCAUUCACCACUCGAUACGGUCUUUAUGAAUAUACAGUUAUGUCCUUUGGUCUCACCAAUGCCCCUGCCUUCUUCAUGCAUAUGAUGAACAAAGUAUUCAUGGACUUCCUCGAUAAGUUCAUGGUAGUCUUCAUCGUUGACAUACUUAUAUACUCAAAAAGUGAACAAGAUCACAAAUAACACCUCUGAGCAGUGCUAUAGCGACUCCGCGACCAUCCGCUAUACGCCAAAUUCAGUAAAUUUGAAAUUUGGCUCAAGAAAGUUGGAUUUCUUGGACAUGUGCUAUCUGCUGAAGGUAUAGCCGUGGACCCGAGCAAAGUAAAGGAUGUGCUCGAUUGGUUGCCGCCCACAACCGUAUCACAGCUCCGGAGUUUUCAUGGAUUAGCCGGAUACUACGGUCGUUUCAUUGAAGUUUUUUCCAAGAUUGCUAAACCCAUGAUGGAGCUGCUAAAAAAGGAUAAGAAGUUUGAAUGGACUGAAGACUGCGAGAAGAGUUUCAAUGAGCUAAAGAUACGGCUGACGACCGCACCUGUGUUGACUCUUCUAGAUAUCUACCGCAGUUUUGAUGUGUACUGCGACGCCUCCAGACAAGGACUUGGAUGUGUACUUAUGCAAGGCAGCACGGUAGUACCAUAUGCAUCGCGACAGCUACGACCCCACGAAGGAAAUUAUCCUACUCAUGAUCUGGAAUUGGCCGCAGUAGUUCAUGCUCUAAAAAUUUGGAGACACUAUCUCAUCGGGAAGAGGUGCCAAAUUUUUACCGAUCACAAAAGUCUCAAGUAUAUAUUUACUCAGCCAGAUUUAAAUCUUCGUCAACGAAGAUGCCUUGAGUUAGUCAAGGAUUAUGAUCUUGGAAUAAAUUACCACCCGGGUAAGGCCAACGUGGUUGCCGAUGCACUCAGUCGAAAGUCUGUCAGCCUAAAUGUCAUAUUGAAAUCCUUGCCUCCUGAACUUCAAGAGGAGAUUGCGCAGCUCAACCUGGUCAUAGUUGAUGCUGACCUUGUUAAUAUUUUGGAUGUUGCCCCCACACUUGAGGAAGAGAUCCGCAAGGCCCAGCCAGCUGAUACUGUCUUGGAGAAACGUGCCAAGAGUGUGGUAGCAGGACAGACUCCAGAUUUCUCAACGGACCAAUUCGGUACCCUCCAAUUCUGUGGAAGGAUUUGUGUACCCAAUGAAGCGGAUUUGAAGCAGAAAAUCCUGUCAGAAGCACACGAAUCCUGGUAUUCUAUUCACCCUGGAGGUAAGAAAAUGUAUGAAGACCUUCGACAAAUAUUCUGGUGGGAUGGAAUGAAGAAAGACAUUGCCAACUUUGUGGCCUGUUGCGACAUAUGCAGCAAGGUGAAGGCAGAGCAUCAGAAGCCAGCCGGACUUCUCCAACCGCUGCCAGUUUCACAAUGGAAAUGGGAUGAUGUCUGCAUGGAUUUCCUCACAGGGCUACCUAAGACUCAGCGAGGCAAUGAUGCAGUAUGUGUCAUAGUGGACACCUUAACCAAGGUAGCUCACUUUAUUCCGAUCAGAACCACAUAUCGAGCAGAUCAACUUGCACAGCUAUAUGUAUCUAGAAUAGUCAGUCUGCAUGGAGUACCCCGAACCAUCACUUCUGACCGAGGUUCACUUUUUACCUCCACUUUUUGGUCACGUCUCCAUCAAGCCUUGGGGACAGCGCUGAAAUGUAGUACCGCUUAUCAUCCUCAGACUGAUGGACAAACAGAGCGGGUAAAUCAAAUACUCGAAGAUAUGCUACGAGCCUGUGCUUUGGCCCAAGGAUCUAAAUGGCAAGACUGCCAUCUGUAUGCUGAGUUCUCGUAUAAGAACAGCUUCCAGACCAGUUUAAAGAUGUCACCGUAUGAGGCUUUGUAUGGCCGUAGGUGCCGCACCCCUUUAAAUUGGUCCCAAACUGGAGAUAGCCGUAUUUACGGAACGGAUCUCAUGAUGGAAGCUGAGAAACAAGUUAAGGAAAUCCGAGACAGAUUGCAAUUGGCCAAAUCUCGACAGAAGAGUUAUUAUGAUGCAAAACACCGGCAGAUCAGUUUUGAACCCGGAGAACACGUAUACCUCCGAGUCACUCCUAUGAAAGGAGUCAAGAGAUUCCAGACUCGUGGAAAGUUGUCACCCAGAUUUAUUGGCCCAUUUCCAGUUUUGUCCCGAGUGGGUACUGUUGCAUAUCAGUUGGAACUACCCCCUGAAUUAUCGGAAGUGCACAAUGUGUUUCAUGUUUCACAGUUGAGGCGAUGCAUAUCUCCGCCUGAGAAAAAGACUGCUAUGACUGAAAUAGAGUUGGCAAAGGAUUUAACUUAUGAAGAGAGGCCAGUUAGAAUUUUGGAUCAGAUGGAAAGGGUCACUCGUAGUAAAGCAAGGAAGUUCUACAAAGUCCAGUGGGAGCAUCACACAGAGUCAGAAUCAACUUGGGAACGGGAAGAAUUUCUAAAGGCACAUUAUCCAGAAUGGUUUUCCCAAGCAACCGAAUCUCGAGGACGAGAUUCAUUCUAAGUGGGCGAGGUUUGUGACAGCCUUGUUUUUGCCCUCUUCUCUUUGCCUGAUUUUCAGUUGGUUUGAUUUUGAAAUUUGGGUUUUGAAUCUUUUCAUAUGGACUUAAACACUUGGGUACCCCUUGAUUUUCACCCAAGUGCCUCAUUUCCCAUUCUAACCAUCAUUUCCUCUCUGGUUCAACUCAAAAUAAUAUUUUGAAUAUUUUUCUUUAAUGAAAAAUAUUCAUUUCCCUCUCUUAAACCCUAGCUAGUUCAAUGUGCUCCAAAGCAACCCCAAUUUUUCUUGCCCACAAAAAUCUGAGAAAAUUCACAAAUAUUCUUUGAACCCUAGGGCACUUUCUUGAGCAAAAAUAUUUCACCACUAUUUGGAAUAUUUUUGCUACAGAAAAUAUUUUCUGUUCUAGACAGAAAUGGUAGUUUCUACAGCAACUACCAUUUUACUUGCUCCAUUGUGGCUGAUUUUUCUUGUGCAUCAUCACCUUACUAGAUGAUUGCUAACCUCCAAAGCCCAGCUCAGAAAUCCCAGUAGUUUGACCAUAGUAAGCUCUCAAAGUUACUAUCCAGAAACUUACCAGGCGUGUGAAAUCUUUUCUACUGCACCUGAGACCAAAACCAAGUGUGGUAACCACUAAAACUACCACGAACAACAAGCCAGACAUGAACUUUGGACUUAGGUCGGCCUGAGGGCAGAGUUCACGCGGUGACCGUGCGUGUGCAUGAUGCCAAACUGCUUGUCGUCGCGCUCUGAGUGCCGCCGAGCGCUCUGUUUCGCGCGUGCUCGCUUCCCCGACUACCAAACCUCGCCACAAUCUUCGUCCAAGCUCUCUUAACUCUCCCCUGGCACUCGCCGACGCCGGAGCUCGCCGCAGCGAGCACGGGCGCGGUCCGGCCAACGCAACAGUGUGCGGCGCACUGUGCUCGUUGCCUUCCCGUCGAUCAUGUGCUCGUCCCCGCUCGCCCACAGUUCCCGCGUGAGUAGCGUCGCCUUCUCCCCCUCUCACUGACGCCGUUCGUCGCCGGGCGCCGUGUCCAGGUUUCCACCGGGGAAGCCCGAUCCCCCCUCGACGCUCGGCUAUAAAUAGAGCCCUCCCCAGCCUCCUCGGGCACCAUCCAGCACUCCCACACACUCCACGAUCUUGUAGAAGCCGUAGCCCGGCCGGGCAGGCCGCGGGCCGCCGUCCCCGAGCUCGUGCUCGCCGGUGAUCCUCUAGGGUCGUCUCCGCGGUUCCAGUCCCUCCCAGGCCUGGGCAACCCUUCCAGGGCCUCCGCCGCUCGUCGGUGGUGCUGUUCCACCUGGUUGGAGCCCCUGGAGUCGCCUCUGUUCGCCGUCAUCUUCGUCUUCGGCGACCUCCGCUCUCUGCCUCUGCUAGAGAGGCCGAUUCCGACACCGUUUGAACAGCCCUAGCUACUCUACGGGUACGGGCAGGUGUGCCUCCGUCUCCUCUGUCGAUCCCCCCUCUCAUUUUGGCUAAGAAGCCCUCGUCGCUGGCGUGUGCUCCGGCGAAGACGCGCCGUCCUCUGUUUCCUUCUUCCCCUCCACCUCACUUGACUAGCGAGGCCCGCUAGUCAGCCACUCAGUACGCGCGCGAAGCGUUACGAGUGGUGGCGCCCCGAGGCUUUACGCCUUCGACGUCACCCCCCAAUCUUUUUUAUUUAAUCUCAAAUUCAUAUUUUUCCAGAGAGCUUCAAAUAGCCAAAACUGUUCAACCAUAAGUCCAAAUGAAUUGAUUCUUUUUGCAUUGUGUUCUUUGUACAGAAAUCUAGCAGCUCACCAAAAAUGAGAUUUUUCUUUGCUGUCUAGAUUUUCUAGUGAAUUUCAGAAGUGUUCUUGAUAUUUUCUUCUUGUGUUUAAAAUUAUUUUCAGAGAGUGAGGCUUGUCUUGAGGAUCACCAGGAGGCUUGUGAACCUCAUCUGCUCUAAGGCAAGCGACAACAACAUUUUCAUGGUGCCAUUACAAUAGUUGUGAUUUUCCUAUUUGAAUGAAUGAUUUAAUCCAUGCAUUUAAAUCACUAUCAUGUUAUUUACAUUCUGUUAGUUGCUUGUUUAAGUUAAUAUGCUUGGUUUACAGAAAGUUUAAAGCUAACUAAGUUGGUUAAGAAACUAGAACUAAUUUUUGUUAUGUAGGAAGAAAUAUGGUUAUGAAUAUAAAUAAUUAGUUGGAGUUAUUUUCUUGCAUGAGUAAAAAUGGUAAAAUUUGCUAGAAAAGAUUCUGUUUAAAGUGAGGUUUAAUCCUAACCAGAGAAGUGUCAUGAGUUGUUGAGGUUUAUGCUUAGUAUGAAUAUAGUUGACUCAGUCAUUUUCGUUAAAUUGUGAUGCAUAUGUUCGUGUUGCAUUUCAUGGCAUACUAUGACACCGGUUAUUUUCACUUUAAGUUGAACCUAAUAAUAACUCAACUUGAAUAUAUCGUUGAUCGGGUCAUGGUGCCACUGAAUCGAGUUUUUCCCAGUGCAACCACAUUUGCCUUUAUGGGAAGGCCUUUAUUCGGUCAGUUGUCAUGCCUCUGGUCGGUGCCUCCAACGAGGGAAGGUUAUGGGUGUGCGGUACCCUGGCCCAGUAAGCAGACAUAACCUUGUGUGCCCGUUGUUGAGAUUACGGUACCGUGUCCCCGUGUGGGACGUUUAUGUUUUGGCCAAGAUGGUGGUCGUUGGUGUCUUUGGUAGACACGGGGCCACCCAGGACUAGCCCGAUGGGGAGUGAGUCGGAGUGGCCGGAAGAGAGUCAUGGCAACCGAGGGAUUUCGUCGGAAUGCCGUUGGCCCACCCGAAUGGGAGUACGAGGCCAUGGGUUCCGUGGUGUGGGUACAGUGCGCUACCUCUGCAGAGUGUAUUAAUCUAUCGAUAGCCGAGUCCACGGUUACGGACACGCUCGAAAGUAGGUCACACCAUGGGUCAACAUUUAAUAAAUCUUGCACACUAAGUGAUAAACUUUGCAUGGUUGAUGAUGGUGGGAAGGCCAUCUUGAUGUUCGGGACCAAGUGUGGGUCGUGGUUGUGAUCACCGGAAGGAUCACUGUUUGUGACCAAAUGUUGGUCGUGGUUGUGAUCGCCGGAAAGAUCACGAGGUAAACUGAGUUAAGACCUCGGGGUUGGUACGGUUGUGAUCCAAGAGCGAUCAUCGUUGGUAAGCCAGUCCGAGGGAUUUUUCACAUAAAAGAAGGAUCACUGCAUGUUGCAUAUAUUGUUGCAUUGUUAAUAAUUGGUUAAUUAUCAUGAUAUUGUUUAUCAUUAUGUUUAUGUUUGUUGUGAGCUUGCAAGUAAAUUCAAUGUACUGACCUGGCGUGUCAUGCCAGAUUUCAGGAAAGUCUAGUUGGAAAGGAGUGCCAUCCGAGUCUAGAUCGUGUCCACAUCGGUGUCCCUGUUCUAUGGAGUUUCCGCUACGACAUUGUUCCGCUGCCGCGUAGUUGUUAUGAUCGAGGCCCCUUUAUGUUCACUAAAUAAUGUACAUAUUGUUCAGCUGCACCGUGUGUGCCGCUUGGCCUCGCCACCUGUUGUAAUAUAAACUUUGAUCCGCUAGCAUCAAUAAAGCGGUUGUUUUCUGUACCAAGAUGUUGUGUGUUGCCAGAAGACAUGGUCUCUGGGCUGGCAAUGCAUGAUAAACAAGUUGCUCUGAGCCAGGCUGCCACAUUUCCUAUCCCUGUGUUUUUAGAAUCUUGCAAGCCAAAUGAGCCCUUACAGAAUUACUUCAGUUACAGGUAGGUGUCGAAGGGAACUUUGUGUGGUUUAUCCUGCUCCUGCCGCGACGUCCUCCACCUCACCUGAGCUGCUCCAUCGAUAGAAGCAUCCACCAAACCAGACAUCACGACUCCUGACCGUCUUUCGCCGCCUCAGAUCUCCUUCCCUGCCGCCGGCACCCACCGCAACGGCAUCACCAUCAUCGACUCUGCAGAUUAACCUGAGGAGUACAUGGGUCCACAAGAGAAGUCACACUCUUUUGUUUCUGCUUAUGUUAUGCAUUGCUUAAAAUUACCUGCUACUUUAUCGUCCUGUUCACCUUUUGGACUCCAAGUCAGGUCCAAAUUAAUGUUCAAACAUGAGUUCUAAAUUAGUUGUGGGGCACAUAUCGAGGAAGCAAUGAAUAGUAUCUCUGUCUAAUAUCUGGUUCACCUAGGGUAUGCCUAUGUUGUUCAUCUUGGGUGGGAAACAAAUAGUAAAGCAAUCAUCAUCUGUCUUUUUAUUAAAUUAAAGCAAUCAUCAGCCUGCUAUCAUUAUUUUUGGAUCCAUCCACUGGUUGUUACCAUCACUCUAAAUUUCUGCAUGCUCUCCUUACAUAAUCUCACCAUAUUUUUUUCGUAUGCAUGUCAGAUAUUGUACACAGUCAUGCUGAACAUGAAGAGAAAAAGAGAAGAGUUUUGCGCGGCAAUACAAUGUCAUGCAGACAUCGCUCCAUGGUGGGUUCAAUGGCAAACCCUCCCCACCCCUCUCCAGAUUGUAAUCCCGAAGAAGAUAUCUGUUCUGAGGCGGAUUCAGACACCACUGACCACUCCUAUUUACCCCCAAGGUGUUUUCUCUACCUUGGCAUGAUGAUGUUAGUCACAUCAUGCAUAUGUUGCCUUGCAGUGCCUACUUUUGACAUCAUAUAUGUCAUCUGCUUAGUUUAGACAUGUUCUGUAAUGCCACCUGUUUAGUUUCUAUAUCAUAUAUGGGAAUUAUGCAGUCUCAUGUCUUUUAACCAGCCAUAAUAUAUGUGAAAUGUGCAAUGCCAUCCUGUUUAACCGGGCAUCAUAUAUUUGAAUGAUAUCUUGCCCAACCUUUUUUACAUUACAUUUCCAUUUGUCGACAAUGUUUGUACAUUAAACUACUCUUCCUAUGAAUCAGCCAUUUGGGUGGGAGAUGGAAAAUUCUGGAGUGAAAACAAGGCCUUCAGAGCAGACAGUGCUACCUAUCGAAGCAGAUCUCUUGUUGGGUCCCGAUAGCUCCUCAGAGAUGGAUGCAGAGACAGAUGACCAGUCCUAUUCCCCCACCGAGGUGUAUGCUCUAACUUGGCACCGUUAUACUGCUCAUAUGGUGCAUAUGGUGUCUUGUAUUGCAUAGUUUAGACAUCAUAUACACAAUAUUCAACACCAUGUUCUUAGUUCAGACAUCAUAUCGAAUGCCCUCUGUUUAGCAUAUAAAUCACAUAUGUGAAUUAAAUGAUGCAAUCCUGAUUACUUAGAUAACAUAUAGGUGAAUUAUGUCAUGCGAUCCUGUUUAGUUAUUCAUCAUAUCUUUGAAUUAUGUUAUGCUAUGCUAUCCAGUUUAGAUAGACAUCAUAUAUGUGAAAUUAUGUCAUGCUAUCCAUUUUAGUUAAACAAUAUACAUGUCAACUAUUUCAUGCCCUCUUUUUUCCACACUAUCUAUUGCAUCUGUCUCUCAUACAAUGUCUGUACAUUCAACUAUGUUUCCUGUUUAUCAGCCAUUUGAAUUGGAGCGGGUGAUGCCAGUAUCUAGCGGACUAAAAACACGGUCUUCAAAUAAAACAGUGCUACCUCUUGGUGGAGAUAGCACCCCGGCUGUAAAUGCACGAGAACCAGCCCUACCACACAUAACCCAAACUCUCGUAGAUUGUACCCCUACUGCGAUGGACAUUGAACCAGCUUCACCCAAUCUAACCCCAACCCCAGCAGAUAGUAACCCAGUUCCUGUUGACACAGCACCAUCUCCACCAUAGAGCUCCCAAACAAGAGCAGUUAGUAAGGCAGCUCCAGUGCCCAAAGGGCCAGUACUACCACGGAGAACCCCAACUCCACCAGUUAGUAGGCCUAUUCCUGUGGAGGAAGCACAACCAGCUAGUCGUAGUUUAGCAUCUAUCGCAUUUGAUGUUAUUAAAUCGUAUGUGCGUAUCUUCCCAUCUUGGAAAUAUUAUACUGAAGAUGAAGGAAAAUGCCAGUUGCAUGUGUUUGUCUAGGAGUUAUGUGUAAGUAAUGUUAUAAUACAAAAAAAAUUCCCAUUUUUGUCUAUAGAGAAGGACCGAUUUGGAAACUCGGGAUGAGGUAACCUGUGCUAAUACAUUUGCUAUCUUCAAGAAUGCUUGGUGGCAGUAUCGGAAUUACCUGAAGAAAACAUACUUCACCGGCAAAGAAACUCAUCAAAUUCCCUUACGUUCUCCUGAGACACAUUUACUGGACGAUGACUGGGAACGCCAUGUUCUGUACUGGUCCCGAACCAAGAAUGUGGUAAGGUCUAUGAGCUCAUUUUCUAUUUUUAAGUACAAUAUUCUUGCGUCUUAUUGUACUCUAUUCAUGUAGAACAAGUGCCUAAACCUGAAGAACAAUUGUUCUAAUUUAAGAUUCCAUUGCUAUCAUAGUUCAAAAAAGCGCUAGGCGUUAAUUGUGCGUUUUGCCACCGCCUUGCGCUUUACUGACCAAAGCGCAUGCUUAUGCGCAGUUAUGCACAGAUUAAGCGUAGUUAUGUGCAAUGCGUUUUGCCAAUGCCUAGAGCCUAGGCGCGCUUAAGCGCUCUUAGGUGCGCCUUUUUUAACUAUGAUUGCUAUCAUGCAUACUGCUUUGCUCUUGUAUCAUUGUAUUUACACAUACAAACUUAUUUUUAAAUUGAAGGAUCCAAUCAAAACUCCAAUGGCACAACAGGUAUGUUCACGCAUGUUUCUUUAACAUGUUUGCUCUUAUCAAUAGCUCUGUUGAUUUCAAUUUCAAUUGUGUAUACAGUUGAUUUCUCAUAUCAUGCACAUUACUAGCAUCACAAAAGAGCCAAUAGUGUUGUUGUACAUGUAGACCCGUGAUACCCAUCUGAAAUCUUGUUGUGCCGUGUAGUUUCCCACGCUUGUAUUCUUUCACUGCUACUUUGUCUUGAACUGAUAUGAUUUGAACCGUGUCUCUAUUUUGAUUUGGCAAGACAAUGCAGUGACCAUAGGACAUAGAUAUAUGUUUGUUUGAUGCUUUUAUUAUGUACUAGUACUUGGCAAUAGAAGACUUGGUAGUUUAAACCUGUCCACCUUAAUAAUGAACUGGUUCACCGAAAUGAGUUUCAUAUACUAGUACAUGCUAAACCUGUUAUGUGUCUGCUUGUUUCUUCUUUUAGAAUGCUGAUAGAAUAUUGGGGAAGAGUGCCUUAUUAACCAAUGGUAAAGGAAGUAAUGCAGAUAAGGUUCAGGAUAGUGAGACAUCCAUGUUGGUCUCCAACAAAGCUGAUAAAACAGCUAAGGAACACUAUCUUGAAGACAGUGAGACAACCCCAAAGUCCUGUCUUGCUUUAGUGUUCGAGUUACUGGCCACUACCGCUUGCACAAGCUAUUCAAAUUCACUGUCUGAAUCAGUUCGGUUUCUUGAGUCCCAACUACAAGCUAAUAGACAUCGAUCAGCUGUGCUGCGACAAGAAGCAGAAGGACUGCGGAAGUCCCUGGAGCAUUCAGAUGCAUACUUUCUGGUGCAACAACAAGCGUUGGAGGAUUUUAGUGCCAAACAGGACAAAGCUAAUAAGCUUGCUAAGCUUAUUGCCGGCAUGGUGGAUACCCAGGAUAACGUUUCUUGAGCUCUUCUGAAGUUGUUUCAUUUAUGCUCUUUUUUUGCUGCCACGUUUAUUUGCACUGGUGGCCAAUUUUGACGGCCAGUGUAUGUAAUAUGCUGCUUUGUUCCCUAUAUUUGCACUGGUGGCAAACUUUGAUGCCCAGUGGAUGUAAUAUGUGUAAUAGCGGUAAUAGGCUAGAGUUAAUUGCUUGCUUAUUUAUUUCCUUAUUGUCUUGUUUAGUUGUUUUCUUGUAGUCACUGCACUUCUUUUUCUUUGUUUUUCUAGUGGCCACAAUAACCUAUUUUUGGAAACUAGGCCAAAAUAAUCAUGGCAACACAUGGACUGUUGUAACCAUGGGCCUCCUACGGGCCGUAUGAUCCAUGGGCCUUCUACGGGCCAUAGGAUCCAUUGGCCUUCUAUACGGGCCGUAGGAUCCAUGGGCCUUCUACGGGCCGUAUGAUCCAUGGGCCGUCUACGGGCCGUAUGAUCCAUGGGUCGUCUAGGGGCCGUACGAUCCAUGGGCCUUCUAUGGGUCGUACGAGCCAUGGACCUUUUACGGGCCGUAGGAUCCAUGGGCCUUCUACGGGCCAUAGGAUCCAUGGGCCUUCUACGGGCCGUACGAUCCAUGGGCCUUUUACGGGCCUUCUACGGGGCGUAUCAUCAUUUCGCCAGUCCUGGGCCGUACUAUUCGUGGACCAUAACGGGCCGUUAAUAGGCCGUAUUUGAUAACUCUAUGAAAACAGCCCAGUGGGUUUAUUUUGACAUGAAAACGGCCCAACGUAUUAACGGGCCACAAACGGGCCGACUAUAACGACGGGCUGAAUUUGGCCCACAAGAAGAAAAUGACAAUAACGGGCCGUAAGUAACCGAAUGCUGGAAAUGAGCCCAAGAAUAAAUGGGCCCUGAGAAGGCCGAAAGAUAACUUGGGCUGGAAACGGCCCAAUGGAAUAAUGGGCCGUUAAUGGGUAUAAAGUGAUACACUGUUCAUUACGAGCCAGUUUCACCACGGGCCGUUAGUGGGCCAAGAGUUACAAAGGGCCUCAUAUGGGCUGAAAGACGUCAUGGGCCAUACAUGGGCCGGAAGAUAAAAUGGGCUGGAAUCAUAUUGGACGGCCCAGAUGACGCUACUGGGCCUAAUUCGGAUAGGCCGUAACGGGCCCUGUGUUAGCGGGCUGUUAACAGGCUUUCCGUGGGCCGGCCCGCCACCUUUUGACCAAGUCAAACGGGUCGGCCUUUUCAUAGGAAUGGGCCUCUGUUUGGGCCGUGCCACGUGUCGAUGUAUAAUAGGCGCCUUCGGUCCAAUGAGUGGAUGACAUCUGUCUCAACGGUGAGACGACACGUGUUCCCUCCAGCCAAUGAUGAUUUUACACAUGGAAAAUCCCCAUUGGUCGGGGCUGUUAACGGGUUAUCAGAUCCAAAACCGGACUCGAUAGCUUAACGGCGUUCCGUUACGGUGGAUGCCAUGUGUCGGUCACCCUUGCCGAAAGCACUUCUAUAACGCACGAUUUAUCGUCAUGGAAGUGGACACUUCCGUGAUGAUAAUUUUGGUAAUCUCAUGGAACACUUCUACGAUAGCACAGGUAUGCCUAUCUUGAUUCUGUCAAAAAAUCUUCAUGGAUGUACAUGCAUGACAAAAAACGUGACCUACUGUGACAAACACGUAUCACCACGGAAGCGUAUUUUUUUGUAGUGCAAGCCAGAGAACUUAACCACAAAGAGGAACAUGCUCCUAUUAGGACCAAGCAAGAUUCUUGUACUCAUCUAAGGCCAAUCAUUCAUGACACCUAAUUGUAAGUAGAUUCAGUCACUACAGGUGCUUGUUUCAGCACCAAGUUAAAUUCAGUCAAGCAUGUAAGUAGAUUCACACCAGCAGCAUACCAAGCAAAAAAAACAGAUUUUAAACAGGCUAGCUAGCUGUAAUUUGCUGCAAUCCUGAUGGUACAAACAAGCUAGGUAGAUUAAACACCAACCGUUAACACAGCCUAGCUGUAGUAACUAACAAGGCCACUAUAAAUUAUUAACUUGAAAGGAAGCUCACUUUCUCCAUCUUCUAUCUAUCCAUGUUUUCUUUUUCUGAAGCAAGCAUCAAAAGGCACAAUGACAAACAAAUUCCACACAAACGCUGAACCAAUACUUCAAAUUAAAUUUGCAAGGACUUGAAAUAGAGGUUGGAGCUCAUCAAGUACCAGCUUCUAAAGGAAAGAUCUUCUAUUCCAUACAAUUUCAUAUAGUGUGAGGGAGUUUUCGACUAUUGGCAACAUGAGGACUAGUUUCAUUACCUCACACGGUGGCUGGCCUGGGCGUUCUGGAUACUCCAUUGUGCGUGCGGUCCUUGACCCUCCCUCAAACUAAAAAACAAAGCCCAAAACAUGUUUAUAACUUCAAUUCAAGCUCCUUGAAUAGGUGUAUACUCCGCAUAAAGUUCUCACUUCUACAACAACUCACUGGAAACAUGUGAACUAGACUAUCUACUUGUGCUACAAGGUAAAAAUAAUCCUAAUAGAAAAAUGACCAUAUGACUAAGUGACUGACCAGGCCUACAACAUAAGCAAGUGGCAGCGUAAGCAGAAAGUGGGCCUUUGAAUUAUCAACAUCAACCGCAAGACUAAGACAAGAAGGCUUAUUAUAGAAUCAGGCAAUCACAUAAUCAACGACAGCAACCGACGACUGCACAAUCAAGUUUCACUUCCAUGGACUCGUGAUGAGGUCAUACCUCGCAGGAGAUGUAUCGGGAGGGGGCUCGGAGAUGGCGUCGGGGCGGCCGUGGAGCUGCGUCCUCCAUGGCGUCCUCACAUCCAUGGCAUCAUCCCCUCCAUGGCGUCCUCUCCUCCAUGGCAUGCCUGAUGUCGGUUCCAUGGCCUUGGCGUGCGUGAGGAAGAGGCAGAGGGAGAGGAAGCAAAUCAAAUUGCAGCAACAAGGCAAAAGGGAAGAUGACAAGUCCAUCCAUGGAAGAAUGAGGGAUCCGGUGCUGCACCUCGUUCCAGCGGCUCGAUCUGGAUCCAGCGCUGCCUUGCCUCUCGCUCGAUCUGAGCAGCGGCGCGCGGCCAGACCACAAGUGCAUACUUGCCGGAGUGGCGGAGGCAUCGCCGGCGCAGGAUCAGGCUCAGGCUCAGCCUGUCGUGGCUCUAUUGGCCAUGGCUUCGGAAGACCCGCGGAGGCAAGAGCUUGGAGGCGGGUGGCAAGAGCAAGGGGAAGUGGAGGAGGAAGUUGCUGCUGCUCCUGCUCAGGUCGUUGCAGGUCAAGAGCAGCGGCGCUUGGGGGGAGGCCAGCGGUGGGGUAGGGGUUGGGACAGUGGAGAGGGAGGUUUGGGUCGGGGAGAGGGAGAACUGGGUCAGGGAGAGGGAGGCGGCGCCGCAUGGGUCGGGGAGAGGGAGAGGGAGGGGAGUGUGCUGCACGAUGCUAGGGUUUGGUUGGCCAGCGUGCGUUUAGGAGACGUUGGAUCUAUAUGGUGUGGAUGGCUCAGAUCAGCUUAGGGGGGGUGAUCCGUGGGAAGGGAGGUUCUGCCUUCUGAUUGGUCCAAAAAAUGUGUCAUUUAAAAUAGUUUCUAAGUGGUAAAAAUAGAGGGAAUUUGUCAAGGAGCUACCAAUAAUAUUUUCCGAAAAUUUCACCACUAAAAAAUUUCACUCAAGUUAUACAACAUUUUAUGGAUGAUAACCAACUUGUAUGCAUUUCCGAUCUUUCUAGCAUUUUUUAGCCAUUUAAACAGAAAAUAAUAGUUUGCUCAUAGUUUUUUCGUGAAGGGCCUACCAAAUAAUUGUUGCAAAACUUGACCAAAUCAAUUUUCUAAAAUACUAGGUCAUAUUUAAUGUACAAUUGACCAAAUGGUUGGGUGUCAAAAGUUUUCAUCCACCUCUCCUAAAAAAGUCAAAUUUUCACCGAUUCAGCUAGAAGUUGGUCAAAUUUAAACUGCAGCUACCUUAUAGUUUGCUAUUUAUUUUUUUCCAAAAAUCAGUACUCGGUACAUAAGUAUCUAUUUAAUCAUGGAAACACCAAAAGUUUUCUAAGAUUCAACCACUAGCUACGAACGGUGAUGCCCGCCGUUUUGACCGCAUUUUGCAAUGGGCAUGAAAAAUAAAAAAAUUGGAAAACCUGCGCAUAGUGUCAUUAUAUGUGGCAAAGUUACCAGGAAAAAUAAUAAACUUGUAAUGCGAUAAUUAUGUUUAGAAAGUGUUCUCAGAAACGAGCUAUCAUGUGUGAAGAUCAAUGACUUUCAAGUCAAAUGAUCAAUCUUAUGGCCACAUUCAUGACAUAGUUUGUUAAAAUGAUCUCAUAUUGUGCACAAGGGUGCAUAUUGGAAUGGAAAACAAUGUUGCCUAAGGAAGUUUUCAUUUUCUUCGGACAAAAAAUCAUUUUCCAUUUUUCGAGCGCCCAAAAUGAGCUUUUUGUGAAGAACCUACCAAAUAAUUGUUGCAAAAUUGUACCAAAUCAAUUUUCUAAAAUACUAGGCCAUAUUUAAUGCACAAUUGACCAAAUGGUUGGGUGUCAAAAGUUUUGACCCACCUCUCGUGAAAAAGACAAAUUUCUGCCGUUUUAGUUGGAACCGGGUCAAAUUUGAACUGCAGUUGCCUCAUAGUUUGCUUUUUAUUUUUUCCAAAAAUCAUUUUUAGGUACAAAAGUAUCUAUUUAAUCCUAGAAACAACAAAAGUUUUGCUAGAUUCAAUCACUAGCUAGGAACGGUCAUGCCCGCUGUUUUGACCGCAUUUUGAAACGGGCAUGAAAAAUUCAAAAACAAAUUCAAAAAAUUGGAAAACCUUCGCAUAGUGUCAUUAUAUGUGGCGAAGUUACCAGGAAAAAUAAUAAACUUGUAAUAUGAUAAUUAUUUUUAAAAAGUGUUCUCAGAAACGAGCUAUCAUGUGUGGAGAUCAAUGGCUUUCAAGCGAGAUGGUCAAUCUUAUGGCCACAAUCAUGGCAUAGUUUGUUCAAAUGAUCUCAUAUUGUGCACAAGGGUACAUCUUGGAAUGACAAACAAUAUUGACUAAGGAAGUUUUCUUCUUCUUUGCACGGAAAUUUCAUUUUCCAUUUUUCGAGUGACCAAAAUGAGUUUUUUUGUGAAGGGCCUACCAAAUAAUUGUUACAAAAUUAUACGAAAUCAAUUUUCUAAAAUACUAGGACAUACUUAAUGUACAAUUGACCAAAUUUUUGGGUGUCAAAAGUUUUGAUCCACCUCUCGUGAAAAAGACAAAUUUCUGCCGAUUUAGUUGGAAGCGGGUCAAAUUUGAACUGCAGCUGCCUCAUAGCUUGCUUUUUAUUUUUCUCAAAAAUCAUUUUUAGGUACAAAAGUAUCUAUUUAACAAAUAGAAACACCAAAAGUUUUCCAAGAUUCAACCACUAGCUAGGAACGGUCAUGCCCGCUGUUUUGACCGCAUUUUGAAACGGGCAUGAAAAAUUCAAAAAAAUCAAAAAAUUGGAAAACCUUCGCAUAGUGUCAUUAUAUGUGGCCAAGUUACCAGGAAAAAUAAUAAACUUGUAAUACGGUAAUUAAUUUUAAACAGUGUUCUCAGAAACGAUCUAUCAUGUGUGGAGAUCAAUGGCUUUCAAGCGAGAUGAUCAAUCUUAUGGCCACAUUCGUGGCAUAGUUUGUUCAAAUGAUCUCAUAUUGUGCACAAGGGUACAUCUUGGAAUAACAAACAAUGUUGCCUAAGGAAUUUUCACUUUCUUUGCACGAAAAAAUCAUUUUCUAUUUUUCGAGUGCCCAAAAUGAGUUUUUUGUGUGACGGACCUACCAUAUAUUUGUUGCAAAAUUGGACCGAAUCAAUUUUCUAAAAUAUUAGGCCAUAUUUAAUGCACAAUUGGAAAAAUGGUUGGGUGUAAAAAGUUUUUAUGCGCCUCUCAUGAAAAAGACAAAAUUCCGCCGAUUCAGUAGGAAGCGAGUCAAAUUUGAACUGCAGCGGUCUCAUAGUUUUCUCUUUAUUUUUUCCAAAAAUCAUUUCUAGGUACAUAAGUAUCUAUUUAAUCAGAGAAACAUCAAUAGUUUUCCAAGAUUCACCCACUAGCUAGCAACGGUCAUGCCCGCCGUUUUGACCGCAUUUUGAAAUGGGCAUGAAAAAUUCAUGGCAUAGUUUGUUCAAAUGAUCUCAUAUAGUGCACAAGGGUGCAUCUUGCAAUGAAGAACAAUGUUUCCGAAGGGAUGUUUUAUUUUCUUUGGACACAAAAUCAAUUUUCCAUUUUGUUAGUGCCCCAAAUGAGGUUUUUUUGUGAAGAACCUACCAUAUAUUUGUUGCAAAAUUGGACCGAAUCAAAUUUCUAAAAUACUAGGCCAUAUUUAAUGUACAAUUGACCAAAUGGUUGGGUGUAAAAAGUUUUUGAUCCACCUCUCGUGAAAAAGACAAAUUUUCGCAUAUUCAUUUUCCAUUUUUUUAGUUCCCAAAAUGAGUUUUUUUGUGAAGAACCUAACAAAUAUUUUUGUAAAAACUUCUCCAUUUUUCAAGAAUAUUAGACCAUAUUUUAUGAACAAAUUUGUGUACACUAGAAACAUUUUUUAUAGAUAUUAAACGGUUUUUAGUUACAUCAUUAAUAUUUUUAAUAAAUAUUUUGAUGUCUAAUAUUUUGAACACAUGUCUACAUUUUUUAAGACACAUUGUAUAUAUUGUUUAUAUAUGUUUAACUUUUUUCAAAUACAUGGUUAACAUAUUUUCAUAUAUUCCCAACAAAAAAACAUCUUUUCAUACAUGUUUUGAUGUCUAUAUUUGUUUUUCACAUUGUACAUUUUUGUAUACAUAUAAAACAUUGUUGAUAUUGGUUAGACAAAUUUAAAUACAUGAUUAAGAUUUUUAGAAAAUCUUGCNNNNNNNNNNNNNNNNNNNNNNNNNNNNNNNNNNNNNNNNNNNNNNNNNNNNNNNNNNNNNNNNNNNNNNNNNNNNNNNNNNNNNNNNNNNNNNNNNNNNNNNNNNNNNNNNNNNNNNNNNNNNNNNNNNNNNNNNNNNNNNNNNNNNNNNNNNNNNNNNNNNNNNNNNNNNNNNNNNNNNNNNNNNNNNNNNNNNNNNNNNNNNNNNNNNNNNNNNNNNNNNNNNNNNNNNNNNNNNNNNNNNNNNNNNNNNNNNNNNNNNNNNNNNNNNNNNNNNNNNNNNNNNNNNNNNNNNNNNNNNNNNNNNNNNNNNNNNNNNNNNNNNNNNNNNNNNNNNNNNNNNNNNNNNNNNNNNNNNNNNNNNNNNNNNNNNNNNNNNNNNNNNNNNNNNNNNNNNNNNNNNNNNNNNNNNNNNNNNNNNNNNNNNNNNNNNNNNNNNNNNNNNNNNNNNNNNNNNNNUACACAUGAAUCUUUUUUUAUCUAUAUCUAUAUCUAUACCUACUAAUAAAGCAAGGUGCGUUUCUCCAGUUUUUUCAUCCGUUCACCACCGAUUUUUAUUAAUAUCCGAGGUGGUACUAAUUUUUUGUGGUCCAUCUAGUAGAAAAGAAAACAAAAGUCCAGAAUUUCAUACAUGGGCCUGCACGCGCUAAGGCCCAGAGAAUCCACCAAUAUCCUGCCCACGCAUAUGGGAAACCUUAUUUUUCGCACGGAGCAACAUAUAGUUGGAGCUUCGCAUAGGUCGCACACCGUUGGGCCGCCCAUUCUCUUUUUCUCUGUGUUCUUAUUUUAUUUUUAUUUUUAUUUUUCCCCUUUGAAGUGAUUUUCUGCGUUUUCCCAUAAUUUUGUUUUUCAGAAUUUCGUUAUUUACACAUUUUCGUUAAAUCUUCAGAAUUUCCAAAUUUGUUACCUUUUCAGAAAUAUUUGGAACUUCUAAAUUUUAUUUCCGUUCCAAAUUUUUUCGAAAUUCAAAAAUGUUCAAAUUAAAAAAAAAUCAAAAUUGUUUGACAAUUUUUAAAACAAUUUGCAUUGCUUAAAAUAAUAGAAAUUCCAAAAAUAUUCUUGUUUGCUGAAAUGUUCACAAAUUCAAAACAAUGCUUGUGAUUAAAAACACAUUUUUAAAAUGUUUUUGAAUUUUCAAAGCAAGUUUCCAUUUUUAAAAAUUGCUCACAAAUUCAAAAAAUGCGAGUUGCUCCACCUUAAAAAUUUCCUGUUUUCAAAAAAAUGUUUGUGAAUUUCAAAAAAAAUUCCUAUUUCCAGUUUUGUUUGCCUUUUUCCAGAAAUUAAUGAUUUUUUCAAAAAACAUUGCUCACCUCUUUUUAUAAAAAAAAUAGGAGGUCACCACAACCUCAACAAGGAGGCGGGCCUGAAGUAAAAAAAAAGCACGAGUUGGGUAGUGGUCGCCACUCCGAUCAACCCCACUACUAUAAUGAUCUCGCGGGCCAAACAUGACCCGUGAGACCACCACAUAUCUCCGCUCUGUCACCCCACUGUUUUGGAGACCAUUUUGAUGGACAUCAAUUAUCUCUCCCAAUGCUUCUCGCAAAAAAUAUCUCUUCCAUUGCAACGCACGGGCAUAUGUGCUAUACAUAUCUAAUAUUAUUUAUGAUUAUCAUUUUUUAUAUGCAUGAAACUUUUCAAAUACACACGUUUAGUUUUUUUAAACACAUUAUUACAUUUUUUGAAAUACAUAUUAACAUUAACAUUUUUUGAAUUACCCGUUUAGUUUUCUAAUUGCUAAACCAUAUAGCAAGAUUCACGAAGGAGUUCAUUAUUUUCCUAUUGUUAUAAUUUUAUAUUGUUUAAUUGGUUUCGAGAUUUUUCUAUAAGGAAAAACCUUUUUAGAGUUCUACAAUGAAAAACUUGUUUUUUAGACAAUAAUGAAAACAGUUUUUUUCAAAUAACUGACCAUCCUUGCCAAAUGUUAAUAAUGAAAAACUUAUUAUUUUCCCAUUUUCGUUGGGCUGAAUAUAUCUUUUUUUGAGUAAUAUGAGGGCAUCCCACCUUUCUUUCUGGAUGGGCCGAGGCCUUCAUGGCACACAGUUUUUUUAAAAGGAGGUGGCCUCGUUCCACCGAGGCCCAAGCCAUCUUGAGCGACACUUUAACCAAUGCAUCCACGUUCACAACCUCAUGACCAUUUAUAUUGGUCAUAAUCAGGUAGAAAUAAGGUCGUCGACCACUCUUAUCUGCUUUAUGACCAUUUGGUGUAAGGCAAUUUCAGGGUUUGAGCCCUUCCAAGCAAAAUGGUCGUGGAUUUACGACCAAUUCAGCCGGGGUCACUGAGAGAAGGUCACAAGUUGACAUAUUUCUUGUAGUGACUCUGUGUAAGGCAAAUUGUCAUCCCAACUAGGUCCAUAAUCUAGUGCACAAGCUCUCAUAAUAUCUCCAAAAUCUGGUUGACUCUCUCGGUUUAUCCAUCUGUCUACGGAUGAAAGGCUGUACUGAAUUCUAGCCUGGUACCCAAAGUCUGGUGUAACUGAUUCCAAAACUUCGAGGUAAACUGUGUUCCUCUAUCUGAUACGAUCGUCCUCGGAACUCCAUGUAGACAUACGAUCCUGGUCAUAUAUAUCUUGGCCAACUUUGCGCUCGUAUAAGUGGUUUUCACGGGGAUAAAGUAAGCCACUUUGGUCAAGGGAUCAACUACUACCCAGAUGGAGUCGUAUCCUGAUCGUGUCCUGGGUAAUCAGGUGAUGAAAUCCAUGCCAAGCUUAUCCCACUUCCAUUCAGGUAUCGGCAAAGGCUGAAGUAAUUCUGCUGGCUUCUGAUGCUGUGCCUUAACUCUUUGACAUACGUCGCACACUGCUACAUACUCGGUGAUGUCUACUAUGCAAGUUUAUUCUUGUAGACUCGUAUUGGGCCUCCAAGCGCAGAGUUUUGUAGGACAGUAGCAAUUUUCCGUCAAGUGGAUGACCUAAGGUAUAUCAAUCCGUGGGAGGUGUAGGAUGAAGAUGGCCUCUCUCAAACGACCCUGCAACCAAAUACAAGAAAUCUCUUGUGUCCCCAACACACCCAAUACAAUGGAAAAUUGUAUAGGUGCACUAGUUCGGCGAAGAGAUGGUGAUGAAAGUGUAAUAUUGAUGGUAGAAAUAUAUUUUUAUAAUCUGAAUAAAUAAAAACAGCAAGGUAGAAAUAAGUAAACGGGCACAAAAACGGUAUUGCAAUGCUUGAAAAUGAGGCCUAGGGUUCGUACUUUCACUAGUGCAACCUCUCAACAAUGCUAACAUAGUUGGAUCAUAUGAUUAUCCCUCAAAGUGCAACAAAGAAUCACUCCCGAGUUCCUAUUAGCGGAGAACAAAAGAUAGAAAUUGUUUGUAGGGUAUGAGACCACCUCAAAGCUAUUCUUUCCCGCUCGAUCUAUUCAAGAGUUCGUACUAAAAUAACGCAAAGCUAUUUUUUCCGUUUGAUCUAUCCUAGAGUUCGUACUAGAAUAACACCAAAGCAUAUUGAUAUUCAUAAUACUCAAUCCACACAAAGAACUACAAGGAGACCACAAAGUUUCUAUCGGAGAAAAGAUAAUAAAAACAUGCAUCAACUCCUAUGCAUAGAUUACCCCAAUAUCACCGCGGGAAUCCGUGAGUUGAAUGCCAUAACAUAUAUCAAGUGAAUCAAUAUUAUACCCAAAUUGUCACCUCAAGUAUUCAUACUGCAAGACAUAUAUCAUGUGUUCUCAUCUCUGAAUAUUCAAUCCGACAAGAAAAAACUUCAAAGGGUAAAGACUCAAUUCAUCACAACAAGAGUAUAGAGGGGAGAAACAUGAUAUGAUCCGACUAUAUUAACAAAGCCCAAGAUAUAGAUCAUGAGAGAGAGAGAGAUUAAACACAUAGCUACUGGUCCCUCCUCAUCGUGGUGGCCGCCGGGACGAUGAAGAUGGGUUUUGGAAUAUUUGGGAAUUUAUAGUGCAAAGAGGGGGUGCGGGACGCCACCGAGGCGGGCACAACCCAUCUGGGCGCGCUAGGGCUCCUGGCGCGCCCUGGUGGGUUGUGCCCCCCUUGGGGCACCCCCGAGGUGCAACUCUGGCCCAUUGGGUUCCUUUUUGUCGAUAAAAAAUCUCCAUGGAGUUUUGUUGCGUUUGGACUCCGUUUGACAUUGAUUUCCUUCGAUGUAAAAAACAAGCAAAAAAACAACAAGUGGCACUGGGCACUGAUUCAAUAGGUUAGUCCCAAAAAAUGAUAUAAAGUUGCUAUAAAAUUAUUGUAAAACACCCAAGAAUGAUGAAAUAAUAGCAUGAAUACGUCAGAAAUUAUAGACACGUUGGAGACGUAUCAACAUCCCCAAGCUUAAUUCCUGCUCGUCCUCAAGUAGGUAAAUGAUAAAAGAAGUAAUUUAUGAAGUGUGAAUGCUAGCAAAGUGCAUUAGUUUGAUCAAUGAUAAUUUCAAUCACUUUUCCUAGCAUAAUAACAACAAUUCUUUCUUAUAAAACUUCUCAUGUUAUAGUAGCAACCAAUUCAUAUGUUAAGGUUCAAACAAUGAACUCUCUUGAAACUCAACAACCUAUUUUCUUAGUCACCAAGCAAUUGCAAUUCAACUUAUUCGACAGAGUUUAAGUAAGAGCUCCUCAUACUCAACCAUCAUAGAGUCUUCUAUGAUUGCUAACACUCAGUGCAUACACAUGAGCAGAACGUUUCAACUGGACACAUAGAAAGAUAUGGGCUUAUUGUUUUGCCUCCCAACGUAUUCACGUCAAGGGUGAUGUCAACAAUAAUAACUCAUGCUGCCCAUAUUCAACUGGAGAUAUGUGCCUAGAUCUUUCCUCGCCACAUGAUGCUUGCCAAAAGAGAAAAAUAAAAAGGAAUAGAGAGAAAAACUUUGACUCUUGCAUGAAAGUAAAUACAUAAAAGUAAAAGAUAUGCCCUUUGCAGAGGGAAGUAGGGAUUUGUAGAGGUUCCAGAGCUCAAAGCGAAAACUGAGAGAUAAAAACAUUUUGAGAGGUAUACUUUUCCCACCAACAAAAAUGACUUAGAGCUCCCAACACUUUCCAUGCUAGAUAUAUCAUAGGUGGUUCCCAAAUAGAAAAUAAAGUUUAUUCCUUUUUCCACCAUACUUUCACUUUCCAUGGCUACCUGUAUCCACGGGUGACCUCCAUACCAACACUUUCCAAGGAAUUUAUUAUUUGACAACAUAAAGUAAAUUCAUUUUUCAUUUUGGGACUGGGCAUCCCUAAAACCUUUGCCUUACUCUUGUCUAAUGACAAGUGAAUAAACACUCGUCGUGAGAAUAACACAUCUAGCAUGGAAAAUAUUGGCCUCCCUCACCGCCUCGCGAGCGGUAUGAGCACACAAAAGGGAAAUUUAUUUUUGAAAAUUAGAGAUGGCACAUAAAAAUUUGCUUAGAACGGCACGGAAAUACCGCAUAUAGGUAGCUAUGGUGGACUCUUGAAAAUAAGAUUUGGGUUUACGGGUUUUUGGAUGCACAAGUAGUAUCUCUACUUGGUGCAGAAUUUUUGGCUAGCAAAGAUGGGGGGCAAGCACCACAUGUUAAAUGAUCUAUGACAAUAUGACUUCUAUGUGAAUAUGAGCAAACAUAAAUCAUUACGUUGUCUUGCUUAUCCAACGUCAACAAUUUUGGCAUAUAAUAUUUUGAUGGGGGCUCACAAUCACAAAAGAUUUCCAGGAUAGUGUAUUUGCAUGUGAAAUUCUCUUCCUUAUACUAAUUAUUCGUGAAUUGCUUGUAUGACCAAUAUUGUGAUUUUCGAGCCUCAAAAGAUUUCACUUUUUAAACCCAAUGUGAAGUUACCACUAGGCAUGGUAUGAUUUCAACUUCAUGACAUUUAAUUUAUUCAACAAUUUACUCAUAGGAUAUAAGUGAAGCACAAGAGUAAAUUAAAAACUACUCGAAAAAGAUAUAAGUGAAGAUCAUGCGAGUAGUUAAGUAAAUAGAUAUCUAUGUGAGGACUCUCUUUGAUUUAAAAGUUUCAGAUCUAAAUGUUUUACUAAAACAGCAAGCAAAAUGAAAAUGAAAUGACAUUUCAAGGAUAGCACACAUCAUGUGAAGAAGCAAAAACUUAGGCUCAACUUAUACUAACCGAUAAUUGUUGAAGAAGAAAGAUGGGAUGCCUACUGGGGCAUCCCCAAGCUUAGAUGCUUGAGACUUAUUGGAAUAUUAACUUGGGAUGCCACACUUACCUAACUCCAAAAAUUAUGAAAAUUUUACCACACUGUAGAAAAUUUAUCAGAGCUUAUUAUGCAAAAAGUUUCAACAUUCUAUCACACUUUGACUUUUCUAGGGAAUUUUCUCAACAUCGAUAAACUUUCUAUUUUCAAACAGCAACAUGUAUACUUGCAAGAUAAGCAUGGGAAAGGCUAUCAAUGCCACUUUUAUUGAAAUAAAAGAUGCAAAACAUUAUUCUAAAUAACAGCAAGCAAAUAUUAGCAAAAUAAAUUGACGCUCCAAGCAAAACACAUGUCAUGUGACGAACGAAAACAUAGCUCCAAGUGAGGUUACCGAUAAUGUUGGAGACGAAAGAGGGGAUGCCUUCCGGGGCAUCCCAAGCUUAGUUGCUUGGAUCAUCCUUGAAUAUUACCUUGGUGUGCCUUGGUAAUCCCCAAGCUUAGGGUCUUUUCACUACUUAUUCUCCUCAUAUCGAUAUCUCACCCAAAACUUGAAAACUUCAAUCACACAAAACUUAACAGAACUUCAGGAGAUUGGUUAGUAUGAUAAAGAGCAAACCAUUUCACUUUGGUACUGUCAAAGACAAGAUUGAUAAUUGUUUCCACACAAUUCCUACUGUAUCAUACCAUUUCCACAAUUUAUAUUGAGCAAUAUAAGCCAUAGAAACUAGAAAGCAAGCAAACUAUGCAUUGAAAACAGAAUCUGUCAAAAACAGAAUAGUCUGUAAUGAUCUGGAUAACUACCAUACUUAUGCUAAUCCAAAAAUUAUGAAACAUAUAGGACCACGUGAGAAAUUUGUAUAUUAAACUUAUGCAAAAAUAAUCAACUCAAAAGCACUCUUCUGUUAAAAAUGAGACUUAUUUUCGUGAGCGCAAAAGUUUUUGUUUUUCAGCAGCGUCAAAUCAACUAUCACCCAACAUGAUCCCAAAGGCUUUACUUGGAACUUUAUUGAAACAAAUCAAUAAAACAUAAUUACUACAGUAGCAUAAUCAUGUGAACACAAAAAAACUUUAGGUAAAAGUGUUGGGUUGUCUCCCAACAAGCGCUUUUCUUUAAUGCCUUUUAGCUAGGCAUGAUGAUUUCAACUAUGCUCGCAUAAAAGAUAAGAAUUGAAAUUUAAAGAGAGCAUCAUGAAUCACAUGGAAAGAACAUUUAAGUCUAACUCACUUUCUAUGCAUAGGGAUUUCGUGAGCAAACAACUUAUGGGAACAAGAAUCAACUAGCAUAGGAAGACAUAACAAACAAAACUUCAAGAUUUUCAACACAUAUAGAGGAAACUUGAUAUUAUUGCAAUAUAUAAAAGCGUAUGUUCCUCUCUCAUAAUAAUUUUCAGUAGUCCCACGAAUAAAUUCAACAAUAUAGCUAUUACAUAAAGCAUUCUCUUCAUGAUCCAUAAGCAUAGAAAAUUUAUCACUCUCCACAUAAGCAAUUUUAUUAUCAUCAAUAAUUAUGGGAGCAAACUCAACAAAAUAACUCUCAUGUGAUUGGAAAUUAAAAUCAUGAUGAAAAGUUCCAUGUUUAUAAUUAUUCAAUAUAGCAUACAUGUCAUCACCAUAAUCAUCAUGUAUAGGAACUUCUAUGUCAUAAUCAAUUGCAUCCUCCUCCAAAAUAGUGGAUUCAUCAUUAAAUAAAGUCACGACCUCUCCAAAUCCACACUCAUCAAUAUAAUCAUCAUAAAUAGGAGGCAUGCAAUCAUCAUAAUAAAUUUUCUCAUCAAAACUUGGGGGACUAAAAAUAUCAUCUUCAUCAAACAUAGCAUCCCCUAGCUUAUGGCUUUGCAUAUCAUUAGCAUCAUGGAUAUUCAAAGAGUUCAUACCAACAACAUUGCAAUCAUGUUCAUCAUUCAAAUAUUUUGUGCCAAACAUUUCAUUAACUUCUUCUUCUAACAAUUGAUCCCAAUUUUCUGAUCCAUCAUUUUCAAGAAACAUAUUAUAAAGAUGAUCAAUAAUAUGAUGCAACCUCAAUUCCAUUUUUUGUAAUUUUCUUUUAUAAACCAUACUAGUGAUAAAACAAGAAACUAAAAGAUUCAAUUUCAAGAUCUAAAGAUAUACCUUCAAGCACUCACCUCCUCGGCAACGGCGCCAGAAAAGAGCUUGAUGUCUACUGCACAACUUUAUUCUUGUAGACUCGUGUUGGGCCUCCAAGCGCAGAGUUUUGUACGACAGUAGCAAUUUUCCCUGAAGUGGAUGACCUAAGGUUUAUCAAUCCGUGGGAGGUGUAGGAUGAAGAUGGUCUCUCUCAAACGACCCUGCAACCAAAUACAAGAAAUCUCUUGUGUCCCCAACACACCCAAUACAAUGGCAAAUUGUAUAGGUGCACUAGUUCGGUGAAGAGAUGGUGAUAAAAGUGUAAUAUUGAUGGUAGAAAUAUAUUUUUAUAAUCUGAAUAAAUAAAAAUAGCAAGGUACCAAUUAGUAAACAGACACAGAAACGGUAUUGCAAUGCUUGAAAAUGAGGCCUAGGGUCCGUACUUUCACUAGUGCAACCUCUCAACAAUGCUAACAUAGUUGGAUCAUAUGAUUAUCCCUCAAAGUGCAACAAAGAAUCAGUCCCGAGUUCCUAUUAGCAGAGAACAAAAGAUAGAAAUUGUUUGUAGGGUACGAGACCACCUUUAAAGCUAUUCUUUCCGCUCGAUCUAUUCAAGAGUUCGUACUAAAAUAACGCAAAGCUAUUUUUUCCGUUCGAUCUAUCCUAGAGUUCGUACUAGAAUAACACCAAAGCAUAUUCAUAUUCAUAAUACUCAAUCCACACAAAGAACUACAAGGAGACCCCAAAGUUUUUAUUAAAGAAAAGAUAAUAAAAACAUGCAUCAACUCCUAUGCAUAGAUUACCCCAAUAUCACCGCGGGAAUCCGCGAGUUGAAUGCCAUAACAUAUAUCAAGUGAAUCAAUAUGAUACCCCAAUUGUCACCUCAAGUAUUCAUACUGCAAGACAUAUAUCAUGUGUUCUCAUCUCUUAAUAUUAAUUCCGACACGACAAAACUUCAAAGGGUAGAGACUCAAUUCAUCACAACAAGUGUAUAGAGGGGAGAAACAUGAUAUGAUCCGACUAUAUUAACAAAGCCCAAGAUAUAGAUCACGAGAGAGAGAGAGAGAGAGAGAUUAAACACAUAGCUACUGGUACAAACCCUCAACCUCGAGGGUGGACUACUCCCUUCUCAUCGUGGUGGCCGCCGGGAUGAUGUAGAUGGCCACCGGAGAUGAUUCCCCCCUCCGACAGAGUGCCAAAACGGGGUCUAGAUUGGUUUUCGUGGAUACAGAGACCUUGUAGCGGCGGAACUUCUAAUCUAGGGUAAUCCCGAUGGGUUUUGGAAUAUUUGGGAAUUUAUAGUGCAAAGAGGGGGUGCGGGAGGCCCCCGACGUGGGCACAACCCACCUGGGUGUAGCGACCAGACCUCAAACAGUAUAGUCUCUGUGCAUCACUGUCAUCCCUGGAUCGGUAAUGCUAACAUGCACAGUACUCAGGGAUUUAUAACAGAGUUGCAAUCACACACUUAUUACAUCAAAAUGUCUCAAAAGAGAACUUAUUACAAAUAAUAUGGCUUAAGGCCAUCUAAAUAAGCUAACAACGGAAGGCUUGGAAGAUAAAGUGAGUCCAUCAACUCCAACGGCAUAGCUGAGUGAACGACAACGACCUAUGGCACCUUACUCGUCGUCUGAAAAGUCUGCAACAUGGUAUGUUGCAGACCAAAACGGGUCAGCACAUGGAAUAUGCUGGCAAUGUAACACAUAGAGUAAUGAACAAAAUAAAUGCUAUCACUACAUGCAUAUAUGGUUGGUGGAAAGCUCUAUGGUUACAGUUUUGCAUAAAGCCAAUUUUCCCCUAUAACAAAGGAAUAAAUUUUAUUUAACUAUCAUGGUGGUUGUUAAACAUUGAGAAGGUUCCUUCAACUCAAUCCCAAUUAAGCAUCAUCAGUUACCCAACAAAAUUUACUUAGAGUGAUGAGAUCAACAUGAUAAUCCAAGAUCCAGAUACUCAAGAUGUCCAUAACCGGGGACACGGCUAACCAUGAUUAGUUUGUACACUCUACAGAGGUUUGCGCACUUUUCCCCACAAGACUCGAUCUCCUCCGUUGAAUUUCUCGCACUACAUGGUGUUUGAGAAACGGAUAGCCGAGUCACAGUCUUUUAGAAGCAUUAACUCUCUACUCCGGGUAGACAGUACCACCUACACCCCCUACAUAUGCUAGUCUACCUCUUCAAGAGCUCACGCAACAUACUUAACUAUGCCAGAGCCCAUAAUGGCUUGUGACUGCACACGGAAGUUUCUAGCAUGAAUAAUCUUAUGAUCCCUUUGAGCCUGGGUGGCGAACCAUAGGAUGAUCACACGGGUACUCCGGGAUAUCCUAGGACAGCAUUGGAUUCUCCAGGUGCCUCAACCAAUCCACCUAGAUGUGUAUUUAAGUAGCCACCUUAACUUAACCAUUAAUUAACAAUACUCACAUCUGUCACGGAUACACUCACCCAAUCCACGUCUACGAGCAUAGCAUAUCAAUCCUAAGCAUAACGCAGAAGUAACUCCCAAAGGUUCGUUAAUAAAAGAGCAAUAGGUUUUGCAUAUCUCUGGCGAGGUCCGGCGGGGCAGGGCAUGGGCGGCGGCGGCUCCGGGCGACGGCGGGCGGCGCGGGAGGCGGCGAGUGGUGCGACGGUGGNNNNNNNNNNNNNNNNNNNNNNNNNNNNNNNNNNNNNNNNNNNNNNNNNNNNNNNNNNNNNNNNNNNNNNNNNNNNNNNNNNNNNNNNNNNNNNNNNNNNNNNNNNNNNNNNNNNNNNNNNNNNNNNNNNNNNNNNNNNNNNNNNNNNNNNNNNNNNNNNNNNNNNNNNNNNNNNNNNNNNNNNNNNNNNNNNNNNNNNNNNNNNNNNNNNNNNNNNNNNNNNNNNNNNNNNNNNNNNNNNNNNNNNNNNNNNNNNNNNNNNNNNNNNNNNNNNNNNNNNNNNNNNNNNNNNNNNNNNNNNNNNNNNNNNNNNNNNNNNNNNNNNNNNNNNGUGGUGCGGCGGCGGCGUAGAACGGCUGCGGCGGCGCGGCAUGCGGCGCGGCGGAUGCAGCGGUGCGCGGUUACUGCUGCUGCUGCUUGCAGGGCAGGGCGGGGUGGCGAUGUGGGGCGGCGGCGGCUGUAUUUAGGGAGGGGAGGGGGCGGCUGCGGCUUGUAGUGGGGGCAACGACCGCGGGGAGGAGUCGGACUCCGGUGAGUCCGGCUCGGGCACGCCCGGCAAAGGCGGCGGCGCAGGUGGGCCGGCUGGGCCGCUGGCCCAGUUCGGUCCGCGAGACUUUUUUUAAAAUAAAUUCUGCCAAAGAGAAAAAAAAUCCUAGUAAAAUAUAAGAAAUUCCUAAAAAUGCCAAAAACAAUUUUAACCGUCUAAAUAGAAUAUUUAGAACAAAGUGAACAUUUUCUGGCCUAAAAAUGCAAUUUUGAAAACAUGCAUAUUUUUCUAAUUCAAAUAAAAUAGCAAUAAACAUCCAAUAAAAUAAAAUUUGAUUUUAAUAUUUUUUCUCCAAUAUUUCUUUUAUUUUGGAGAAGUCAUAUUAUCUCCUCUCUUUUAUUUUUGAUAUUGGAAAUAUUUUCGGAGAGAAAAAUAAUUAAAACCAAAAUGAUCCUCUUUUCAAUAUUUGAGAAAAUUCAAAUAUGAAAAUAAUGAAAUCCCCAACUCUCUCCGUGGGUCCUUGAGUUGCUUAGAAUUUCUAGGAUUAACCAAAAUGCAAUAAAAUAUGAUAUGCAUAUGAUGACCUAUGUAUAACAUCCCAAAUUGAAAAUUUGGGAUGUUACACUGGGCGCGCUAGGGGGGCCUGGCGCACCCUGGUGGGUUGUACCCCCUCGGGGCACCCCCAGGUGCAGUAGUGUCCCAUUGGGUUCCUUUUCAUCCAUAAAAAAUCUCUGUGGAGUUUAGUUGCGUUUGACUCCGUUUGGUAUUGAUUUACUGCGAUGUAAAAAACAAGCAAAAAAACAGCAACUGGCACUGGGCACUGGGUCAAUAGGUUAGUCCCAAAAACUGAUAUAAAGUUUCUAUGAAAUGAUUGUAAAAUACCUAAGAAUGAUGAAAUAAUAGUAUGAAUACUUCAUAAAUUAUUGAUACGUUGGAGACGUAUCAGCAUCCCGAAGCUUAAUUUCCUCUCGUCCUCGAGUAUGUAAAUGAUAAAAGACGUAAUUUAUGAAGUGUGAAUGCUUGCAAAGUGCAUAAGUUUGAUCAAUGAUAAUUUCAAUCACUUUUCCUAGCAUCAUAACACCAAUUGUUUCUUACAAAACUUCUCAUGUUAUAGUAGCACCCAAUUCACAUGUUAAGGUUCAAACAAUGAACUCUCUUGAAACUCAACAACCUAUGUUCUUAGUCACCAAGCAAUUGCAAUUCCACUUAUUCAACAGAGUUUAAGUAAGAGCUCCACAUACUCAACCAUCAUAUAGUCUUCUAUGAUAUCUAACAAUCACCGCAUACACAUGAGCAAAAUGUUUUGACCGGACACACAGAAAGAUAGGGGCUUAUUGUUUUACCUCCCAACGUAUUCACCUCAAGGGUGAUGUAAACAAUAAUAACUCAUGCUGCCCAUAUUCAACUGGACAUAUGUGCCUAGAUCUUUCCUCGCCACAUGAUCCUUGCCAAAAGAGAAAAAUAAAAAGGAAUAGAGAGAAAAACUUUGACUCUUGCAUGAAAGUAAAUACAUAAAAGUAAAAGAUAGGCCCUUCGCAGAGGGAAGUAGGGAUUUGUAAAGGUGCCAGAGCUCAAAGCGAAAAUUGAGAGAUAAAAACAUUUUGAGAGGUAUACCUUUCCCACCAACGAAAACGACUUAGAGCUCCCAACACUUUCGAUGCUAGACAUAUCAUAGGCGGUUCCCAAACAGAUAUGAAAGUUUAUUCCUUUUUCCACCAUACUUUCACGUUCCAUGGCUAGCCAUAUCCACGGGUGCCCUCCAUACCAACACACUACAAAAAAAGACACUUCUGUGAUGAUACGUGUUUGUCACAGUAGGUCACGUUUUCUGUCAUGCAUGUACAUCCAAGAUGAUUUUAUGACAGAAUGAAGAUAGUCAUACCUGUGCUGUCGUAGAAGUGUUCCAUGACAUUACCAAAAUUAUCAUCAUGGAAGUGUUCACUUCCAUGAUGUUAAAUGCCGCGUCAUGGAAGUGCUUUCGUCAAUGGUGAACGACACAUGGCAUCCACCGUAACGUGUCACCGUUAAGCUAUCGGGUCCGGUUUUCGAUCAGAUAACCCGCUAACAGCCAUGACCAAUGAUGAUUUUCCACGUGUAAAAUUCUCAUUGGAUGACGGAACCACGUGUUAGCUCCGCGUUGGCACAGGUGUCACUCAUCCAAUGGGCGAGAUGCACCUAUGAUAUGUUGACACGUGGACCAGCCCAAAAGUGGCCCAUAAAGAUUAAAUGGGCUGGCCCAACUAAAGGCCCAUGAGAUUUCGUCGAACAUAAUGGGCCGGCCCAACUUAAGGCCCAUGAGACUUUGCCAACCAUGAUGGGCCGGCCCAGCUAAAGGCCCACGAGAUUUCACCGACCAUAAUGGGUCGGCCCAGCUAAAGGCCCAUAAGAUUUUGAGGACACUAAUGGGCCGGCCCGUUAACAGGCUGCCAUGUUUUGGGCCAAAUGCCGGCCCAUAAUUGAUUUGGUCCAUUAACAGCCUGCCACGUUCCGGGCCGAAUAAAAUACAUAUGAGAUCCGGCCCGUUAAAAGCCUACCAUGUUCUGGGACAAAUUACAGCCCAGAUCAGAUCCGGCCCUUUAAGAGGCUUUGGGCUAAAUUAUGGCCCAUAUCAGAUUCGGCCCGUCAACUGGACGGUAUGCUUUUGGGACUACUUGCUAAAGGCCCAUUUAGUAAUUCGGCCUGAUAUUAGUUUCGGUAUGUUAAAGGCAUGUUUAACAUUUCGGCCCUAUAUUUAUUUCGGCACGUUAAAAGCCCGUCAUAUAGUUGGGCCUAACUACAGCCCGGUUUGCAUCCGGCCUGCUCACAAUCGAUAAUCUGAUUGGGCCAAACAAGGAACGAGACAAUUUUGGCCUGUUAACGGCCCGUGAUGUGAUUGGCACAAUCAUGGGCCGGGGUCUAUUUCGGCCUACUGCCGGCCCGUGAGCUAUUCGGCACGUUUCAGGCCCUACCUACUUUUCAGCUUCCUAAAAGCCCAUUGAGUUUUCUUGCGAAAAUAAGGCCGGCGGUUUACUCGGCCAAUUAGAGGCCCAAAUCUACUAGUGGGCCAAUUUCAAUUUAGGCCUGUUAACGGACCAAUUAUGUAGUGAUUUGCAUGAUGGCCUGAUUAUGUACCAUAAUUUUACGGUUUGGCCGGUUUACUGCGAAGACAGGAUAUAUAUACAGUAAAAUAUCUGCAGCAUCGUGAAUAAAAAAACAUAGACUAUACAAUAAAGAAAUUACAGCAUAUUAUAUCCACUGGGCAUCAAAGUUCAUCACUAUGAUAAUAAAGCACAAGCAGACAGCAGAUUACAUACACUGUGCAUUAAAGAUCGCCACCAGUGCGAAUAAACACGCCGACAAAAUAAUAUACAAAACCGACAGCACUUCAAUAGAGUUCCAGAAAGGUUAGCCCUGCUCAGGAGCUGCAGCGCAAGCAGCUGAGCAAGCUAAUGAAAUUGCGCUUGUUCGACAUUUAUAUCCUCCUCACUCUGAAAGAUAAACAAGCAGAUAGAUGACGGGUUUUGCACAUAUAAGUAUCAGCGCUGACAAUUCAUCACAUUUCUUACUAACGAAUAAAGUGACACGGUUUAAAAUAACAUUAACACAAUAUGGUAUUGUUCAGGUUAAGACAUGGCAGGAAAUGACAUUGUGAAGGAGUUGGCAGCUACACGACACCACUGGAUUACAGAUCAAGAACUCAUAAGUAUCAAUGGUUAGUGUGCUGUCAAUUUAUCCCAUUUCAGAUUGGCAAAUAAAGAGACGGUUUAAAUAAUAGUAGAAUGAUAUGACGUCGUUCAUAGUUAAGACAUUGCAGAAUAUGACAUUGUGCGGUAGUGGGCAGGUUCACCACACCACUCGAUUACGGAUCAAGAAUAGAAGCAUACAUGCAGUGCAAAAGAAGAUCACUUGCUCUGUAUAGUUUAAUUUACAUGGUAUGAAGAAGGAACUUGGUUCUACAACUGAAAACUUAAAUUGAGAAGGACAAACUUUUGUUUAUGAACUACAUAAUAAACUUUAAGCAUGCAAUUUGAUGCAAACACCAAAAAUAAAUAGUUGUUGCAGUCAUUCCUAACCAAAUAUACACAACAAAGUUUGAAGGCUUGAGAGGGACAACCUUACAUUAUUGGUGAAGACAGGCUCUAUAAGGCCCUUGUCCAUGCUGAUGGGGGGAGGGGGGCAAUUCAAGAAGUUUACCACAGAAUCUUCUUCAUAAGCAUUGCCUUUAUUCUACAUUUUGUUAUGAGUAAAUAUAGAUGUGAUAAUAUAAGAAAAAAUGGAGAAUGUUUAAGAUAAGAUGAAGAGUGAUGCUACAUAACCAAGUAGCUAUAAUUGUAAGUACAGCGAUACAGGCAAAAGGUACAGCCAAGAGCAAUGCAGAGCUAAACUUCUUAAGGACCAUCGGUGUUAUCCAACCUUAUGGUAAGAGUAAAUAUAGAUCUGAUGCGUAGAAAAUGGAGGGCAAAGGAAAAUAAGCUGCAGAGUGAUGGUACACGAACAACUACAUGUCAAUAUAAGUACACUGAUAAAGGACAGCAGGUACUUACAAGAACAAUGCAGAGCUAAAAAAAUUUAUUGGCAUUGGAUAUAUUCUACACUAUUAUAACCAUUCAUAAAGAUCAGAUAAUUUGGAGCGAACAAUUGAUAAGCAAGCAAUCAUGUAUACCGCUGUCACAUAAUGAACCAAUUAUGAAUUCAAGUACAGUGAUACAGGACCAUAGGUACUAACAAGAGCAAAGCAGCGGGCAUCAUAUUUGCAAUAUUCUGUUGUUCUUUUCAAACCGAAAUUCUUCUUCAAGUUGAUUUCCUGCAAAAAAGAUCCAUAAGGCACAUGUGAAAAAGUAGAAGUUCAAAUUGUCAUGUGAUAUCAUAGACGGUACCUCAUCCUGGGAACGAGACCAGUGCAUAACAAGGUUUUUCCAUUCAAUGUCUUCUAAAUUUAGCACAGGAGACUUCACCGGAAAUUCGUUUAUAGACUUGCCAUCAAAGUGUGAUUUCCUCAGGUAACACCGAUACUGCUGCAAUGCUUCCUUGAAAAGUGCAAGCAAGCUUUGCUCAUCAUGACUAUCCGAUUAACCCUCGCCUACUUACAACAAUGUAAUGUAAAUCAUUGAUGUGUUCAAUCAGCAGAAAACAAGAAAAUAAUCACCAUGAAUAAUAGCACUUACACAUAAGUGGGACAAGAAGAUGUGAAAAUGGUGUUUGUCUUCACUAUAAUCUUCCCAUGAUGGGAAUAUAUGCACGUAGUCCCUAAAACAUUGAAAGCAUUGUCUUUAAAACUGGGAAUAACUGGAAUGGGGUUCCAAUCUGCAGGAAUUGGCCGUCUCUGUAGUUGGGAUAGGUCUUCGGCCGGUGGACUUGUUGUACUUUUUGCUGGAGUGGGAUUUUUUUGUGGAACGGCUGGUGCUAUGGCAACUGAAAUCGGCAUACCUUUUGCUGAAGUGCAGGUCCUGUGUGGUGGGGCUAGUGGUGUGGCCAGUGAAGUAUGUGUACAGUCUGCUGGAGUCGGUCCUACGUUUUGUGUCACUGGUUGUACAACCAAUAUAAGUGGGGUGCUGUCUGAUUUCUCCGACACCACCAUGUUUUUCAAGGACUUUGCUAGUGCUCCUUCAGGUUCGGCAAUCACCCUCUUCAUUUUUGAUGUCUGAUGCACAAGAAUAGCAUUUGAGUGGAAAAACAUGGUAUGAUGACAGAUGGAAUAUGUAUUGAUAAUGGAUGGGCAUGGCAUCUUGACAUAUAUGAUGAGUAAACUAAGCAGAUGGCAGUGCAACAAAGUAGAAGAAAUGCAAGCCAACAUAUGCAAGAUAUGCGCAAUCAAUAAAACCAUGCCAAAUUAGAACAGGCACCUUGAUGGGUGAACAGGACAGGCCAUCUGCCUUUGACUCCUCGAGGUUAGAAUAGUCAUUAGGAUCAUAUUCUGAACAAGAAUCUACAGGUGGGGAGCGUAUGAGUCUCAUUGCAUCCGGAAUGGCACUCAAUGCCUUCAUGCCGAUUUUGUAAGUCGUUGCAGUGCUACACAAUAUUCUUCUGAUGCGCGGAUUCUGAUAUUGACUGUAAUUACAUAUAAUAUAUGAGAACCAUGAAAACAUAAAUAGUAGUGAGAUUAUCUUUGUAAUGCAGAGGAUAUUCUAAUAUACGGGCGCCCCUGUAAACCCUUGUGUGCUAUCACUGGAUUCUGAUGAGAGAGCUCAUGUGUGCUGCAAUAUGGUGCGUGCAUUAAUAUAAUCAGGCACAAGUACACAAAAAAAUAGGUUCCAGAAGUAAGGAUAGUUAGCAGAUGAUAGGUUCAUAAUAUACUAUAUAGAGAGUUCAUUGCCAAACCAUGAUAACAAGAGCACACAACAACUAGGCAGAUCGUAGUGUACAUAAAAGGGGUACACCAUAACCACGAUAUAUAAAUCGGGAAAGUGGAACUGGCUAGAAAAUACGGUGUUGAAUUGCCGCUACUAAUUGAAAGCCUAUCGAUCACGUACAGGCCAGCUCUAUCAGCUGUUGACUACAGAUGUCCCUGCGCCCCUUCCGGACAAGGAACAUACUGUACAUACUAAAUACAGAAUAACAAAAGAGGAACAUGUUAAAGAACAGAACAGGAAGCAUAUUCUUGAGGUUCCUCUUCAUAGCAUACAAUGUUGGUUGCCCACUCAUGAUGAAUCACAGCACCCAAAAAAAUGCAAUUCCAUGUUGUCUCUCUAUAUGUGGCCGCAUGCAUUUGGAAAAUCAAGUGGGAGCACUACCUGACCAAUAAAAUGUGUGUCUGUUAACUAAUAUCGGUAUCAUAUCACAAUUCGUAUUUCAAGAAGUAAGUUUUGGCCUUAUGAUUGGUGUGCUGUUUAGCUUCAAGAGUGGUCUGCUGCUAGUGCUGAUGCAUAGCAGCUACGCAGAUCAUAGUGUAGAUAUAACGGGAAAACCGUAAGCAUCAGGAGUAAAAUCAGCAAAGUAGAACUUGCUGGAAUAUAUGUGCUAGUAUUUCCGGUACGGCUAGAAAGGCUUUGGGUACCAGCUCUCUUCAACUGAAGGUGCGGUACUGUUAAUAUCAGUGUAACUCUCAAAGGCGACACAGCUCCCCGCAUUUCAUUGCUAAUCUUAUAGGAUUCAAGUGGGCAAGCCACUACAAAUCCUAUUCCUAUGUUUACAAAAUCCUACGAAUCAAAGAGGCCCGAAGAGUUCAAAGUGUCCAUCACAACCGAUCAUAUAGACCUCUACACUGCAAAUGUCCCUGCUCAUCUUCACUACAAGGACCAUACUAUACUACUAUCAUACUCCCUCCGUUCCAAAAUAUAAGUCUUUGUAGAGAUUUCCACUAUGGAUCACAUACAAAUGUAUACAGAUACAUUUUAGAGUGUAGAUUCACUCAUUUUGCUCCAUAUGUAGUCCAUGGUGGAAUCUAUACAAAGACUUGUAUUUAGGAACACAGAGAGUACUUAUUAAAGAAGAACGAAAGAGGAACAUGCUAAAGAAGAGCAAGCAGAUUUUGGAUAAUAAAAUGUUCGUUGCACAGUGCCCACACAUGAUGAACCAGAGAGCAUUAAGAAUGCAACUCCCUGCUGUCUCUCUAUAUGUGGUGCACAUGAUUUUGGAAAGUAAAGUAGGAACAUUAGCUGACCAGUUAAGCAUUAUCUGUUUUAGUAAUAUCAGCAGCAUAUCAUAUUUGUAUUUGAGCAACAAGUUUCGAAUUAUGCGUGGCACGUUGUUUAGCUUGAUGGAUUGAGGAGUAGUACUAAGCAGGUACGGUGAUGAUACUGAAUAUAAAGGCAUGUCUGCAUGCAAGUCGCGUGACUUUUGUCAUUUGGGUCAGUCGACCAUUUCAGGUGGUUGGAUGAAGAUCCUACGUCUCCUAACCCUUCUUCUUUCUCGUCUCUGAUUCUUCCCAUACAGAACACUGCACGGGCCGCCUGCCGAACCACCGGCCCCCACCGCUUGUGUUCCUUCGCCACCCCCACCCCCCACCCCCGCCCCCACCCGCGUCGAGUUUUCUUCAUUCGGUGAGGCCCCACCACCGCCCCCACAACCACCGUCCCCACCCGAGCCCCUUCCUUCACACCGGCGAACUCCAGCGAGUUCUCAAAAAUCGACUGACCCAAUUUUGAAAUUUAGUCUACUGUCAUUUAACUAGUGUGGAAUAUAAAAGGGGAAAACCAUAAGCAUUGCGAGUAUAGUGUUGAGCGUGCCAUGGCGGACCUGAAGGUGCAAACCGGACAAAGGCAACUUUGCAACCAAUGUUUGCUUUCAACUAGCAAGUAAGUGAUGGACAAGAAAUCAGAGUAAAGCAGUGAUGAUCUAUUUUCCUGCUACGAUAAAUAAGUUAGCAGAUAUGAAAGAGUACCACCUCUGGUGCGGCGCCGUGUAUGCAUCUGCUGAGAAUUUGAUGGUGCUGCGGUAGCGAUGGCUGUUGCGGAGCGCGGUGGACGAGACGGUCGUAGGAGCGGUGUCGGCAAGGUGGACGAUGGCAGGAAUGAAGCGAGAGUACGGGAUGUAAGGAUCUCGGUCCGAAGCCGUGGAUGAGAGAGGUCGAUCUCUUGUAAUGGCCGACGGCGUCGGGGUAUCAGAUCUGGCAUGGUGGAGGAGGAUGGCGGUGGAUGGGGUGGCGGACGGAGGAGGCUGGGGUGGAGAGGGUGUUUUGGCGCCCACGAAGUACGAAUGGGGAAAUGGAGGGAGAAAGGAAGGGGGAACCAUGUGUUCAGGGCGCGCUUCUCUCAAAUGUGAGGAAAUUUACAAACUUAGCCCCCGUUUAAAAUUUCCUACAUCACAGCAAUAUUAGUCGGUUGGGGAUAGGACGGUAAUCUCGCAUACACUGAAUAUUUGCCGACGAGAAUUUGUUUUUGGCGCCCACCGUGUAUGAAUCGGGGAGGCAGUCGAUUUCGGCCAAGGAGACACUGUGUUUUGGCGCCCACCAUGUAUGAAUCCUGGUGAGAGGUGGUUAUGUCACGUUUGAGUGAAAUUACAAACCUACCCGUAUCGAAACCUAUAGAAAUCGAGCCAAUAGGCUUUGUGUGUCAGGGAUAGGUAGUAAUUUCCAUCUCGUAGAUUUUGGUUUCGGACGGUUACUGCGACUUUCCCCGCUUCGUUCAAAUUUUUGCAGAGGAAGAGUGCACGUUUACCGUGCCAACUCAAUUCGAAUCCAGUUUGUAUUCUAUUCUUGUUCGGGCAGGAUCCAUUUGCGAUUGGAAUAAAAUUCUAUAUACAUCAUUUUUUUAUAUAUACUUUCAAAAGCACAGCAAAGAAUUCUGAUCCUUUAUAUGUAUAUAAUAUGAUUUUUUGUGGGGUAUAUAUAAUAUGAUUUACAAAUACAAUGAUCUCAAAAUCAUAAGGUUGAGUUCAAAAAAAUUAAACCAAAUUAUGUUAUACUAAAAUGUACUCCCUCUGUUCCUAAAUAUAAGUCUUUGUAGAGAUUCCACUAGGUGGAUUACAGACGGAACAAAAGGAAUGAAUCUACACUUAAAAUGCAUCUAUAUAAAUAUGUAUGUGGUUCAUAGAAUCUCUACAAACACUUAUAUUUAGGAACGGAGGAAGUAUGGAUCAGUAAUAUCUACAUAUUAAAUAACAUAGAUGCGCGUGAAUUCAUAUGAGUAUGCAUGUUUGAUAGAUCAAUUUUGGUUCGAGUAUGAAUUACAUGUAUCAUCAUCUCGAAUUCAAAUAUUUGAAUCCCUUUUAUUUUGACUCCUUUCAUGCCCAUCUCUCUUGGAUGCUCCUUCAUGUAGCUAACAUUCUAUUUUCUCCAGCUCACCCGCACGCUCACUUCAUGUUUCUCCUAUCUUCGCAAACAUGGUCUCUCGACGUCUCCCUUGAGAAGUGUCACACUCUCCGUAUCAAUAUACAUUACACGGUUUUCAUUAUCUCUCACGUCUCUACCAUUCUCUGGUAUCACUAGGUACCUAAGCUUUCUUUUUCACUGCCACACACACAGUCUCACUCGUCUUUCACUUUGUCUUUCUCUCUAUGGGGUUCUCUCACACACCCUAUAUGUCUCGAGACAUGACUCAUGCCACUAAAAUUACUCUCUCCUGCAGAAACAACAUUUGUUGCGAUCUCCUUUCCGUCUCCAUCCCAAUUAUAAAACUGACACUAUUCAUUUAUUUACCGAUCAGACAAACUCCCCCCCGCGCUCUCUCUCUCACACAUACAUAGCUCCUGGUUCCACUCCCCUUCCCAAUUAUUGUCUCUCUCUCUCACCCACAAAACAUUCGCUUUCGCACCCCCGACUCAUAUUUCUCUCACAUCAUUGAUUGACUAGCCUCCAGAUAGGUUUAUACACCCGCACACUCGUGCUUCCACUAUCGCGUACAUGUCUCUCUCGCGCUCCUUGUAUCUAUGUAGAUUUUUUGUCCCUUCUUGAUACACGCCCUCUCGAUCGUGAACACACACACUAUCGCCUCAUUUUAAGCUGAUACCUCUCGCACACACACUCUUUGUGUCUUGUCACACAUGCACUCCGUCCUCCUCCUCCCUCCCUCUCUCUCACACACACAACACACACACACACAUGGGCUUGUUGCAACAACUAGCAAGAUGCCCAUGCGUUGCACGGAACAUCAAGAUGCAUUUGUAUGAGUAGUUUAUCUUAUGGGAGAAAAGGAUGAACGAGGGAAGGUCUUAAUUGCAAAUCUGGAGAGGGGUGUGGGUAUCUUUUUGCAAAAUUGGCAUAGUUUCCUUCCUAUCCGUCAGAUAUAAAUCGGACGGCCUAUAUUGCAAGAUGGCAGGCACACCAUCAUCACCAACUCUGUUUUUAUCUCUACUCUUAUAAGAAGCAUAGUCGGUGAUGAUGGUGUGCCUACCAUCCUGCAAUAUAGGCCGUCCAAUCUAUAUCUAACGGACAGGAAGGAAACUAUGGCAAUUUACCCGCACUCCUCUCCACAUUUGCAGAUAAGGCCUUCCCUCAUUCAUCCUUUUCUCUCACAAGAUCUUGAUGUUCCAUGCAACGCAUGGGCAUCUUGCUAGUAAGAAUAGAAAUUAGAGAUGUACCACUUCUCAAAUCUUGAAACCAACAACAUUCCUCCCUUAUCUCAUCAAAACCGCCAAAGGAAUAUAUUUUGAGUGAAACAUAAGAUAUUUUUAGUGAUACACGUAUUUCAAAACUAGACUCUUUUUUCUAUCAAAUCGGUGAAUAUGUAUUAAUCUACUUUGAUCGUGUGGCAACGGAUUGGCACAUUGCUAGUAGUUAUUACUACUGUAUAAUUUUUUGGACACCAGACAAACGAGGGAGUACAUAUAUGAAGAGAAGAGGUGCACGCACGCAGUCGGUCUCUCGCUGUCUCGCACACAUGAGAGUUACGUAAAGGCACCGUUAACAAAUAAACCCUAAAACCCUAGGUGCACGAUUGCUACAUGCGCGGGUACCGGGUACAUGGUGGAGCGCACCUUUGUAGGAAUAGUCAGCUCGCAUGAUAAUUUGAUCAAUAGGAGUUGAUGGUCGGGACCACAGGUGAACGACCUGGAGGCGGUGGCUCGCCAGUUGCCACAGAUCGAGUAGCCAUGUUUAAAAUAUCAUUUUUUAGUGGGGUAAGAGUUCCGAUUUUCAAGGGCGCGUUAUAAGUACUUAAGUAGUUUUUAGAAUAAUUGGUAUGGAGAGAAAAUGGAAUUCAUAACUACUACUGCCUCCUUGGCGUAUGGUUGUAUGGGUUUAUGUUGCGAGAUGUUGAACCUGGUAGUUCUAGGGCAAAUACUAUGGUUUAGAUGUUGCUUUUCAGUAAUGAAAAUCGGAAGGGGGAAACCCUUCUUUGAUAAAAAAAACUACUACCUCCGUCCUGGUUUACUAGUCCCCAUCGUAUUUUUGGUCAAAGUUUGUCCACAAAUUUUACUUGUAAAAUGUGAAUGGAAAACAAGAUUUUGUUAUACCCAAAAAAAAGGACCGGAGGGAGUGAUUGCUCUGACACAGACGCGACCUCUGAUAGCGCAGGCAUUGAACCGGUGCGCCGUCCAAGAGAGCCCCACUUGCUGCAGGCCUGGCUGAACACGCCUCAUCGCCGCAUGCAACCGGCUUCAGACUGCCCCGCUUGCCUCCAUUGAAUCCGCGCGUGUGCUGGCAACACGUCCUUCCGUGAGCCGGCCGACAUUUUAGAACACAAAAAAUGGUCAAAAUAUAAUUAAUUACGCAUGGUCUUGACCUGUUGUGCUCGCACGGGUAGCAGGAACUAGAGGUUUUUCUAUAUUUAUAACUCUCCUUGCAUUUUUUUUGGCUUUGAAGUGAAUCAUGGUUGUGGACAUUAUCUAUGAACGUGCAGAUAUAUGUGAACCUGAGUUUGAUGUGGAAGUUGAACUUGGAAUGUUGGGCUUGCGCGUGAACUAUACCAUGUCCAAUGCUUCAUCUGUUAUUGUUUGGAAAGUAAUUGCUGUUAUUACAUGACCCUAAAAAAUUAUUUUGUGCCACAUCAGUAGAUGCACGGACAUCACAACAAGUAUGCUGACUGGAUAAACAUUUGAACCUAGCUAUUAUGAAGGAAAAUUUGUAUUGACAACAGUUUUAGAUAGCAGGAGACGCCUAGCCUGAUCUGCCUCUGCUAGCUUCUUUCUGGCUUCUUCCAUCUCUUCUUUGGCUUGGGUGAAGAGAGCAUCUGAUUGCUCUUUUCGCUUCUUCAGGAACUCAGCUACAUUCUCAAGGGCUGCUGCACACUUUCUUUCAGCCUUUACUAGAGCCAUGAGGACACGAACAAUUGACGACUCCACCUGGCUUGUGUGUAAUCCAGCAUCAUCUUGGAAUUUGCACCUUGUGUCUAAUCCAGCAUCAUUAGGGAACUGGCCCCUUAUGUGUAAUCCAACCUCAUUUUGGAAACAUGAUCUCGAGGUUGACCAUACUUCCCUCCUCGUAGGAACUGCAUCCUGACAUGAAGUUGCUUCUUUUUUAGAUCAAUACUCAAAGCAACCCAGAUCCAUUUAGUAGCAGCCAGAUAAACAGGACUCGGAGAAGUGAAUUCAAAAGGAAAAAUAUAAAAACAGACUACAAGGUGAGAACACCCACUUCCUACAUCAAGCUAAAAGUGAAAGCACUAGGAUGAUUAAGACUCUUCUUAUUACACAUGAAGAACACGAGGCUAAGAGAAACAGAAACUACAACAUAUACACAUCGAAGAACACGAGGCUAAACAAAAGUAAUUGAAAGGGUGUUACUUACCAAAGCUCGUUUUACAGGUUCGGUGCAGCUCCUCUUUAAUUUGCCACGCUCCUUAAAGAUGUCCCCAAUAUCCCGUUUUUGGUCUUCAUUGCUCCUCUGCAUGUUCACACUCGUGGUGUUAAAAUCUCAACAUGGCAAGAAAAAUAUACUAGUAAUACUCCCGCAUCUUGUGGGCAACAUUAAAGCACUCGUCUGCCAUGUUAGAGCAUCUCCAACAGAUGCGCAACGCGCGGUGCUUUAAAAAAAGCGUUUACAGUGUUGAGAUCGAGAAGUAGAGAUAGAGAGUAGAGAUAGAGAGUAGAGACUAGAGAGUAGAGACAUAGAUAGUUCUCAGCAUAGAUAUAGCAUAGAUAGAUAAAAAAAUAGAUAGUUCAACUACUCCUCGUCGUCCGACUCCUCCUCGGUGAUGUCCUCCUCCGACGUCUCAAUGUAGGCGUGAAGAUACUGAUCAUCGUCGGAUUCCCAGGGCGACGCUGCUCCUAGCCUCAUGUUGAAUUGAGCGUCCGCUUUUCGCGUACGCUUGUCCUCACGAUAGGCGGCUCGCUCCGCCCUCCUCUUCUCCCUCUCUGCCCUCCUUUGCGCGUAGAACUCACGCUCGUGGAUGAUGUCCUGCGGGAAGUGUUGGCGCCACAGCGCCAUGGCUUCCUCGUCCAUCUCGGCGAUGCGAAGACGAUGCUCCCGCCUCCGGUUGUCGCGACGAUCCUCGUCGAUGAUAAGCCGCGGAGAGGCACGAGCUCUUGCGCCCACUCUCGUAUUGGCACGUUGGGGAAGUUAAAUGUUCUAUGAGGCCACCGGAGGCGCCACGCCGCCGCGUCGUAUGCAUGGACGGCCUUGUUCGCGGUGUCGAAAUUACCGAGGCCUAGGCGCAUCCCGUGGAACCGGAUCUCGGUGGAGAAUCCGCCAGAGGGGCACACGGACGCCGCGGUAUCCCCAAGUUUCCUGGCGACGCAGUGGCAUGGUGGCGCGGCGGCGGCGAGGUAAGAAAGAGCGGGGAGAGAGCGGUGGCGAGGCGCAGAGCGGGGAGAGAGCGGUGGCAAUGCAUAGAGCAUUGGGAGGGUGUUGGAUUUUAUAAAGCGCACCGGACGCCGCGCGACAAAACUAGCGUGCGCCCGGCCGCUUCUUCCCCCGCGCGCGCGAUCCUUUCUCGACGUCCCUGCUAUCUCUACUCUCUUCUCUACUGUUAUAUUUAUUUUAUAUUUAAUAUUUAUCUCUACUCUAUUCUCUACUUUUAUAUUUAUUUUAUAUUUAAUAUUUAUCUCUAGUACUCUACUCUCUACUCUUUUUUUCUACUUUCUUUUCUUUUCUCUACUCUUAUAGAAAACCAAGAUGGUGAUGAUGGUGUGCCUGCAUCCUGCAAUAUAGAAUGUCUGGUCUAUAUCUGAUGCAUAGAAAGCAAACUAUGACAAUUUUGCAAAGAGAUACCCGCACCCCUCUCCACAUUUGCAGAUAAGGACUUCCCUCGUUCAUCUUCGUCUCCCACGAGAUAAACAACUCGUAUAAAUGCAUCAUGAUGUUCCAUGAAACUCAUGGGCCUCUUGCUAGUUUUUUUUAAAACAGACUUGGUGGUGAUGGUGUGCCUGCCAUCCUGCAAUAUAGGCCGUCUGAUUUAUGUCCAACAGAUAGGAAGGAAACUAUGGCAAUUUUGCAGAAAGAUACCCACACCCCUCUUCAGAUUUGCAAAUAAGGCCUUCCCUAAUUCAUCCUUUUCUCCUACAAGAUAAACUACUCAUACAAAUGCCUCUUGAUGUUCCAUGCAACGCAUGGGCAUCUUGCUAGUUCUAAAAAACUUUCCUUCAUUUGCCACACUACUAGUUGCAGAUGAAGAACCUACCCAAGCACAGCGAGAUACAGGAGCGACGCACAAUUACAAGCUGAUAUUUUGUUGGACAAUGGAGGCUAUAACCAAUUACUUUUACAAGAACAAUAGCAACCAGGAAAUUUGAAGGGUAGGUAUGAACAAAAUUGGAACUGCACAUGUACUGCUAAGUGAUUCAAUACACACAUUACCAAUCGAGGAGGAGAACGAUGGUCGCGGCGGCCGCUGUGCAUCAUGGUUAGCAAUGGGAGUUAGUUCAUUGUCCCUUGGCGUCGGCUUCCGGGAAGCAGAUCUGAGACCAUGGAAGACGGUGCCGAGGAAGAGCCUCUGUGUACGACAACGACGGUGGACCGGCUCCAGUGCGGCGUACGAGGUCGUCGAUGAGGCAGAUGCGCUGCGGUGGACGAGUGCGCCGAUGGAGAAGGGAGGAGCAUGAAGGCUGCGGUGCCGUGGAGAAGUCUAUUUUGUGUGGGGAUAGAAAAUGGGGAGUAUGCAGGUGUACUACUCUGGGUGCCGGGGUGGGGUUGGCUGGGUAGGGUGAACCUGAAGUUAUGAAAAUAGGCCCCUACCAAGCGUAAUCCGUAGACCUAUUCUGAAGGUUAUGAUGGUAACUUCGCACUGCUCGAAUCAGGGUCGCAGGAGAUUUUCCCCCCGACCUCAAAAUUUUGUGACACUGAACUCCCCGUGUGGCAUGUUGGGUGAUUGGGCUACGCAACUAGCGAGUAGUACUAGUAAUUACUAGUACUCCCUCCGAUUUUAUUAACUCUGCAUAUUAGGUUUGACCGAAGUCAAACUUCCUAAAGUUUGACCAAGUCUAUAGAAAAACAUAAACAUUUACCAUAACAAAUAUGUAUGAUGUGAAAGUACAUUCAAUAAUGAAUCUAAUGGUAUUUAUUUGUUAUUGUAUAUGUUAAUAUUUUGUUAAACUUUCUGAGAGUUUACAAAACUUGACUUUGACCAAUGCUAAUCCGCAGACUUAAAUAGAAACGGAGGGAGUACUCAUUUGUUUUCUUAGUUUGUAGUCAAUUAAUCAUUUGUUGUAAUUGUGAAAUAAAUAUAUUAGGCUGCUGACUUCAAAUGUAAUGGUCUAUACAAUUCAAUAGUUACAAUCAUUGUUGAAUUCCAAGAUGUAUACCAGGUCUAUAGUACUUCACAAUAUGCUCAAACUCACAUAAUCCCAAUCAAAUGAGAAUAUAAAUGCAUUUCAUUGUUAUUACUUUGUAGGAUGCAAAAACACAACCAUAACUCUACAUCAUCCAUUAUAAAAGCAACAUUUUGAACACAUCCCGUUGUGUGAAUGAAAAGUGUGUAGAGAGAGCUUGCGAAGAUGGAGCAGAUAGGGCGGUAAAGAUUGUGUGUAUGUGGACAAGACAGUACGAGAAAAACAUAACGAGAGAGAGAGAGAAAGAGAGAGGAAGAAGUUAGGUCUGUGAGAUAGAUGGAGACAUGUAAUAUACAUGAGAUGUGUGUGCAUCCGGAUUCUGUAGAUGUGGAAGAAGAAGAGACAACAUGUUUGAUGAGAGAACUGGAAAAACAUGGAUGAGAGGGGAAGGAUCUCGUGGGUUGAGGGAUUGAUAAUUUUGUGCGAGAGAGAGAGAGAGAGGGAUUGGUAAUUUUGUGCGGGAGAGAGGGGGGGAGUCUCUAGUGCAGUGUGGUCGCCGUCUUCGAUCUCCUCGAUGCCCUCUUUGAAGGUUGAGGUGUUGUGCAUGCUAGGGUGCAGAGAAGCACAAGCGAGAGUGGUUUCCAUAUAGCCUUGGAUGGGGAUGAAUUGUGUGCUCGGGGGAGGGGGAGUGUGUGUGCGGGGUGUGUGUGUGUGUGUGUUUGUGUGUCAGGUACUGAGAGAAAUCAAACCUAUGGAGAGAAAUGUGUGUGUAUGUGACGGAAAGCUACAUGCUAAAUAGAAUUUUCACGAAGAGAUUGUGCGUGCGAGAUAGAGAGCGAUGUGCGGGCCUUGAGGUGGGCAGGGGUCGGGUGAGGGUGUCAAAAUGUGUGCGUUGAUGCAUGUGUUACAUGCGAUCGUGCGAGGGAUGAACAAAUCGAGAGAGAUGGUUGUUGUGUUACGGAUGCUCCUCUCUCUCUCACACACACACAAGUACAAAUAGAAGACCGUUCUCUCAUGUAUACACAACAUAUCGGCAUCUGUCUAUGUCUCACUCAUGCAUGAUCAUUUGCACAUUCACACCUCUUUAUGUCUCUAUCACACGCACUGUUGGGGAAUGCAGUAUUUCAAAAAAAUUACGCACGAUCACGCAAGAUCUAUCUAUCUGAUGCAUAGCAACGAGCGGGAGAGUGUGUCCACGUACCCUCGUAGACCGAAAGAGGAAGCAUUAAGUAACGCGGUUGAUGUAGUCAAACGUCUUCGCGAUCCAACCGACCAAGUACCGAACGCACGGCACCUCCGCGAUUUGCACACGUUUAGUUCGGUGAAGUCCCUCGAACUCUUUAUCCAGCUGAGGCCCAGGGAGAGUUUCGUCAGCACGACGGCGUGAUGACGGUGAUGAUGAAGUUACCGAUGCAGGGCUUCACCUAAGCACUAAAACGAUAUGACCGAGCUGGAAAUAUGUGGAGGGGAGCACCGCACACGGAUAAACAAUCAACUUGUGUGUCUAUGGGGUGCCCCCUCCCCCAUAUAUAAAGGAGUGGAGGAGGGGGAGGGCCGGCCUCAUGGGGUGCGCCCAAGGGGGGGAUUCCUACUCCUAGUAGGAGUAGGUUUCCCCCUUCCCUAGUUGGAGUAGGAGAAGAAGGAAGAGGGAGAGGGAGAGAAGGAAAGGGGGACCGCCCCUCCCGCCCCCCCAAUUCUGAUUGGGCUUGGGGGCGCAUGCCUCCCACUCGGCCUCCUCCUCCUCUCUUCCACCAUGGCCCAUUAAGGCCCAAUAACUCCCUGGGGGGUUCCAGUAACCCCCCGGCACUCUAGAAAAUGCCCUAACUCAUCUGAAACCUUUCCGUUGUCCAAACAUAGCCCUCCAAUAUAUCAAUCUUCAUGUCUCGACCAUUUCGAGACUCCUCGUUAUGUCCGUGAUCACAUCCGGGACUCCGACCAACCUUCAGUACAUCAAAACACAUAAACUCAUAAUACCGAUCGGCAUCAAACGUUAAGCCUGCGGACCCUACGGGUUCGAGAACUAUGUAGACAUGACCGAGACUCAUCUCCGGUCAAUAACCAAUAGCGGGACCUGGAUGCUCAUAUUGGCUCCCACAUAUUCUAUGAAGAUCUUUAUCGGUCAAACCGCAUAACAACAUACGUUGUUCCCUUUGUCAUUGGUAUGUUACUUGCCCGAGAUUCGAUCGUUGAUAUCUCAAUACCUAGUUCAAUCUCGUUACCGGCAAGUCUCCGUACUCGUUCCGUAAUGCAUCAUCCCGCAACUAACUCAUUAUUCACAUUGCUUGCAAGGCUUAUAGUGAUGUGCAUUACCGAGAGGGCCCAGAGAUACCUCUCCGACAAUCGGAGUGACAAAUCCUAAUCUUGAUCUAUGCCAACUCAACAAACACCAUUGGAGACACCUGUAGAGCAUCUUUAUAAUCACCCAGUUAUGUUGUGACGUUUGAUAGCACACUAAGUGUUCCUCCGGUAUUCGGGAGUUGCAUAAUCUCAUAGUCAUAGGAACAUGUAUAAGUCAUGAAGAAAGCAAUAGCAACAAACUAAAUGAUCAUCGUGCUAAGCUAACGGAUGGGUCUUGUCAAUCACAUCAUUCUCUAAUGAUGUGAUCCCAUUAAUCAAAUGACAACUCAUGUCUAUGGUUAGGAAACUUAACCAUCUUUGAUUAACGAGCUAGUCAAGUAGAGGCAUACUAGUGACACUCUAUCUAUCUAUGUAUUCACACAUGUACUAAGUUUCCGGUUAAUACAAUUCCAGCAUGAAUAAUAAACAUUUAUCAUGAUAUAAGGAAAUAUAAUUACCAACUUUAUUAUUGCCUCUACGGCAUAUUUCCUUCAGUCUCCCACUUGCACUAGAGUAAAUAAUCUAUAUUACACAGUAAUGAUUCUAACACCCAUGGAGUCUUGGUGCUGAUAAUGAUUUGCUCGUGAGAGAGGCUUAGUCAACGGGUCUGCAACAUUCAAAUCCGUAUGUAUCUUGCAAAUCUCUAUGUCUCCCUGCUUGACUUGAUCGUGGAUGGAAUUGAAUCGUCUCUUGAUGUGCUUGGUUCUCUUGUGAAUGGAUUCCUUUGCCAAGGCAAUUGCACCAGUAUUGUCACAAAAGAUUUUCAUUGGACCCGAUACACUAGGUAUGACACCUAGAUCGGAUAUGAACUCCUUCAUCCAGACUUCUUCAUUUGCUACUUCCAAAGCAGCUAUGUACUCCGCUUCACACGUAGAUCCCGCCACGACGCUUUGCUUAGAACUGCACCAACUGACAGCUCCACCGUUUAAUACAAAUAUGUAUCCGGUUUGUGACUUAGAGUCAUCCGGAUCAGUCUCAAAUCUUGCAUCGAUGUAACCAUUUACAACGAGCUGUUUGUCACCUCCAUAAACGAGAAACAUAUCCUUAGUCCUUUUCAGGUAUUUCGGGAUGUUCUUGACUGUUGUCCAGGGAUCCACUCCUGGAUUACUUUGGUACCUCCCUGCUAAACUAAUAGCAAGGCACACAUCAGGUCUGGUACACAGCAUUGCACACAUGAUAGAACCUAUGGUUGAAGAAUAGGGAAUGACUUUCAUUUUCUCUCUAUCUUCUGCGGUGGUCGGGCAUUGAGUCUGACUCAACUUCACACCUUGUAAUACAGGCAAGAACUCUUUCUUUGCUUGAUCCAAUUGGAACUUCUUCAAAACUUUAUCAAAGUAUGUGCUUUGUGAAAGUCCAAUUAAGCGUCUUGAUCUAUUUUUAUAGAUCUUGAUGCCCAAUAUAUAAGCAGCUUCACCGAGGUAUUUCAUUGAAAAACUCUUGUUCACGCAUCCUUUUAUGCUAUCCAGAAAUUCUAUAUCAUUUCCAAUCAACAAUAUGUCAUCCACAUAUAAUAUUAGAAAUGCUACAGAGCUACCACUCACUUUCUUGUAAAUAUAGGCCUCUCCAAAAGUCUGCAUAAAACCAUAUGCUUUGAUCACACUAUCAAAACAUUUAUUCCAACUCCAAGAUGCUUGGACCAGUCCAUAAAUGGAUCGCUGGAGCUUGCACACUUUGUUAGCAUCCUUUGGAUCGAUAAAACCUUCUGGUUGCAUCAUAUACAACUCUUCUUCCAGAAAUCCAUUCAGGAAUGCAGUUUUUACAUCCAUUUGCCAAAUUUCAUAAUCAUAAAAUGCGGCAAUUGCUAACAUGAUUCGGACGGACUUAAGCAUCACUACGGGUGAGAAGGUCUCAUCGUAGUCAACUCCUUGAACUUAUCAAAAACCUUUCACAACAAGUCGAGCUUUGUAGACAGUAACAUUACCGUCAGCGUCAGUCUUCUUCUUGAAGAUCCAUUUAUUCUCUAUGGCUUGCCGAUCAUCGGGCAAGUCAACCAAAGUCCACACUGUGUUCUCAUACAUGGAUCCCAUCUCAGAUUUCAUGGCCUCAAGCCAUUUCACGGAAUCUGGGCUCAUCAUCGCUUCCUCAUAGUUCGUAGGUUCGUCAUGGUCAUGUAACAUGACAUCCAGAACAGGAUUACCGUACCACUCUGGUGCGGAUAUUACUCUGGUUGACCUACGAGGUUCGGUAGUAACUUGAUCUGAAGUUACAUGAUCAUCAUCAUUAGCUUCCUCACUAAUUGGUGUAGGAGUCACAGGAACUGAUUUCUGUGAUAAACUACUUUCCAAUAAGGGAGCAGGUACAGUUACCUCAUCAAGUUCUACUUUCCUCCCACUCACUUCUUUCGAGAGAAACUCCUUCUCUAGAAAGGAUCCAUUCCUAGCAACGAAUAUCUUGCCUUCGGAUCUGUGAUAGAAGGUGUACCCAACAGUCUCUUUUGGGUAUCCUAUGAAGACACAUUUCUCCGAUUUGGGUUCGAGCUUAUCAGGUUGAAGCUUUUUCACAUAAGCAUCGCAGCCCCAAACCACAGUUCAUAAGGUGUCGUCUCAACGGAUUUAGAUGGUUCCCUAUUUAACAUGAAUGCAGCCGUCUCUAAACCAUAACCCCAAAACGAUAGCGGUAAAUCAGUAAGAGACAUCAUAGAUUGCACCAUAUCUAAUAAAGUGCGGUUAUGACGUUCGGACACACCAUUACGCUGUGGUGUUCCGGGUGGCGUGAGUUGCGAAACUAUUCCACAUUGUUUCAAAUGAAGACCAAACUCGUAACUCAAAUAUUCUCCUCCAUGAUCAGAUUGCAGAAACUUUAUUUUCUUGUUACGAUGAUUUUCCACUUCACUCUGAAAUUCUUUGAACUUUUCAAAUGCUUCAGACUUAAUGUUUCAUCAAGUAGACAUACCCAAAUCUGCUUAAAUCAUCUAUGAAGGUCAGAAAAUAAUGAUACCCGCCGCGAUCCUCAAUAUUCAUCAGACCGCAUUCAUCAGUAUGUAUUAUUUCCAAUAAAUCUAUUGCUCGCUCCAUUGUUCCGGAGAACGGAGUUUUAGUCAUCUUGCCCAUGAGGCAUGGUUCACAAGUACCAAGUGAUUCAUAAUCAAGUGAUUCCAAAAUUCCAUAAGUAUGGUGUUUCUUCGUGCGCUUUAAACCAAUAUGACCCAAACAGCAGUGCCACAAAUAAGUUGCACUAUCAUUAUCAACUCUGCAUCUUUUGGCUUCAAUAUUAUGAAUAUGUGUAUCACUACUAUUGAGAUUCAACAAAAAUAGACCACUAUUCAAGGGUGCAUGACCAUAAAAGAUAUUAAUCACAUAAAUAGAACAACCAUUAUUCUUAGAUUUAAAUGAAUAACCAUCUCGCAUCAAACAAGAUCCAGAUAUAAUGUUCAUGCUUAACGCUGGCACCGAAUAACAAUUAUUCAGGCCUAAAACUAAUCACGAAGGUAGAUGUAGAGGUAGCGUGCCGACGGAAAUCACAUCGACUUUGGAACCAUUUCCCACGCGCAUCGUCACCUCAUCCUUAGCCAAUCUUCGCUUAAUCUGUAGUCCCUGUUUCGUGUUGCAAAUAUUAGCAACAGAACCAGUAUCAAAUACCCAGGUACUACUGCAAGCAUUAGUAAGGUACACAUCAAUAACAUGUAUAUCACAUAUACCUUUGUUCACUUUGCCAUUCUUCUUAUCCGCCAAAUACUUGGGGCAGUUCCGCUUCCAGUGACCAGUCCCUUUGCAGUAGAAGCACUCAGUCUCAGGCUUAGGUCUAGACUUGGGCUUCUUCACUUGAGCAGCAACUUGCUUGUAGUUCUUCUUGAAGUUCCCCUUAUUCCCUUUACCCUUUUUCUUGAAACUGGUGGUCUUGUUGACCAUCAACACUUGAUGCUCCUUCUUGAUUUCUACCUCCGCAGCCUUUUUGCAUCUCGAAGAGCUCGGGAAUUGUCUUAUCCAUCCCUUGCAUAUUAUAGUUCAUCACGAAGCUUUUGUAGCUUGGUGGCAGUGAUUGAAGAACUCUGUCAAUGACACUAUCAACCGGAAGAUUAACUCCCAGCUGAGUCAGGUGAUUAUGAUACCCAGACAUUUUGAGUAUAUGUUCACUGACAUAACUAUUCUCCUCCAUUUUACAGCUAUAGAACUUAUUGGAGACUUAAUAUCUCUCAAUCCGGGCAUUUGCUUGAAAUAUUAACUUCAACUCCUGGAACAUCUCAUAUGCUCCAUGAAGUUCAAAACAUCGUUGAAGUCCCGAUUCUAAGCUGUAAAGCAUGGCAAACUGAACUAUCGAGUAGUCAUCAGCUUUGCUCUGCCAGGCGUUCACAACGUUCGGCGUUGCUCCUGCAACGGGUCUUGCACCUAGACGGUGCUUCCAGGACGUAAUUCUUCUGUGCAGCAAUGAGGAUAAUCCUCAAGUUACGGACCCAGUCCGUGUAGUUGCUACCAUCAUCUUUCAACUUAGCUUUCUCUAGGAACGCAUUAAAAUUCAAAGGAACAGUAGCACUGGCCAUUGAUCUACAACAACAUAGACAUGAAAAAUACUAUCAAGUACUAAGUUCAUGAUAAAUUGAAGUUCAAUUAAUCAUAUUACUUAAGAACUCCCAUUUAGAUAGACAUCCCUCUAAUCAUCUAAGUGAUCACGUGACCCAAAUCAACUAAACUAUGUCCGAUCAUCACGUGAGAUGGAGUAGUUUCCAAUGGUGAACAUCACUAUGUUGAACAUAUCUACUAUAUGAUUCACGCUCGACCUUUCAGUCUCAUUGUUCCGAGGCCAUAUCUGCAUAUGCUAGGCUCGUCAAGUUUAACCAGAGUAUUCUGCGUGUGCAAAACUGGCUUGCGCCUGUUGUAUGUGAACGUAGAGCUUAUCACACCCGAUCAUCAUGUGGUGUCUCGGCACGACAAACUGUCGCAACGGUGCAUACUCUGGGAGAACACUUAUACCUUGAAAUUUAGUGAGAGAUCGUCUUAUAAUGCUAUCGCUGAACUAAGCAAAAUAAGAUGCAUAAAGGAUAAACAUCACAUGCAAUCAAUAUAAGUGAUAUGAUAUGGCCAUCAUCAUUUUGUGCCUUUGAUCUCCAUCUCCAAAGCACCGUCAUGAUCACCAUCGUCACCGGCUUGACACCUUGAUCUUCAUCGAACCAUCGUUGUCGUCUCGCCAACUAGUGCUAUCAUGACUAUCACUACCGCUUAGUGAUAAAGUAAAGCAAUUACAUGGCGAUUGCAUUUCAUACAAUAAAGCUACAACCAUAAGGCUCCUGUCAGUUGCCGAUAAAUGUUAGAAAACAUGAUCAUCUCAUACAACAAUUUAUAUAUCAUCACGUCUUGACCAUAUCACAUCACAACAUACCCUGCAAAACAAGUUAGAUGUCCUCUACUUGUUGUUGCCAAUUUUACGUGGCUGCUACGGGUUUAGCAAGAACCGUUCUUACCUACGCAUCAAAAACCACAACGAUUUUUCAUCAAGUUUGCUGUUUUAACCUUCAACAAGGACCGGGCAUAGUCACACUCGAUUCAACUAAAGUUAGAGAAACAGACACCCACUAGCCACCUGUGUGCGAAGCACGGCAGUAGAACCAGUCUCACGAACGCGGUCAUGUAAUGUCGGUCUAAGCCGCUUCAUCCAACAAUACCGCCGUAUCAAAGUAUGACAUGCUGGUAAGCAGUAUGACUAUUAUCGCCCACAACUCUUUGUGUUCUACUCGUGCAUAUCACAUCUACGCAUAGACCUGGCUCGGAUGCCACUGUUGGGGAACGCAGUAUUACAAAAAAUUUACCUACGAUCACGCAAGAUCUAUCUAUGUGAUGCAUAGCAACGAGCGGGAGAGUGUGUCCAUGUACCCUCGUAGACCGAAAGCGGAAGCGUUAAGUAACGGGGUUGAUGUAGUUGAAAGUCUUCGCGAUCCAACCGAUCAAGUACCGAACGCACGACACCUCCGUGAUCUGCACACAUUAAGCUCGGUGACGUCCCUCGAACUCUUGAUCCAGCUGAGGCCGAGGGAGAGUUUCAUCAGCACGACGGCGUGAUGACGGUGAUCAUGAAGUUACCGACGCAGGACUUCGCCAAAGAACUACAACGAUAUGACCGAGCUGGAAAUAUGUGGAGGGGGGCACCGCAUACGGAUAAACAAUCAACUUGUGUGUCUAUGGGGUGCCCCCUCCCCCGUAUAUAAAGGAGUGGACGAGGGAGAGGGCCGGCCUCAUGGGGUGCGCCCAUGGGGGGGAUUCCUACUCCUAGUAGGAGUAGGUUUCCCCCCUUCCCUAGUUGGAGUAGGAGAAGAAGGAAGAGGGAGAGGGAGAGAAGGAAAGGGGGACCGCCCCUCCCGCCCCCCAAUUCUGAUUGGGCUUCGGGGCCGCGUGCCUCCCACUUGGCCGCCUCCUCCUCUCUUCCACCAUGGCCCAUUAAGGCUGAUUAACUCCCCGUGGGGUUCUGGUAACCCCCCGGUACUCCGGAAAAUGCCCGAACUCAUCCGAAACCUGUCCGGUGCCCAAACAUAGCCUUCCAAUAUAUCAAUCUUCAUGUCUCGACCAUUUUGAGACUCCUCGUUAUGUCCGUGAUCACAUCCGGGACUCCGACAAACCUUCGGUACAUCAAAACACAUAAACUCAUAAUACCGAUCGUCAUCAAACGUUAAGCCUGCGGACCCUACGGGUUCGAGAACUAUGUAGACAUGACCGAGAAUAAUCUCCGGUCAAUAACCAAUAGCGGAACCUGGAUGCUCAUAUUGGCUCCCACAUAUUCUACGAAGAUCUUUAUCGGUCAAACCGCAUAACAACAUACGUUGUUCCCUUUGUCAUCGGUAUGUUACUUGCCCGAGAUUCGAUCGUCGGUAUCUCAAUACCUAGUUCAAUCUCGUUACCGGCAAGUCUCUUUACUCGUUCAGUAAUGCAUCAUCCUACAACUAACUCAUUAGUCACAUUGCUUGCAAGGCUUAUAUUGAUGUGCAUUACCGAGGGGGCCCAGAGAUACCUCUCCGACAAUCGGAGUGACAAAUCCUAAUCCUGAUCUAUGCCAACUCAAAAAACACCAUCGGAGACACCUGUAGAGCAUCUUUAUAAUCACCUAGUUACGUUGUGACGUUUGAUAUCACUCUAAGUGUUCCUCCGGUAUUCGGGAGUUGCAUAAUCUCAUAAUCAUAGGAACAUGUAUAAGUCAUGAAGAAAGCAAUAGCAACAAACUAAACGAUCAUCGUGCUAAGCUAAUGGAUGGGUAUUGUCAAUCACAUCAUUCUCUAAUAAUGUGAUCCCGUUAAUCAAAUGACACCUCAUGUCUAUGGUUAGGAAACCUAACCAUCUUUGAUUAACGAGCUAGUCAAGUAGAGGCAUACUAGGGACACUCUGCAUGUCUAUGUAUUCUUACAUGUACUAAGUUUUCGGUUAAUACAAUUCUAGCAUGAAUAAUAAACAUUUAUCAUUAUAUAAGGAAAUAUAAUUAACAACUUUAGUAUUGCCUCUAGGGCAUAUUUCCUUCACGCACACCGUCUCCACAUUGCCCUUCUGCCACAACACACAUAUGGCGUUCUCUCUCAGUCACACACACAAAAUAGUAUUAAGAAAAACUAGGGCGCACCUAAAACGUCCAAAUCCAAAAAAACACAAGCUGGAGCUAAAUUCAAAUAUAUGGAAAUAUUGUAGCGUCAAGAACUUCUCCAGGAAAAAAAGUUGUGUAAUAUUCGGGGAUUGUUUUCACACACACAAAAAUGUUCGUUGGGUGUCCUUCGAGCGCGACACGGUGACGCACCGUUCGAUCGAUCAUGUGGCCGCGGUUCACGCACUUGCACAGGAUUCCGUAUCGUGGCUGUGGUAACUAAUAUAAGCGCUGCCUCAGUCUAAUGUUUACAUGUACUAGUAUGGUUUUCUUUUAAGUUUGACCAACCCUAUAUAAAACUAAACUAAGCUCCCAUACGCGCACUCAUCAAUAUGCCGCCACCGCCAUUGCGCAUGCCGGCGCCCGCCUGCUCCGGCCAACCUUUUCUCGCCCAUCACCGUCGUGUCGCCGCCAUCCCUGUACCGUGAAGCCGAAGGCUCUCCUGCUCAACAUCGUCUGCAGUCCCUCCUCGCGAUGCCGCCGCGCUGCCAAGCACGCGAGCAGCUAGUGGAGCCAUGUCUAUGCACGCAGCGUACGAAGAGGAGGACGAGCGCCUGCUCCAGCAUCCCGACACGGAGGAACUAGCAUGUCAUUCUCGUCUCCGCCCAUGCAAAGGAGCGUGCAUGGUGGCUGUCAUGGCAGAAGCCGGUCGCGCCCGCACCGAGCCCGCAAACCGGGUGCAGACGCGGAAUCUACCUUCAAGACCUUCAAUGCCACGUGGAUCCUGCAAUCUGAAGGAGCAAUUUGGGUCAGUCGACUCUUGUGAGCCGUUGGAUUCAACAUGGAUGGCUAGAAGGGCUUCUUCAACCUCCAAAAUUGAUGCAUUGUUCAUCUUCUCAGCCCGCCACACGCCUAACCGCCUGCCGCCGCCGCCCCGCCCUCCCCUUAACCGCCUGCCACCGCCAUGCUCCCACCACCCCCGCCAUCCGUUUAACCCCGGGCACGAUCCAUUUUUUUUGGCGAACUGCAUUCCACACCCACCACUCAUAAGAUAUAUCAUGGGCACCCUGCCACCCUAAUAUAGAUACUGGGGUAGCUUCUCUGUCGUCCUCUUCCUUCGCUCUCUCGAACUUCUUUCACAAAUCGACUGACCCAAAUUAUACUACUAGUACGAACGUAUUAAGUACAGUAGGAACACGAAGAUACGAGAAGUAGUACCAACUGCAAGAAGAACAGUAGUAAGACAUAGUACUAGUACUACUGUACGUACAAAAGAGUUCAAAUAACGAGAAAGAACAUAAACAUAGUUUUGCUGGGGGCUCAGCACAACACACCCCUGAAAUAAAACUAAGCAACUAGUCCUUUGACACUGUAGUAGAACCAGCAUGAGCGACGGCACUGCCACCUUACUCGGAGUCCGAGUCUAGGUCCUCGACUUCGUCCUCGUCCCUCUUCCUCUUCCUCUUCGCUGCCGCUUCUUUGCUUGAAUCGGACACUGGGCUCUGCUUCUUCAUCCAUACCUUUUAGAUAUUUAAACAAAGGUAGGCAUCCAUUGCUGCGUACAGGAUGUGAUCUUCAUCUAUUGUCUUCGACUCCCAUGCAUGAUGAAACUCGUGGUGAGGUUUCUUCAGUUUAGCGUAUGAAAGAUCAAUCAUGGCUGCUGCCAGGGUCAGCAUUCAAGGCUGAGAAGAGGACACCAGGCUUUCCUUCUGGAGAUCAAAGGGUUGGCCUACAACGAGGCCUAUCCGACCCAGGACAUCCCUGUCGUUCCUAAAGUCUACAGUAAUGAAUUUCACUCUUUCGUCCUUGGGGAAGUUCUUAAAAUCCUGGCACUCAACGUCGGCAUGGCAUAUGUGGUAGACCAAGCACACAUUAUGUACGAAAACCUGGAUCACGGCGGGCUUCUUCUUCUCAGCCUCCUUUAGAAUCUUCUCACUUUCCAGGACUGUGGUGUACUCAACAUCUAGCCCAGCGACCCACUCAUCCUUUGAGUUUACGAACAUGCUUCUGAAGCGAGCAAGGCAUUCUUUCACCAUCGUGGAUCCAUGGGUGUAGAUGACAAUGAACUCAUCGCCGGUGAUGGCUCUAACCUGGUACUCAGCGGCGACCAUGGAGAUUUGGGAGGCCAUGGAUUUUCGAGGAGGGUUAGGAGAAGUUGAACUGGUGUAAUGUGAAAGGACGGGGCGACUGGGGGCGAACUAUUGUAAGGUAGAAGACGGGGACGAGUAGGGCGUGCGAAAGGCAUGGGGUUGUUGGCUUGCCCAGUGGAUAAACGGCUGCAAGCCCCCAAAGAGUUCUCGAGUACUAUGCGGGACCCACUAGAUGUCAUGUCUACUAGAGCCAUAUCGUAGGCCUGACGGUAUAGCUUCUGCCUGUUCACACGCCAUGCUAGCGCGUGGAUGUAACUUCACUUAAUUCCCUCAACCAUUGCGCCUCCCACGACCUUCGCCUCCCUCGCGCGGUUGCGCCCUUUGAGACUUCGACCGGUUACAAAUGAGCAAUUUUUUUGCCUACUCCGCAUGCAUGAUACUCCCUUUGGUCCUUUUUACUUCCGUCAACCGUUUGCAAAGUGUUUGACCAAAUUUAUACUAAAAAUAUCAAUAUCUACAAUAGUGAUUAUAAUGAGAAUAAAAACUACGUUUUAUAAUGAGUAUAAAAAUAUUGAUUUGACAUUGUGAAUGUUGAUGUACAUUUUUCUAUAAGUUUGGUCAAAGUAGAGGUACAUUGACUUCAGACAAAACUUAAAUGCACAAUGCAGACUAGUUCCUCCAUCCUGGUGCGUGCCAUGUCCUAUCUAGUCAUCACAACAAGGUUAGCUAUUAGAGUACAACUACCUCCCUUCUAGUUUAAAGGGCUCGAUUCAAAAAUUUCAUCUACUCUUACCAAGAUAGAGGCGGUGGAAUAGUUUUUGUAGUGGUUUCUAGAGUCUGGACUCCAUCUUCAGGAACCUUCGCCGCCGCCGGCAAGAAUGCAAGGAGAUGAAACAGAAAGGAAAUGAGGCUAGAAUGAGUAGUUCCAUAUUUUAUACAGUGGCAGAGGUGGGUAAAUAUCUGCUAUACAGUACCUCCGGUGGCAAGGCCAUGUCUCUAUGCACACACAUCUCAGUCGUUGGUUCCAAGUAGAUCGAACGGCUCACAUUGUCCAGAGGCAGACAUACCAUCACCACCAACUGAGAUUUUUAUAGGAGUGUUCAUGCAUGCAUGUGGUGUAAUUAAUCAUUGGUUUACACAAUUUUUUGAGAAAAACGAGAGUACUAAUUAAGUAUUUUUGCAAACUACGGAAUUAAUUCCACCAUUCAUCAUCUACCUUGGUUGAAGAGAAUUUCAAAUUAAGCCCUAUGAACCGGAAAGGAGGGAGUACCACAUUACCACCACUAUGGCCAGCAUUAAUCAUCACAUGCAAUCAUUUAGUGCACCUUGAAAUCUGAACGCCUGCUUGACUCUCCUUCUCCCUCCAGCAGUCCCACUACUCCACCCCGUGUGGAAUAAAUCUGCAUGCAUGACUCUCCUCCCUCGCGCUAAUCCAAUCCGUUGUGACCAGCAAUAUUUCCACCCCUUCCCUCACGCAUAAUUUACUCGAACAAAUAUGCCCACGUAGCUGCUUCAGUAACUUAACUGUAGGUGCAUUGGGUCAUUGACAUGUGGGCCCAAUAGGCAUCUGGCCCCCAUGUCAGUGAUGCAACUAGACCUGCAGUUAAGUCAGUGAAGCUCAGUCCAUAUAUUACGUAGGUGUGCCAUUGAUCGCUAUAAAUACUGCGCCUCCCACAGCAUUCGGAAGAACGCUCACGUUCAUCGCUAUCUCCCCCUCCCUCUCACGUCGACCACCAUGGCAUCCCCCUCCCAAGCCCUAGGCUCCCCUUGCUGCACCGUGCAGACGGUCACGCAUCGCCGUUCCAUUCCUCGCCGCCACUAGUCGAGGAGGAUGCAUCGCCAUUCCGUUCCUUGCAACCACUAGUCGAGGAGGAUGCGUCCUUGUUCCUCUCCUCACCGCGACGCUUCGAGGUGGACUCGUUGGCGUUCCCAAUCUCACCAGCAUGCGCGUUGGAGGACGCGUUGGCUCCCCGCUACGAGGAGAACGCCGUGCCGCCCGCCGAGCCCCCCCACCCUUGAGUAGAUUUGGAAAGAAAUGGAUGUCGCCUUGUGGGAGGCUCCGGCAGAGCGCGCCAAAAUAGAGGCGGAGAAGAAGGCCGAGGAAGAGAAGCGCGCCAUGGGCAAGAUGCCUGGCAGGCCUAUGUCGCGUCCGAGAGAGUCAGGCAAUUGGCUCUUUGGCAGAAGGCUCGUGCGAGGGCCGUGAGGGUGGAAGAGGACGCCUGUGCCAAAGCCUUGAGUGAAGUCGGGCCCAAGCGCCUCAUCUACGCUUGGUGGUACGUGGACCGUGUGCAUGCUUCCAGUGGGGAGGAGUACCUGUUGGUGCCGGAUCACCACACCGGUGAUAUCGCACUCGCCCGCCGGCAAGCUGCCAAUCAGCACCUCGCGAGUUGCGAGGCUGAGGAAGAGGUGUUGUGUCUACGCACUGGGAAACGACCGCGCACCAGGGCACUCGUGGCACGCUGCAAGCGCUCCUGCGAGCGCCGUGGCUUUUAUUAGGAAUAUAAUUUAGUUUCGUAAGGCGAUCUCAUUAUUUUUGGGAUGCAAAUGAUAAAUCCCGAACAUUCACGAAUUAUUAGCGUCCUUAAUUAAGUAUGUAAAAGGAAAGUUUGGAAACCUUGUGUAUCCGUACGCAUUUUGUAAGUACGUGCAUAUGUCACAUGCACUAACAUUUUAUCAGUUAAAUCUUUGGUCAAAAUUUAGCACAAAUUACAAUGGUGAUGAAUAAACCAGGACGGAGGUACUAGUAGUAGUUUAGAAGCCCAAAUAAAUGAGUGAGGCGCCUUAAUGUUACUCUCCACUGUGACUAGUCUUAUGGGAAAAGCUAGGUAAGAGACGGCUUAUUUUUAAGCCGCCAAAAGAACUGGCCCUUGGAGUGAUAGCUAGGGAUACUAGGAGUAGUAGCUAGGGAUCGAGUGUGCGAGAUGAACCGGACAAAGUAAAUGCAGAGAGAUGAAAUGCAAAAAAGAUAGAGGGAUGUGAUGGUUGCUUGUCCAUUUAUUUUACCAGGCCACUUAUUACUGGGAGUGGUUGGGUUUUGUGAUAUGACGGCUUUACUGCCGCGCCACGAGCGGGGUGAGACUCACGUGCAGCGUCGCCCUCUACACUAGUACUACAUCAGUCCUGGUUUAUUAGUCCCCCAUUGAAUUUGACUGAAUAUUUAACUGACAAAAUGUUAGUGCACGUUAACAAAAACUAUAUCGCUGGAUUCAUAUUUGAACAUAGUUUUCAAUGAUAUAAUUUUAGGUGACAUGCAUUAGCAUUUAUUGUACUACAUAUAAUGUUAGUUCAAUUUUUGGUCGUACUAAUCUAUAGUAAGGUGCCCGUGCGUUGCACGGAACAGUGAAAUGCAUUGAUCGGGGAGUUGUCUAUUUUGACAAAGGAUGUGGGGGGUCAUCUCAUGUGUAACGGGUAUUGAUAGGUUUCUUCGGAUAUUAUUUCAUCUCUAGCGCUCACAAACAUCCGGAUGAAAUAGAUAAAAAAGUAUCUUUUGCAAACAAAAGCGUUCAACUACUCAACCUGCAUCCAAAACUUGUGAAGAAAUAACACUUAUUGUGCUUUGCAAGAAAUGAUCUUUAAGAAUUAGUUUUUGAGUAUCAAUUGAUAUACAUGUUGGCUACAUAUGACAUGGCACUUUUUUAUAGUUAACAAUUGGCUAUAGUAUUAAGUAUUAACCAUGCCCUUAUACACCUAGACGGAGGGAUUAAAUCAGGAUGACAUGGAAAGGGGCAGAGGAGAUGUAAGAAAUGGUUCAUCAUAAGUCUUUCACCAGUACUGUAGUAAAAAAUUCAUACAUGGAAGAUUCUAGACUAAACAAUAAAUCGAUACAAUUUUAUUCAUGCGCGAUACUCCAAUAGAGCAAGAUCAUGCAUGGAAGUCUCCACAUGCUUAGACAGCGGAUUACAUUGAGCGAAGACUAAUGAUCAACAUUUAACUUGGUAAUACAUAUGUCCAGGUGAACCUCCUUGGAGUCCCCGUGCACCACGUUGGGGGCCAAAUCAUACCAUGCGUCUUCCAUGUCCACAUUGGCGGGAAGGUCCCAGCUCGGCACAGUCGUAGUCAGCUUGAUGUAGCUAGUGUCAUCGCCCACGUACCUCCGAGGGGUACUAACAGUGAGCACGCACCCGUAGAUCGGCCUCGUGUCAGUGUCAGCGUCAGCGACGUCGCCACUGAAGCACACUACAGAGACGGGGCGGCAGCCUGCGCGGGCCUCGCCGGUGCCCACGAUCAAGAGGAAGACGCUUCCAUCCUCCUCCAGGACUAGCAGGCGGUGGUGAUCCUCCAGCGGCUCCGACACGGUGAACGGGUAGCACGACUCAUACUUGAUGUUCUUCGCCGCGGGACAGUAAUGAUAGACGGACGACUGCGUGAGGUGAUGCACAAGGUCCGCCGGCGAGCCCCAAAACGGCAUCGGGCACUCAUAGCAGUAGACGAAGGGCUCCUUGGAGGCAUCGACCAGGCCGUCCAUCAAACGGGAGUGGCUGUAGGGGACAGUGCGCCAGUUGAAUAUAUGAGCAAGUUACUAUGAGAUUUAGUCUGAAUAAGCACAAAAUAAAUCAUGAUGACUAUAACAGAGAUUAAACUAAUCAUGUGGACUAGCAUAGUAGAUGGACAGAUCAAAUCUAGGACACAGAGUAGAAACAUGAAUUCUACCACAAUUUCAAACAGGAAGGACAGAAACACAUACGGUGCAACGGGAGCAGCACCGCUGGCGUUGAGGUUGUCGCCCAUGUCGUUGAGGAAGAGGUUGCCGAGGUUGGGGAAGAAAUCAUCGUCGGUGAAGUCGUCGUUGCCAGUAGUCGCGAGAGUGUGCUCCCCAAAUUUCAACAGCGCCUGCUGAAUGGAGCGUAGGAGGGAGUGGCUGUAGGGGAGGUUGCGGCGGCCGAAUGGAGUGCAGGAGUAGCACACGAAGCAGUAGAUGGUGCUCCUCCCUAUAGUCUCUAUCUCUACUCUUAUGUCUAUCGCUACUACUCUUCUUUCUUUUUUAUAAUAUACUAGUAGUUGUCAAAUCGAAUAGUACUGCGCCGCCCGCUGCACGCCUGGCUGAACACGCCUCCUCGCCUCCAUCAAACCCCUCGUUAAACCCGCAUGCAAACCGAGAAACCUACUUCGGCCCGCGGGAGGAAAUUUGUCGGUUGCCGUUGGAGAAUAAUAGAGUCACGUCCAAUCCAUUUCAGUUAAUUGCGUGUAUGCUUCUCCCUCUAUAAAAAGUUAAUUGCAUCCUUAAUCUUGUAUUCUAAGUACUCUGUGGGUUCCAGUGUCAGUAUAGUGUACAUGACUUGCAGGCUGGCUACAGAUUCGUAUAGAAAGUUAAAAAGAAACAAAUCCAUCAUUAAUCUUGUAUUCUAAGUACUCUGUGGGUUCCACUGCCAGUACAGUUGCGAAAGAAGUAUAUAUUAAAAAAUAAAAAGAUAAAGUUUAGGACAGAAUUCGAACUCAGGUCAUCGCGCUGCGAGCAUCCGACCCGGACCAGUACACCAGGUGUUCCUUGCGGACGAUGCAAGAGAUAAACCUUUAUAACAAUGAGCCCGUCCGUUGCAAUGGAUCCAUAGUAGAAUAAUGCAUAUUCACGAAUUUGAAACAAAACAGUUUAGUUUGAUAUACAUAUCACUAAAAAUAUCUUAUGUUUCACUCCAAAUAUAUUCUUUGGGUUGUUUUAUUGAGGUAAGGGAGGAAUGUGGUUGGUUUCAAGAUACUAAGGGGUUUUGUGUAAACCGGAGCACAGAAGUGGGAAUUGUUGCAAAAGGCCACAACUUACAUCACAGCCGUUAGAUGCAGAUCUAAUGGUUAGAAAUGGCGGAUGGCAAACACACCAUCAUCACCAAGUGAGACUUUUAUCUCUACUCUUAUAAAAAAACUGAGUUGGUGAUGAUGGUUUGCCUGCCAUCCUGCAAUAUAGACCGUCCGAUCUAUAUCAGACGGAUAGAAAGCAAACUAUGACAAUUUUGCAAAAAGAUACCCGCACCACUCUCCACAUUUGCAGAUAUGGACUUCCCUCAUUCAUCUUUGUCUCCCACGUGAUAAACAGCUCAUAUAAAUGCAUCUUGAUGUUCCAUUCAACGCAUGGGCCUCUUGCUAGUAGGAGUAUAUAAGUAUAAGUAAUAUAGGAGUAGGAGUAGAGAAAAAGCCGAGUUGGUGAUGAUGGCGUUCGAGCUAUAACUGACGGAUAGAAAGCAAACUAUGACAGUUUUGCAAAAGAUACCCGUACCUCUCUCCUCAUUUACAGAUAAGGCCUUGCCUCGUUCAUCCGUAUCUCCCACAACCUCAUUGCCGAGCAAUAAAAAAAGGAAGUCUCUGGAACAAUCUGGCAUGGUGGCCGCUGCCGGCGCUGUCCAUCCCCAUGCCUCCGCCCAGUCCGACCACCAGUCACGACCACGCCCCACUCCUCCUCACCUUAUUUAUCAUCUUUCUCGAGAUAACAUUUUUUCGAUGAAAUGGUUGAGAUACCAUGUUUCCGAUAAAAUUCUUGAGAUAUCAUUAGUUUUUACACAUGGGAUUACUCUUGCAUGGGUCUAUCACAAUAGGUGUUUUGUAAACAAAUGCAUCUUGAUGUUCCGUGCAAUGCAUGUGCGUCUUGCUAGUUUUUUUGCAUAUAAUUCCAAACAAAACGUAGACCGGUCUUUGACCAUUUUACAACUAUGUUAGUAUCAUUGUUAGUGGUCGUCCAUGGAUGUUUGGAGCUCUUCUAGCUCUUUGGUAGUUCGUCUUUUGCUUCCUGUUUUCUCGAAUAAUUUGAUGUAUCGCGAAUGACUUUCGGGCUUGGUUUCCCUUAAUGGAAAUCAUAAGGGGGGAAACCCUUCUUUGAUAUAAAAAAUCAUUGUUAGUGGUCAACCGGUGCAAGUUAUAGCCCCGGGUGUUUUAACCUUUUUUACUAACGAUAUCUGGCAAUUGUUCGCCACGAGCUCAAUCAUGGCGAAUCCUACGUAACCGUCAUAUUUCCAUCCGACAGUGGCCUGUUUUUAAACCAUAGUAUUUGACAAAACCGCCACCCUAACACACGUACUGUAACUGCGUCACGGGCGUUUGCAACAGCCAUGUCUGCUAGCGAACGUUUGCUGGGGAUUAGAGUUAGCACCAAUGGCGGUUCGUAGUCGUUCCAUGCUCGGGCAUUGAAGUUUGCAACUAUUUUAGAUUAGAAUAUACUAAUCCUCCGGUGCUAGUAGUAGAGCAGAGUCCUGCUCCACUACUACUCUAGUUAAGCAAGUUAGGGCAUAGUAGUAGGUACUGUAGGGAGUACCAGUACUGUGAUCACUCAAGCAAGUUGCCUGGCAUCAAUAUGACCCUGCGCUGCUGGUACGUGUCUCAUAAGUCAAGCAGCAUGCUGUAGUCAUCAGCACCUGUCCACUUCCCGCAGCACAUAUUCGCUUCUCCAUCCUUGUCCGCAGAUAAUCGUCCAAUCUUCCAUCCCCGCUAAGGUGCCUCCCCCCUCUUCUAAAACCCAAGCACUAACAAUGGCAGAAUCGAGCAGCAUCGCCGAAAGAGUGGCUGGAAUUCGCUCCCCACAGAGGUAAUCAAGCUCAUUGUUUCGCGUGUGGACAAUCUCAGUACCAUGCCGCUCGUCGCAUGCUCGUCGGGGCUGUACCGUUUACUCAAAGCCCUCAGGCCGGAGCUUUUUAAGCCAGCUCCUUGCUUGCUGAUGCUGUCCGAUCUUCAGAAACGGCGUGUCACGCAGCAUAACGAUCGUAGGGUGUCGAGCAUCAACCCUCUUGACUGCGAUCCGAUCCCCGUCACCCUCAACUACAUUAACGGUAUGUACUGGGUCGGCAUGAACACGUCUUGAAUGGUGCUCGUCGAUGGUGGCGGCAGCUGGAUGCUCGUGGAGGUCUACACCCGGCGAUUGAUCCCCUUCCUUCGAUUAACACUGCACUGCUUUGGCACCGCGGCCUAGAAUAUUCAGAAUCUUACAGUAGCCAACACGAUACCAAGUUUGAUUUUCUCAAGGUUGUAAUCUGCCAAGCGCCCACAAGAUCUGCGAAUUAUAAAGACUUCAGGCUAAUUGCGUUCUUUAACCGUGGUCUCGCCUAUCUGACAGGUCACUGCGGUAAGCGGAUAAAUCUGCACGUCCAUCGCAGGAUCAUACAUCCUCCAUGGUUCUCUGAUGCCAUUGAACACAAGGGCUUCAUUUACACUGUCGACUCCUUCUAUGGCUAGAUGUAUUGCUGGCCUACUACAGUCAUCGCUGGAAAUGGUUGUUACAACAGUAUGUUACUUUCCUAUGAUAUCAUGAUGGCCUGCUUAUAUUACUGUCAACAUUUACUGAAAAAAUAUUCAUGCUCAUAACAUGUAGUUCUUAAGAUUGACUACAUUAAGAGCCCUUUUUUAUUUGACUCCAACUUGAUAUGAUGUUGUAGGCCACCUGGUGUCCCUACCCUUCCUAAUCCCAGAACCUUUCAAAGAAAAGCGGCAUGGCAGUUGUAGGUGGUUCCUGGCUCGAUCAGACGACGGCGAACGAUUGAUGAUCGUUCGCACGUAUCGGACGUGUUGUUUCACGGAAUACAAUCUCAGUCACUGCAAGGUCUUUGAGCAGGAUCCCAGCUUCUUUGGGCCUUCAGGAAUUUUUAACUGGAGGCUGCUAAGUAGCCUUGGUACAUGCUCUCUGUUUCUCAGAUUGAAUUAUUCGAUUAACCAGGAGAUAGCCGACGGCAAGGAUCAUGAUGGCAUCCCGGUUUCGUUCAUCAGGCAAAACUGUGUGUACACAGCUUACCAUGCGUCUCUGCAUGCACCAUACCCUGAUAUGUGCCGCCACGCUCUGCAGCCCAAAGUAAGAUAGAGGGUCGCAAGUAUCAGACUUCGACCUGCUGGCUGGAGUUUCCCCCGUUAGGCACCCAUCUAGUUCAAGCCGUCAGCCAAUCUCCACAGCUUAAUAAAUAGUAACAUCUAACUGAGCCAGUUAGUUAGAUGCGUACACUUGGUGUAGUAGGAUCUUCAUUUAGUUUGAUGCAUACACUUGUUCUUUUUUGGUAGCCCUUUUGUAAUGACAGCUGAUGUUUGGUUUGGAUGAGAGAGCUGCGUCUUUACUCUUCUGGCCUGCUUACUGCUUCUGUUGCACCCCAAGCCCUGGUUACUGCUGCUGCUGUUUUCAAUGUAUAAUCAGUUGUAUAUUUCGUCUGUUGGUUGAAUAAAUGUGUUGUUAGAACGACAAACACAAUGUUUUGGAAAUCGUUGCACGGUCCGAUCCUUUAGUGCCCCGUACCGUACGUAGUGCAUACUAUUUUUCGUAGGAACACAUUUUCCACUUGUUGAUAACAUGCAGCCCACUGAUGAAGGCCCAAUAGAGGAGCCCAUAAUUAACUGGAAGGGAGGCUCUCACAUAAAUCCUGCCCAGGUACAUGCUCAUGGUCCCCUAAACAUAAAUAAGUAAAUAACUAAAUAAAUAAACCUAAUGCUCAUGCACCAGUUCUUUAUAUUCACGAUUUAACAGGAGGAUAUUAGUUCCUAUGAUAGUGUCGUUACAUUCAGUCAAUAUAAUUCUUAGGCAAAGAUAGCGAUCAGUCUUCUUUCUCCCACCAUUUUCUUCCUGCAACCAGCGGACCCAUGCAAAUCGUAGUCAACGUCGUAAAUAGUUCCGGUCCAUUUUUAUUUUUCAAUAAGAAUGUCCAACCCAGCCGAGCACAUUGGUGACAGCACUUUAUCCUCCAACUUGGUGCGCUCAUCGUGGCGCCACCGUCCGGCCCUGUCAACAUAGUGAAUCGGGAGAGGACUGUAGAUGUGAGUAUAAUAGUACGGACCCACCGGGUUCACUCCUGAACACAAGCAAAGCGCCUCUUUUACUACUCAGAUGCACCCCUCGUUUUUUACUCUAAUCCACCCUGCUGAUAUCUAGGACCCACAUCAUUUUCAACGUAUAGUCAAUUAACGACAGAAUUGCACAAAUUGUUUUUUGAGGAUUUGUUCGGAGGAGCAGACUAUAAACUGGGUUGUGCGGUCUCUGUGGCCCGUCUAACAACAUGACCAGCCCUAUAGUUUUUUCUUUGGGAAAAUAAGUAGGCCACUAUUUCUUUUUGAAGAAUACCAAAGCUAGACCUAUUUGUUUUCUCCGACUUACUGGGCUGCAAAUCUUUCAAGACGAGGAGGGAUGCAUUCCGGCCUGGCCAAAGAGUUUGGCCAGUUUCUGUUAAAAGUAAAUGGGAAAAUUUGUUUCUUUUUUGUUUUUUUCUUCACUGAUAUUUUAUAUUUCAUUGGAUUUUAACAUGACAUAGUACUAAUUUAUUUUUAAAUUUGUUUUAGUAUGGCUAAUAAUUUUUGGAUUAAAAAUAUUUUGUUCCCCAACAAAAAAUUGCUAAUUUCCAAAAUUUCGCACAUUUUUAGUUCAAUUUUUUAACCCUGGUACUGACCAGAAAAUGGGCAGCAAUUCUAAAAAUGGAAAAUCGGCUACAAUAAAUUCCAUAUGAAUUAUAAAAUGAGUAAAAUAAUAGCAAAUGGGUUGUACACGCCACAAAUUUCGAGGCCGACUUGUUUACGCAAGGCUUUGUCAGUCAACACACGAUUCUAGCAGCUGUGAUUGUUGGAUGUCCAUCCAACGGCCGACGUGCUUCUUCAAUCUUUGAUCUUCCUGCUCCAGCCGCCUAAACCACGCCGGCGGGAGUGCCUACUCCCUCCUCUUGUGGCCCGUUGUCAUGCCGCGCAGACUUCAUCGGCCAACCCUACUCCCUCUACUGGCCUGGCCGCACGCAAUUAACUGCCUCCUUAAUACGCGAAAAAAAUGAUUCCUCCAGCUAACAUCUGGGGCGCACCGGUUCGGAGGCUGACUUGUGGGCCUACUAACUUGACGCGUACGCAGGGCUUUGUCAACUUAGUCAACAAACGAUUCUAGCAGCAGUGACCGUUGGAUUUGAAUUGAACGGUCCUACUGUUUCUUCAAUGGCUGCUCUUCUUGCACCAGCCGCCCAGACCAGUGCCGGCGAGACUGCCUGCUCCUGCCUCCAGUGGUUGCCUGUGCUGCCGUUGAGGCCUCACCGCCCCCUACUACUCCCACCGUUGGCCAGUCCCUGUGCCGACAGCAGGCUCACACCGCAGUCGAACCAGUAAACCCUCGUACUCUCCGCGUGGGCAUCCACUGCCGCGUCUUCCCCGGCUCCGCGUCGUCCCCUUCCUAGGCCUUGCCGUCAUCCACCGCCCUGGUGCUCUCGGUGCGCCGUGGUCAACGAACGACAUCCAUUGGAUGUGGACUUUACGUGGAGAGGCUGACACCUGGGUCCACGGCCGCUCACAAGGAAAUGCCUCCUUAUUACGCGCAAAAUAAUGAUUCCUCCACCUGACAUCUGGGACCCACCGGGAGGGCCUCUGUAUUUCAUGAAAAAAACGUUCCCCCCGCUGACAGGUCAGACCCACCAGCUAUAUCUUCGCAUGCAAGGAAGUGCCUCCUUAUUACACAAAAAAAAUGAAUACUCCCCCUGCUAGCUGGGACCCAGCUUAGUCGGAGGCUGACAUGUGGGCCUACUACGUUGACAGGGACGGAGGGCUUUAUCAACUUAGUCCAUAUGAACGAUUCUAGCUCCAGUGACUGUACGAUGUCCAUCCAACGGCCGUACUGCUUCUUCAACCUCUGGUCUUCUUGCUCCAGCCGCCCAAAGCAACACCGGUCGUGCCGCCUGCUCCUGCCUCCCAUGACCGGCUAUGCUGUCGCGGAGGCCUCACCGCCCCUUACUACUCCCACCGCUGGCCAGGCCCUGUGAUGACGGCAGCCUCACACCGCAGCAGAACCAGUGAACCCUUGUACUCCUCUCCGCGUGGGCAUCCACUGCCGCAUCGUCCCCGGCUUCGCGUCGUCCCCUUCCUAGGCCUCGCCGUCGUCCACCGCCUUGGUGCUCUCAGCGCGGCAUGGUCAAUGUGGUCAACGACCGACUUCCAUCGGAAGAGUAUUGUACGUGGAGAGGCUAACAGCUGGGUCCAUGACCGCAGCAAGGAAGUGCCUCCUUAUUAUUCGGAAACUAAUGAUUCCUCCACCUGACAGCAGGGACCCACAGGACAGGCCACCGUAUUUUGUGAAAAAAAGUGUCCCCCCUGACUGCUAGGACACACCAGCUACAUCUUCGCAUGCAAGGAAGUGCCUGGCAGUCGGGACCCACCUGGUCGAAGCGUACGUAGCGUUUGUCAUUCUGGUCGCGAACGUGUACGUACAUACUAGUCGAUCGGUGUGUCUACAGGCUGCAGUGAUGAACCGUGGCCGUGUAAGGACAGGCACGUGUCGUAGUAGAGGUGCACACAUACCAUGUACAUGUACAUACAGCGGCCAGGGUGCAAGAAAGUAAAUACGGCCACAUACGUACAUACGGGCGGGGUCUCGAACGCCUACUCGCGCAUAUGUACGGCCAGGGCUCGUGUACAUGGCUGGGUCGGAAUGGAGAAACUACGUCAUCGUCGUGUUCAUGGGGAGGCAACGGAAUGCGUCAUGUUCAUCGGGAGGCAACAGAACGCGUGCUGUUCAUCGGGAGCCAACCGGCUUGGACGGAAUAGCCGAUGGAACGAGGCCUGGCGUACCACAGAACGGAGGAAACAAACCUCCUACGGUCAAAAUGGGGUCAUGUUGAUCUAGAGGGGUGUGGCGUACCGCAGAACAUAGGAAACGGAUCUGUGUUGGAGCGCUACGGUCGAAACAGGGGUCCUGUUCAUCAGGAGGGGUGUGGCAUACCGCAAAACGGGACUCCACGGGAUACUGUUCAUCUCCACCAUCGACUGGCUCCACGGGCUACUGUUCAUCCACAUCGACUGCCUCCACGGGCUCCUGUUCAUCCACCGUCGACCUCCUCCAGCCUCCACCUGCGACUGUUCAUCCACGGGCUCAUGUUAGUCUAGCGUCCACCGCUCCUCCACCAGAUACUAUUCAACCAUCCCUCUCCGCGGGAUCCUGUUCAACCACCCCUCCAUGAGCUAUUGUUCAUCCAGCCCUCCACCGGCUACUGUUCAACCAGCCCUCCAUUGGCUACUGUUCAACCAGCCCUCCACAGGGUCCUGUUCAUCCAGCCCUCCACGGGAUCCUGUUCAUCCACCGGCUCGAUCGACCGGGGUCCUGUUCAUCCAGCGGCAACGACCUCUACUACCACGGGGUCCUGUUCAUCCAACCCCCCACCGGGAACUGUUCAUCCAAACCCUCCCAACAAUGCUCACUGUUCAUCAAGGAAAGGAGGCAGCAGUGUUCGAUCGGCUUCAGUUAGCAGCACUAGCGAAGGAAUCACUCGGGUUCAGUUAACAGCAAGGGAUCGAUUGGUCGCUCUGGUUCAGUAACGCGUAGCCUGGAGUGCAAUCGCUCGGGUUCAGUUAGAGCGCAACACCUCGCACACACGCGCGUACGUAUGAGACAAACACGCAUCGCUCAGCCCCCGACCACCCACCGUAACCGGGAAGUCCCUCGAUAUUUUCCUCACCCUCGCUUCUACCAUUGUUUUCUCCGUCAUGGACGCAGCUGCAUCUCCGGCCCGCCCAAGACGAAAAGCCCAUUUUCUGUCAUGAUUUUUUUUCAUAGAAGUAGAAGCCCAUUUUCUGUCAAGAUGAUACCAGGUUUCGUCACAAUUAUCAUCAUAGAAGUGUCAUAAGCACGACAGGAAAAAAAUUCGUUCGGCCAAAAAUGUCACGGAUGGUUCUUUUUUUUGUAGUGACACUUUCCAAGGAAUUUAUUAUUUGACAACAUAAAGUAAAUUCAUUUUUCAUUUCGGGACUGGGCAUCCCUAAAACCUUUGCCUUACUCUCGUGCAAUGACAAGUGAAUAAACACUCAUCGUGAGAAUAACACAUCUAGCAUGGAAAAUAUUGGCCACCCCUCACCGCCUAGCGAGCGGUAUGAGCACACAAAAGAGAAAUUUAUUUUUGAAAAUUAGAGAUGGCACAUACAAAUUUGCUUAGAACGGCACGGAAAUACCGCAUAUAGGCAGGUAUGAUGGACUCUUGAAAAUAAGAUUUGGGUUUAAGGGUUUUUGGAUGCACAAGUAGUAUCUCUACUUGGUGCGGCAUUUUUGUCUAUCAAAUAUGGGGGGCAAGCACCACAUGUUAAAGGAUCUAUGUCAAUAUGACUUCUAUGUGAAUAUGAGCAAACAUAAAUCAUUAUGUUGUCUUCCUUGUCCAACGUCGCCAAUUUUGGCAUAUAAUAUUUUGAUGGGGGCUCACAAUCACAAAAGAUUUCCAUGAUAGUGUAUUUGCAUGUGAAAGUUCUCUUCCUUAUACUAAUUAUUCGUGAAUUGCUUGUAUGACCAAUAUUGUGAUUGUCAAGCCUCAAAAGAUUUCACUUUUUAAACCCAAUGUGAAGCUACCACUAGGCAUGAUAUGAUUUCAACUUCAUGACAUUCAAUUUAUUCAACAAUUUACUCAUAGGGUAUAAGUGAAGCACAAGAGUAAAUGACAAACUACUCCAAAAAGAUAUAAGUGAAUAUCAUGCGAGUAGUUAAGUAAAUAGAUAGCUAUGUGAGCACUCUCUCUUAUUUAAAAGUUUCAGAUCUAAAUAUUUUAUUAAAACAGCAAGAAAAAUGAAAAUAAAAUGAAAUUUCAAGGAUAGCACACAUCAUGUGAAGAAGCAAAAACUUAGGCUCAACCGAUACUAACCGAUAAUUGUUGAAGAAGAAAGGUGGGAUGCCCACUGGGGCAUCCCCAAGCUUAGAUUCUUGAGACUUAUUGGAAUAUUAACUUGGGAUGCCUUGGUAAUCCCCAAGCUUAAGCUCUUGUGUCUUCUUCAUUCCUCUCAUUUCACGGUUUUCCUAAAUCUCAAAAAUUUCAUCCACACAAACUCAACAAGAACUCGUGAGAUAAGUUAGUAUAAACCAAUGCAAAACCUUAUCAUUCUCCACUGUAGCAAAUCACAAAAAUUAUUAUUUAACAUUGCAUACUAAAUUCCUCUACAUAUUUAGUACUCCUAUCCUCAAAUAGAAUCAUUAAACAAGCAAACAUAUGCAAACAAUGCAAACCUAACAGCAAUCUGCCAAAACAGUACAGUAUGUAGAGAAUGCAAGAUUCAUCAUACUUACCUAACUCCAAAAAUUAUGAAAACUUUACCACACUGUAUAAAAUUUAUCAGAGCUUAUGACGCAAAAAAGUUUCAAAAUUUUAUCACACUCUGAUUUUUCUAGGGAAUUUUUGCAACAUCGAUAAACUUUCUGUUUUCAAACAGCAACAUGUAUACUUGCAAGAUAAGCAUGGCAAAGGCUAUCAAUGCCACUUUUAUUGAAAUAAAAGAUGCAAAAAAUUAUUCCAAAUAACAGCAAGAAAAUCCUAACAAAAUAAAUUGACGCUCCAAGCAAAACACAUGUCAUGUGACGAAUGAAAACAUAGUUCCAAGUGAGGUUACCGAUAAUGUUGGAGACGAAAGAGGGGAUGCCUUCCGGGGCAUCCCCAAGCUUAGUUUCUGGAAUCAUCCUUGAAUAUUACCUUGGGGUGCCUUGGGCAUCCCCAAUCUUAGGGUCUUGUCACUCCUUAUUCUCCUCAUAUCGAUAUCUCACCCAAAACUUGAAAACUUCAAUCACACAAAACUUAACGGAACUUCGGGAGAUAGGUUAGUAUGAUAAAGGGCAAACUAUUUCACUUUGGUACUGUCAAAGACAAGAUUCAUAAUUGUUUCCACACAAUUCCUACUGUAGCAUAUCAUUUCCACAAUUUAUAUUGAGCAAUAUAAGCUACAGAAACUAGAAAGCAAGCAAACUAUGCAUUGAAAACAGAAUCUGUCAAAAACAGAACUGUCUGUAAUGAUCUGGAUAACUACCAUACUUUUGCUACUCCAAAAAUUAUUAAAAAAUUAGUACCACGUGAGAAGUUUGUAUAUUAAACUUCUGAAAAAAGAAUAAACUCAAAAGCACUCUUCUGUGAAAAAUGAGACUUAUUUUCGUGAGCGCAAAAGUUUCUGUUUUUCAGCAGGGUCAAAUCAACUAUCACCCAACAUGAUCCCAAAGGCUUCACUUGGCACUUUAUUGAAACAAAGCACUAAAACAUGAUUACUACAGUAGCAUAAUCAUGUGAACACACAAAAACAGUAGGUAAAAGUGUUGGGUUGUCUCCCAACAAGCUCUUUUCUUUAACGCCUUUUAGCUAGGCAUGAUGAUUUCAAACAUGCUCGCAUGAAAGAUAAGAAUUGAAAUGUAAAGAGAGCAUCAUGAAUCACAUGGCAAGCACAUUUAAGUAUAACCCACUUCCUAUGCAUAGGGAUUUUGUGAGCAAACAACUUAUGGGAACAAGACUCAACUAGCAUAGGAACACAAAACAAGCAAAACUUCAAGAUUUUCAACACAUAGAGAGGAAACUUGAUAUUAUUGCAAUAUGUAAAAGCAUAUGUUCCUCUCUCAUAAUAAUUUUCAGUAGCAUCAUGAGCGAAUUCAACAAUAUAGCUAUUACAUAAAGCAUUCUAUUCAUGAUCCAUAAGCAUAGAAAAUUUAUUACUCUCCACAUAAGCAAUUUUAUUCUCCUCAAUAAUUAUGGGAGCAAACUCAACAAAAUAACUCUCAUGUGAUUGGAAAUUAAAAUCAUGAUGAAAUGUUCCAUGUUUAUAAUUAUUCAAUACAGCGCACAUGUCAUCACCAUAAUCAUCAGAUAUAGGAACUUUGUUGUCAUAAUCAAUUGCAACCUCCUCCAAAAUAGGGGAUUCAUCAUUAAAUAAAGUCAUGACCUCUCCAAAUCCACUUUCAUCAAUAUAAUCAUCAUAAAUAGGAGACAUGCAAUCAUCAUAAUAAAUUUUCUCAUUAAAACUUGGGGGACUAAAAAUAUCAUCUUCAUCAAACAUAUCAUCCCCAAGCUUAUGGCUUUGCAUAUCAUUAACAUCAUGGAUAUUCAAAGAGUUCAUACCAACAACAUUGCAAUCAUGUUCAUCAUUCAAAUAUUUUGUGCCAAACAUUUUAUUGACUUCUUCUUCUAACAAUUGAGCACAAUUUUCCGAUCCAUCAUUUUCAAGAAAGAUAUUAUAAAGAUGAUCAAUAAUAUGAUGCAACCUAAAUUUCAGUUUUUCUAAAGUUUUCUUUUAUAAAACAAACUAGUGAUAAAACAAGAAACUAAAAGAUUCAAUUGCAUGAUCUAAACAAGAAACUACGCAACUUUAUUCUUGUAGACUCGUGUUGGGCCUCCAAGCGCAGAGUUUUGUAGGACAGUAGAAAUUUUCCCUCAAGUGGAUGACCUAAGGUUUAUCAAUCCGUGGGACAUGUAGGAUGAAGAUGGUGUCUCUCAAACGACCCUGCAACCAAAUACAAGAAAUCUCUUGUGUCCCCAACACACCCAAUACAAUGGGAAAUUGUAUAGGUGCACUAGUUCGGCGAAGAGAUGGUGAUAAAAGUGUAAUAUUGAUGGUAGAAAUAUAUUUUUAUAAUCUGAAUAAAUAAAAACAGCAAGGUAGCAAUUAGUAAACGGGCACAAAAACGGUAUUGCAAUGCUUGAAAAUGAGGCCUAGGGUCCAUACUUUCACUAGUGCAACCUUUCAACAAUGCUAACAUAGUUGGAUCAUAUGAUUAUCCCUCAAGGUGCAACAAAGAAGCACUCCCGAGUUCCUAUUAGCGGAGAACAAAAGAUAGAAAUUGUUUGUAGGGUACGAGACCACCUCAAAGCUAUUCUUUCCGCUCGAUCUAUUCAAGAGUUCUUACUAAAAUAAUGCAAAGCUAUUUUUUCUGUUCGAUCUAUCCUAGAGUUCGUACUAGAAUAACACCACAACAUAUUCAUAUUCAUAAUACUCAAUCCACACAAAGAACUACAAGGAGAGCCCAAAGUUUCUAUCAGAGAAAAGAUAAUAAAAACGUGCAUCAACUCCUAUGCAUAGAUUACCCCAAUAUCAUGCGGGAAUCUGCGAGUUGAAUGCCAUAACAUAUAUCAAGUGAAUCAAUAUGAUACCCCAAUUUUAACCUCAAGUAUUCAUAUUGCAAGACAUAUAUCAUGUGUUCUCAUCUCUGAAUAUUCCAUCAGACGAGACAAAGCUUCAAAGGGUAAAGAAUCAAUUCAUCACAGCAAGAGUAUAGAGGGGAGAAACAUCAUAUGAUCCGACUAUAUUAACAAACCCAAGAUAUAGAUCACGAGAGAGAGAGACUGAACACAUAGCUACUGGUACAAAUCCUCAACCUCGAGGGUGGACUACUCCCUCUUCAUCGUGGUGGCAGCCGGGAUGAUGAAGAUGGCCAUCGGAGAUGAUUCCCCCCUCCGGCAGGGUGCCGUAACAGGGUCUAGAUUGGUUUUCAUGGAUGCAGAGACCUUGCAGCGGCGGAAAUUCUGAUAUAGGGUAACCUCGAUGGGUUUUGGAAUAUUUGGGAAUUUAUAGUGCGAAGAGGGGGUGCGGGAGGCCACCGAGGUGGGCACAACCCACCUGGGCGCGCUAGGGGGGCCUGGCGCGCCCUGGUGGGUUAUGCCCCCCUUGGGGCACCCCCCAGGUGCAGCUCUGGCCCAUUGGGUUCCUUUUCGUCCAUAAAAAAUCUCCGUGGAGUUUCAUUGCAUUUGGACUCCAUUUGGUAUUGAUUUCCAGCUAUGUAAAAAAAUCAGCAAAAAAAACAGCAACUCGCACUUGGCACUGGGUCAAUAGGUUAGUCCCAAAAAAUUAUAUAAAGUUGCUACAAAAUGAUUGUAAAACACCCAAGAAUGGUGAAAUAAUAGCAUGAAUACUUCAUAAAUUAUAGAUACGUUGGAGACGUAUCACUCGGCAAUAUCCUUCUUCAUCCCCGUCCACCAGAAACGUUCCUUCAAAUCCAAAUACAUCUUUGUGUUGCCUGGGUGAAUCGAGUAUGGCGAAUCAUGAGCCUUUGAAGAAUUAACUUCCUGAUCUCUGGAUCAUUGGGAACAUAAAUACAAUCCUAAAACCAUAUUGUUUUGUGUUCAUCCUCACGAAAACUUUGGCCUUUCCUUUACUCGUCUUCUCAUUUAUCCCCGUAAUCUCCUUAUCUGUCUUCUGGGCUUCACGAAUCUUUCCCAACAACAUGGACUGAACUUCCAACGCUGCAACAAAACCUCUAAGAACUAUCUCCAUUCUAAGUUCCCUGAGAUCGUCGGCUAACUCCUGGGGUAAUCCUCCGGUUAUGAGAGUAUUGACAUAACUCUUGCGGCUCAAAGCGUCUGCUACAACAUUGGUCUUGCCUGGAUGAUAAUGUAGUUUCAUGUCAUAAUCCUUUAUGAGCUCCAACCAUCUCCUCUGCCUGAGAUCAACUCCUUCUGCGUGAAAAUGUACUUCAAACUCUUAUGAUCCGUGUAAACAUCACAACGAUUUCCGAUAAGAAAAUGCUUCCAGGUCUUGAGCGCAUGCACUACGGCUGCUAACUCCAAAUCAUGCAUGGCAUAAUUUAACUCAUGAGGCCGAAGCUGUCGUGAGGCAUAUGAAACAACUCUUCCUUCUUGCAUAUGAAUGCCUCCAAGUCUCUGUCGUGAAGCGUCGCAAUAUACUUGGAAAUCCUUGCGUAUAUCCAGAAGAAUUAACACUGGGGCUGUAACUAAACAUUUCUUCAACUCCUGAAAACUGGCCUCACACUCCUCGGUCCAUUAGAACUUAGUGUCCUUCUUCAAUAAUUCCGUCAUGGGCUUUGCAAUCAUGGAAAAAUUCUCAAUGAAUCUCUGAUAAUAUCCUGCGAGUCCAAGGAAAAAUGCGUAUCUCUCCUACUGAGGUGGGUGCCAACCACUCGGUGACAGAUUGUACCUUUGAAGGGUCUACUGCUAUUCCUUCUCCAGAUAUAACAUGUCCGAGAAAUCCAACCAAAACUCCUUAAUCUGCUUCUUAAUUUCCUCCAUAUGAUUUGCGGGCAUCCGGUACGGUCUCUUAGAUAUUGGUCCGGUGCCUGGCAACAACUCGAUCAAAAACUCUCUGUCUUGAUCUGGUGGCAUGCCUGGUAAUUCCUCCGGGAAUACAUCCGGAUAAUCCUUCACAACUGGCACUUCCUCAUGAACAACUCCUAAGAGUGAAUUUACUUGGGUCCUCCUUGCCGCAUGCCUAGACACAUACUUGAUCCGUUUCCCCUCUGGGGUGGUGAGAUGAAUUGACUUACUAGCACAAUUGAUGUUUCCUCCAUACUUCGAUAGCCAAUCCAUGCCUAGUAUUAUAUCCAAUCCUUGUGAUUCCAAAACAAUGAGGUUGGAGGGGAAAACAUGUUUACCUAUGGUCAAUGGCAACUGGCAACACCAUCGUCUAGCCAUAUAUUCCGCUCCUGGUGAGCUCACUAACAUAGGUGACCUAAGGGCAAUGGUUUCCAACUCAAUUUAUCCACAAAUCCCCUUGAUAUGUAUGAAUGCGAUGCACCAGUGUCAAAAAGAAGAAGGGUUGUAAAUGACUUAAUCAAAAACAUACCAAUAACUACAACAGGCUGCUCUUCAACUUCCUCCAUGUUGAUGUGGUUCACCUGACCUCUGGUGAAGGGAUUUGGCUUCUUUCCUGAACUCCCAUUGCCAUUACCAUUCAUUGCUUCAGGACACUCGGUGGCGUAGUGUCCAGUCUUGCCGCACUUGAAACAAGUAAUGUGACUCAGAUCCUUCUUGGCGGGUGUCGCGGGGUUGGAACGAUUCUGACUGCUGGUUCCUCCAUUCCCAUUUCCAUUCUUAGGGCCACUGUGGUUAUGUCCACUUCCUCCAGAAUGAGAAUGCCCUCCAUGGUUAUGUCCUCCAUGGUUAUGAGUGUGUCCUCCUGAGUAUGAGGAAUAACGAGGCUUUUGCUGAGCUCCAGAGUUGUACUUCCCCUGUCCAUACUUCUGCUUGCGGCUCUCUAUCUAGUGCUGCUUGCCUUCAAUCAUGAGGGCACUGUCUACCAGCUCCUGGUAGUUGGUGAAAGUUUCCACCAUCCACUGCAUACUUAGCUCAUCAUUCAGUCCCUCAAGAAACUUCUCCUACUUCGUGCAUCGGUGGCCACAUCAUCUGGGGCGUAGCGUGCUAACUUGCUGAAUUCAUCCACGUACUGUGCCACAGUACGAUUCCCCUAGCAUAAGUUGCGGAACUCACGCUUCUUCAUACUCAUGGCUCCAGCUGAGACAUGUGCGGUGCGGAAAGCCUGCUGAAACUGAUCCCAAGUAACAUUGGCCAUGGGGAAAGUGGCAGUAGUUCUCCCACCAUGAGGUUGUGGGUCCAUCCAGUUGUUGUGCGGCAAAGUGCACCUUCUCAGCAUCAGUGCAACCUACAGUGGUCAGCUCCCUUCCAAUCUUGCGGAGCCAGUCAUCAGCGACAAUCGGCUCGGUGCUGCUAGAGAACUCCGGCGGAUUCAACCUUAGGAAACAGGCUAAAUUGUCAACUGGGGUGGUGUUGGAGGGUUGUAGUUGUUGUUGUUGCCUUAGUUCUGAAUGAGCAACUGCAUCAAGGCAUUCUGCUGUUGGAUCAACUGGGUGAGCUUAGGUGGGAAGGUGAAUCAGGUAUCACGUCUCAGAGGAAUCUGAUAGGUUAGAGGGAUGAGAACAGAAUAGAAUAGGCCUAAUGAGAGAUUUCACUACCCAUAUGCACAUGAGACAAACAUAUUCAUUCCACACCACUCAGUAUCAAACAAGAUUCAUACAAUCGAUCUAAGCUACUAUUACAGAUCUCGCAAACCAUUACUAUAUACAAGGAAGAACUCUAAUUGUAAUAUGGUGGUCAACUAGAAAUUUUGAUCGGUGGAAGACUCCAUAAUAUCCGCUCCAGCUUCGUCUUCAAAGUCAUCAAUGUCCUCAUCAUCGCUGUCGGGGUCUGUGUCCGUGUCGUCUAGUAUGAUGUAGUCUUCAGAACGCAUGUCCACUUCAGGUUUGGGAUCCCCCAUGAAUAUUCCUAGCUUCCUCUUCAGGUCUUCAUUCUGCUCCAGUAGCACAAUAAUUUCCUCUUCAUAUCCAUCGCGUGUUGCCUUGAGUUCCUCUUCUAGCUCCAUGUUCCGGGUCAUCACCUUCUUCAUAUCUAUCAUGUUAGCACACAUCUGGUUCUCAUAUCGAUGAAUGUGCUGGUUCAUCUCCUGUAUGUAGGCUGCAAUAGAUCCAUCCUUCCUGGUGUGAAUCAUCUCCCAUUGCUUAUCUCGGCGUCCACAUAUCUGGUAGAUGGUGUCUUUCAGAUCCUUGUUGUACACCACGCCUAUGCGUCCAAUGGUGAUGUGGGCGGCCAUGCUCUUUCCUAAACUCCAGGUUGGUGCAUCAAAGGAAAACUCGAUGGGCUCGGUAAUUGGUGCAAAAGUCCUUCUAGGAACACGAACUUGAAUCGUCCAGCGCUCCUCUUCUAGCAAGAUUGCAGUGAAUGUCCCGGUGAAUCUUGGUAUGUCGAUGUUCAGGUACCUAGUGACCUCCUUCAAGUGUCGUCCGAAAGGGGUGUAGUCAUCCGGCUAAGUGAACUUGUUGCUGGGUUCAACAUCUAUAGAGUAGAAAUCGGGAAGAGUUAGAAAUGAGUAGAGAAGAGUAUCAUGUUGCUUUUCCUAGUGGUCGCGUCCUAUAGUUAGCAUGUGCUCUGAUACCAUCUUGUAGCGACCCGAUCCCAAUGGAUCGGAGUCUCUGUGCUUAAGUGUCAUCCCUGGAUCAGUAUUGCUGACACACACAGUACUCGAGGAAUUAUAACAGAGUUCAAUCACACACUUAUUACAUCUAGUGUCUCAUAAGCAGAAGUUAUUACAAUAAUAUGGUUGAAGGCCAUCUAAAUUAAGAUAACUGUGGAAGCGUCGAAGAUAAAUGAGUCCAUCCAACUCCACGGAAAACUAAGUGUACAACAAUGACCUAGCGCACCUUACUCUUUGUCUGAAAAUUCUGCAACAUGAUACGUUGCAGCCGUGUAGGUCAGUGAAGGAAAUAUGCCCUAGAGGCAAUAAUAAAGUAUUAUUUAUUUCCUUAUGUCAUGAUAAAUGUUUAUUAUUCAUGCUAGAAUUGUAUUAACCGGAAACAUAAGACAUGUGUGAAUACAUAGACAAACAGAGUGUCACUAGUAUGCCUCUACUUGACUAGCUCGAUAAUCAAAGAUGGUUUUGUUUCCUAGCCAUAGACAUGAGUUGUCAUUUGAUUAACGGGAUCACCUCAUUAGGAGAAUGACGUGAUUGACUUGAACCAUUCCGUUAGCUUAGCACUCGAUCGUUUAGUAUGUUGCUAUUGCUUUGUUCAUGACUUAUACAUGUUCCUAUGACUAUGAGAUUAUGCAACUCCCGUUUACCGGAGGAACACUUUGUGUGCUACCAAACGUCACAACGUAACUGGGUGAUUAUAAAGGUGCUCUACAGGUGUCUCCAAAGGUACUUGUUGGGUUGGCGUAUUUCGAGAUUAGGAUUUGUCACUCCGAUUGUCGGAGAGGUAUCUCUGGGCCCACUCGGUAAUGCACAUCACUAUAAGCCUUGCAAGCAUUGUGAUUAAUGAGAUAGUUGCGGGAUGAUGUAUUACAGAACGAGUAAAGAGACUUGCCGGUAACGAGAUUGAACUAGGUAUCGAGAUACCGACGAUCGAAUCUCGGGCAAGUAACAUACUGAUGACAAAGGGAACAACGUAUGUUGUUAUGCGGUCUGACCGAUAAAGAUCUUCAUAGAAUAUGUAGGAACCAAUAUGAGCAUCCAGGUUCCGCUACUGGUUAUUGACCGGAGAGGUGUCUCGGUCAUGUCUACAUAGUUCUCGAACCCGUAGGGUCCGCACGCUUAACGUUACGAUGACAGUUAUAUUAUGAGUUUAUAUGUUUUGAUGUACCGAAGGUUGUUCGGAGUCCCGGAUGUGAUCACGGACAUGACGAGGAAUUUCAAAAUGGUCGAGACAUAAAGAUUGAUAUAUUGGACGACUAUAUUCGGACACCAGAAGUGUUCCGGAGAAGUUUCGGAUAAAACCGAAGUGCCGGAGGGGUUACCGGAACCCCCCGGGGAAGUAUUGGGCCUUAGUGGGCCUGAGGGGAGAGAGAGGGCAGCAGCCAGGAGGUGGCGCGCCCCCUCCCAUGAGGAGUCCGAAUUGGACUAGGGGAGGGGGGCGCGGCCCCUCUUUCCCUCUCCCUCUCCCUCUCUUUCCUUCCCCCUCUCUCUUCCUAGUUGGACUAGGAAAGGGGAGUCCUACUCCUACUAGGAGGAGGACUCCCCCCCUCUCCUUGGCGCGCCCCAAGGGCAGCCGGCCUCCCCCUUGCUCCUUUAUAUACGGGUGCAGGGGGCACCUCUAGACACACAAUUGAUAUACGAUAUUUUAGCCGUGUGCGGUGCCCCCGUCCACCAUAUUACACCUCGAUAAUAUCGUUGCGGAGCUUAGGCGAAGCCCUGCGUCGGUAGAACAUCAUCAUCGUCACCAUGCCGUCAUGCUGACGAAACUCUCCCUCAACACUCGGCUGGAUCGGAGUUCGACGGACGUCAUCGAGCUGAACGUGUGCUGAACUUGGAGGUGCCGUGUGUUCGGUACUUGAUCGGUCGGAUCGUGAAGACGUACGACUAGAUCAACCGCGUUGUGAUAACGCUUCCGCUUUCGGUCUACGAGGGUACGUGGACAACACUCUUCCCUCUCGUUGCUAUGCAUCACCAUGAUCUUGCGUGUGCGUAGGAAAUUUUUUGAAAUUACUACGUUCCCCAACAGUGGCAUCCGAGCCUGGUUUUAUGCGUUGAUGCUAUGCACGAGUAGAACACAAGUGAGUUGUGGGCGAUAUAAGUCAUACUGCUUACCAGCAUGUCAUACUUUGGUUCGGCGGUAUUGUGAGAUGAAGCGGCCCGGACCGACAUUACGCGUACGCUUACGCGAGACUGGUUUCACCGUUGCGAACACCCGUUGCUUAAAGGUGACUGGCGGGUGUCUGUCUCUCUCACUUUAGUUGAACCGAGUGUGGCUACGCCCGGUCCUUGCGAAGGUUAAAACAGCACCAACUUGACAAACUAUCGUUGUGGUUUUGUUGCGUAGGUAAGAACGGUUCUUGCUAAGCCCGUAGCAGCCACGUAAAACUUGCAACAACAAAGUAGAGGACGUCUAACUUGUUUUUGCAGGGCAUGUUGUGAUGUGAUAUGGUCAAGACAUGAUGCUAUAUUUUAUUGUAUGAAAUGAUCAUGUUUUGUAACCGAGUUAUCGGCAACUGGCAGGAGCCAUAUGGUUGUCGCUUUAUUGUAUGCAAUGCAAUCGCCAUGUAAUUGUUUUACUUUAUCACUAAGCGGUAGCGAUAGUCGUAAAAGCAAUAAGUUGGCGAGACGACAACGAUACUACGAUGGAGAUCAAGGUGUCGAGCCGGUGACGAUGGUGAUCAUGACGGUGCUUCGGAGAUGGAGAUCACAAGCACAAGAUGAUGAUGGCCAUAUCAUAUCACUUAUAUUGAUUGCAUGUGAUGUUAAUCUUUUAUGCAUCUUAUCUUGCUUUGAUUGACGGUAGCAUUAUAAGAUGAUCUCUCACUAAAAUUUCAAGAUAAAAGUGUUCUCCCUGAGUAUGCACCGUUGCGAAUGUUCUUCGUGCUAAGACACCACGUGAUGAUCGUGUGUGAUAGGCUCUACGUUCAAAUACAACGGGUGCAAAACAGUUGCACACGCGGAAUACUUAGGUUAAACUUGACGAGCCUAGCAUAUGCAGAUAUGGCCUCGGAACACGGAGACCGAAAGGUCGAGCGUGAAUCAUAUAGUAGAUAUGAUCAACAUAGUGAUGUUCACCAUUGAAAGUACUCCAUCUCACGUGAUGAUCGGACAUGGUUUAGUUGAUAUGGAUCACGUGAUCACUUAGAGGAUUAGAGGGAUGUCUAUCUAAGUGGGAUUUCUUAAGUAAUAUGAUUAAUUGAACUUAAAUUUAUCAUGAACUUAGUCCUGAUAGUAUUUUGCAAAUUAUGUUGUAGAUCAAUAGCUCGCGUUGUUGCUUCCCUGUGUUUAUUUUUGAUAUGUUCCUAGAGAAAAAUUAUGUUGAAAGAUGUUAGUAGCAAAGAUGCGGAUUGGAUCCGUGAUCUGAGGAUUAUCCUCAUUGCUGCACAGAAAAAUUAUGUCCUUGAUGCACCGCUAGGUGACAGACCUAUUACAGGAGCAGAUGCAGACGUUAUGAACGUUUGGCUAGCUCAAUAUGAUGACUACUUGAUAGUUUAGUGCGCCAUGCUUAACGGCUUAGAAUCGGGACUUCAAAGACGUUUUGAACGUCAUGGACCAUAUGAGAUGUUCCAGGAGUUGAAGUUAAUAUUUCAAGCAAAUACCCGAGUUGAGAGAUAUGAAGUCUCCAACAAGUUCUAUAGCUAAAAGAUGGAGGAGAAUAGCUCAAGCAGUGAGCAUGUGCUCAGAUUGUCUGGGUACUACAAUCGCUUGAAUCAAGUGGGAGUUAAUCUUCCAGAUAAAAUAGUGAUUGACAGAAUUCUCUAGUCACCAUCACCAAGUUAGUAGAACUUCGUGAUGAACUAUAGUAUGUAAGGAAUGACGAAAGUAAUUCCCGAGCUCUUCGCGAUGCUGAAAUCAACAAAGGUAGAAAUCAAGAAAGAGCAUCAAGUGUUGAUGGUUAACAAGACCACUAGUUUCAAUAAAAGGGCAAAGGGAUAGAAGGGGAACUUCAAAAAGAACGGCAAGCAAGUUGCUACUCAAGUGAAGAAGCCCAAGUCUGUACCUAAGCCUGAGACUAAGUGCUUCUACUGCAAAGGGACUGGUCACUGGAAGCGGAACUGCCCCAAGUAUUUGGUGGAUAAGAAGGAUGGCAAAGUGAACAAAGGUAUAUUGGCAACCCCUCAGUAUUUGAUACUGGUUCAGUUGCUAAAGAGUAGUAACUCGAAACGGGAGUUGCAGAAUAAACAGAGACUAGUAAAAAGGCGAGGUGACGAUGUGUGUUGGAAGUAGUUCCAAGAUUGAUAUGAUCAUCAUCGCACACUCCCUGUACUUUCGGGAUUAGUGUUGAAACUAAAUAAGUGUUAUUUGGUGUUUGCGUUGAGCAUGAAUAUGAUUUGAUCAUGUUUAUUGCAAUACGGUUAUUCAUUUAAGUUAGAGAACAAUUGUUGUUCUGUUUACAUGAAUAAAAACCUUCUAUUGUCAUACACACCAACGAAAAUGGUUUGUUGGAUCUCGAUCGUAGUGAUACACAUAUUCAUAAUAUUGAAGCCAAAAGAUGCAAAGUUAAUAAUGAUAGUGCAACUUAUUUGUGGCACUGCCGUUUAGGUCAUAUUGGUGUAAAGCGCAUGAAGAAACUCCAUGCUAAUGGGCUUUUGGAAUCACUUGAUUAUGAAUCACUUGAUACUUGCGAACCAUGCCUUGUGGGCAAGAUGACUAAGACGCCGUUCUCCGGAACUAUGGAGAGAGCAACAGAUUUGUUGGAAAUCAUACAUACAGAUGUAUGUGGUCCGAUGAAUAUUGAGGCUCGUAGCAGGUAUCAUUAUUUUCUGACCUUCACAGAUGAUUUGAGCAGAUAUGGGUAUAUCUACUUAAUGAAACAGAAGUCUGAAACAUUUGAAAAGUUCAUAUAAUUUUCAGAGUGAAGCGGAAAAUCAUCGUAACAAGAAAAUAAAGUUUCUACGAUCUGAUUGUGGAGAAGAGUAUUUAAGUUACGAGUUUGGCCUUCAGUUAAAACAAUGUGAAAUAGUUUCACUACUCACGCCACUUGGAACACCACGGUGUUAUGGUGUGUCCGAACAUCAUAACCGUACUUUAUUAGAUAUGGUGCGAUAUAUGAUGUCUCUUACCGAUCUACCACUAUCGUUUUGGGGUUAUGCAUUAGAGACAACUGCAUUCACGUUAAAUAGGGUACCAUCUAAAUCCGUUGAGACGACAUCUUAUGAACUGUGGUUUGGCAAGAAACCAAAGUUGUCGUUUCUUAAAGUUUGGGGUUGCGAUGCUUAUGUGAAAAGGUUUCAUCCUGAUAAGCUCAAACCCAAAUCGGAGAAAUGUGUCUUCAUAGGAUACCCAAAGGAGACAGUUGGGUACACCUUCUAUCACAGAUCCGAAGGCAAGACAUUCGUUGCUAAGAAUGGAUCCUUUCUAGAGAAGGAGUUUCUCUCGAAAGAAGUGAGUGGGAGGAAAGUAGAACUUGAUGAGGUAACUUUACCUGCUCCCUUAUUGGAAAGUAGUUCAUCACAGAAAUCUGUUCCUGUCACUCCUACACCAAUUAGUGAGGAAGUUAAUGAUGAUGAUCAUGUAACUUUAGAUCAAGUUACUACCAAACCUCGUAGGUAAACCAGAGUGAGAUCCACACCAGAGUGGUACGGUAAUCCUGUUUUGGAGGUCAUGUUAUUUGACCAUGACGAACCUACGAACUAUGAGGAAGCGAUGAUGAGCCCAGAUUCCGCGAAAUGGCUUGAGGCCAUGAAAUCUGAGAUAAGAUCCAUAUAUGAGAACAAAGUUUGGACUUUGAUUGACUUGCCCAAUGAUCGGCGAGCCAUUGAGAUUAAAUGGAUCUUCAAGAGGAAGACAGACAGUGAUAGUAGUGUUACUGUCUAGAAUGUCGCAAAAAGGUUUUCGACAAGUUCAAGGUGUUGACUACGAUGAGAGUUUCUCACUCGUAUCUAUGCUUAAGUCUGUCUGAAUCAUGUUAGCAAUUGCCGCAUUUUAUGAAAUAUGGCAAAUGGAUAAACAAAACUGCAUUCCUUAAUGGAUUUAUUAAAGAAGAGUUGUAUAUGAUGCAACCAGGAGAUUUUGUCAAUCCUAAAAGUGCUAACAAAAUAUGCAAGCUCCAGCGAUCCAUCUAUGGACUGGUGCAAGCAUCUCGGAGUUGGAAUAUGAUAAGUUGAUCAAAGGAUAUAGUUUUAUACAGACUUGCGGUGAAGCCUGUAUUUACAAGAAAGUGAGUGGGAGCACUACAACAUUUCUGAUAAGUAUAUGUGAAUGACAUAUUGUUGAUCGGAAAUAAUGUAGAAUUAUUCUGCAAAGCAUAAAGGAGUGUUUGAAAGGAGUUUUUCAAAGAAAGACCUCGGUGAAGCUGCUUACAUAUUGAGCAUCAAGAUCUAUAAAGAUAGAUCAAGACGCUUGAUAUGUUUUUUCAAUGAGUACAUCCUUAAGAAGAUUUUGAAGUAGUUCAAAAUAGAAUAGUCAAAGAAAGAGUUCUUGCCUGUGUUACAAGGUGUGAAAUUGAGUAAGACUCAAAGCCCGACCACGGCAGAAGAUAGAAAGAGAAUGAAAGUCAUUCCUAUGCCUUGGCCAUAGGUUCUAUAAAGUAUGCCAUGCUGUGUACCAGAUCUAUUGUAUACCCUACAAUGAUUUUGGCAAGGGAAUACAAUAGUGAUCUAGGAGUAGAUCACUGAACAGCGGUCAAAAUUAUCCUUAGUGGAAUAAGGAUAUGUUUCUCGAUUAUGGAAGUGACAAAAGGUUCGUCGUAAAGGGUUACGUCGAUGCAAGUUUUGACACUAAUCUAGAUGACUCUAAGUCUCGGUCUAGAUACAUAUUGAAAGUGGGAGCAAUUAGCUAGAGUAGCUCCAUGCAGAGCAUUGUAGACAUAGAAAUUUGCAAAAUACUUACGGAUCUGAAUGUGACAGACCCGUUGACUAAAAUUAUCUCACAAGCAAAACAUAAUCACACCUUAGUACUCUUUGGGUGUUAAUAACAUAGCGAUGUGAACUAGAUUAUUGACUCUAGUAAACCCUUUGGGUGUUGGUCACAUGACGAUGUGAACUAUGGGUGUUAAUCACAUGGUGAUGUGAACUAUUGGUGUUAAAUCACAUGGCGAUGUGAACUAGAUUAUUGACUCUAGUGCAAGUGGGAGACUGAAGGAAAUAUGCCCUAGAGGCAAUAAUAAAGUAUUAUUUAUUUCCUUAUGUCAUGAUAAAUGUUUAUUAUUCAUGCUAGAAUUGUAUUAACCGGAAACAUAAUACAUGUGUGAAUACAUAGACAAACAGAGUGUCACUAGUAUGCCUCUACUUGACUAGCUCGAUAAUCAAAGAUGGUUAUGUUUCCUAGCCAUAGACAUGAGUUGUCAUUUGAUUAACGGGAUCACCUCAUUAGGAGAAUGACGUGAUUGACUUGACCCAUUCCGUUAGCUUAGCACUCGAUCGUUUAGUAUGUUGCUAUUGCUUUCUUCAUGACUUAUACAUGUUCCUAUGACUAUGAGAUUAUGCAACUCCCGUUUACCGGAGGAACACUUUGUGUGCUACCAAACGUCACAACGUAACUGGGUGAUUAUAAAGGUGCUCUACAGGUGUCUCCAAAGGUACUUGUUGGGUUGGCGUAUUUCGAGAUUAGGAUUUGUCACUCCGAUUGUCGGAGAGGUAUCUCUGGGCCCACUCGGUAAUGCACAUCACUAUAAGCCUUGCAAACAUUGUGACUAAUGAGUUAGUUGCGGGAUGAUGUAUUACGAAACGAGUAAAGAGACUUGCCGGUAACGAGAUUGAACUAGGUAUCGAGAUACCGACGAUCGAAUCUCGGGCAAGUAACAUACCGAUGACAAAGUGAACAACGUAUGUUGUUAUGCGGUCUGACCGAUAAAGAUCUUCGUAGAAUAUGUAGGAACCAAUAUGAGCAUCCAGGUUCCGCUUUUGGUUAUUGACCGGAGAGGUGUCUCGGUCAUGUCUACAUAGUUCUCGAACCCGUAGGGUCCGCACGCUUAACGUUACGAUGACAGUUAUAUUAUGAGUUUAUAUGUUUUGAUGUACCGAAGGUUGUUCGGAGUCCCGGAUGUGAUCACGGACAUGACGAGGAAUCUUGAAAUGGUCGAGACAUAAAGAUUGAUAUAUUGGACGACCAUAUUCGGACACCGGAAGUGUUCCGGAGAAGUUUCGGAUAAAACCGGAGUGCCGGUAGGGUUACCGGAACCCCCGGAGGAAGUAUUGGGCCUUAGUGGGCCUGAGGGGAGAGAGAGGGCAGCAGCCAGGAGGUGGCGCGCCCCCUCCCAUGAGGAGUCCGAAUUGGACUAGGGGAGGGGGGCGCGGCCCCUCUUUCCCUCUCCCUCUCCCUCUCUUUCCUUCCCCCUCUCUCUUCCUAGUUGGACUAGGAAAGGGGAGUCCUACUCCUACUAGGAGGAGGACUCCCCCCUCUCCUUGGCGCGCCCCAAGGGCAGCCGGCCUCCCCCCUUGCUCCUUUAUAUAUGGGGGCAGGGGGGCACCUCUAGACACACAAUUGAUAUACGAUAUUUUAGCCGUGUGCGGUGCCCCCCUCCACCAUAUUACACCUCGAUAAUAUCGUUGCGGAGCUUAGGCGAAGCCCUGCAUCGGUAGAACAUCAUCAUCGUCACCACACCGUCAUGCUGACGAAACUCUCCCUCAACACUCAGCUGGAUCGGAGUUCGAGGGACGUCAUCGAGCUGAACGUGUGCUGAACUCGGAGGUGCCGUGCGUUCGGUACUUGAUCGGUCGGAUCGUGAAGACGUACGACUACAUCAACCGUGUUGUGAUAACGCUUCCGCUUUCGGUCUACGAGGGUACGUGGACAACACUCUUCCCUCUCAUUUCUAUGCAUCACCAUGAUCUUGCAUGUGCGUAGGAAAUUUUUUGAAAUUACUACGUUCCCCAACAGUCAGCACAUGGAAUAUGCUGGCAAGAUAACACUAUAGAGAAAUGAACAAAUACCAGCUAUCACUACAUGCAGUAUAUGGCUGGUGGAGGCUCUAAGUUUAUCAUUUGCAUAAAGCCAAUUUUUUCCUACAACAAAAGGAAUAGAUUUUAUUUAUCUACUAAUUUUAUGUCAUUAAUGAGAAGGUUCCUCCAACUCAAUCCCAAAACAAUAUCAAUAACCCAACAAUUUUAUUAAGUAAGUAAUGAGAUCAAACAAUAUUUCAAGUACCAGAUACUCAAGAUGUCCAUAACCGGGGACACGACUAAUCAUGAUUAGUUUGUACACUCUGCGGAGGUUUGCGCACUUUUCCCCAUAAGACUCAAUCUCCUCCGUUGAAUUUCUCAAACUACAUGAUGUUUGAGAAACGGAUGACCCAGACACGGUCUUUCCGAAGCAUUAACUCUUUACUCUGGGUAGACAACACCACCUACUUUCCCCUACAUCUGCUAGCCUACCACUGAAAGAGGUCACACACCAUACUCAACUAUGCCAGAGCCCAUAAUGGCUUGUGGCUGCACACAUAAGUUUCUUGCAUGAAUAAUCUUAUGAUCCCUUUGAGCCUGGGUGGCAUUCCAUAGGAUGAUCACACGGGUACUCCGGGAUAUCCUAGGACAACACUGGAUUCUCCAGGUGCCCACAACCAAUCUACCAAGAUGUGUAUUAGAGUAGCCACCUUAUGUUUCCCUUAGUUAUUAUCUCUCACAACUUGCAUGAUUCUCUCAUACCAAUCCACGUCUACGAGCAUGGCUAACCAAUAAGUAACAAAGCGUACAUUCCUGGGGUGAUCAAAGGUAAUAGGUUCCUACCUCAUAGACUACAGGAAUACCACAUGUUACCAAUCCUACUCAUGCAAUGUUUGAAGGUUGAAACUAAUGCAUAAAAACUGGGUAAUAAAGGGAUAUGAUCAAAGUGUAACUUGCCUUGCUGACGAUCGCAACACCCUAGAGAUUCGUAGUAGCAAGCUGCGCACUCCGGAAACUCUAUCGUAAACAAACAAUAUCAUACAUAAGAACUCAAGCAUAAUAUGCAAAGGUAAAACCAAAUAAAAGGUCUAAACAGAAACUUCAAGCGAAGAGCUUCGAUUCGCAAAAACAAUCGAUCAAAUCGGAACUACGAAACUCAAAUUAUGAUUAAAAGAAGUUCAAAUUCGAAUCUGUUUGAAACCAAAUUGUAAAUUUUAAAAAAUAUGUUCAAGUUGAUUAUCUAGACAGAGGGGAUCGUAAUGAAGAAUUUGGCAUUGGUUUCGUUGAAUUUGGAUAAACGAGCAAAAAGUUGUGAGGGUUUGAAGAUCAGGGAUUAAACAACCAAGAAAAUAAUUAUGAAUGGGUCCCUGGCCGAAAUAAACCGAAAAAGAAAAAUCUAACGAACGGUCGUUCGCUAACAGAGACUACUGAACGAAAACGUUCACUAAUAGAUCUAAACGAACGAACGUUUGCUAAUUAAAGUAAACUAAUAAAAUAAAGCGAUCUAAAAAGAAAAACCUAAAACUAAAAAACAGGUCGGGUUUCGGUGAUUUAUACCGGUUCGGUGAGAAAAACCGGCGGCGGCGGAUCGGACUCCGGCGGCGGUGCGGCUCCAGCGAACGGNNNNNNNNNNNNNNNNNNNNNNNNNNNNNNNNNNNNNNNNNNNNNNNNNNNNNNNNNNNNNNNNNNNNNNNNNNNNNNNNNNNNNNNNNNNNNNNNNNNNNNNNNNNNNNNNNNNNNNNNNNNNNNNNNNNNNNNNNNNNNNNNNNNNNNNNNNNNNNNNNNNNNNNNNNNNNNNNNNNNNNNNNNNNNNNNNNNNNNNNNNNNNNNNNNNNNNNNNNNNNNNNNNNNNNNNNNNNNNNNNNNNNNNNNNNNNNNNNNNNNNNNNNNNNNNNNNNNNNNNNNNNNNNNNNNNNNNNNNNNNNNNNNNNNNNNNNNNNNNNNNNNNNNNNNNNNNNNNNNNNNNNNNNNNNNNNNNNNNNNNNNNNNNNNNNNNNNNGGCGGGGUGGCAGCUUACAAGGAGGGGGGACGGCGUCCGACUUGGGGAGGGGGUCCGGGCGCGCCACGGCGGCUCAGAAUCCGGCGAUUCCGGCUCCCGCACGGCAGGGAAGGCGAUGGCGCGACGGGCCGGCUGGGCCUUCGGCCCAGUUCGGUCCGGAGAAUUUAUUUUAAUCGCGCCGCAAAGAAAAUCCAAACAAAAUAAAGUAAAUUUCUGAAAAAUUCCAGAAAUAAUUUUCUCCAUGCCCUCCUAAUAUGUAGACAACGUGAACAUUUUUCUAGGCUAAAUGCAAUUUUUUUAAAAUGCACAUUAUUCCCUAAUUUAAUAAAAUGGAACCGAAUAGAAAUUCAAAUAACACACAACUAAAACAUAUUUUUAUUCGAAAUUAAAUUUCCAAUAUUUCGCCGCUGUUUUGAAGAAGGCAUAUUAUUUUCUCUCAUUAUUUUAUUUAUUUUGAAAUAAUUGGAAAAAUAAUUUCGAAUAAAAUCGCUUAAAUCCAAUUUGCCAAAUUUGAAAAUUCAAAAAUGGAUUUUUGUGAAAACCUCCAACUCACUCAAUUGGUCCUUGAGUUGCUAAGGGUUUCUAGGGACCAAAACUCCAAAUAAAACGAAUUCCAAGAUGCAUAAAUUAUGAAUGCAGAUGAUGACCUAAUGAAUAACAUCCAAAUUGAAAAUUGGGAUGUUACACUUACUUAUCGAAAGGACUACGAUUGAUCCCCUAUACUUGUGGGUCAUCAAGGCUCUUUUAUGGCGCCGUUGCGAGAGAGUGAAGCGCUUUUGGUAAGUGGAAAUUGGUAAGGAAAAAUUAUUAAUACUUGCUGAAAGUUAUUGUCACUUGUUACUAUGGAAAACAAUCCUUUGAGGGGUUUGUUCGGGAUAUCUUCACCUCGACCGGAACCACAAUUAGCUACUCCUCAACCUACUACACCUACUGAAAAUAUUGAAUAUGAAAUUCCUUCGGGUAUGAUAGAACAACAGCUAGCUAAUCCUUAUGCAGGAGAUGGAACCGAACAUCCUGAAAUAUGCACUUGAUAUAUGUGGAAGACAUUUCUGGAUUGUUUAAGCUUGCAGGUUUACCCGGAGAUGAAGUUGAGAAGAAGGUUUUCCCUUUAUCUUUGAAGGAAAAAACAUUGGCAUGGUAUAGGCUAUGCGAUGAUAUUGGAUCUUGGAAUUGGAAUCGAUUGAAAUUGGAGUUUCACCAAAAAAAUAUCCUAUGAAUCUAGAUCAUCGUGAUCGGAAUUACAUAUAUAAUUUUUGUUCUCGUGAAGGAGAAAGUAUCGCUCUAGCUUGGGGAGGCUUAAGUCAAUGUUAUAUUCAUGCCCCAAUCAUGAGCUCUUAAGAUAAAUAAUUAUGCAUAAUUUGUAUGCUCGGCUUUCUCAUAAUGAUCGAUCCAUGCUUGAUACUUCUUGUGCUGGAUCUUUUAUGAAGAAGACUAUUGAAUUCCGGUGGGAUCUUUUGGAAAGAAUUAAAAGCAACUCUAAAGAUUGGGAACUCGAUGAAGGUAAAGAGUCAGGUAUUAAGCUCAAGUUUGAUUGUGUUAAAUCUUUUAUGAAUACCGAUGCUUUUCAAAAGUUUAGCACUAAAUAUGGACUUGACUCUGAGAUAGUAGCCUCCUUUUGUGAAUCUUUUGCUACUCAUGUUGAUCUCCCUAAGGAGAAGUGGUUUAACUAUUACCCACCUAUUAAAGAAGAAAUUAAAGAACCGGUACUAGCUAAAGAGGAAACUAUCAUUUAUAAUGUUGAUCCAGUUGUUCCUACUGCUUAUAUUGAGAAACCACCUUUCCCUAUUACGAUGAAGGAACGUGCUAAAGUUUCAACUAUGGUCAACAAAAGUUAUAUUAGAACACCUAAACCUGAUGAAAAAAAUCAAAUUAGAACCUAGUGUUGCUAUGGUUAAGGAUCUCCUCGAAGAAAAUAUAGAUGGGCAUGUUAUUUAUUUCUGUGAUGAAGCUUCUAGAAUUGCCAAACCUGAUGAAAAAGAUAAACAUAGACCGGUUGUUGGCAUGCCCAUUGUCUCAGUUAAAAUAGAAGAUCACUGUUAUCAUGGUUUAUGUGACAUAGGUGCUACUGUGAGUUCUAUUCCUUUUACAUUAUACCAAGAAAUUAUGAAUGACAUAGCACCCGCAGAGAUAGAAGACAUAGAUGUUACUAUUAAACUUGCUAAUAGAGAUACUAUUUCACCAAUUCGGAUUGUUAGAGAUGUUGAAGUCUUGUGUGGGAAAAUAAAACACCCUACUAAUUUUCUUGUUCUUGGUUCCCCACAAGAUGACUUUUGUCCCAGUAUCUAUGGUAGACCUUUCUUGAACACCGUUAAUGCUAAAAUAGAUUGUGAGAAACAAAUUGUCAGUGUUAGAUUUGGUGAUGAGUCUCAUGAGUUUAAUUUUUCCAAGUUUAGUAGAAAACUUCAUAAAAAGUUUUGCCAAAUAAGGAUGAAAUAAUUGGUCUUGCUUCUAUUUCUGUACACCCUACUGAUCCUCUAGAACAAUAUCUGCUAGAUCAUGAAAAUGAUUCACAUAUGCACGAAAGAAAUGAAAUAGAUGAGAUUUUCUUUGAACAACGUCCUUUGUUGAAACAAAAUUUGCCUAUUGAAACUCUAGGAGGUCCUCCUCCACCUAAAGGUGAUCCUGUGUUUGAAUUAAAACAAUUGCCAGACACUUUGAAAUAGGCUUAUCUUGAUGAGAAGAAGAUAUAUCCUGUUAUUAUUAGUGCUAACCUUUCAGAACAUGAAGAAGAAAGAUUAUUGAAAGUUCUAGGGAAUCAUCGAGCUGCUAUUGGAUAUACUCUUCAUGAUUUAAAGGGCAUUAGUCCCACUCUCUGCCAGCACAAAAUUAAUAUGGAACCUGAUGCUAAACCCGUCGUUGAUCACCAACAUCGGUUAAAUCCGAAGAUGAAAGAAGUGGUAAGAACAGAAAUAUUAAAACUUCUGGAAGCAGGUAUAAUAUAUCCAUCUACUAUCAGCUAUAGGAUAGAUUAUACCUGCUUCCAGAAGUUUUAAUAUUUCCGUUCUUACCACUUCUUUCAUCUUCGGAUUUAACCGAUGUUGGUGAGAAACAACGGGUUUAGCAUCAGGUUCGAGUUCAUUCUUAUCAUUAGGAACACUGGUAAUACCUCCUUUCUUAGGGACACAAUGAACAGGACUUAUCCAUCUACUAUCAGCUAUAGGAUAGAUUAUACCUACUUCCAGAAGUUUUACUAUUUCCGUUCUUACCACUUCUUUCAUCUUUAGAUUUAACCGACAUUGGUGAUCAACAACAUGUUUAGCAUCAGGUUCCAUAUUAAUUUUGUGCUGAUAGAGAGUGGGACUAAUGCCCUUUAAAUCAUCAAGAGUAUAUCCGAUGGCAGCUCGGUGCUUCCUUAGAACUUUCAAUAAUCUUUCUUCUUCAUGUUCUAAAAGGUUAGCACUGAUAAUAACAGGACAUAUCUUUUUCUCAUCAAGAUAAGCAUAUUUCAAAGUGUCUGGCAAUUGUUUUAAUUCAAACACAAGAUCACCUUUAGAUGGAGGAGGACCUCCUAGAGUUUCAAUCGGCAAAUUGUGUUUAAGCAAAGGACGUUGUUCAAAGAAAAUCUUAUCUAUUUCAUUUGUUUCAUGCAUAUGUGAAUCAUUUUCAUGAUCUAGCAGAUAUUGUUCUAGAGGAUCAGUAGGGGGUACAUCAAUAGAGGCAAGACCAAUUAUUUCAUCAUUAUUAGGCAACUCUUUUUAUGAGUUUUUCUACUAAACUUGGAAAAAUUAAACUCAUGAAACUCAUCACCAAAGCUAACACCGAUAGUUUGUUUCUCACAAUCUCUUUUAGCAUUAACGUUAUUCCAGAAAGGUCUACCAAAGAUAAUGGGACAAAAGUCAUCUUGUGGGGAACCAAGAACAAGAAAAUCAGUAGGGUAUUUUAUUUUCCCACACAAGACUUCAACAUCUCUAUCAAUCCCAAUUGGUGAAAUAGUAUCUCUAUUAGCAAGUUUAAUAGUAACAUCUAUGUCUUCUAUCUCUGUGAUUGCUAUGCCAUUCAUAAUUUCUUAGUAUAAGGUAAAAGGAAUAGCACUCACGCUAGCACCUAUGUCACAUAAACCAUGAUAACAGUGAUCUCCUAUUUUAACUGAGAUAACGGGCAUGCAACAACAGGUCUACGUUUAUCUUUCUCAUCGGGUUUGGCAAUUCUAGCAGUUUUCAUCACAGAAAUAAAUAACAUGCCCAUCUAUAUUUUCUUCCAGGAGAUCCUUAACCAUAGCAACAUUAGGUUCCACUUUGAUUUUCUCACCGGGUUUAGGUUUUCUAAUAUUUUUUGACCACAGUUGAAACUUUAGCAUGUUCCUUCAUCCUAACAGGGAACGAUGGUUUCUCAAUAUAAGCAGUAGGAACAACUGGAUCAACAUUACAAAUAAUAGUUUCCUCCUUAGCUAGUACCGGUUCUUUAAUUUCUUCUUUAAUAGGUGGGUGAUAUUUAAGCCACUUCUCCUUAGGGAGAUCAACAUGAGUAGCAAAUGAUUCACAAAAGGAGGCUACUAUCUCAGAGUCAAGUCCAUACUUAGUGCUAAACUUUUGAAAAGCAUCGGUAUUAAUAAAAAGAUUUAACACAAUCAAACUUGAGCUUAAUACCUGACUCUUUACCUUCAUCGAGUUCCCAAUCUUCAUAGUUGCGUUUAACUCUUUCCAAAAGAUCCCACCGGAAUUCAAUAGUCUUCUUCAUAAAAGAACCAGCACAAGAAGUAUCAAGCAUGGAUCGAUCAUUAUGAGAAAGCCGAGCAUAAAAUUUCUGAAUAAUUAUUUCUCUUGAGAGCUCAUGACUGGGGCAUGAAUAUAACAUUGACUUAAGCCUCCCCCAAGAUAGAGCGAUACUUUCUCCUUCACGAGGCCCAAAAUUUUAUAUGUAAUCCCGAUCACGAUGAACUAGAUACAUAGGAUAUUUUUUUUGGUGAAACUCCAAUUUCAAUCGAUUCCGAUUCCAAGAUCCAAUAUCAUCGCAUAGCCUAUACCAUGCCAAUGUUUUUCCCUUCAGAGGUAAAGGGAAAACCUUCUUCUUAACUUCAUCUCCAGGUAAACCUGCAAGCUUAAACAAUCCACAAAUUUCAUCCACAUAUAUCAAGUGCAUAUCUGGAUGUUCGGUUGCAUCUCCUGCAUAAGGAUUAGCUAGCAGUUGUUCUAUCAUACCCGAAGGAAUUUCAUAUACAAUAUUUUAAGUAGGUGCAGUAGGUUGAGGGGUAACUAAUUGUGGUUCCAGUCGAUGUGAAGAUACCCCGAACAAACCCCUUAAAGGAUUGUUUUCCAUAUUAACAAGUGACAAUAAAUUUCAGCACGUAAUAAUAAUUUUUCCAUACCAAUUUCCACUUACCAAAAGCGCUUCACUCCCCGGCAACGGCGCUAGAAAAGAACCUUGAUGACCCACAAGUAUAGGGGAUCAAUCGUAGUCCUUUCGAUAAGUAAGAGUGUCAAACCCAACGAGGAGCAGAAGGAAAUGACAAGUGGUUUUCAGCAAGGUAAUGUCUGCAAGCGCUGAAAUUGUAAGUAGCGAGUAGUUUGAUAGCAAGAUAAUUUGUAACGAGCAAGUAACAGUAAUGGUAACAAAAGUGCAUCAAGGUAGCCCAACCCUUUUGAGGCAAAGGACAGGCCAAAAUGGUCUCUUAUGAUAAGUAAAGCGUUCUUGAGGGUACACAGGAAUUUCAUCUAGUCACUUUUAUCAUGUUGAUUCGAUUCAUGUUCUCUACUUUGAUAAUUUGAUAUAUGGGUUGACCGGUGCUUAGGUGCUGCUCUUACUUGAACAAGCCUCCUACUUAUGAUUAAGCCCCUCGCAAGAAUCCGCAACUACGAGAAAAGUAUUAAGAAUAAAUUCUAACCAUAGCAUUAAACUUUUUGGAUCCAAUUGGUCCCUUACGGAAUAGCGCAUAAACUAGGGUUUAAGCUUCUGUCACUCUCGCAGCCCAUCAUCUAAUAACUACUCCACAAUGCAUUCUCUUGGGCCCAAAUAUGGUGAAGUGUCAUGUAGUCAACGUUCACAUGACACCACUAAGGGAAUCACAACAUACAUACUAUCAAAAUAUCGAACACAUAUCAAGUGCACAUGAUUACUUGCAACAAGAUUUCUCCCGUGACCUCAAGAACAAAAGUAACUACUCACAAGUGAUAAACAUGCUCAAGAUCAGAGGGGUAUUAAGUAGCAUAUUGGAUCUGAACAUAUAAUCUUAAACCAGAUAAACCAUAUAGUAAUCAACUACAAGAUGUAAUCAACACUACUAGUCACCCACAAGUACCAAUCUAUAGUUCCGGUAAACAGAUUGAACACAAGAGAUGAGCUAGGGUUUGAGAGAAGAUGGUGUUGUUGAAGAUGCUGAUGAAGAUUGCCCUCCCCAAGAUGGGAGAUUUGUUGGUGAUGAUGAUGACCAUGAUUUCCACCUCCGGGAGGGAAGUUCCUCCGGCGGAAUCGCUCCACCGGAGGGCAAAAGUGCUCCUUCCCAAUUUCCGCCUCAAGACAGCGGCGCUUCAUCCCGAAAGUCCUCCUCUGGUUUUUUCUAGGUGAAAAUGACUUAUAUACCAGAACAUGGGCACCGGAGGUGGGCCAGGCUCAGCAAAACCCACUAGGGCGCGGCUGGGGGGGCUGGCGCGCCCUGGUGUCUUGUGCUCACCAGGUGGCCCCCCUCUGGUAGUUAUUUGCUCCAGUAUUUCUUAUUUAUUCUAUAAAAAUUCCUCAUGAAGUUUCAGCUCAUUUGGAGUUGUGCAGAAUAGGUGGCCUAACGUAGCUGUUUCAGGUCCAGAUUUUCAGCUGCCGGAAUUCUCCCUCCUUGUGUAAACCUUUCAUAUUAUGAGAGAAAAAGGCAUUAUAAUUACUCCAAAAAGCAUUAUUAUGCAUAAAAACAUUAUAAAUAACAGUAGGUAAACAUGAUGCAAAAUGGACGUAUCACUACUGAUAGCCCUUAGACCCACACUAUUGUUAGGCUUUUCCCUAGUAGUGUUGGCAACAAUGGCUAGAUCAGAGAGUGGGGAAAUAGGUGGAGGGGGAGGGGUGAGGAGGUGGUGUCGGGCAUGCAAUAAUUCACCUGGUUUCACUUCAAGUAGCCCAGCUUCUGUAGGGUUCCUCAGAUCUUGCCAUGGAAAAUUCCAUGGAGAAGGGUAUGGAGGGGAAGGGGAACUAUGGUGACGAUUGGGGGUUGAGGUGGGAAAUGCAUGGCGUUUUGGAUCGGGGGUCGAGGGGAGAAGCCGCGUGGACCAAGAGGGGGUUUUUCCACGUGGUAGUUCGGGGGUUAAGGAAUCUUGUCCGAACAAUUUUGUUCGGCUCGAGGGAGUCCCACUUCGAAUAGGUCGUUCGGACCGGCGCCCUGUGGUACUGAACAUGCUUUAUUGACGUUCAUCAAAUUAAAGGUCUCUCUCUCUCUCUCUCUCUCUCUCUCUCUCGUUUUAUAGGAAAUUAAGUUCAAUGAAAUCCUGUAUGCCAUACAUACUAAAAUCAGACGCAUAUUAAAUUUGCUUCCACCGUAUGAAAAUGUGCUUCCUUUAGUUAAUCAAUUUGCUUAGAAUUUAAAAUAUGUUCAGACUUUACCAAAAUUGUUUUGUGUUGGAUAAAAUUAUUUAUCCCAUCAGAUUUCGAACAGGGAAUCUGCUUUCUUCCAUUGCAUACCAAAUUUAUUUUUUGAUACAACACGUGUUUUCAACACAAUGAAUUCGCGUUUCAACCAAUUCGAGAAUUUGCUUCUUUUUUUCUUCUUUUUUGAACACGAGAAUUUGCUUCUGGUGAAACUAAAAUAUGCUUCGUCUUUUUUUGUGAGGAACUAAAAUAUGUAUUGACUUAACAAAAAAUGUAUCCACAAAAUUAUUAUUUUUCAUCGUAGCUCAGUUAGAGAAUUUGCUUCCAUGAGAUAGAAACAUGAGUCCAAUGUAACAGAAUAUUCUUGUUUCCAACCACAGUAAAAAUGAGCCCUCUAAUUGUACAUAUUACUUCCAUUAUGGUUAGAAUUUUUUAUCUAUGUAGAUCUAGAAAUCUGCGUCUGCUCGUAUAUUUUUCUGCAUGGUUCGUCUUUCUUUGCUUCAUCUUCCAGAAAAUUCCAACACCAACACAAAAACCGAAAAAUUGAUAUAUUUUUUAGUUUGGUCUUUGGUUUGUCGAUUUUUAUGUCUACCCUGGCUCCAAGGAUGAAAAAGUUCACGAAAUUAAAAUCAGUUCGUCGAUUUGAAAAGUUCAGGAUUUUGAUAAAAAGAUGUGAAAACAUGGCCGUUCUAUGAAGAAGGGCAAAUGUCGCGGGAAGACGUCCGAACACGUGUAGCCACUCAGCGUCCCAACCUGAAGCCUUUCACUGCACUCGGGGACUAUCACCCUGCUUUGGAUGGAUGACACGACAUGUUGGAGUGAUUGACGAUAUAUGGCAAUGUGUUCGUUUAGUCCAUACUUUCUCUAUGACGAAACUUUGAGCUAUGCAUGACGAAAUUUUGUGAUGUAAUUAAAUUGUCCUCCUCAACUAACGAAGAUCACUCUAGUUAGGUCAUUUUGGGUAUGAUGAACUUUGUUAUUUACGCUUAUGAUAUGUUGCUUCUAUUUUUGCCAACUCUGUCACUUUCUGUUUCUCAACUAUUAAUGUUGCAUAUUAUCGACUAAUUUGACGAUGCAGGUACAUAGAUCAUCGAUGGCGAAGAAGUGCUAUGCCAGGAGUAUACGACGAGUAGCCUGAGCGUCAGGCCUAGUUGUACCAGUUUCCAAGCGACAGCCAGAGAUGGUUCGAUAGCAGAGUCGAAGCGAAAAAUAGUUAGUUUAGUUUCACGCUAGUGCGAGAGAGGGAUCCGAACCGGGGCCUCAAGAAGUACUACAUUAUGUAUGAUGAGACAUGUCAGUUAACUUGUAUCUCUAUAUCGUGAUUAUGAUGUGAUGACAUGAUUUGUGUUCGAUGAUAUGAUGAGACUAUUAUGUGUAUGAUAUGAUGAGCAUAUUGCAUGUUUAUAAUAUGAUUAGAAUAUUGUAUAAAACUGUACAAAAACAUCGCAAAUACUUAGCAAAAAAAAGAUAUGUGAAAAUAUAGUAGUAGCGCUCUUUAGCCCUGGAUAGGAAAACGCUAAGCCACUUAGCAGUAGCAUUGGAAUGGACAACGUUGCUGCUAAGUAGGUAUAGUUGUAGCGCGGAUCAAAACACGCUACUGCUAAACGUUAGCUGUAGCACCUUAUCAGUAGCGCGGUGCCCCGCGCUACUGAUAGCCCUUAGACCCGCGCCCUGCUUGGCUUUUCCCUAGUAAUGUUGGCAACAAUGGCUAGAUCAGAGAGUGGGGACAUAGGAGGAGGGGGACGGGGUGAGGAGGUGGUGUGGACAUGCAAUAAUUGACCUAAUUUCACUUCUAUUAGCAGCUUUUGUAGAGUUCCUCAGAUCUUGCCAUGGAAAAUUCCAUGGAUAAGGUUAUGGAGGGGAAGGGGAACUAUGGUGGGGAUCGGGGGUGGAGGUGGGAGAUGCAUGGCGUUUUUGGAUCGGGGGUCGAGGGGAGAAGCCGCGUGGACCAAGAGGGGGGCUUCACCACGUGGUAGUUCGGGGGUUAAGGAAUCCUGUCUGAACAACUUUGUUCGGCUCGAGGGAGUCCCACUCUGAACAGGUCGUUCAGACCGGCGCCCUGUGGUACCAAACGUGCGCGCGUUAUCGGGGUCCAUCAAAUUAAAGUUCUCUCUCUCUCUCCAGUUUUAUAGGAAAUUAAGCUCAAUGAAAUUAUGUAUGCCAUACGUACUAAAAUCAGAUGCAUAUUCAAUUUGCUUCCACCGUAAUGAAAAUGUUCUUCCUUUAGUUAUCAAUUUGCUUCGAAUUUAAAAUAUGUUGUGAGUUUACCAAAAUUGUUUUGUGUUGGAUCAAAUUAUUUAUCCCAUCGGAUUUCGAAAAGGGAAUUAGCUUUCUUCCAAUGCAUACCAAAUUUAUUUUUUGAUGCAACACACGUUUUCAACACAAUGAAUUCGUGUUUCAAUCAAUUCAACAAUUUGCUUCUUUUUCUUCUUCUUUUUUGAACACGAGAAUUUGCUUCUGGUGCAACUAAAAUAUGCUUCUUCUUUUUUUGUGAGGAACUAAAAUAUGCAUUGACUAAACAAAAAAUGUAUCCAUAAAAUUAUUAGUUUUCAUCUUUGCUUAGUUAGAGAAUUUGCUUCCAUUAGAUAGAUACAUAUGAGUCCAAUGUGACAGAAUAUUCUCGUUUCCAAUCACAUUAAAAUAUGAGCCCUCUAAUUGUACAUAUUGCUUCCAUUAUGGUUAGAAUUUUUUAUCUAUCUAGGUCUAGAUAUUUGCGUCCGCUCGUAUAUUUUUCUGCAUCGUUCGCUCUUUCUUUGCUUCAUCUGGCAGAAAACACCAACACAAAAAUCAAAAAAUUGAUAUACUUUUUAGUUUGUUCUUUGGUUUGUCGGUUUUUAUGUCUACCUUGGCUCCAAGGACGAAAAAGUUCACGAAAUUAAAAUUAGUUCGUCAAUUUGAAAAGUUCAGGAAUUUGAUAAAAAACGUGAAAUUGAAAAGUUCAUUGAUUUGAAAAAAAUGUUCAUGAAUUUAAUACUUUUUAAAGGAGGCCGACCGACUGGGCUGGUCCAUUGUUGCUCGCCAAAACAGGAAAAAUUAAGAUAACGGUUUUACAUAUCUAUUUAAGUUAUGGUUUUAAUUUUUUUUUUCUUCAAACCUACUAUGGAUGCCUACCUUGGGCAUGCCCACCUGCUGGAAAAAGUUUAGGUCAUUUCAUGAAUAUCCGAAAAACACCAUGUGUUCAACGAAGUGUGUUCAGGUAGGGCAGAAGUCUCCGUUUGAGAGCACGUUUUUUUGGCAUCGUCAAAUGACACCAAAUUUUUUCCAUGAGCUUAUAUGACCUAUUAAAGGUACCAUGUAAAGUUAUUUUAGUUUUUGACAAAUUUUGUAUUUUCUGGUGUUUUCUUGGUCAAAAAAUACUGAUAAAUGGCCGGACGUAUCACAACUCAAAAAUCGUUCAAAGCUGACAUGGAUUCCGACCCUGGGCAGGCCUACCUGCUUGGAAAAUUUUGAGUCACUUGAAGGAUGUCCAAACAUAGACCAUGUUUAAUGAGGAUGUUCGGAUAGGCCAGAAGACUGAGCAUGAUGUUUCCCGAUACCCUUGAAAUGACCCAAAAAAUUUCAGGUAGGUGGACAUGACCAUGGUAGUUAUCCAUUGUCACGACCGGUUUUUCAAUAAAAUAAUUAUUGAGAAACCAAUCCCUGUUACGGACCAGCGAGGAAGAAUUCCUUCUCACUGAUAGACAAUACAUUGGUCACAGAAGAAAAACACCAGGAGUACUAAAUAUAAUACAAAGUUGAGCAGAGAUUGCCCAACAAUUUAUUACAGGCACGCCGAUAAAACAAUACGGCGGAUAGGGUGGCAAACUACUAACUCACGAUAAUAACGAUGGUGGAGAUAUCACCGCGGGGCGAGUGAUAUGACUCCAGAAGACUACAGCUCUUCGAGCGUCGGAGUGAGGCUCGAGAAGACUUAUUGCGGGUGGCGGAAGCGCAAACGAUACAAGUGACCAAUAUCCGGGAUCGCGCAGGACUGACUGGGACUCCUCUAGGCGUCGGACGCGCUAUCAAACUCUUCAUCCAAGAGAUCGCCUUCGUCAACAUCUGGCCAAAUCAACAAGCCAGGUGAGUACUAUGAAAGUACUCGCAAGACAGUUCGAGCAUAAGGUAUAACAAAUGCAACCAUGAAGCACAUGAAUAAGUUAGCCAGUGCGAUCAGGCAUAGAGAUAAUAAAUACUGGGUGCCAAGCGAGGGUCUGAAUGACGCCUCGAGCAGAAACUGCGGAAUAGUAAUACUGGUGCCAAACGAGUGUCUGAAAGACGCCUCGAGAGGAAAAAUGCGGAAUAAUAAUACAGGUGCCAAACGAGUGUCUGAAGGACUCCUCGAGAGGAAAAUGCGGAAUAAUAAUACAGGUGCCAAACGAGUGUCUGAAAGACUCCUCGAGAGGAAAAUGCGGAAUAAUAAUGCCGCAGUCGGGCGUCGGGGCGACACCACAUAAAGGGCUUAUAACAGAAAAUAAAGACAGUACAUGCCGCAGUCGGACGUCUGAGCGACAUCGCAUAAAGGGCUUAUAUUGUAACACAACAAUACAAUAAUUCAGGAAUAUAACUUAUCACAAGCACGAGACAAAUAUAUUGUUGGUCCAUCCACAGGAAUAACAAUAAAUCUGAGACUUUACCACUUGAGCUUGUUCACCGGGGCAAGUUUUUCACACGGAUAGAUUUGGAUAAAAAUCUACAUUUCUGACUAUGGAUACGAUGAUUUGGAAAGAAUUGACUCUGCAGAGUUUGUACUUAACCACAGCCAACGGAUUUCAGUAGUCACGGGGACUAGUUCCGUCUACGGUGUUCUGGGAGGAACACGUCUAACCAGUACACACCCAAUUUAACCAUCCGAAGCCAGGGAUCACCCUCGGAAACAUUCAGGAAAAACCCUGAGUCGGGGAGGCUACAACCUCGCGUAGCAUGGGAUCAAAUUUUUAUACGCGCGCUAUAAGGGGGUGCCCCCCCUCUCGGUCCCAACCGGAAACACCCAUGCCCCCUGACCGAAUGACUGGCUUUAAUCCUGGGCCAAGGUACCAUCAUCCCGGCCUCUCUGUUUGGUGUGUACACGGAAAGAGGUUACCAACUUACUAAACCGUAUCCUGGCAACGAGACAUGUGGUAGCACGGAAAGGGGAAGGGACGAUAACACGGCUCCAACCAUGUUGACGUCGGAAAGGUCGGAUGACACAAGGCUGGCAUGCUACAACAGUACCACCUUGCUGCCCUUCAUGUCACCACAUGAUUAGGCCACCUCUCAUCAGAGGUCAUCGCAACUUUGGAACAUACGGGAAAAGAUCGAUAACGUGGCUCCAACCACGUUAACGUCGAAGAAAGUCGGAUGACGCAAGGCUGGCAUGCUACAACAGUACCACCUUGCUGCCCUUCAUGUCACCACAUGAUUAGGCCACCUCUCAUCAGAGGUCAUCGCAACUUCGGAACAACCGGGUCGUUGCCUUACAAGCAACGAGGCACUUAUCGACACUCACAUGCCACGCACAAACUUUCACAUGAACAUGCAAAACAUCUGCCAUAUCAAAUGUUCAAACAUGCUUGCCUGGUUCGGAGAAGUCGGAGUCUAGCUCGGCGAAGUUCGCGGCUCCGUCCCCUCUCCCGGAACCUACGGCAAUCACGAAACGGGGUACUAACGUGAAAACCAACACAUGCACAGAAACUUUGCCAAAUAUUUUUCAAAUAAAUCCCAUAAAAAACUAGGCAAAAUUUGGAGAUGGACAGAAAAAGAAUCACUCAAAAAUACCUUUUCAUUAAAAAGUUAUAAAGGUUUCUGUCCAGGGACCUUUCUGUAAUGAAACAGAAAAGUUCCAGGGUUUUAACUGAGAAAACAGAAAACGGUUCGUUUGGAAAUGCGCAAGCGCAAGAGAGAAGACGUAAUUUGCCCGAAGGCGCCAACAGAAAACUAUUCGGGGAAAUAAAACAGAGGCUGACACGCGGGGCCUGCAUGUCAGGUUUGAAAACUCGCCGGCGCCCGAAGACGGCGGUGGACGCCGGCGUCGAACCACGACGAGUUAGGAGAAACGGAGGGUACCAAGAGCUUCAGUGUCUUCUUCCGCGUCGGUGGGUGGUGGACUCGUCCAACGGGGAGCACCACGUCGACGGCGACACUAUCUCCGGCGGACGGCGGUUCGGGUGAGGUUGGGGAACUCCGGUGGAGGGCUGCAAAGUAUGAAUUGAGGCGCGGGUCAGAACGGGUGAUGCAAGGAGAAGCUACUGGCAAGAGAAUGGGGGUUGCGGAGCACACACGGGGGCGAAUCGGGCUGGAUCCCGUGGCGGAUCACGGUGGCCGGAGUCGAGGAAGGAGACCCUCUCGCGGCUCUUCCAGUGGCUGGGCGUGCUCUAGGGGAAGUGUAGGGCUGGUGGGUGCUCGAGUUGAAGCUCGGGGCCGCUAUUUAUAGGCAGCUCGACGGGGUGGCCGUGAACGGAGAACCUCCGGCGAGCGAUUACGGCGGAGCAGUGGGUUGGCAGGAGGUUUGAGCGGUCGAGAAGCAUCAGUGGAUGUUGCUGGACUUGAUUUGCAGCUGAACGUGGUUAGUCUUGGCAUAACGGCGUCUGUCCACGGUGAGGUGACCGCACGAGCUCAACGGCGGCAGAGAGCGCGCUCCGCGCCCUGGGGUUCACGACGAGAGCGGCAGCGCAUUCGGGGGAGUGGACGGCCACGCGGCGGGCUCCGGUGGUUUGGGCGGUGUUGGGUGGAGUCGGCGGCGCCGUGUCUCCCGCUGGCGUCCGCAAAGCCGCCGCCGGCGUCGGUCACGGGGCGGCGCACCUUCUGCUGCUCGUCGCCGACGCCCGCAAGAUGCCAGGCACUCGUGCGGUGCAGGAACGGGAGGGCGAGGACGAGGAGCAAGGCGACGCGAGGGUACUGGCGAGAUCGAUGUCAUGCUCUGAAGAAAACGACAGUAGCCACUGAACUGAAACUCUGAAUCUCUGAAACUUGACAGUGACUAUGCAUUGCAGGUGUUCGACAGUAGGUUUUGGUAAAAAGAUGAAUUUUGCUGGGGCUGUAACUUGGUGAGAUGAUCACUCAAAGCACCCAGGGGCUGCAUGAAUUUACUUGGAAUUUUUGGAGAAAGUUUUGAAUGAAUUUCACCAAAUUUGGCAAAUCUGGUCCAAACUUGCAGCUGAUGUAGUUUGAAAAUUUUGAACUGGAGACCAGUGGAUCUUCAUGGUUCCAGGUUGAGGGUUCAAAGGACUAGGAGGGGAAAGAAGUUUGGGGCCAAAAAUCAAAACAGAAAGAGGAGUUCCUUUGUAAAUCUCCAAGUGGUAGAAUAGAAGGCAGAAAAUAUUUGAAUAGAAUUUGAAUGGAAAAUAAAUACAUGGGGAGGUCCAACUUGCUUGAUUUGAUGUAAAUCAUGAUCCAGAGGUGAGGGAGGAGUUAGGAGAGAUCAUUUGCACUUGGGCCAUGGCAAAAAGGAAUUGUUGGAAGUGGCAAAAGGCUUUCCAAAAGCCAUAGUGCAAAUUCAAGAAAAGGUUUUCAAAAGUUAUUUUCCCAAAUGAAAACCAUUUUGUCUUGAGUCCUAAAGAAAGCAAGAACCUCCAAGGUCAAAGGCAGAUCUUGGGUGAAUCCAAAUAAAAAAUUUUCCAUAAAGAAAGAUAUUUGAGAGUGAGAGUUCUCUUGAAUUUUUUUUUUUGAAAAAUCCAAAUAAAAACUUGGGUGCCACAACACCUACCCCCUUAGGAAAAAUCUCGUCCUCGAGAUUUCUGCUGAUCCUCAAACAGAUAUGGAUACUCUGCUCGAAGGAAAUCCUCCCUUUCCCAUGUAGCUUCAUCCUCAGUGUGGUUGCUCCACUGAACCUUGAAAAAUUUUGUCGUUUUCUGACGGGUCCUCCGUUCAGACUCUUCUAAAAUCUUUACUGGCCUUUCUCUGUAGGUGAGAUCUGGUUGCAUAACAAUGUCCUCAUGAGGUACAUGUUUCUCUGGGUUACUCACACAUUUCCUCAACUGCGAGACGUGGAAUACGUCAUGGACGUCUGACAGCUCCUUGGGCAGGUCUAGUUGGUAGGCUACCGUGCCUCUUCGUGCCUUCACACAAAAUGGUCCAAUAAAUCUUGGGGCUAGUUUCCCCUUAAUUUUGAACCGUUGCAGACCCCUCAUAGGAGAUACUCGGAGGUAUACGGAAUCACCAGGUUCAAAGCUGACCUCACGAUGCUUCUGAUCAUAGUAGCUCUUUUGUCGGCUCUGUGCUGUCUUGAGCCUGUCCCUGAUUUGUUUAACUUUUUCCUCGGCCUCCUUAAGCAUAUCUGGGCCGAAGAUACGGCUGUCACCUGUUUCUGACCAAUUCAAUGGGGUACGACACCUCCGUCCGUACAAUGCUUCAAAGGGUGCCAUUUGCAAGCUGGCUUGGUAACUGUUGUUGUACGCAAAUUCGGCAUAGGGCAAACUCUCUUCCCAACUGGACCCAUAGGUGAGCACACAGGCUCUUAGCAUAUCCUCUAGGAUUUGGUUUACACGUUCUGUUUGUCCAUCUGUCUGAGGGUGGUAUGCUGUACUGAAAGCCAGUCGUGUGCCCAGAGCUUGUUGUAGGUGUUCCCAGAAUUUGGAGACGAAUUGGGUGCCUCGAUCUGAUAUUAUGGUCUUCGGGACUCCAUGCAAGCAAACUAUACGAGAUAGGUAGAGCUUUGCCAGUCUUUGUGUGGAGUAGGUAGUCUUUACAGGAAUGAAAUGAGCAACCUUGGUUAGUCGGUCUGUGAUGACCCAUAUGGCGUCAUUUCCGCGUUGUGACCGGGGUAAUCCGACAAUGAAGUCCAUUCCUAUUUCGUCCCAUUUCCACUCCGGUAUUCUGUUUGGCUGGAGUAGCCCUGCUGGCUUUUGGUGCUCGGCCUUGAUACGCUGACAUGAUUCGCAACAAGCAAUGAAUGUGGCUAUAUCUCUUUUCAUACCGUGCCACCAAAAUCUUUCCUGGAUGUCCUUGUACAUUUUGGUUCCUCCAGGAUGGAUCGAAUAUGGAGCGGUGUGGCUUUUCGUCAAGAUCUGUUGCUUGAGUUCCUCAAUGUUAGGUACGCAAAGUCUGUUUCGGUACCACAAUGUUCCUUCACUGUCCGUGACGAAUUCUGAAGUCUUACUAGUAUUCAUUUUCUUCUUUAUGCCUUCGAUACUGGGAUGUCCUUGUUGAGCCUUCUUGAUUUGUUCCACUAGGGUGGGUUGUAUCUCUAGGUUCGAUACGGUGCCCUCGGAGACUAACAUCAUGUUGAGCCGAGUGAACUCUCGCUGAAACUCAGGCCUCAAGUUUUGCUGACCGUCACUGUCCGGGCUGGGGUUUUGGCUAAGGGCAUCGGCUACUACAUUUGCUUUUCCAGGGUGGUAGUGGAUGCCGACGUCGUAGUCUUUGACCAGUUCCAACCAGCGUCGUUGGCGUAAAUUCAGCUCUGGCUGUGUGAAGAUAUAUUUGAGGCUCUUAUGGUCCGUAUAUAUUUCACAACGAUUUCCCAACAGAAAGUGCCUCCACUCUUUGAGUGCAUGUAUGACCGCUGCUAGCUCCAAGUCAUGUGUUGGGUAAUUUUCCUCAUGCUUUCGCAGUUGCCUGGAGGCAUAUGCGACAACUUUGCCAUCCUGCAUUAGUACACAUCCGAGAACUUUUUGGGACGCGUCACAAUAUACUUCAAAACUCUUGUGUAUGUCUGGCACAGUUAAAACUGGUGCGGUUGUCAGUUUCUUCUUGAGUUCUUGGAAGCUCUGCUCACAUGCUUCCGUCCAUACGAAUCUCCUGUCCUUCUUGAGCAGUUGGGUCAUAGGUUUUGCCACAGUGGAGAAUCCUUCAAUAAAUCUCCUGUAAUAUCCGGCCAUUCCUAGGAAACUCCGCACAUCCGUGACAUUGGCUGGUGGUUUCCAGUCCAGUAUGGCUUUGACCUUUUCUGGGUCUACGGCUACGCCUUCUUGGUUCAGUAUAUGGCCUAAGAAACCAACUUGUCUUAGCCAAAAUUCGCAUUUGCUAAAUUUGGCGUACAACUGAUGUUUCCUCAAUUCUCCCAAAACAAUUCUGAGGUGCUCAGCAUGUUCUUCUGGUGUCCUUGAGUAAACCAGAAUGUCGUCAAUGAAUACCACCACAAAUUUGUCCAUGAAUUUCAUGAACACUUUGUUCAUGAGGUGGACGAAAAAUGCGGGGGCGUUUGUUAGACCAAAAGGCAUCACUGUGAACUCGUAUAACCCAUAUCUGGAAGUGAAUGCUGUCUUAGGGAUAUCCUCUGUUCGUACCUUCAGUUGAUGGUAUCCUGAUCUCAAAUCAAUCUUCGAAAAUACUUUAGCUUGUGCGAGCUGGUCAAACAAAUCAUUUAUCCGUGGCAUCGGGUAUUUGUUUUUGAUGGUGACCAUAUUGAGGGCUCGAUAGUCUAUGCACAGUCUCAGUGUCCCAUCCUUCUUCUUGGCAAACAAUACGGGCGAACCCCAUGGUGAGGAGCUGGCUCGUAUAAACCCCUUGUCCAGUAAUUCCUUUAUCUGCUUCUUCAACUCCACCAAUUCUGAGGGUGCCAUUCUAUACGGCUUCUUAUAAAUGGGAGCGGUGCCAGGUGCUAAUUCAAUGCUGAAUUCGAUCUCUCGAUCUGGUGGCAUACCUGGUAGUUCUUCCGGGAACACAUCAGGGAACUCGCAUACCACUGGCACUUUUCUUAAUUCUGCGAUGCCCAUCUUGUUCAGUUUUGGUUUCUGUGACCGCGGCCUUUCUUGAGCGGAGACUCUUAUUGUCUUGCCGUGAUGGUGGGUGAGAAUCACUGUCCGAUUGAAGCAGUCGAUGAAUCCUUUGUUGGUGGUUAACCAGUCCAUUCCUAAAAUGACAUCCAGUCCUUUACUCUCCAACACGAUGAGAUUCGCGUGGAAUGGUAGUCCUUCGAACUCAAUGACCACUCCUUGGCAGUAACCCUGAGCAAUUUGCUUGUUUCCGGGGGACUUGAUGAUCAUAGACUUCUCCAAGGGGAGUAUCGGAAAACCAUGUUGCGAAACAAAACUCUUCGAAAUGAACGAAUGGGAAGCACCAGAAUCAAACAAAACCGUGGCAGGUACUGUGUUGACAGGGAACGUACCGAGCACGAUGUCUGGGGCAUUCUGCGCUUCUUCCCUGGUCACAUGGUUCAGGUGACCCUUCCUGUGGUUGUUGUUGGGAUUGAAGUUGUUGCGCUUGGGGGCGGGAUUGUUUCCACCAUUGUUCGGCUUGGGUGCCGAGUCUCUUGGCUUCGGGCACUGUUUAGCAUAGUGCCCUUGCUGACUGCAAGCAUAGCAGGUGACUCCCGGACGAUAUGUGAACUCCUUGUCUCUGGCAUGAAAAUGUCCGACGGGUCUUGGCUCAGUAGUCGUGGAUCUCCUUGUGUCUGUCCUUGGGGCCUCAGCCUUGCCUCGGUUGCUGUGGGCAAGAGUCGUCUUGUCCCUCUUCCGCUUGCGGAUAUCUUCCAGACUACGGCGCUCAUUUUCCAAGGUGAUGGCCUUGUCCACUAGCGUCUUAAAAUCCGGAAAGGUGUGUACAAUCAGCUGGCAUCUUAGUGCUGGUGCCAGGCCAUCCAGGAAUUUUUCCAUCUUCUUGUUUUCUGUCAUGUGCUCGUCGUAGGCAUAACGAGACAGUUGGGUAAACUGGCCGUUGUAUUCUGUGACGGACAUGCCUCUUUGCUUCAGGUCAUCAAACUCUCUUUUCUUGAUCUUUAGGAUGCUCCUGGGGAUGUGUGCCCCACGGAAGCCUUCCUUGAAUUCCUCCCAGGUGAUGUGGUGUUCCCUGGGUUGCAUGUGUAGGAAGUUCUCCCACCAUGCUGCGGCUGCUCCAGUAAGGUAGUGUGGUGCAUAAAGCACUUUCUCAUGAUCUGAGCAUUGAGCAAUAAUCAGUUUCCUUUCAAUCUCACGAAGCCAAUCAUCGGCUUCCAGCGGCCUAUCGGUGUGAGCAAAAGUUGAGGGGCGAGUCUUCUGCAACUCGGAUAACUUGGAAUGUGGUUGAUAGUGUUCACGAUGGUUUCCCAUGUUGAUGACAUGGUUCAUCAUCUCUUGGUGUUGUUGCUGGCUUUGCUCGAAGAGACGGCAUACUUGAGACAGUGCUGCUUCGCUGUCUUGUUGGCUGGAUUGACCCUGAGUGAAAUUGUUGCUGGUCUGUGUCCCGUAAACCUCUUCUGGCUGAUUGGGCAUGGAGCGAGUCCACGGGCGAGACAUUUUUCCAGUCUGGGGGUAUCAUUUGCAAAACCCAUGAGAAAAAACUGUGUAGCACGAGGAAAACCCUUGCAAAGGCAACACAAAUGAUUUUCACGGAGAAGAAGUGCUUAACAUAAAAUCUUACAUGCGAAAGCAAACACAAGAUACAGCACUCAGGAUGCGCGUACACAAUCCUGACAUGUUAUUUAAAACUAGCGUACUACUCCGAAAGGCAGCAAACACACCCAUACAAACUAGCGUACAGAUAAAACAGCACACCAUGCAAGCAGACAUAACACGCGGCUACUCGGUGCUCUCAAUCGGAGAUGGUGAGGAUCUCCUUCCCCUUGCCGAUGGCAAGGCUCAGCGGUCCAGGAGAAUCAACCUCCUCCUCUCUAGCUGGCUCCUGGCGCGCGAUGCUGCGCUGUGGUGAUGGUGCGGGGGCGACUGGUGGUAGAGUGUGUGCGGCAGGCGGUGCGGCUCUGACUGGAGUAGGAGCGAUGACUCGGUCGAACUCCUCAGUGGUAGGCAGACGGCGAGCAGUGGCCAAAACGGCCGGUGCAUACGAGGCUGAAGACGAGACGAAUGUCAGAGGCGGCGCCGUGUGGAGAAGCUCCUUCCGGCUGGCAGGACCGCCCCGGACUAAGUCCAUGCGGGCAGCCACAAGAUCAUCUACGAGGUUGUCGAAAGACUCCUCCAGAGCCUUGAGAUACUCCACAACCAUCUCGAUGGCUUCGUCUCUUUCUCCCCGAUGGCAGGCAAACGCAUAGUGGCUGGUGUAUGGCACAUGGCAUGGGAGGUAGCGGUAGCGACGAGUCUUCAUCGUAGGAAGGAUGUCCCGAAGGCGAGCUAUCGCCUCGCGGGCAGCCAUCUGCAUGGCAUGCCUCUCCAUAGGCAUGGCUCUUCCCGUAAAACGGAAGUGGCGAGCAGCAGAUCGUCCUCCCCUGAACUGCACCACGGCUUGGUGCAUAGACACGUCGUCACUAAGCUUGUGCUGAUAGAGUGUGAACUCCGGGCGAGCUGCUGGCCCGAUCGCGAGCUUGGUGAUGGAGACGAGGAGCUUGACAAACCCCUCGGGCACGUUGGUGAACACCCGAUUCUCACAGCCGCUGCCAGCCAUCUACAAAAGUAGGCAAAAAUUCUGAGUAGUCAUGUCAUAAAUUUUAUGAUGACCAACAGAAAAUAGCUACAAUUGCAAAAUGCUGAAGAAGCACUAAAGACGCUAAUAACCGAUUAGCGAUCGCACCUAGUGGCUUCCUACAGUCAGCCUGGCUCUGAUACCAAGCUUGUCACGACCGGUUUUUCAAUAAAAUAAUUAUUGAGAAACCAAUCCCUGUUACGGACCAGCGAGGAAGAAUUCCUCCUCACUGAUAGACAAUACAUUGGUCACAGAAGAAAAACACCAGGAGUACUAAAUAUAAUACAAAGUUGAGCAGAGAUUGCCCAACAAUUUAUUACAGGCACGCCGAUAAAACAAUACGGCGGAUAGGGUGGCAAACUACUAACUCACGAUAAUAACGAUGGUGGAGAUAUCACGGCGAGGCGAGUGAUAUGACUCCAGAAGACUACAGCUCUUCGAGCGUCGGAGUGAGGCUCGAGAAGACUUAUUGCGGGUGGCGGAAGCGCAAACGAUACAAGUGACCAAUAUCCGGGAUCGCGCAGGACUGACUGGGACUCCUCUAGGCGUCGGACGCGCUAUCAAACUCUUCAUCCAAGAGAUCGCCUUCGUCAACAUCUGGCCAAAUCAACAAGCCAGGUGAGUACUAUGAAAGUACUCGCAAGACAGUUCGGGCAUAAGGUAUAACAAAUGCAACCAUGAAGCACAUGAAUAAGUUAACCAGUGCGAUCAGGCAUAGAGAUAAUAAAUACUGGGUGCCAAGCGAGGGUCUGAAUGACGCCUCGAGCGGAAACUGCGGAAUAGUAAUACUGGUGCCAAACGAGUGUCUGAAAGACGCCUCGAGAGGAAAAAUGCGGAAUAAUAAUACAGGUGCCAAACGAGUGUCUGAAGGACUCCUCGAGAGGAAAAUGCGGAAUAAUAAUACAGGUGCCAAACGAGUGUCUGAAAGACUCCUCGAGAGGAAAAUGCGGAAUAAUAAUGCCGCAGUCGGGCGUCGGGGCGACACCACAUAAAGGGCUUAUAACAGAAAAUAAAGACAGUACAUGCCGCAGUCGGACGUCUGAGCGACAUCGCAUAAAGGGCUUAUAUUGUAACACAACAAUACAAUAAUUCAGGAAUAUAACUUAUCACAAGCACGAGACAAAUAUAAUGUUGGUCCAUCCACAGGAAUAACAAUAAAUCUGAGACUUUACCACUUGAGCUUGUUCACCGGGGCAAGUUUUUCACACGGAUAGAUUUGGAUAAAAAUCUACAUUUCUGACUAUGGAUACGAUGAUUUGGAAAGAAUUGACUCUGCAGAGUUUGUACUUAACCACAGCCAACGGAUUUCAGUAGUCACGGGGACUAGUUCCGUCUACGGUGUUCUGGGAGGAACACGUCUAACCAGUACACACCCAAUUUAACCAUCCGAAGCCAGGGAUCACCCUCGGCAACAUUCAGGAAAAACCCUGAGUCGGGGAGGCUACAACCUCGCGUAGCAUGGGAUCAAAUUUUUAUACGCGCGCUAUAAGGGGGUGCCCCCCCUCUCGGUCCCAACCGGAAACACCCAUGCCCCCUGACCGAAUGACUGGCUUUAAUCCUGGGCCAAGGUACCAUCAUCCCGGCCUCUCUGUUUGGUGUGUACACGGAAAGAGGUUACCAACUUACUAAACCGUAUCCUGGCAACGAGACAUGUGGUAGCACGGAAAGGGGAAGGGACGAUAACACGGCUCCAACCUGUUGACGUCGGAAAGGUCGGAUGACACAAGGCUGGCAUGCUACAACAGUACCACCUUGCUGCCCUUCAUGUCACCACAUGAUUAGGCCACCUCUCAUCAGAGGUCAUCGCAACUUUGGAACAUACGGGAAAAGAUCGAUAACGUGGCUCCAACCACGUUAACGUCGAAGAAAGUCGGAUGACGCAAGGCUGGCAUGCUACAACAGUACCACCUUGCUGCCCUUCAUGUCACCACAUGAUUAGGCCACCUCUCAUCAGAGGUCAUCGCAACUUCGGAACAACCGGGUCGUUGCCUUACAAGCAACGAGGCACUUAUCGACACUCACAUGCCACGCACAAACUUUCACAUGAACAUGCAAAACAUUUGCCAUAUCAAAUGUUCAAACAUGCUUGCCUGGUUCGGAGAAGUCGGAGUCUAGCUCGGCGAAGUUCGCGGCUCCGUCCCCUCUCCCGGAACCUACGGCAAUCACGAAACGGGGUACUAACGUGAAAACCAACACAUGCACAGAAACUUUGCCAAAUAUUUUUCAAAUAAAUCCCAUAAAAAACGAGGCAAAAUUUGGAGAUGGACAGAAAAAGAAUCACUCAAAAAUACCUUUUCAUUAAAAAGUUAUAAAGGUUUCUGUCCAGGGACCUUUCUGUAAUGAAACAGAAAAGUUCCAGGGUUUUAACUGAGAAAACAGAAAACGGUUCGUUUGGAAAUGCGCAAGCGCAAGAGAGAAGACGUAAUUUGCCCGAAGGCGCCAACAGAAAACGAUUCGGGGAAAUAAAACAGAGGCUGACACGCGGGGCCCGCAUGUCAGGUUUGAAAACUCGCCGGCGCCCGAAGACGGCGGUGGACGCCGGCGUCGAACCACGACGAGUUAGGAGAAACGGAGGGUACCAAGAGCUUCAGUGUCUUCUUCCGCGUCGGUGGGUGGUGGACUCGUCCAACGGGGAGCACCACGUCGACGGCGACACUAUCUCCGGCGGACGGCGGUUCGGGUGAGGUUGGGGAACUCCGGUGGAGGGCUGCAAAGUACGAAUUGAGGCGCGGGUCAGAACGGGUGAUGCAAGGAGAAGCUACUGGCAAGAGAAUGGGGGUUGCGGAGCACACACGGGGGCGAAUCGGGCUGGAUCCCGUGGGGGAUCACGGUGGCCGGAGUCGAGGAAGGAGACCCUCUCGCGGCUCUUCCAGUGGCUGGGCGUGCUCUAGGGGAAGUGUAGGGCUGGUGGGUGCUCGAGUUGAAGCUCGGGGCCGCUAUUUAUAGGCAGCUCGACGGGGUGGCCGUGAACGGAGAACCUCCGGCGAGCGAUUACGGCGGAGCAGUGGGUUGGCAGGAGGUUUGAGCGGUCGAGAAGCAUCAGUGGAUGUUGCUGGACUUGAUUUGCAGCUGAACGUGGUUAGUCUUGGCGUAACGGCGUCUGUCCACGGUGAGGUGACCGCACGAGCUCAACGGCGGCAGAGAGCGCGCUCCGCGCCCUGGGGUUCACGACGAGAGCGGCAGCGCAUUCGGGGGAGUGGACGGCCACGCGGCGGGCUCCGGUGGUUUGGGCGGUGUUGGGUGGAGUCGGCGGCGCCGUGUCUCCCGCUGGCGUCCGCAAAGCCGCCGCCGGCGUCGGUCACGGGGCGGCGCACCUUCUGCUGCUCGUCGCCGACGCCCGCAAGAUGCCAGGCACUCGUGCGGUGCAGGAACGGGAGGGCGAGGACGAGGAGCAAGGCGACGCGAGGGUACUGGCGAGAUCGAUGUCAUGCUCUGAAGAAAACGACAGUAGCCACUGAACUGAAACUCUGAAUCUCUGAAACUUGACAGUGACUAUGCAUUGCAGGUGUUCGACAGUAGGUUUUGGUAAAAAGAUGAAUUUUGCUGGGGCUGUAACUUGGUGAGAUGAUCACUCAAAGCACCCAGGGGCUGCAUGAAUUUACUUGGAAUUUUUGGAGAAAGUUUUGAAUGAAUUUCACCAAAUUUGGCAAAUCUGGUCCAAACUUGCAGCUGAUGUAGUUUGAAAAUUUUGAACUGGAGACCAGUGGAUCUUCAUGGUUCCAGGUUGAGGGUUCAAAGGACUAGGAGGGGAAAGAAGUUUGGGGCCAAAAAUCAAAACAGAAAGAGGAGUUCCUUUGUAAAUCUCCAAGUGGUAGAAUAGAAGGCAGAAAAUAUUUGAAUAGAAUUUGAAUGGAAAAUAAAUACAUGGGGAGGUCCAACUUGCUUGAUUUGAUGUAAAUCAUGAUCCAGAGGUGAGGGAGGAGUUAGGAGAGAUCAUUUGCACUUGGGCCAUGGCAAAAAGGAAUUGUUGGAAGUGGCAAAAGGCUUUCCAAAAGCCAUAGUGCAAAUUCAAGAAAAGGUUUUCAAAAGUUAUUUUCCCAAAUGAAAACCAUUUUGUCUUGAGUCCUAAAGAAAGCAAGAACCUCCAAGGUCAAAGGCAGAUCUUGGGUGAAUCCAAAUAAAAAUUUUGCCAUAAAGAAAGAUAUUUGAGAGUGAGAGUUCUCUUGAAAAUUUUUUUUUUUGAAAAAUCCAAAUAAAAACUUGGGUGCCACAUCCAUACAAGGUUUGAACGAUUUUUGACACCGUAUGAAAGUUGCGACACGUCUGCCCUUGUCAGCCUUUUUUGACCGAGAAAACGCUAAAAAAUGCAAAAUUUGUCAAAAAACCAAAACAACCUGUCAUGUUGCCCUGAAUUGGUCAUACAAGGUCAUGAAAAAAUUGGGGUCAUUUCAAAGAUAUCGGGAAACAACGUACUCUCACCUGAACACCCUCCAUUGAUCAUGGUCUAUGUUUGGACACCCUUCAAAUCACCCCAACUUUUGCAAGCAUGUGGGCAUGCCCAUAGUAGGCAUCCAUGUCAAGUUUAAAUGAUUUCCGACAUCGUAUGCAAGUUGUGACAUGUUCGGCCAUUUAUCGGUCUCUUUUGAUCCAGAAAACUCCAGAAAAAUGCAAAAAAAUGUGCCCUCAACGAAUACCUGAACACCAUUCGUUGAACAUGAUCUAAUUUUGGACAUCUUCAAAAGACACCAAAUUUUGUAAAAUAGGUGGGCAUGCCCAUGGUAGGCAUUCGUGUCAGAUUUGAAUGAUUUUUGACACCAUAUGCAAGUUGCGACACGUUCGGCCGUUUGUCGGUCUUUUUUGACCGAGAAAUGCAAAAAGGCUCGAAAACCAAAACAUCUUAGCAUUGUGCCUUGAAGGAUGUUCGAAGGAAACAGUGAUACUGUCAGAAAGCAAACGUGGAGUGGCGACCAUCCGCUAUUCGUUUUAAGCACAAGAGUCUGGUUAAGCUCACCAUCUUCGACUUUCAACCUGAGGAGAACUUUGUGCGAUACGAUAGGCGCGUCAUGGAAAUUGCGGUGAGCAUGAAGGAGAUAUAUCUGCAUGACUGGCAGGUGUGCGAGGACUGCGGGUACUUGGAUCCCAAUAUCAAGGUUUGUCCUUCUCGGUAUCCGCGGACCAGCGAGGAGAAGGAUAUGUUGAGGGAGGAGAUUACUAAGGAGUUGCAGAUGGCUUCGCCUGCUAUGAUUCACUUUAGGUCCUCAUUAAUCUAGAGUCCAUUUAAAUCAUCACUAAAAUCUUGUACUCUUAUUUAUCGUCUAUGUAGCUGCAAGGAUCUUCUAUGCUCGCUCCAUAAUUCAGUAGUCACUUCAUUUGUAUUCUUAUUUAUUUAUCCCUCAACUCAAGCUUGUACUGAUGCCUUAGGGUGAAAAUAGUUAUUAAUAACUGUUGUGAAUAUCAUGAUCUUUUAUCUGUGGCACCUCUUACGAGAUUGAUAGAUUUUUUUGGAGAAGCUUAUCUUGGAAGUUAUAAACCAACGGAUGCACUUGUGUUUUCUGCUUGGUCUAUGUUAUACCAGUCCAUUAUGGCUAUAUGUAUAGUGUUCAGAUAUCUAGCCUGAUGCAUACCAAGUCCUUUUUGCUUGUGGUUGACCUAGCCCGACCUCUCAAUUUUUAAUUUUUUUCGCGAAUACGCAAAGCUUGCGUAUCAUUGCAUUGAUAGAAAGAGCAGAAUAAGUACUGAUAAGGCACAUGACACGAACGCAGACAGGCGUGAACAUGGUGUCCGGAGCAGAAAGACAAGGGAUGCUCAGCCCGAGGAGAAGAUACAACACAGCUAAACCUACCAAACCCAAACAAAGAGCGGCAAACUCGAACUAACAAGGUCACCAACAUCGCCGGAGCCAAGACCGGGAACACCGCGAGCAAGCAAGAUGGCGCCUUCAAGAAGGAAUACGAUGCCGAGACACCGUCGCCAUCCAGUCCGGAGGAACCGGACCUAGGGUUUCCCCUCAGGUUGAAGAGGGGCGUAGCCGAGGGCCUUGACAACGCCUCCAAGGAGGAAACGACAUCCGCAUACGCCGCCGUUGCCAGCAUCGGCAAACCGAGCAGGGAUUUCUCCCUGGCCCGAGGCUGAGCAAUCCCAUAGUCGCCGAAUCUGGAAACGAGGAUGAGGAAGCCAACUCUGAUCGGAGCCACCAUGUCGAAAGGGGGGUUGGCGGGCUGCACCUGCCGUCGGAGGGUGGCACCUCCUCCAGAUCCACGAGCAUUGGAUAUGGCAAAAAGGGAAGGCUUUGAAGUGUACAAGGUAGGGUAGACUGUGAAUUAAACCACGAGGGGGUGGGGCGACGGCGAACAGCAACGCCGGCAAGCUAGGAUUGGAGGUACGCAGAUCCGAGCUGCCGUGGCCAUAGCCGUCGAGAUGUCGAGGAGCCAGGCGAGCUGGAAGGGACGUAGCUGUUUGGUUCUCGAGGCCGGAGCCGCCCGGCAAAGCACACCGGCAGCCAUGGACACCGGAGAGACGCGGGUCCAAGUUCGCCGGGGCCGGAGCAGCGCCAGCAAGUACCCGUCUUGAGGGACUUCAUGACUGCUUCUAGCAAUGUAGCUUCGUCGCCUCCGCGCAUGAGCCAUCACCAUGGCUCGGGAGGGAGAGGUUGUCGGAUACAAGGGGGCCGCCUGCAGGAAGGCAGACUAUGAACACCCCCGCGACCGGCCGCAGAUCCCGCACCCAACCCACGACCAGUCGCACCAGCAGGGCAUGGCCUCGCCACGGAGGGUGGAGGGAAGGGCUACUGGGGAGGGCGUAAGGCAGGGACGUGCAGCAGCGCCCGCGCCAGAGCCAGGGUGGGGCCGGGGGUGGGGGGACGCGUGGGGGACGGAUCCGGCCGGCGGCAGCAUCCUGGGGCAUGGCGCGGCCUCGCCGGUCAGCCCACCGGCGGCAGCGCGGCGGAAGCGGGCNNNNNNNNNNNNNNNNNNNNNNNNNNNNNNNNNNNNNNNNNNNNNNNNNNNNNNNNNNNNNNNNNNNNNNNNNNNNNNNNNNNNNNNNNNNNNNNNNNNNNNNNNNNNNNNNNNNNNNNNNNNNNNNNNNNNNNNNNNNNNNNNNNNNNNNNNNNNNNNNNNNNNNNNNNNNNNNNNNNNNNNNNNNNNNNNNNNNNNNNNNNNNNNNNNNNNNNNNNNNNNNNNNNNNNNNNNNNNNNNNNNNNNNNNNNNNNNNNNNNNNNNNNNNNNNNNNNNNNNNNNNNNNNNNNNNNNNNNNNNNNNNNNNNNNNNNNNNNNNNNNNNNNNNNNNNNNNNNNNNNNNNNNNNNNNNNNNNNNNNNNNNNNNNNNNNNNNNNNNNNNNNNNNNNNNNNNNNNNNNNNNNNNNNNNNNNNNNNNNNNNNNNNNNNNNNNNNNNNNNNNNNNNNNNNNNNNNNNNNNNNNNNNNNNNNNNNNNNNNNNNNNNNNNNNNNNNNNNNNNNNNNNNNNNNNNNNNNNNNNNNNNNNNNNNNNNNNNNNNNNNNNNNNNNNNNNNNNNNNNNNNNNNNUCAGGAGCCGCUACGGAAGAACUUGUUAAUAGAGAUACUAUACCUCUCUCAAUUUUGGAGGUGGUAAAAUUUAUAUUUAGGUCUGCAUGAGCAAGCCUUUUCUUUUUUUUCUGCUGAUUUGAGCAAUCAGCACUCGAUGACACCAGAAAAAUUUAUGAUGCAUGGUUAUGGCUGACAACUUCACACGGUCAGGGAGCAGAGCGGUAAAUCUAAGCCGGUUGUUGCUUGGUGUGGAGAUUAAUGAAACGACAACAUCAAACUGGACUUCUGGAACCAGUGUUAAGUUUGAAGUGAGCAUCUAGUCAAAUUCAACUGUUUGCAUCAAUUUUAGUUUGUACAACUUCUCUUAUUAGCUGUCCUUUCCCUCCAGCAUAUCUGUCCUGUUAAUAAUGAUGGGUGCUCCAUAGCCAGGAACCACCGCGGCUUUCCCCUAACAUGCAGGUGAUCGCAGUACUUUUUCGGGUGUGCCCUUUGAUACAGUAAAGGUUAAAGUUUCUAUUUCGCUGGAAAGUAUAAACUUUGUUGCGUUCGACUAAGUUCUCUCAGUUUUAGAAGUGGUAAAAAAUAAAUUUAGGUCUACACAAGCAAAGUCUUAUUGACUGGGGCAGACAUUGAACGUACUGUUGAUCUCACUUUGGAUCAGGUAUGUCUACCCGAGUUGCAUUUUUUCAGACAUAUGUCACUGCACUUGUGAUUAAUUUGGGAGUAGAGGUAACACGAACCAUAAUAUAAUUUUGAAACCAUAUAUAAUUUUGCCACCUUACAUCUAUUUAAAACAAGAUAUUCCAUAUAGCUUGGCGCCCUGAUUUUGGAUUUUCAUGAAGCUGGAUGCUUUCUGUAGUCAGGGCCAAGCAUGGUAUGCUCUUCAUUUCGUUUCUUUCUUGAGCCACCCAGUAGUGGUGGUUCAGAGCCUGGACGAUAUUCUUGGGAUAACAUGGGAUUAUCUCCAUCAAGUCAGUGGUAUGUAAGAUCCUUGAAGCCUUCUGAGCUAGCAGCUAAUUGAUUUCAAAAUUUAUUUUUGUUGGUAUGUGUUCCUCGGGGAAAUGUCAAACUUCUUAGUUGUUACUUUUUGUAGCAGUGUUACCUGUUAGUCGAAGUGAAAAAAUAGAUAGAAUAAAAUAAAGCACGACAUUCUCAGAAAACUUGGUAAUUUGAAACUUGAAAGCGCCUGUCAUCUUAUGAUCUAGCAUUGCAUGACCUGGAUGAAAGUGAAAUGGUGAACCUGUUGGUCAAAGUGAUACUAUUAAUUAUUGGACUGAUGUAAAUUUGGCAGGUGUCUGCACCGUGAUUUGUGGAGGUCACUGAACAUUCUGGCUUUUGAUGAGACAUAUAUAUACUACAUCACGAAUGACUUGCUGUAAAUUUAAAGAUUGUGUCAUGACUCAUGUCAACUUUUACAGAAAACCACGAGUAGGCUGACCUAAUUAUGAUGUUUUGGUAUUUAAUUACCUAAUAAAUUUAUGCAAGCGAGUGUUUGUUUGUUUGUUUCUGAUGGUUGUUUACAUGAUGUAAACAUCAACAAUUUUAGAGCUGCGUUGGGGGUUUAAUGUUCUAGUAUUUCACUCCAUGACCGAGAUGGGCACGGGCAAGAUCACCAAACUGAAAAUAGCCAUCAGUAAUAACAACAAGACAAUCAGAGUCUAUUGCUCCAUACAUGCCGACGAGAAUGAAUCUCAUACACGGUUACUAGAAGAAAAUGGCACAAUCAUGGAUGGUAUUAAUUAAGUGGAGACAAGAAAGUGGCAACUAAAACACACAACAAUCAGGAGGAUCGGGUCCUGUCUUGUCCUCGAAAGCACAGCACACACAAGAGAAAAGAGCAGCCUGGACCGGAUCGGACCACAUACAAGGAAGGAAAUGGACAAGACAUGCAUCAGAUCAUACACACCCGCACCGCACUCAUGGCUUCACUCCUUGCUGAAGCACCCGUUCGCCAUGACCUGCCCGAGGACGCAGGGAGCAAACAUCAUCGUGUUGAGAGGGCAGGCCUUCCCGAUCUGCACCAGGCAAGCGAUGCAUGCUGCAGGGCACAGCUUGGAGUGGAUGAUGUCCUCCAUCAGUGCGAGAACCUCAAGGCUCAGCUCGUCGGAUGGUAGGACGUCGUCAUUGCCGGCCUCGGCUAGCAUCACCAGCUGGCUGGUGAGCAGAAGAGCCAGGAGGAGCAUCACCACCACCUUCCGGUCAGCCAUCUUCUUACAGCUAGAGCGCGAGUUUGUGUGGCCUGGCUGAGUGGGUGUUUACUUGUGUGUUCUGCUAGCUGUGUGUUUGGGCGGGCGUGGGCGUGCUAUUUAUAGACAGAAUCUGAGGCUCCACGAUGCACAUAUAUGUGCUCUUCUUCUUCAUUCUUACUUUCUUCUUUGACUGUGUGUGUGCAGUGACCAACCUUGAAUGAGUUUUAAUUACUUGCUACGAUUUAAAAAUGGAUACCAGUUAGUGUCCACACAGCCCAGCCUAGCCAGUGCAAACAUACAUAUUUUCAUUAGCUACCUAGGCAGGCCUGAUGAACAAAUCUCUAAAUUGAUCGAUCAAAGGUAAUUCAGUGCGUUGCAUGAAAUCAAAGGUAACCCCCUCAAUUAUAGAGUAGUAGUUUCGGCGUGAUUACAUGAAUAUUAAGAAGAAGAAUCUAAAAAGUUGGGCAACAUAAAAAAAAAUCAUGAAUAUUAAAAAGUCAUCUCGUCCAUCUAAAAAAUCAUCAAGCUGAAUAAUAAUCUAAAAGGCACGGUCUCGCGGACGGACGGACGAACAAACCAAGUUACCAUGCAUGCAAGUUGCCACGAUCAAACCACAAGGCCAUGAACCAACCUUACCUGGUCUAAAGAGAGAGCUCUUUGAAGUUGGAAGCAGGCCAGGCACAUGACAUGCCCGCCCGCCCGCCCGCCCGCUAGGAAGGAUCACUAUCUUACUUACUUUUUUGGGGGAAGAGGAGCUUUGAUCUCGUCUUGUUGUUGCGAGAGGAGGGAGACCUAAGCUAGGAUGCGCCGGCCGUAUGACACAAGGGGAGGGCCGAGAGAGAGAGAGAGAUUUGCAAGUGCAGUGGUCACGGCUUGGGUACAAAACUGAGAGAGAGAGAGAGAGAGAGAGAGGGGGGGGAGGAUGGCGUUAGGCUUGGCUUAGGAUUGCACUACUAGUACUAGUACCUAGCUAGCUGGCUACUGUGUCCGGCCGGCAGCUAAGCUGAAUCGUUCACUCCGGAGACCCAACAUGAUCCAACGGCGCACAGCCCAGUGCAACAAGCACACGAUCCGUGUGCUCUCCUCUCAUUGGUCUAAAGUAUUUCUUUUCUUUUUUUCCUUCCUUAAGGUACAGUAAUGAAGCGAAGUUGGAUGCUUUGACAGUAACUUUUGUUCGGCCAAGCUGGAUGGUGGAUCCUAAUCUAGUCCACCAGGGACUUAUCUUACUUGGGCGUAAUCGGCUGUCAUGUUUGAUCCCCAGUCUCACUCAGGGCUCAUUCGAUUUCGAGGAAACUAAAACGUAGGAAUUACGAUUAGUAUAGGAAUGUGAUAGGGUGGCACUUGCCAUCCUAAGGAAUUGACUUGUCUCGUUCGUUCCUACGCGUAAAAUGAGCUUUAAGUGGAUGUGUAGUUUUCUCCAAAAACACAGAAAACGAGUAGUGUUCCUAUGAAUUUCUUGUACGCAUCUAAAUGCAUCUAUAGGAUCUUUUUUCUUCUCUGAAAUCCUUAUUCCUAUGUUUUUUCUAUAAAAAUCCUCCAAACCGAAUGAGGCCUCAUCAUGUAAAUAUGGCUGGUUACAUGUUGUAACAUUAAAAUCUAUUAUUACUAGCACAUUGACCAAACAUGCAUACAUAUACUCUACUAUUUGAGUUUACAACUAUCAUAGGCAGUGGUACAUCUAAUGAGAAUAUGUACGACUCACCCAUAGAAGGGAGCAUAAACAGGUGAGAUGAUGCAUUGCAGUUAUUAAUCCAAAAGCAAAGACAUGCUAACAUGAGUGCUUCAGUUUGACUCAAGAAAAGGGACCUCAUGAGGCCCCGACUAAGGAACCAAAUAAAAAACCAAGUCCUUCAGAGGCUUGGCAUCAUCCAUUUCCACAUCAGAAUUAGCAUGCAUCAUGCUUUUCUCUUGAUCUUCAUCUUGAUGUACCCAACACAAGUGCAACUUAGGCAAUAUAUGAUGACUGCUAGCAUGCUACUACUUCUGAAACCACAACUACAGCCAAUUGAACAUAUAAACCCUGAAGAAGUGGUAGUCACAACGAAGCUAGCCACGUCGCCUUUAAAUCGCUGCUGCCACCGCCUGUAAUUUUCAUUCCCCGCCGAGGGCAUCUUAGUAAUUUUCCCCCGCCGAGGGCAUCUUGGUAAUUUCACGUACAGAUGUAUAAAAGCCAGCUGCCUGUGGAGAAGACCUAGCCGCCCGCCACUCUCCUCUUUCUGCCGCCUCCACGCUCGCUUCCUCCUCCAUCCUCCCGCGUCAGUCGCACCCCCUCCUCCCCUCCCGCAUCUCGUCCACCCUGGGAUCCGGCGAGGUCGGGUCCUCGAGCCAUGGAGGCACUCGUCGCCGGUCCCUCGCAGUUGGCCUCCCGUGCGUCGCACCACCCCUCCUGCCGCCUCGGCUCUCUCCCCCCGCCUCGGCUCUCACCUCCAGCUGCAGCUCUAGAGGAGAGGAGAAGACAAAGACAGAGAGAUGGCCGCCGGUGCUGGCGCUGCUGCUGGCGUCGAUGCUGGCGGCCCCGCCGCCGACUGCUACUCCUCCACCGCCUCGCCUCUUCCUCCUCCUCGCCUUCCCAUCGCUCACGCGCAGGUCGCCCGACGGCAGGGAUGGUCAGGAAGGCUUCCCAGCCCGACGGUGCCGUCAUGGGAGCUGCAGGGCGGAGGUGAGGAUGCGUCGCUCGCGGAUUUGAUCGAGGGUGCCACGCCGCCGUCGCCGACUGGAUUUGCUCCUCCAUCGCCGCCGCGAGUCAACUCCACCGUUGUCGCCAGGAAUCCGUCCCCGGCAAGGUCUCCCUCGUUGCUCCUCCUCCUACAAUCUCUCCCACAAUGGUAUAGUACGGUGGUUUGAUUUGGUUCUUUUGGUGGUAUGUUCCCUACCGUCUCUCUUUUUUCAGUUUCUAACUUCGAUGCUUUGGUUUGUUGUUUUGUCCAGCAGGAGGAGCGGAAGGGGCCACGGAUGAGGAGGAAGGAGACUAGCAGGAGGAGGAGAUAUUCUUUUUCGAUUUGGUUCUCAUGCUGGCAUCUCCCUGCUGUCUGCUUUCCUUUUAGUUUCCAACUUUGAUGCUUGGAUUUGUUGUCUUGGCCAGCAGGAGUAGGAGGAGACAGGGAGGAUGAGGAAGGAGACAAGAAGGAGGAAGAGAAAAUCUUGCUUGCCUUAUGGACUCGCAAUAAACAGGUGUGUGUUGUGCUACUCAUGCCUUUUUUAAUCUCACUAACGACGGUGUUUUACUGGAUUGAAUCAGAGGAAGCUCAUAUUUGUUUCCUGGACAAUAUUUUCCUCAUGUGUUGCAUUCUGGAAAGGGUGUCUUUGGCCAGUUUUCUGUUCUUUCAUUGUUUCAAUUGUGUGACUCUACACAUGUAUCCUCACAAUUAGUGGCGCCUACAAGAAUGCCAGGCCUACCUGUAGCUUUUCUUAUGUAGUUAAAUAAAACAACUCAGGGUCUCACACUUUCCUUUCUUUCCAAUAUAAUAAGGCUGCUAUUGCCUGUUAAUACUUCACAUUGGUGAUGAGCUUUAAACCAGUUAUAGUUCAUCGAUUAUCUUAUGACUUUUUGAUAAACAUAAUUAUAUUUUAAUUUGCUCUAUUGUUUUCUUAUUUUUUCUAUCAAACUGCCAUAUAUGAUACACGAAGAAGCAUUUACCUGAAGACAUUAAUAGAGUUUUCAUGUAGAAUUUGUUCUUUUUUUUUGCUCCCUUAAAUUAGACGAUCAAGAAACCGGAUAAGCGUCACAUUGGUUCAGGCUUGGUGCUAGAUAGUUAGCUCCCAUUUAUCCUGGACAAGUACUGUAUUCUCAAAUCUAUAUGGUUAGUUGUACCUCUUCUUUGAUGUUGGCGCUACAGAUCCAUCUCGGUCAUUUAGGGAAACUGAAAUCUGCAUCUUCAACUCAUAGUUUGCCAAUUUGGAUUAUUUAUGAGAACAAUCCUACCUGGUUAUAUCCUUGACAAAAUUUCUUGAGAUUUAUUGAUAUUGUUCUUGGAUACUUAUAGAGUCAAACUUUGCAGGCAAUUGGUUGGGCUACAUGAUAGACACUUUAAUAUAUCUUCUUGGAAGCCGCUUAGUGUUCCAAUGAAUAAUUGUCGCUGGUGUGGUGAACGCCUUCAUUGUUUGGUGGGCUGCUUCCUGCCUGGUGUGGUUGAAGAAUUUUCAGAGGUAUGGUUCAUCUUUCGUGCAGCCUUUAGUUUGAGUUUCUGUUGACACAUUAAAUUUCCCUUUCCUGUAGACCCCUCCUUUUUCGUUUUAUUAGUUGGGUGUAAUAGCAAAUCAUCUAUAAUUAUUUUGUUUAACUACAAUCUGAUGCAAAAGAGUUCUGUUUAGUUCUCAUAGUUCAUCCAUUAUAUGUUUGCUUUCAAAACAAAGAAAUCGGCUGUCCAAGUUCUGAUCAUGCUCUUAUUGAGAUUCAGUCCUCCUUGAUCUUUUUUCUGUAUGCUUGCAUCUCCUUAGCAUCCAAGUUCUGAUCAUGCUACAAUCUUGUUUUAAAUUUAUAUGGAUCGAUUAUCUUAUGACUUUUUGAUAAACAUAAUUAUAUUUUAAUGUGCUCUAUUGUUUUCUUAUUUUUUCUAUCAAACUGCCAUAUAUGAUACACGAAGAAGCAUUUACCUGGAGACAUUAAUAGAGUUUUCACGUAGAAUUUGUUCUUUUUUUUGCUCCCUUAAAUUGGACGAUCAAGAAACCUGGUAAGCGUCACGUUGGUUCAGGCUUGGUACUAGAUAGUUAGCUCCCAUUUAUCCUGGACAAGUACUUUAUUCUCAAAUCUAUAUGGUUAGUUGUACCUCUUCUUUGAUGUUGGCGCUACAGAUCCAUCUCGGUCAUUUAGGGAAACUGAGAUCUGCAUCUUCAACUCAUAGUUUGCCGGUUUGGAUUAUUUAUGAGAACAAUCCUACCUGGUUAUAUCCUUGACAAAAUUUCUUGAGAUUUAUUGAUAUUGUUCUUGGAUACUUAUAGAGUCAAACUCUGCAGGCAAUUGGUUGGGCUACAUGAUAGACACUUUAAUAUAUCUUCUUGGAAGCCGCUUAGUGUUCCAAUGAAUAAUUGUCGCUGGUGUGGUGAACGCCUUCAUUGUUUGGUGGGUUGCUUCCUGCCUGGUGUGGUUGAAGAAUUUUCAGAGGUAUGGUUCAUCUUUCGUGCAGCCUUUAGUUUGAGUUUCUGUUGACACAUUAAAUUUCCCUUUCCUGUAGACCCCUCCUUUUUCAUUUUAUUAGUUGGGUGUAAUAGCAAAUCAUCUAUAAUUAUUUUGUUUAACUACAAUCUGAUGCAAAAGAGUUCUGUUUAGUUCUCAUAGUUCAUCCAUUAUAUGUUUGCUUUCAAAACAAUGAAAUCGGCUGUCCAAGUUCUGAUCAUGCUCUGAUUGAGAUUCAGUCCUUGAUCUUUUUUCUGUAUGCUUGCAUCUCCUUAGCGUCCAAGUUCUGAUCAUGCUACAAUCUUGUUUCAAAUUUAUAUGGAUCGAUUAUCUUAUGACUUUUUGAUAAACAUAAUUAUAUUUUAAUUUUCUCUAUUGUUUUCUUAUUUUUUCUAUCAAACUGCCAUAUAUGAGACACGAAGAAGCAUUUACCUGAAGACAUUAAUAGAGUUUUCACGUAGAAUUUGUUCUUUUUUUGCUCCCUUAAAUUAGACGAUCAAGAAACCUGAUAAGCGUCACGUAGGUUCAGGCUUGGUGCUAGAUAUUUAGCUCCCAUUUAUCCUGGACAAGUACUGUAUUCUCAAAUCUAUAUGGUUAGUUGUACCUCUUCUUUGAUGUUGGCGCUACAGAUCCAUCUCGGUCAUUUAGGGAAACUGAAAUCUGCAUCUUCAACUCAUAGUUUGCCAGUUUGGAUUAUUUAUGAGAACAAUCCUACCUGUUUAUAUCCUUGACCAAAAUUUCUUGAGAUUUAUUGAUAUUGUUCUUGGAUACUUAUAGAGUCAAACUCUGCAGGCAAUUGGUUGGGCUACAUGAUAGACACUUUAAUAUAUCUUCUUGGAAGCCGCUUAGUGUUCCAAUGAAUAAUUGUCGCUGGUGUGGUGAACGCCUUCAUUGUUUGGUGGGCUGCUUCCUGCCUGGUGUGGUUGAAGAAUUUUCAGAGGUAUUGUUCAUCUUUCGUGCAGCCUUUAGUUUGAGUUUCUGUUGACACAUUAAAUUUCCCUUUCCUGUAGACCCCUCCUUUUUCGUUUUAUUAGUUGGGUGUAAUAGCAAAUCAUCUAUAAUUAUUUUGUUUAACUACAAUCUGAUGCAAAAGAGUUCAGUUUAGUUCUCAUAGUUCAUCCAUUAUAUGUUUGCUUUCAAAACAAAGAAAUCGGCUGUCGAAGUUCUGAUCAUGCUCUUAUUGAGAUUCAGUCCUCCUUGAUCUUUUUUCUGUAUGCUUGCAUCUCCUUAGCGUCCAAGUUCUGAUCAUGCUACAAUCUUGUUUUAAAUUUAUAUGGAUCGAUUAUCUUAUGACUUUUUGAUAAACAUAAUUAUAUUUUAAUUUGCUCUAUUGUUUUCUUAUUUUUUCUAUCAAACUGCCAUAUAUGAUACACGAAGAAGCAUUUACCUGAAGACAUUAAUAGAGUUUUCACGUAGAAUUUGUUCUUUUUUUGCCCCCUUAAAUUGGACGAUCAAGAAACCUGGUAAGCGUCACGUUGGUUCAGGCUUGGUACUAGAUAGUUAGCUCCCAUUUAUCCUGGACAAGUAAUGUAUUCUCAAAUCUAUAUGGUUAGUUGUACCUCUUCUUUGAUGUUGGCGCUACAGAUCCAUCUCGGUUAUUUAGGGAAACUGAGAUCUGCAUCUUCAACUCAUAGUUUGCCGGUUUGGAUUAUUUAUGAGAACAACCCUACCUGGUUAUAUCCUUGACAAAAUUUCUUGAGAUUUAUUGAUAUUGUUCUUGGAUACUUAUAGAGUCAAACUCUGCAGGCAAUUGGUUGGGCUACAUGAUAGACACUUUAAUAUAUCUUCUUGGAAGCCGCUUAGUGUUCCAAUGAAUAAUUGUCGCUGGUGUGGUGAACGCCUUCAUUGUUUGGUGGGCUGCUUCCUGCCUGGUGUGGUUGAAGAAUUUUCAGAGGUAUGGUUCAUCUUUCGUGCAGCCUUUAGUUUGAGUUUCUGUUGACACAUUAAAUUUCCCUUUCCUGUAGACCCCUCCUUUUUCAUUUUAUUAGUUGGGUGUAAUAGCAAAUCAUCUAUAAUUAUUUUGUUUAACUACAAUCUGAUGCAAAAGAGUUCUGUUUAGUUCUCAUAGUUCAUCCAUUAUAUGUUUGCUUUCAAAACAAAGAAAUCGGUUGUCCAAGUUCUGAUCAUGCUCUGAUUGAGAUUCAGUCCUCCUUGAUCUUUUUUCUGUAUGCUUGCAUCUCCUUAGCGUCCAAGUUUUGAUCAUGCUACAAUCUUGUUUCAAAUUUAUUCUAAUAGAUGUAUGUACCAUGAUGAUUGAGGAGGCGUAUCGAUGGAAAUAAAUCUGAAGAAAAUAAGUAAGUCGCCUCCAUCAGCGAGGCUGUGAACAACUCGUGGUGCCCCUGUUAACCUCCUCAAUGUUUGCGUUGUUUGCCUGUAGGUCAAAUGCCCACUAUUCAGCAGACAUGUAACUCUGUUUCUUAAAUCCCUUUCUCUAUUCAUCGCCCUGUUGAUACAUGCUUAGCAAUCAUAUAAAUUGUACUCAUAUAUAAUUUAAUAUAUCUCAGAUACAGUGUCCAGAUCAUUUAGGAACCAGCGUCACUUCAAAAAAAGAUAGGACCUGAUACACAUUACAUUCAUGGACUGCUGAUAUACCUGAUGCAUUUCUUCAUGAUGGUCGGUUUCCUUUCACCAGAUCUGACAUAUUUAAUUCUGUGUGCUUGGAACCCGAAACUGAUCGAGAUCUUCAGUUCUUACUUGCAGAUGUUCUGUUAUUCAGAGUAAUUCAGUUUCCAGUCUCUGUAUAUUAAUCAAAUUAUGGGUUAUUUUCAACCUUAUACCCUUUUAUUAUGUGUUCAGUUAUGUUUCCAUGGGUUUGCAUAUGUAUUAACAAUAAAAAACAGACUAUUAUUUUGUUUAUACUUGAACCAAAGGGUGUACAAUUAAUUUGCUCUUACGAAAGGAAUGAGUAGUCAGCUAGCUGAAUGAGAUGACAAUCAUGACAAGCGAACCAACACAUGUAGAGAAAUGUUAUUUUCCAGUUCAUUGUGAAAGAAGGCACAUAAGUUUUCAGAGUUCUAGAAUGUGUUUCAUUAAGAAACAAUUAUAACACUGUACUCUAACAAAUCACACAUAUGGAGAAAUGUUAUUUUCGAGUCUCCAUAACAUACUGAUCUUUUUUUAGAUAUAUGAACUUGCAUUCGCUUUGUUAAUUCUUCUGCAAUGCAGGUAAUAUUCCUAAUCAUUGCUGCUGACGCUGAAAAACUACUCCUGAAGCACUAGAAGUGCCCUCUCUAUGGCGCAUCACUCACUGGAUCCAGAUGGGCAACAUUCCGCUUCAAAAUUAAAGAGUACAGUUUUUGCCUGCCAUCAUUGCUUACCAAGAGUAAUCUACCAUGUGCCUAAUAUAUAUAUACAUAAUUGUUGCACCAUCACAAGAUUCCCAGGAUAUACAUGGGCAUAACUUUCUUUACUGUGAAUUAAUCGACAUGAUGCUGACAGGAGGAAAGGCAGGCUGUCAUUUCUAAAGGUUGAGAUUUUCUGUUUUAAGGAAUAGCAAUGCUAAAUUCUACAAUGGUACUCUGUCGAAUGUUUACAAAUACCACGAAGCUAGAGAUCUAUUGUGAAAACUUUCUUUCUUUUGUUUGUUAUAAGUUUUUAGUCAAAAAAACAUGACUUUUCCAUUACCAAACAAAUAUGUAAGAUUUAUUGCUUUUCUAACCGAAGUGUUCCUGACAAUUACAUAUGAGAGUACAUAUAACUGAGUUGUGCUGACUUGCUUUUUCUAAACUGGUAAGCUGGAGUCAGAGUUACAUAUGAGAGUAGAGAUAAUUAAGUUCUGCUCCUGACUUGAUUAACAAAAGCUAUAGAAGAAAGGGACCAAAUACCAGACAGCUGAAAAUUCAAAGAAAGGUGGAAGUAGGGAACUACACAACUUGAUUCAAGGUUACAAAUGGACAAAGGGCAUCUAUUGAGCAGCAGAAAACAAUAAUGGACUGAGCUAAGGAUAUAGUGGUCAAUUAGUAAAGAGAUCUGUGGUAAGUGUAGCAGCGGGACGCAAACGGAACUUUUGUGACUUACUGAAGUCGAGCAGGAGUUCAGAAAAGAAAUUGCAACCGAAGUAGAACCUCUUCACCAAGAGAACAUAGGGAUUUUAAGUUUUUUGUAGCCUGCACCGGAGACUGUAGAGUUAAGUUUCUACAUCUUAGUGUACAGUUUAACUAUAUAAGGUUACUUACUAUGUAGUAAAUAUUGGCUUUUGCCAUUGCUGAUCAAGUCCUUCUCUCUGUGCUUGGAAGCAUAAACCUACUUAGUGAUCCGUUUUCAGUUAAGCUAAACUUAUAUCUUUCUGCUAACAUUUUAGUGCUCUAAUGAUUAUUCAGAAGGGGAUUUGCAUGUUCCUAGAUGCAUAGCCUUUCUUAUAUAUGUUUUCAGAAGACUGGAUUUUUUAGGGAUAACAUUGGGAUUUAAGAUAGUUUUUUUUUGUUGAAUUCGGGAACUGAAAUCCGAAUAAACCAUAUCUUGAGAGGCCAGCAUAAUGGUACUUGAAAUAAAUGCUAAUCCGCACUCACAUCUUAUGGUGAUUUGGUCAAAGCUACUACUAAGCGAAGAUAUUUAACAUGCUAUAAGAAGUUAUGGCUUUUGUGUUCCGAUAUAAUAACUAACAAAAAGAUUAGCCCUAUGGAGGCAUGCGGGAGUACGAGGGACGAGAACACUGGGCCUCGAGUUGCAUACAUACAUGCAGGACCCGCCCUCCCACCAUGAAACAAGUCAACAACAAUAUAAAUCAAAAUCGAGUGAGAAUAUGAGGGACAAGGGAUGGACCAUAUGAAUAGUAUAACUGUUUAUUGAAGAGUCUCAUAUGGUGAAAAUUGAGGGUUCUUGCAUACAUGGUGCAGUUCGGUUCGACGUCUAGGUGGUCACAUGCCCAGGCUUCCUCAAUGAUUGAGGAGUUACAACCAGGAGUACCAUGCCUCUCAUGUAAGUGCAUUCAAAUAUUACAUGGUUACAUGCGAGAAUUUGUUUCUCCAGGUGCAACGCACGAGCAUAUGUCCUAGUAAUACUCACAAAAGCCUUGUGCACCGGCUCAUUCCGAUUGCGCAAGUGUAUUAUAUUCGGGCUCAUCCCGCGGAAGGCCUUGUGCACCGGCUCAUUCUUCCUGCCGUACAAGCAGUGUAUCCGGGGUUCACCCUGCUUGUGGAUAAAAAUGUGUCGCUAUUUCUCGCACACAACGUUGUCCCGUUUUGGAACGACCGACCUUAUUCUGGGCGCAAGGAGCCAAAUGCCGGGGUCCGAGGAUGAGAGCGGACGCCAAGGCCAAGUCCUAACAACAUUUUUAGCAGACCCCGUAUAAAGCCGCGACCCAUAAAAUAACCGCCAAAAUACGGGUCGGCUCGGAAAAUCCCGCCCCACCAGACCCAGCAAACACGUUCGACCCGUAUGUUUUUUGAGGGGCGCGGCAAAAUCCCGUCCUCAACCCAUGAAACGCAGGUUUCUGCCCCGCCCCUACGGUGCCCCGUAUCCCAGAAAAGCGGUUGGCGGGAGGGACAUUUCAGCCCGCGCUCUUUCCCCACCCCUUUCCGCCGCCGCUCGCCAUUGGUUCCGCCCGUCCGCCGACGGUGAUUCCGGCCAAACCUGCGGACGCAAGCGGGCCACGGGGGCGCCCCUACCCUCUUCCGCCGAGCCGCUGCCCCGGCUCCCCGGAUCCGCCGAUCCGAGUCGCCCCUAACCGCCGUCGCCACCCGGGAUCCGCCGCCCACGAGCCACCCCUAGUCGUCGCCGCCGCCUCCGCAUCCCCUGCCGGAGAGCCACCGCCCCGAGCAGCCGGUGUGUAUGUACUUGUGCUAGUGCCGAUCGGUAUGCAUUGUUAAUUAACGCGGCAGGCGGUUUGUGAAUUUAGAUGGAAUUGAGCCCGUGCGAGAAGUUUUUACUAGACGAUUCAUCCGAUUCAGACGACUCGGAUGUUGAGACGCUGCUUGUCAACUACUGCCAGCAGAUGUUGGUGAUGGCCCUUGCCGUCAAGGAGCACGAAGAUGAGAACCGAAAGAGGCGGCGAUGAUCGACCUUCGGACGUCUUUGCAUUCCUCAAAAUUGCCAUCUCAAAAAUGAGAUAUUGAUGCAAGACUACUUCACGGACAGUCCAACAUAUCCGCCGCACCCUCUUUGUCAAAAUUGUGCAAGCUUGCGAGGCCAAUUGUCGGUAUUUUACUCAAAGAAGAAAUGCUGCUGUUGACACCACAUUUUGGCAUGACAUAAAAGGCAAAUAAGAUGACCUCGAGUGAAAGGGUUUUCAGCGUGAAAAGUUUCACGUCGCCGAGUGGAACAACUUUGAUGUUUCGGUUAUCGUCAUCCGACCUUAUCUUAGGGACCGAAAUUGUACUCCGAGUGGCAGGAUUCAGUGUUCUGAGUGGUUUUCGGCUGAUCACACUUUCAAGACGGCCUCGGAUGAAGGAGCACUCUAAAGGAAUUGUCUUCGUCUUGUCGAGGCAAUCGAUUUUGAUAUAUAAAUUAUCUCAAUCCUAAUUCAUAUGCAAAAGUUAGAGACAAUACACUACAGACCGAACCUAAACGAAAAUAUGGCGCGAAGUACCAGACACCCUGUCUGAUGGGUCGCGCGAGCAAUUAGGCCCUCAAGAUGGCCUUGAAUCGAAAAACCUUCAACACGGGAAAGUUUCGUCUCGUCGAGACGAUCGAUUUUCAUAUAUAAUACGUCUCAAUUCGAGGUCGUAUGAGACCUGGAGAGACAAAUCAAGAUCAGGCUAUGUUUUCAGUCGGGAAUUCCGAGUGAAAACUUACCGAUCGAGUGAAAGUUUGCCAUCUGGGUGAACUUAUUUUCAUCCGAGUGAAAAUAUUGUUAUCCGAGUGAAAAGAUUACCAUUGGGAUGAAAGCUUGCCGAUUGAGUAAGAUAUUGCCUUCCGAGUGAAAAUAUAGUCAUCCGAGUGAAAGAUUGUCUUCCGAGUGAAAAUUUUGCCAUCCGAGUGAAAGAUCCUAACAUCCGAGUGAAAAAGUCCAGUCGGACGAUCCGAGUGAAUGACUCCAAUAUCCGAGUGGAUGAGCUCGAAUCCGAAUGAAACUGAACAUGUGCCCGAAAGUUUAUCAAGAUUACCUCGGAUGGAGAAGUGUUCAAUACGGAAGUUGUGCAUAUUGUCAAAACGGUAAACUUUGGUUUUGGAGUCAUCAUCAUCAGAGAUAGUAUAUGGCCUGCAAAUUCACUACGAGACUCGGACAAUCCAGUCUGCUGCAAGACCGAGUCCGACUGGAAGGUAAAGAUGACCUCGAAAAGUAUUCAAGAUGGCCUUAUUUGAAAAAGUGAUCAACAUGAGAGUUGUUCGUAUCGUCAAGGCGCACAAGUUUGAUAUUUGGGUCGUCUUGAUCGGAGAUCAUAUGCAAGCUCGACGGACCGCGCAAGGAGGAAGACAGAAGUUGGGCCAGAUUCAGACUGAAUCCGAGUUGGAAUAGAACUAGGACUCUAGGGCGUGAAUUGAUGUAAUUUUUUGUAAGGAAAGCCUAGAUGAAUCCUUUACUUGUACGGGAAGUCCAGCCGCCUCUUAUAUAUGUUGGGGUGAUGGUCGAUUGAACAACACCAAUCGAACCAAUCAAUCUAUUACACUUUUGUGUUCAUCUAUCUUUAUCGCCUACCCUUGUAUCUUUCUUUCUCGUUCUUCGUUCAUUCUUCGCAUUGGAGGGCAGCGAUCCAUGAGUCUCUAGGGGCGAGCGAAUCGACCUAGGGCAGCCCAUAGCCGCCGCACUCCCUGACGGGGUCCCUCCCGGGCGUGUGGCGUUUCGGGUCUUCAAAAGCGCCCACCGACUGUCCUGCGUAUCGCGCUGUCGGUCGGGUCUCCUUCGACGUGAGUUGUGGUGCAUCACCCCCGGCGUAGAGGGUACACGUGACGUGUUCGUGUGUCAACAGCUACGGGCUUGAAGGGAUUUAGUGCAUAUCAAAAAUCUCGGCAGCUAUGCGGGUAAUUGCAUACGGCAUUCCGGCUGACUAUGCCGAUGAGUACCUUCGCAUUGGUGAAGAUGCUACAAUUGAGUGAGUGCGUAGGUUAGCCAAAGUGAUCAUCCGUGUCUUUGGUCCUGAAUAUCUUCGGGCACCCAACGAGGAAGACACAAAAAAAUUGAUGGCAGCUAAUGAUAGAAGAGGUUGGCCUGGCAUGCUAGGUAGCAUAGAUUAUAUGCAUUGGACAUGUAAAAAUUGCCCAAAGGCAUGCCAGGGAAUGUAUUGUGACAAGUCUCGUGAUGCAACAAUUGUGCUAGAGGCCGUAGCAUCCGAGGAUUUAGAAUUUCGCAUUGCUUUUUUGUUAUGCCGGGUACUCUCAAUGAUAUCAAUGUGUUGUAACGGUCUCAUUUGUUUGCUAGGCUUGCUCGUGGUGAUGCUCCUGUUUGCAACUACACUAUCCAUGGGCAUGAAUACACAAAGGGGUACUAUCUUAGAGAUGGUAUAUACCCUCUUUGGUGCACAUUUGUCAAGAGCAUCAGAGAGGCCCAAACUAGUAAAUAAUGUGAAUUCACAAGGGUACAAGAGGCAACCCGAAAAGACAUUGAAAGAGCAUUCAGGGUUUUGCAAUCUAGUUUUGCCAUAGUUUGUGGUCCUGCUCAUUUUUGGGACAAGCGAACCUUGAAAAACAUCAUGACAUGUUGUGUUAUUCUUCACAAUAUGAUAAUCGAAGAUGAGAUAGGCAUGAACUUGGAGUUCUUCUACUACAAUGUGGGUAGCCGUGUCAAACCAGUUAGAGACCCUAACCGCACUAGAGCUUUUCUUCAGACCUACAAGGAGAUUGAACAUGCAAACACCCACUUUUAGCUUUAGGAGGAUCUCAUUGAGUACCAUUGGCAAAGGGCUGGCCAGUAACACAUUCCAUUUUUCCAUUCAUUUUCAUUUAAUUCAUUUGUGAUUUGUAUUCGGGACAAGUUUUGUAUUGAAUUAUUCAGUUUGCUUCGGUGAUUUGAAUAAUUAUUGUAAUUUGGAUAAUUGUUGUAUCGUCAAAUUGACAUUUUUCCUUACAUUGCAAAUUAGCAAUUCUGAAUAUGUGCAUAUGUGUCAAAUUCAGAUAAAACCGCAAACGACUUUGCAAGCCGGCGCGGUUGGGCAUAGAGUAAGACACCGCAUAGCGGAACUGUAAAAUGGAAUAUCAGCGAAUAUUCCUUUUUACAGUUCGGUUUUGCGGGGUCUGACUCUGCGCCCGCCCGCCCCGGCCGGCAAAGCCGUUUUUCGACGAACUGUAAACGUGUUUUGUGUGUCGGCGUUAUACGGGGUCUAAUAGAGAUGCUCUAAGUCUUUCACAGCUCCCGGAAGCAAAACUAGCUGCUAGAGUGCAUUGUUCCGUCAUCCAAUUUUGACCGAGUCAACAAUUUCUCAAAGCUCUCUCAUCCAAUUCUUUUAUUCUAUACACUAUGCUUCUUAAUUUUUGAAGGCCCAUAAUUAAUUGAGGUAUUCAAUUUAGAUUUGGGUCAUCCAGUUUUGACCUGGUCAACAAUUUCUCAAGCUACCCCAUUCAAUUCUUUUAGUUCACUAUGUUCCCUGAUUUUGAAGCUCUUUCAUUCAGGUAUUCAAUUUUGUAUUUGGUUUACGAUUUUAACUGUGCCAAUGAUUUUUCAAGUCAAUCACCAGCAACCGGCUUAUAACAACAUAAUAAUCCGGUGCACCUUCCCACCACCUGGAAAAAAGAAGCCUCAUCAUGUGAUAUUGUAGCACUAAUAUAGUAUAUAUGCAGCCAUCGACACAAAAAUUUCCCCACAUAAAUAUAGCUUGGUUAGUGUAUAACACAUAAUCACACCAGGAAAGGCCCACCAAAUCAACGCGUUAUAAAUAAAUAAACAUAAAACACACUAUCGUCUCCCGCACCGGCCAAACUAAAUAUCCCAUCAGUUUCAAAUAUAAGGGGUAUUAGUAUUUUAGAAAGUCAAAAUUAUUUAUCUUUGACCAAGUUCAAAGAAAAAAUAUCGACAUCCAUAAUAUUAAACAAAAAAGGUAUAGAAAUUCAUUUCGUGAUGAAUCUAAAAAUACUGAUUUGAUAUUAUGGUUUUUGACAUAUUUUUGUAUAAAUUUAAUCAAAUUGAAAAGGUUUGCCUUUUCAAAAAGGCAGUAUACCUUAUAUGUUUAAAUAGAGUGAUUAUUUGUUGAGAAACCCAACAACACGAACGACGUAACAAAGCGCGUCCAACCUUUCUAGUUCAGAUGAUUUUCAAAAGAAAAGUACUGAUGGUCCUCCAUGAUGCAUGGCCAUGUCAGAAGUAGAUCAGUAGAAUUUUAUCAGGAAUGACCCCGUGCAUGCCUUCCUCAUAACAUUUACUUGAACCAUCGAAAAUAAAGCUUUCUAGCUAAUCCCUUGGCACCAAUUUGUGGUUGGGUAAAAAUAAGGAGGAAUGGCCACCGUGCACCCAGAUCGACAUGCAUGUCACUUACAACGUGGGGUUGUCCAUGUAUCUCUCACGGCCACACUUUUUUCUCCUAAGCAUGCUAUUUAACCGGACAAUGGCCAGAACUCCAUCCAGAAACCAUCAUCUCCUCAUCAACAACCUCCUUCUCAACCCGUCAUACGUACCUUGUGGAAGUAGUCUCAAGAAAGAAUGGCGCUGAAUACUAGGAAUGCAAUCGUUGCCGUUCUCCUCCUCGUCGUGAUGGUCGUGGCGGUCUCAACACCAGCAGUAACUGCCCAAGAGGACUGCUGGGACAAAUGUUUCAAGGACUGCAAGGCAAAAAUGGCAAUGGAAGUGUGCAACCAAAAGUGCAUUGACUUUUGCAAGUAUCAAGCUGGAGCCGGAGAAUAUGUUAAGAUGGCUGGCGAUAAACUCAAGGAGGCCAAAACUGCCUCUCCAGAACAGGCCACUAAACUCAAGAAUGAAGCUACCACCUACUUAGAACGUGCCAAAGUCCUCAGCGAUAAAGCCGUGACCCCGUGAGUGUGAGUGCGCGCUCUUUUGUCUAUCGGUGUCGCUGCUGUUAUGGUGUCUAUGGAUGUUUUAUUUAUUUACUAUUAAAUUGUCGCGGUUGCAUCCCAUAUUUUUUGGUUUCUUUCAUUUUUGUCUCUUUGUUAACAGACCGUCUUUUGUAUUAUGACGACAUGCUUGUUCCGGUGACUCCCUUUCUCUGUUUUUAUUGUCGAGAUUACUCAUGUAUAAUGGUUUUCCAUUGAUUUGGAUACAUAAUAAUAAAGAUUCUUGCUUCCUUUUUAAUGCCA